rnacentral:lncRNA from 1 species
UGCAGGCCAUGAAGACCAAGCUGUGCAGGAGCUACUGAUUCAAGCUGUUUUUGUUCAUUUUGUAAUCUUUAGUUAAUGAAAUGUAAUCUAGUUCAUUUAGAACUAUGUUAGGUAGAUGAUUGAUGUAAUUUGCUGACAUAUGACCUGUUAAUUCAGCUUUGCUUGUAUACACAAGCUAAUUACUUCAAGUUUCAAUGCUUAGUGGUGUUAGGUAACCAUUAGGUGAAUGUUUACUGUUUUUGACAAGCUUAGUGCUUGGUUUAUGUAUUGGCAUUGUGCCAUUAUUCAAUCGAUGAAUGAAAUUCAGUUUGUUCAUCAACUUCUCUCCUCAAUUUUCUUAGCUUUUCUUCUUUUCUUUUGCUCGAAUUCUCUUGUUUACUCAGCAAGUCUCGAUACUUGCUCGACAAGUCUGUGCUGAGUCUGUUAGUUUCAGUUACAGCACCAACAAAAAUAGAGAAGAAAGAAUGACCUGUUAUUUAAAUGCCAUCCCUUGAUGUUAGCCACUUCCCUCAAAGCAUUUGGCCACCUUUGGAUCUUUUCUCUAUCGUCCUUAUAUCUCUCUUCAUGUUUUGCAAAGGCUUCUUCAACUUUUCCCUUCUGUUUUCUUUAAUCGGAUGGAUCCACUUAGUAGAAUAUUUUAUGUUCCUUAUCCUUUUUUUGUUUAACAAUCUCAGCAAGCUCCUCCAAGCACCAACUUGAAAAGGCAUAGGUUUUUGAAAAAACGAUGAUCGAGCACCAUGAUUGUUGAAUUGCUUUAAAGAGUUCAGGUGCGAUCUCUUCCCCAGCCUCCAACUUGGGAUCAUCUCUAAAAGUGACAAUCCCACGCCUCUUUAGAGCAUUGUAGAGAUGAUCUGUGAAGUUGUUGCGAGUAUCUUCACCUCUAAAACUCAAGAAAACAUCAUAUUUCUUUUUAGAAAUGGACGAUGGAGUUGAAGGUAACGAAAACAUGAGGAUAUAUGAGAAGAAAAAGAUAUCUCAAUUUAGUGCUCAAAAUCAGAAAAUAGUUUGCUCAAUACCACAGAAAGAAACUGGGAACAAUGGGUUGAUGAGGACAAGAAAGAGAAAAGCAGAUCUACAAAUAGAUGAGGGAUGAUGUUCUUUCCAAGAAGGUGAGAGUUGAUUUUAUAUCGGAUAUAUAUAAUAGUGCUAUUAAAUUAUUUGUAUGCAAUUAUUGAAUGAAGUUAUCAAACAUAAACUCAGUGAGUCACACGGCCUGGACGCACACACCUGUGUGUCUCACUUGUGUGACUCUAAUAUGAAUUUAGUGAGUUACACGGCCUGGGCACACGCCCGUGUGUCUCACCCGUGUGACCCCUACCUCUCAUUACUCAGACACAGCCUCUCCCACGCCCGUGUGUCUACAAAUUCAAAGUCAAGGAGUUACACGGCCCGCCACACAACCUCCCACAUAGCCGUGUGACUCACACGGCCAGCACACGCGCCCGUGUGCAGUUGACACUCCCGAUUCUGGCGAAGAAAUAAACACAGAAAAAGAGGGGUUUUGGCACCCACCUGUUACCCGAUGCUGAAGAAGCACCCAAUUAUAAAAUCCAAGCCUAAAACAAGUUCAAAACACUCAAUUCAAUAAAACUUCCACAAAAUACGCAAACACCAACAAUCAAACUUCGUCAAAACUUUCGACUCACUACACGAAACAAGUAAAAGAUUACUUACCACGGAUUCCUAGUACUCACUCAAUUCCUAAGUAAACGAUAGGCGUUAGGCAUCUUUUGAAUUCCUCCCUAAUGUAUCGAAACAACGCAUAACAAGUUAUCAGACCUCAAGACUUAUGAAAACCCCAAAUUCACAAUGACAGACUUUAUGAAAAUAUCGACUUAACUUACCUUGAAACACACCAGAACAAGCAAAAACGCGAUCUAACGAAGCAAUUUAUACGAAAGAACAGACAAUAAAAGAAAAGAAUUAAGGAAAUAUGAACAGAAAAGAAAGAAAGAAAAAGAACAAUUUGGGAAAGAAAAAAAUGAAGAAGAACGUCAAAUCCAAUAGGGAAGGACAUUUAAAUUUCAAAUCAAUUUUUACUGAAUAUCCAAAAAUAAAAUCAUUGUUGCAAACGCUAUAACUUGAACGUAGAAUUAGAGAGUAGACCGACAUUUAACCGGUGAACCAGCAAGUUUAUUUUUGACACAAGCUGCACAAAACUAAACUUAAACAAAGAAUCCUAAGAUAAGGGUUCAAGUAAGAAAUUUAACAAAAUUCUGAAAUUUAUGUAACUCAAACCUCAAACCUUUAGUGAGCAAACAAAGCACACAACCACAGAAGCAAACACAUUUUCAUUGACACAGCUUAGCUAUUAAAACUCAAAUUUUGGAGCGUUACAAUGUUGCAAAGCUAGUUUGUAACAAGACAUAUAUAUAAAUUGAAUUCAAACCAUGCAUAAAAGUACAAACCAUAUUCGUUUCUCAUCUACGCCUCUCGUAUUUCCUUUUUCUCGAGACAAUCUAACAUCAUCUUUAGUUAUGUACAAUAAUAUAAGUAUAGAAACGAUAUUAGUUUUUCAUCCAAUCACAUUAAAAACAAAUAAUCAAACAUAUUUUGCAUUUUAUUCAUUUUAGUCCUUAUAUCUGAAAUACUCAUAUUUUCCAAUAUUUAAUAACGGAUGAAAAUCUGAUUUCAUGUCCUUUCAUUAGAGACAUUAUACUUUUAAUCUAUAGCAUAAUUUAUUAAAAAUUUUCAAUUUAUUAAAUUCAUCCCUAAGGUCACAAAAUUAUAUUUAAAGCUUAACUUGAUUUCUAACUUAAACCUUAACAUGAUUUAAGUUUACAAACUAACAAUCUCUUCAAUUUCAAGCUUAAUUUUAUCAAUUAUACAUCAAUGGUAACUUGCUAGACAUCUAACAAUUAAAGAAAUCGAUACAUGGGUAGCUAAACCAAACUCUAAUGUUUCAAAAUUCAUAAAAAUCUUAAGGAAAGAACUUAAUUACCUUGAUUAAUUUUGGAUUAAAAUGGAAAAGAAAGAAGUUUUUCCUUCUUCUUCUUAGCUUGGGACGACCAAACACAAUAAGAAAGAUAACUUCAACUUUCUCUCCACUCACUUUUAAAAUCUUAAUUAGAUUAAUUAAUCAUCAUUAAUAAUAUAAUGUUAAUAAGUUAGUUUUAAUUAAUCAAGUCAAUUAAGAUAAGUGGAUGUAAUCUUACCAUUGCACUAUCAUAUUUUAAUAAUCAUCAAUUUAUUUUAAGGUCCUUAGAUUAAUUAUUAAUUAAGUCCUCAAAUAUUUUCUAAAUUAAAAUUUAAUAGCGAUUAAACUUUUAAAAUUUACGCCCUAACCUUUAAUUAUUGAUUUUCUCGACUUAAUUACCGGUUCUUUAUUAUAUUUUUAUACUAACUUUGUCAAUACUUCUAUUCAUAUUUUCUAUCUCUAAGUGAAUAUAUAAUGAAAAAAUUUUAAUAAAAAAAUGAAACCAAUCAAAAUAUACACAUUUCAAUUAUAUAAAAAAAUGAAUUAAAUGAUAAAAAUUUUAAAUAGAAUAUGAGCUUAUGUUCAAAAUGAAAAGAUUUUAAUUUUUUUUUGGUAUAUAAUGGAAAGAUCAUAUCUCAAAUGCAAAUAAAUUUAGAAUGAUUACUUUAAAUGAAAUAAAAAAUAUAAACAAGGUAGAUGUUUAAGUAGCUUACCACAGUUAAUGCUUCUUCGAUUGACCCAUUAUAAAAUUGAAAAACUUUUCCGUUUUGGUUGCGGCCCUUCUUCCCCUGCUUCCUUGUAGAUAUUAUGUUUUCGUUUUAUGUGAGUAGUGAGCAGAGUGUUGGUAGAUGUGUUCAAAAUUUGUAGAAGAUUGAGUGGUAUGGCACUGCAACUCUUUUAUUUCUUCCAAAUCUUUCUCAUGCAUUAUUCUAACACCACACUUCUUCACCUUGGCACUGCGUCCAAAUGGAUCUAUGAAAGACACCUCAAGCUCAUCCCAUUUUUUAUCUAAGCAAUCUGUUGCCCAUAAAUUGUUGGUUUCACUGUCACCAUAUUUAUCGUCCAAGGAAGAUAAGUAUAAGUUAUCACGAGACCAAUAAUGAAGAAAAAGGUGAUCUUUCAUUAUGGGCUCGUUAAGUCGUUUACCCACCAACGAGCCUGUCCAAUCAAUCAGUCCAGGAUUUUUACAAUAGAUAAAUGUUCGACAAUUGAUAACCUCGUCAUCCCUUGAAGCAUCAUUAUUGACAAAAAUGCAGCAAGAAGCAACUCCAAUCCAUUGAAGAGUCACUUUUUUGUUGGCUAAACCAUUCUGGGAUUUCACUCCCGGGAAUGUCAAACCUUUUUAUUGAAUUUGCAAAUGCCUGCAAAAUAAAUCACAAGUCGUUUGGUAACUAAAACCAUAAAUUCUAAAGUAUAUAUGAGAUUUGUAAGGGAGAAUAAAGAGAUUAAUCGACCUUAAGAUGUUUUUUCAGCAGUGUUAAUGCAUUGAUAUUCUCAGCCAAUUUGAAGCAGUUAAAGGCUUUAACGGCAGCCGAAUCCACUAAAUUGCAUACUUUUGAUGGACUUGCAACUACUUGAAGUGAAGAACAACCAUCUAUCUCCAUAUUUCCUAUGGUUGUUAGAAGCCCAGGUAACGAUUUAAGCUUCGUGCAAUUUGAUAAUGCAAGCACUUGAAGCCUGGAAAGUUGAGUAAGAGCCAAAGGAAUGGUGAUGAAAUUGCUACCCCUAAGUUUAAGAUAACUCAAAGAGGAUAGACCACGAAUAUCCGCUUCACCAAGAGCGCACAUGUUGCAAUUUGACAAAUCAAGAAACCAAAGCUUCGAGAGUAGAGUAAGAGAUGCAGGUAUGCUGAUGAAAUUGUUACCAAUAAGAUCAAGAUCUAUCAAGAAAGAUAGGCAAGAUAUAUCACUAGGAAUAUCUCCUUCACGAAGAUUGCAGUCCCUUAGCUUCAACUCUCUUAAUGAACUUAAACUUGACAACGAAGGCAACAUCAGAGGCAUAGAAUUUGUCCUUCUUGGGUACACCAGUUAAUAUAUGAUUUCCCAUCAUCUCCAUAUGGAUCCAUAACAUUCUUAUAUUCAUUCUCAACCUAUAUAUAUACAUUUUAUUUAGAUAUUAUUUAAAUAUAUAAUAAAAAUAAAAUUAAUAAAACAUAAAAUUUUAUCAUAUAUACCUGAGCAAGAAUGAUGUUUCCUUGGGAUGCAAAUUGUUUCUCUUUUUUGACCAUAUCAACUAUCAAAGUUGUGAAGUUUUUCAUUUCAUUCUAAAAAUAAAGGAAAAUAAAAGAUAUUAUUUAUAUAUAAAAAUAAACAAAAAUAGAAUUGAUUUUUUUUAAAAAAAUUUUACUGAAAAUUAAAAGAAUUACCAUAAAAACAUCAUUUUUAGUAUGGAGAGAAACUCCAAGCAUGUUAAGCCUCUAAUAAAAAAUAAUAAUAAAACUAUUAAUACUGAAAAAUAGUUAAAUAAUUUAUGAAAUAACAUAAUUAGUUAAAAUUUUAAAAUAAAUUAAUUUACCCAUAAUUCCACUCGGCACAAGUAUAAGAUCCAAUUCAAAGAAUUGCAUAUAAACCUUGGUCUUGAAUCGUUUUAAGAAAUCAAAUAAGAUCAAGAUUUCCUCUAAAAUCAUAUUGACGACGAGCUGGUUCAUGUGCAUUUCAAAAUACAUAUGUUUCAACCGCAUCCAAUCCACCUUCUUUGGCUUUUCUUAUAAGAUCCGGCCACAUCUAAUAAAAAUUUAAAAAAAUCAAUCAAUCGUUCAAAUUCAAAUUAUAAAAAAUAUCCCGGAUAACUCAAUUGUAAAUUAUUACCUGAGUAGUACUUCUCAGAUAAUGAACCGAACCCGAAAAAACAAUUCUAUGAUUUCCAUAAAUUAUGAUGGAUCUUGAAUCAUAAGUGACAUUAAGCGCAUUUGAAUAAAAUAGGAUGAAAGAAAAAAUAAGAUAAGAAAAUAAAAUAGUGAAUAUAUUCUUCUUCUUCUUCUUCUUCUUUCCAUCUACUGAAGCUAAAAAGAAGUGUUGAUUGAAAAAUCAGUAGAGUAUGAUAACGUAUUUAUAAGCGUGGUGAUUGAAUUCAUAUCAAAUACUUGAUUUUUAGAAGAUAUUUACUUUGAUUUAUUUGCUGUUUUAAAUAGAUUUAUAUAAUCAGUGAUAUGAGAUUAAAUCAGCAAAUUGUGUUGAAAGUUGAGUUUUAGUUCUAUGUAGCAGCAUUAAUUAAAUAUUUUUGAUAAUUAAAUAAACUUUUUUAAUUAUAAUUAAUUAGAGUAUUGCCUUCAGACGACGGGAGUCAUUGGUUCAAAUCCAAUAAUAGCUAGAAUUUAUUAGAUACCAUCGAUCCCGGUGUCUAAUAAGUUUUUCUAUCCACCUUCUUUUAUUGAUUUUCUAUCUUUUUCAUCCUAUUUUAUCUCCGUUUUCAAUUUUUAAAUUUUUUGUUGGAUCAUGAUCCGAUUUCACUUUUGAUUAUAUUUGAUUUUAUUUAAUUGGCAGAAUCAACAUGAGAUGUAUAAACGAAAGUUUUGUUUUUACGAAAAUUCUCCAACUUGUUACGAAAUCGCGUUGAUAACCUCGACUCGUGUCCUAGCCUGUUUGACAGCUAGAUUUGCCUCAAUUGUUUGCCUCUUGCCUUCAGCUUUCCUCAUGUUAGCUUGCUGAGCUUCUUGUGGACUCAUCUAUAAAAUUCUCGUUUAUUAAAACUUGUAGAGUUCUAGUUAAAUUAAAUUAAGAUUUCUUUCAUCAACAAAUGAGACUUGCUUUUUGAAGAAUAAAGAUUAUAUACCGAAAAGAAUAAGCGAGCAAUUAGUAAAGGGUAUAUCCAUAAUAACUUUUUACAUCACUGGUAAAUAAUACGACACAGUCACGAUUCAGCUAUAAUAUUAUCCAUAAUAACUUUUCACAUUGCUAGUACACGAAUCAUAGUAGUUGCCAUCCCAAAGGAUUGUUAGUAGAUCAAUCUUGCUAACACCUGUUAGAGAAAAUAGGAUGAAGUACUUCCCUGUGUAACACCAACAAUGGCUCUAAUCCGAAAAAGAGAUUGCAUUUAAAGUUGUUAGCAAACUCAUUCAUUCCUAGCUACCCACAAUGACCAUAACAUAGCGCCAUAGAAACAAGCCAUUUCCUCUUAACAUUCCAAACAUGCAGCAACAUUCAUACACAACAUUUCAAGGAAUCGCACACAUAACACCCCACCAUUGAAACAACACUCCCCAAGCUUUCCAAGAAAGGAAGUAAGAAAGAAAAAUAUGAUCACAGUUCCCUUCAACUUCAUUGCACCAACAACAAUUGAUGGAAUCAUUAAUUGUUAUAAUACCUCGAUCCCUUAAAUAAUAUUUUGAAGGCAUACCAUUCUGGAAUGAGAGCAACAGGAAGCAUUGCACCUUUGAUGCACCAAUGAACCCUCAGAAUCAAGAGAAAACACAAAUUUCUUUACAGUAAAUUUCCCUUUGCUGUCCACCUCCCACAUUCGCCUUAUUACAUUAAUCACUGAAUCCAUACAUAGCCAAUUUCCAUACCGAUGUUCCCUCAAGUAAGCUUUAAUCACACCGUGGUCUCAAAAUAGUUUGCUCAAGGACUGGUGUUCCAGAGAAGUCAUCCCUUGGAUUAUUGCAGAGCCGAAUGAUUUGUGAUAUGGUUUUGUCAAUAUGGGAUCUUCUGUUAGCAUGAAUUGAAGCCAUUUAAGUAGUAUUAACUAUUAAGGACCUAUAUAAACUACAAAAUGAAGCUAUUUAAAUACUAUUUAAGCAACACCAAAACAGAGUACAGGUUCCCAUGGCGUUUUAUUUAGCGAAAAUAGUCUGAUGACAAAGAUAAAAGAUGAUUAUAUUUCACCCUAUUACCUGCUUCUUCAUGCAGUGAAAUAUAGAUGUAAGUUUAUACUAUAACAUAAAAUUUAAUAAAUAAAUAAAUAAUAAAUUUCAUUAAACAGUACAAGUUUCAAUCAUGUAAAAAUUAAUUAAUUAGAUGAAUAAAUUUUUAAAUGCAUAAAAACACUAUGUUGUCUUUCAACCAAAACAUGUCAUUCAAUAAAAGUUGGUGUUCAACAUGUCUAUACUCAAAAUUUAGAGUUGAUUACAUAAUUUGAAGAAUCAUAUUUCAUACUCGUAUCAAAAUAUAUGUUGAGUAAAGAUGUUCAAAAUGAAUACUUUAAAUGUAAAUAAGGUCGGUAAAAAGGUCUAAAAACAGAAUUUAUAGGGCAAGGCUAGUGAAGUAGUUUACCACAGUUACAGCUUCUUCCUCGAUCGGCUCAUUAUAAAAUUGAAAAAAUUUUGCAUCCAUUUUGGUUUUUGUUUUACAAGGGAAGUGCUCCCUAUUGAAUCUAUUGAUCCAUCGUUAUCAGCAGAGUGUUGAUGGACAUCUUCAAGAUUUGGAGAACAUUGAGUGGUAUGGCUAUGCAGCUCUUUUAUGUCUUCCAAAUCUUUCUCAUUCACCAUUCUAACACCACACUUCUUCACCUCAACACAGGGAACAUCCGGGUCUGUGAAAGACAAUUCAAGCUCAUCGCAUUCCUGAUCUAAGCAAUCUAUUGUCCAUAAAUUAUUAAUUUCACAUUCACCACAUUUAUCCUCUAAGGAAAAUGGAUAUAAUUUAUCACGCGACCAAUAUCGAAGAAAUAGGUGAUCCUUCGUUAUGGGCUGGUUAAAACGUUUCCCAAACAACCAACUACUUGCAUCGACACGUCGAAGAUCUGUUUCUCGAAAGACAGAUCCAUUUCGACCGGCUUGUCCAGAAUUUCUACAAUGGAUAACAGCUCUGCAGUUGAUAAACUUAUCCCGGUAAGCAUCAUCAUUGACAAAAAUGCAACAGGAAGCUACUCCAAGCCAUUGACUAUCAUUCUGAAUAUUGAGUGGUAGAGGUAUCCUAAUUGUAGAGCCACCUCUCUGUUGGCUAAACCAUUCUGGGAUUUCACUUCCAGGUAUAAUAACAUCAAACAUUUGUCUUGAAUUUGCAAAUGCCUGCAAAAUGAAACUUCAGUCACUUGGUAAAUAAAACCAUAAAUUCCCAAGUAUGAGAGGGAAAGAAAGAGAGAUUAAUUAACCUUGAGAUGUUUUUUCAACAAUGUUAACGCAUUGAUGUUCUCCGCCAAUCUGUAGCAGUUAAUGGCUUUAAUGGAAGCUAAAUCCAAUAAAUUGCAUACUUUUGAUGGACUUGCAACGCCUUCAAGUGAAGCACAACCAUCUAUGCACACUCUUGCUAUACUUGUUAGAAGCUCAGGCAACGAUUUAAGCUCUUUGCAACUUGAUAACAUAAGAAGUUUAAGCUUGGGAAGUCGAGUAAUAGACGCAGGUAUGCUGAGGAAAUUGUUACCACUAAGAUCAAGAUGUGUCAAGGAGGAUAGGCAAAAAAUAUCACUAGGAAUAUCUCCUUCACGAAGAUUGCAGUCCCUUAGCUUCAACUCUCUUAAUGAACUCAAACUUGACAACGAAGGCAACAUCAGAGGCAUAUUUGGUCGUAACUUAGAUGAUGGUCCUUUGCACCCAUUGAAAGACAGAAUUUUAAGAUUUUCCAAUUGAAAAAUCAAGGAUGGUGGUUCUGUUAUCGCUGUUUCACUCAAGUCAAGCUCUUCCAAAAACUCUACUUGCUGCAAAUUCACUGGCAAAUAUUUAAUUUUAUAACAACUAGAAAGAUCAAGAGUUUUUAGAUGUUCCAUUUUCCCAUCAAUCUCCGGAAACCUUACAAGACUUGAGCAACCUGAAAGAAUUAAUGUUUCAAGAGAUUCCAUUCCAAUUCUGGUUGGAAGACUCCUAAGACUUGUGCAGUCUCUUAAAUUUAAAAGUUUAAGCAUCUUAAGCACUCUGAUUGAUGGAUGGACAUCUACUAAUCUGGUACAACCUUCCAUAAUCAAAGCUUCAAGUUUUGGUGUUGUUCUGAAGUCUGGUGUCUUGAUCAGGUAUUGAGACCCUUUGAGGUUGAUCAUUUUCAACUUAUACAAGGGCUGUUGAAGACAAUAAUAAAUUAGAGAGAAAACAUAAUAAUGCUCAAUUUUGUUUUUCUUUUUCUUUUUUUACCUUAAUCAAAGUUUAAUCAUUUAUAUUAAAAUAAGCUAAAACACAAGGAUAAGAUAAGUUAAUUCUUACUCUAUUUCCCUUCCAUAGUUGUUCAAUGUGACUAUAUGGUAAAAGAAGUGUGACAAGAUUGUCCGGUCGAAAGCUUGAAGGUAAAUAUCUUAAAGGAUAUCUUGCCCAAUCUAAAAGCCGUAUUUCAUUAGAGAGAUAUUUGAGACCAUCACAAUUUGAUAGGCAAAGAACUUUGAGCAAUCUCAACUUUUUUCAUUUUUGAGAAGGUAUCGUCACUCAAAUUGAGCACCUUGCUCGAUUCCCUAAUAACCAUGAGCAAAACAAAUAUGAGUUUCAAAAUAUACAGAAACAUUCGAUAACUAAAAGCUAUGUUGCAUCGAUAUUGUUUUUUUAAGUACCCACAUCCUACACUUAUAUCUAAUGCAUAUCUGAAUAUGGUAUUGAGAUAUAUGAUUGAACAUAUUAGACAAUAGUCUAUCUAACACUUACAUUUGACUUUGAAUUACCUAAGCCUAAAAAACUAGAACUAAUAUUUUGAUUUACGUUUGGUGCACUGAUGUGUAAUUCUAUGCAUUACCAGUGAAUCAAAUGAUGGCAUGUUAUAGCCUAGUUCAUUAAUAUUAGCAAAGACAAUAACAUACAUCUCUUUACAAUUUCUUUUGAAAGAGUAAUGUGUUUCUAUAUAAAUUUUAUAAAUAUAACAUUGAAAAAUUAAGUAUUAAGGGCGUGUUUCAUUAGGUGGAAAAGUGAAAAGAACAUAAAUUUUAAGUCUGCAUUUUGCAUCCUAAUGCAUAAAAAUCAAUCAUUUCAAAUUGAAAUAAUUAAAAUUAUGCUCUCUUUUUUUCAAAUGUUCUAUUUUUUCUUUCCUUCCACUUUCCACUAUAUAAAGCAAUAGUGAGAAGGGAAAUAUAUUUUCCAUUCAAUUUUCCAUCCUUCCUACCAAGCACACCUAUUGAAAGAAAAAUAUAUUUUCUUUUCCUUCAAAUUUUCAUCCUUUCAAUUUUUUAUUCACUAUACCAAGCAAAGCAAAAAUGUUGUUUUUUCAUUGUUUAUUAUUGGAUUUUAAAAAAAAUAAUGACAAUAUUAAUAGUACAUAUUGAUAAAUUUAAAUGUAUGUUUUCUUACCUUUUAUUGUUGAUGAUCAUGCCUUCAAUAACAUCGGUAGCCUAAAAGUAAUCAAGAAUAGACAAUAAGAAGGCAAAAUAAAUGCUUUAAAUUGUACGAUAAAACUUUUGAAAAUUUACAUACAUGUUCAAUAUUACCACAAUCUUUUGGUCAAAAUAUAGUAAAUAAAAUAUUUUGAACUAAGUAAAACAUUUUUUAAUGAGAGUAGUUCAAUAAACUUAAACACUUAUGUUAUGAAUCCUUAUUAAUAAUUAUAAUUAACAAAUCGGUACGUAAACCAAUUAGACUAAGCUUUGGAUUUACAUCAUAUAUUGAUAAUAAAAAAAUUGUAUGUAAUUUUUGUUGAAUGACUUACCGUGGUUUUUGUUAGGACAUGAUGGACAUCCCUUUCCUUCCACAAUCUACAACGCUUUCUAGGUUCAUCAACACACUUUUCUUCAACAAUUUUUCUUCCCAUUUCUUGCAACAAGGCAUGCAUCCUCAAAUAUUGGUUGCCAUCAUCAACUUUUAUGAGAGAUUUCUUAAUGAGAACAUCAAUUCCAAUAUUUGGAAAAAAAUCACAACCAUCCAAUACUUUCAUUACCAAAUCUUUCUUCUCCCCAUUGAAAAAGCAUGCUAUAUCUAAAAAUAUAUUCUUCUCCCUUUCUUCCAAUCCAUCAAAGCUAAUUCUUAGUGUGUUAAGAAUUUCUUUGUUAGAAUCUUGUUUAAGUCUUUCGAUUGCACUUCUCCAUUGAAUUAUAUCUCUACCGCACAAAAAUGAACCCAAAACUUCAAGAGCUAAGGGCAGCCCAUCAGCAUAAUGUACAAUAUGUUUAGAAAGCUCAAUGAAAUCAUAGUUCGGCACUGUAUCACUAUCAAAAGCUUUCAAAUUGAAAAGCCUAAGUGCAUCGUUGGGAUUCAAUGUUGUAGGCUUAUACACAUCAUCAAUUCGAUAAGAUCGGAGCAAAUGUUCAUCUCCUGUUGUUACAAUGAUCCUACUCCCUAAACUGAACCAAUCACGCUUUCCAACCAAGCAUUUCAAGUGUUGUACGUUAUCAACAUCAUCAAGAACAACAAGAACUUUUUUGCUAGACAACCUGUGGCUAAUUAUGGCAUUCCCUUCAUGAACAUUGAAAAAAUUGAAGCAUUUAUCUGGCAAAAUUUGAGAAAGAAGUUGUUUCUGUAAAGAAACAAGUCCACAUUUGUUUGAAACUUCUCCAAUAUCAGCAACAAAACUUUUACCUUCAAAAUGAGGUGACAUUUGAGUGUAAACAACCCUUGCAAGAGUUGUUUUACCGAUGCCACCCAUUCCGCAAAUUCCUAUAAUGCGUACAUCGUCUUCCCCAAUGUUUAUUUUCGAAUACAACUCCUCCAAACUUAAGCUAACUCCAACCAACUCAUCUUGAACAAUUGGAUAUGUCUGACAUAAUUUUGCUGAUUUCUUCUUAACAAUGUCUCCGAUAAACUCUGAUUCAUGCCUACAAUGAAAUAAAAAAUCGCUGCUAUCUUUCAAAUGCACUUUUUCGUUUUUAGUUCAGUGAAUCAUGAAAUAUAAUAUAGUUGGAAGCAAACAAAAAGCAAGAAUAAGAUAGUAAGAUCUGUUAUAGCAUCAAAAUACACAACUUGCUCGUCAGUUGAAAUAUGGGAAUUCUCAAUUAAACACAAAAUUAUAAAAAAAAUAACAUGCAAUCCAAAAAAAAAAAGAAAAACAAUUUUUUAGUCAUUAAAAUUAGGAAAUAGAGAAGAAAAGGAAGAAAUACCUAUUAUGUAAAUGCCAUCCUUUGAUGUUAGCUACUUUAGUCAAAGCAUUUCGCCACUUUUGGAUCUUGUCUUUAUCUUCCUUGUACCUCUCUUGGUGUUUGGCGAAGGCUUCUUCAACUUUUUCUUUUUUUUUUCUUAAAUCGGAUGGAUCCAUAUCGUAGAAAAUUGGAUACUUUAUGUCCGUUAACAUUUUUUUGUUGAACAAUCUCAGCAAGCUCCUCCAAGCACCAUCCUGAAAAGGCAUAGUUUUCCGAGAAAAUGAUUACCGAGCACCAUGACUGCUGGAUUGCUUUCAAGAGUUCCGGUGCGAUCUCUUCGUCGGCCUCCAGCUUUGGAUCAUCCCUGAAAGUGAUGAUCCCACUUCUUUUUAGAGCAUCGUAGAGAUGAUCCGUAAAGUUCUUGCGGGUAUCUUCACCUCUAAAACUCAAGAAAACAUCGUAUUUCUUUCUGGAAAUUGAUGAGGAAGUCGAAAGUAAUGACGACAUGACGAUGUAUGAGAAGAAAAAAAAUAUGUGGAUGUAGUGUUCAAAAUCAGAAAAUAGAUCGCUCAAUACCUUAGAAACAAAGUAGAAAUAAUGAGCAUGAGGAAGGAGAAAAAUAGAUGAAAUUUACAGGGAACAACAAAGGACUUUUCCAAAUGAAUCUUUCUGUAUGAUAAUACCUAUGAAAGGGAGUCGGUAACAAUAAAUUCUGGGGCCAUCGAUGAGCGUUAGAUGUUCUUUUCGGGAAGACUGCAAGAAGGUGAGAGUUGACAAUUGCUGCCUACUUUAAUUACAACUAAUAACGAUAGAGUUUUAGGAGUUUUUUUCACUAUUAGUGUCACAUCUGAUAGUGAAGAAGAGGCCCAAUAGGGUAAACAGGCAAUGCGCGUAGGCGUAGGCGUAGGUCUUCCACAAUCACCUCUGGUGUGCCACCCGUCAGUUGAGAAACCUGGGGGAGCUAUCUUCGUGGUACCAAUGACUGGGGGCAGGGGCCCAUUAUAUAAAACAGGGCAACUUAAACAUAUGCUUUGAAGGUGGAGCCUAUUGCUACAGAAGGGAGGCCGGACUUUUCCAACUAUGGCCUUAUUUAUUGCUAAUAAGAUAAUGCAAAAAAUGGGCUAUGACUUGGAAAAUCCUGUCGGACUAAAAAAUGGGAAGGGGCUUGACGAAGGCACAAAAGAAUACAUUAAAAGAUGGGGAGGCUAUCCUCCGACGUACGGCCUGGGGUACAUCCCAGAUUAUGGAACGAGAGAUGGGUCAGAAUUUGAAGCUUAUGAGUCGUCCACUACUUGUUAAAAUGUGCCACAACUUUAUGUACUUUUUGUAAAUUUAAAAUUUAAUUCCUAUACCAUUAGUUACUAAAUUAUAGGUAAAUUUUUAUUUUAAUCACUUAAUGUAAAAAAAAGUUAUAAUUUGAUCAUUGAAAUUUUCAAAAUUAUUUUUUUGUCACUCAACUAUUAAGUGACACUUUUUUUUAUGUGAUAUAAUAUACGUGGAUGUAGUGCUCAAUAAACAAGAAGUAAAUGAACAUGAGGGAGGAGAAAAACAGAAGAAAUUUACAGGAAACAAAGGACUUGUCUAGGAAAUUUGUGUAUACGUUUCCCACCUUUUACUUUUCCAAAUGAAUCUAUCUUCAUUAUAAUACCUAUGAAAGGGAGUCGGUAACAAUUAAUUCGGGGGCCAUAGAUCAGCGUUAGACGUUCUUUUCGGGAAGACUCCAAGAAGGUGAGAGUUGACAAUUGGUGCCUACUUUAAUUACAACUAAAACUUAUAGAGUUUUAAGAGUUUUUUCUGGUUAAAAUGUGUUACAAGUCAUCGUACUUUUUAUAAAUUAAAAUUUAGUCCCUACAUCAUUAGUCAUCAAACUAUGGGUAAGUUUUUGUUUUGGUCACUUAACUAAAAAAAAUUACGAUUUGAUCAUUGAACAUUGAGGAAGCGCAUAAUGAUCUAACAUUGUUUUGUUUUGUUCUAUUUUUAAUUUUUUAUAGGAUUCUAUUGAAGAAUAAAUUUCUAUAUUUUCCAUACAUAUUAGUUCUUGAAAAACAACAUUUUCGAGAUUUUAUUUUUCUAUAAUUUUCAUAUAGAAUUUUCUAUUUUUUAAAUAGUUUUGAUUUUUUUUAUAAAUUUAUAUAGAACCAUGGUCAAGUUUACAAAAUAUAAAAAUUAAGGACUAACGUGUUAUUUUACCAACUAAAAAGUGCCAUUUAACAGUCAAAUGAUCAAGAAAAACAAUUUUGAAAAGUUUAGCGACUAAUUAUGUGACUAAUUAUGUAGCUUUUGCAGUUAAGUAACAAAAAUGAUAACUUACCUAUAAUUUAGUGACUAAUUAUGUGGUUUACCCUAAAAAAAGUGUCUUGGAUUUGGUCCAAAGCCCCAUUGGAACAUACGGGCUGUAUUACCCAAUCUAUAUAAUAUAAUAUACAUAAAAGCACAAGUUUGAAAAACUUUUGAACUGACGAGAAUAUCAUUUACUUUUCAUCAAAUUAAGUUCACAUUUAAAGGUUAAGCUAAUUUUAUUGAUGUAAAAUAAAGUUAUUACGUGAAUAUAAUUUUGAGCAUCUUAAUUAUCCCUUAAUUAAUAUUAGAGUUACACAUCAAUUAAAAAUUUAAGUUUAGCUUUGUAAAUAACAUCAAAUAGUUAGACAUAUUUGAUUAAAUAGCAAUUAAGAAAAAUCAUCGACAAAAAAAUUGGAUAUUGUUAGCAUUAAUAAAUUAAAAUUAUAUGUAUAAAAAGAAUAUAUAUAUAUAUAUAAAGAAAAGCAAUGGUUCUUUGAAUAGGAAAUAGUGAAUCCUAUUCAAAUUGAAUGGCAUUAAAGAAAAAUGAAAGAUUAUUUUAAUUGAUGAUGAGAUAAUAGAAUAUAAUAUUUUUUUAUAAUUAUGUUGUAUGUUAUUCAUACUAUGUGAAGCAAGCACUCUUAAAAUUGUUUUUUUAUCUAUCUAUAAUUUGUUUGGUAUACAUGGAAAACAUUAUAUAAGUUUGUUUUGAAGAUAAAAUUAAAUUUUAAGAAUUAUUUUUUAAUCAUCAUUAUUAAUAUAAUUAAAAUUACAUGCAACGCAUGUGACAUUAGAAACUAGUGAUUAUAAAAAAUUGGAGUGCGACAAACUCUUGUUGUGAUUAAAAAGAGUUGUAUUUAUAAAAAAUUAUAUAAACAUCAUCAAACGCAUUGGUUGAAUUGCUUAACUUAAAGUUUUGCAAAAAUCAUCAUGAUAAUAUUUUAUAAUUAUUAUUAUAAAAAAUAUAAAAAUACUAUUAUAGUAAUAUUUGUUACUUCUUAUCAAUAGUAAAUUAUACAUAGGGUCUGUUUUGAAGUCAUACGUAGGCAUCUUAAAUGUCAUUUAUAUAUAGCAGAUGACUAUUUCGGUCUUUUAGUUGUUGGACCAAAUGGCGGCAGGGCUAUAAGACUGGAAAUUUCGGCGGCAAAUAGAGUUCCAUUUCUAAAUGGGGUAUAAGCUUGAAGGCAAUGAUCUUAAAAAAUAUCCUGUCCAAUCUAAAAGACGUAGAUACUUGAGAUCAUCAUGAAAUUAAUUUUCAUUUCUAAAUAUAUUUAAGUACUUGUUAAUAAUUAAUAACAUUAAUUGUCAUGAGUAAUUUCAUAAAUUAUAAUUAGCUUUUUGAUCCAUUAGUAACCGUAUUCUAAAAAAUCACAUUCCACUACCCUAUAAAAGAAUAAUUAUUUUUCUAUAAUUUUGAUAUAGAAUAAUUUUUUUACUUUACCGAUAGCAGCACUCUUUUUCAAAGAAGGUACGGUACAUCUUCUUCCUCUUUUCUGCUUCUAAGUUAUCAUGAAUCGUUGAUUCUAUUCAGAGGGGCUUACAUACACACACAUAUAUGAUUGAUAGGGGAAUUUACACAUAAAUAAUACAUAUAGAGAUUUUUCAAAUCGAAAGGAUAAAUUAUUCUUUAAUUGUGCAGGGAUGCUGACUUUCUGAUAAGUUCCGGUGAUAGAACCGGACGGCUGUUGAAGUACAAUCCUUAUAACGGAGACGUGUCCGUCUUGUACGACGGUUUAGCUUUCCCUAACGGGGUUGCCUUGAGUGCAAACAAUUCGUUUCUUCUAGUGAACGAAUCGAUAAAAAGACGAAUACUGAAGUUCAAUGUGCACGACCCCAAAGCAGCUCCCAAAGUAUUCCUCGAAUUACCCAGGGUUCCGGAUAAUAUAAAGAGGAACGAAAAGGGCGAAUUCUGGGUGGCCCUAAACAGCGGAAGAUUAGGAACGCUUGGAAACGGCGUUCCAGAUCCAAUUGGAAUGAGGUUUAACAAAGAAGCCAAGGUUUUGGAAAUCUUGGAUGGAAAGGGCGCGCCCACUUUUAAUUCUAUAAGUGAAGUCCAAGAACACGGGGGGAAAUUAUACGUAGGGUCUGUUUUGAAGUCGUACGUAGGCAUCUUAAAUGCCUAGUUGAUUUUUGUUUUCUUUUCGUUUCUUUUUUGCAACUUUUUAAUUGUUCUUGUAAUUUGUUUUUAUUUUACUCGAUAAAUAUAAUAAAUAAAUGUUAACGAUUUUAUUUUCGAGAAAUUUUUAAUUAUCUUGAUUUGCCUAAUUGAGACAUUACAUCUUCACGCCUCGUGCACAAGACGAAGUAAGCCAGGCUUGGCGUACCUGAUGGGUUAGUUGUCGAACAUUUUAAAGUUGUCCUUUAUCCCCUUUAUGCUUCGAGUUACACUGCUUUUUUCCGUCACAGAAUGUUUAUGUUGUAAACUUGAUAAGCAUGGCACCGAUUCCCAUAACACAAAUUAAAGAACAUCUGCUUCAAUUGAUUGGCCAAAAGAAAAGGUAAAUACCAUGACCUAAUCUCUCAUCUCAACAAUGCCUAAUCAGUGAUCCUAAUAGGCUAGGGAAAUUGAAUGACUUCAGAUGCUACUAAGUGUAUCAAAGUAAAAGAAGGACCAAAUAACAAAUUUGGCUAAGCAACCACUCAAUCCUUGCAACACUACUCCCUGCUUCUAUUGCCUGGGGAUAUGAACCAAUAGAUCACGAUGACAAUUCUAAAGCAACCAUUAUUUGAUCGUCCUCUUACUAGACAAUGGAUAUAAUAAUUCGUGAAGAAAAAGGUGGUCCUUCGUUAUGGAUUGUCCACCAAAACUUUGAAACUGGAAUCGACCCUUCCAGGAUUUUUAACUUGAAAAACAAAUCCAUUAUUACUAGAUUGUCCAGAAUUUCUUUAAUGGAUAUAAGUUGGGCCACCGAUAACUUUUUCUUCGGAACCACCAUCAUUGACGAAUCCAAUCCAUUGACUGUCAUUCUGAAUAUCGAGAGGCAGAGGUAUUUGAAUUACAGAGCUGCCUCUGUGUUGCCUGAACCAUUCCGGAAUUUCAUCAUUUUCGUUUUUUGAAUUCGCAAAUGCCUGCAAAUUUAAUUAUCUGUGGCUCUGUAACUAAAACCAUGGAAAAUAAGUGAGAUUAAUCAACCUUAAUCAGCAAUUUUAUUGCACUAAUGUUCUCAGCCAAUCUGUAGCAGUUAAUGGCUGUAAUGUUAGCACCAUAACUUAUCCACUACUCACUUUUCAUUCUUCCUAGAAGCACUGGCAACUAUUCAAGCUAACUGCAAUCUGACACUCCAAGCUUUUGAAGAUUUGAAAGAAGAGUAAGAGACGCAGCUAUGCUGCUGAAAUUGUUACACCUAAGAUUAAGAACUCUCAAUGAGGAUAGACCAGGAUUUGAACCUGAAAUUGUCAUAUUAAUGGCAUGAAGCUACAACCAACUGAGCUAGUAAGCCAAUUGUUUUUUUUUUAGACACUGUCUUAUAUUAAGCUUUUCUCCGUUGGUUAAAUGAUAAUAUUUUAAAAUUUUGGAUUUAAAAAAUAUAUUUAUUAUACUUUCAACAUAUAUACAUCCCAAAAUACAACCAAAAAUAAAUAGAAGGUUCAUUUUAUUUCCCCAAUAUUUUAAUGCAGAGUAAUGCUUGUUUUGUUGGGUUUGACAUAACCUGUAUGGAUUCGACAGUGAGAUUCGUGGACACCUUUGACAUGAUGAAAGACAACAACAUGCAGUAAAAGAUGUAAGAGGAAAAACCAACGUUAUGUCAUGAAAAGGAACAACACCCCCCCCCCAAAUGGAUCCCCCCCUGUUAAAAUUGAUCACUAAUGGCAAUUUGCUUCUUUUGCUAUGUGUAGUGUAGAGAAGAAUAAAAAUGAAGUUAACACAUAAACAGAGAGUUUUCACCUAUUGGCAUGGAUAUUGGCGGGUAAAUGAAAGAGUAAAUUAUUAAAUCCCGAUACUUUUCGAAAUUUUCAAAAAUUAAGUGCCCUUAAAACUAAUAUAUGUUGCAGUGGGCAAAAAUCACGUCGGUUGCUGCAUAGAUAAGUCGCUGAACCAAUCGUCACAACUCUUUGCCAAAGAUGCAUCAAUCCAUACAGCGCCACUAUUCUAUAUAUAGAUCGUCAGCGUCUCUUAUCAUUUGGAUAUUCAAGGAAGUUAAUUUUUCUGGUUACAUUAGCAAGAGGUAAGGCAUAUCAGUGAAGAUGGAAGAUUACGGAUGCGGUAUCAGUUCGAUAGCCAUGAUGCUGUUGGUGGUUGCUCUGCUGUUUUUGGGUCCGCUUGGAAUGCCACCGUUGCAGCCUCCUCCCGCUUACAUUUUCCUCAUCUUCGCUUUCGUCUUGAUCUUCGUUUUCAUCUACCUCUCUCAUGCCUCCAAAUGAUGAUCCAUGGCGAUUUCGUUUGCUUUCCAGUAUUAUUAUUCUCUUUUAUUCAGUUGUUAUCUGAUGAUAAUAAGCUUUGGUGUGGAUAUUAACCACCAAUAGUACACAGUUAUUUGUUGUUUUCAGUCGUUUAUUAAUAAAUUAUAUGAAGUCGAUGGAAGAAUGUCUCUGUUUAUCUAGUACGUAAAUAAACCAUGCAAUGCAUGCAUACUUACGUUGCUCUAAAAUGGACACGACGCCUUUUACUAAUAUUAUUCUUUCUUGCACUCCCAUUGGCUUAGGUACGCUGCAUGCGUUGUCCCUUCAUGCCGUCUAUUUAAUAAUGUCGUUAAUAAUUUUAAUGUGGUCUUCACUCCAUCCAUCGAUCGUGUCUAGCCUCAGUUUUCCUCCAUACAUCAAAUCGUUUGCAUUUGAAUAUCCCAUCUCUCCUUUUAAUUUUAAUUAUACUGAGUCUUCUUAUGUAAAUUUAGUUUAUUCAGGUUGUGCUUAUGAAUUUAGAUUCAAAAUAUGGAGUUAAACACGAUUGUAUGAUAAAAGGCAUUGUCUAUGGUUUCUGCUGCAGAAAAUUGUUAACUUUCGGGAUGACGCCAUUAUAAAAUUUGUUUGCAUGAACUAAUUAAUCCAUAGACUUUAACUAUGUACUAUGUAGGCGUCCUAGUACAAGGAUUGGGUUGUGAGCAAUACUAAUGGCAGUUUGGCUAUCACAAUACAACUUCAUUGUUGAAGUUAUUGGUUUCCUCAACUCUUCCAUAAUUCUUUUUAACCAUAUCAUUUUACAAAUUCCUUGAGCCAUUGAUCUAAACUAUGCCUCUGCACUACUUCUUGCUCCAACACACUGUUUUUUGCUUUGCCAAGUCACAAGGUUUCCCCAAAAAAAUUUACAGUAUCCUUAUGUAGAUAUUCUAUCUGUUAUUGAGCCUGCCCAAUCUGCAUCUGUAUAAGCUUCAAUUCCUCUUUGUUCAAAUUUCUUGAAGAAUAAGCCUUUUCCAGGUGACCUCUUCAAGUAUCUCAGAAUCCGAAACAUUGCUUCUUCAUGUUCUUCCAUUAGGGAGUGCAUAAAUUGACUCACUAAGCUCACUGAAAAAGCUAUGUCUGGCUCUGUAUGUGAUAAGUAAAUUAACUUACCAACUAAUCUUUGGUAAUGCCCUUUAUCAACUAAUCGACCUUCUUUAUUUCUGAAUUUUACAUUUGGACCAAUUGGUGUGUCAGCUGGGCAACAACCACUCAUCCCAGCCUCUUUUAAAAGAUCAAUCAUACAUUUUUUCUAAGAGACCACAAGACCCUUCUUUAACCGAGCAACUUUCAUUCUAAGAAAGUAUUUCAAAAGACCCAAGUCUUGGAUCUCAAACUCCAAUGCUAGAUGCUCCUUGAGACGCCUUAUUUCAUCUACAUCAUCUCCUGUAAGAAUGAUAUCAUCGACAUAAACUAUAAUAACUGUUAUUUUACCUUUUUGUCAGUGUCGAUAGAACAUUGUGUGAUCAGCUUGCCUUUGUGAGUAACCUUGGUUUUUAACAACUUGAGUGAAUCGUUCAAACCAAGCUCGAGGAGGUUGCUUUAAACCAUACAAAGAUUUCUUGAGCUUACAUAGUCAAGUACCAAAUUUUUCUUCAAAACCUAGAGGAGGAUCCAUGUAAACUUCUUCUUCAAGUUUCUCAUUUAGGAAAGCAUUCUUCACAUCUAGCUACUGUAAAGACCAAUCAAGAUUAACAGUAAUUGAUAAAAGAACUCUAACAGAAUUUAAUUUGGCUACUGGAGCAAAUGUUUCAAGAUAAUCUAUCUCGUAUGUUUGAGUGUACCCUUUAGCUACCAGCCAAGCUUUGUAUCUAUCGAAAGAUCCAUCCGGUUUGAAUUUGGUUGUGAACACCCAUUUACAACCCACUAUUUUUUUCCUUACAGGUAAUUCCAUUGUUUUCCAUGUACUUAUUUUUUCAAGAGCGUGCAUCUCUUUUAAAAUAGCCUUCUUCCACUCAAGAACCUAUAAAGCAUCUUUCACAUUUUUGGGUAUUUCACAAUAUCGAGACACGAAACAAAGGCUGAGAAUGUCAAAGACAAUGCUUUAUAGGAUACAAAGUUAGACAUGGGAUAUUUGACAAAAUUUCUAACACAUUUUCUUUUAGCAGUUGGAAUAUCUAAAUCAGAAAAUUCAUUGGUUGGAUUAUAAGCUUUACUUGGACUUUUGACAAUAUCUUGCAGGUCGAAUUCUUGGUGAUGAAUCUGGUGGAUUCCACUUUCUUGACUUCAGUUUCUUCUUGAGUAAACAAUUAACUCAUUUGUUUGUUCUUUAUUCUCAUGAUCAGACUUUACACCUUUAUACUCAUUUUUAUUAAUAACAUUAACAUCAUUAAUUUUUGUGUUAAUCAUAAAUUUGCCUUCCCCAUUAUUAGAAUCUCUAUGUUGUAUAUUCCUAGUCUUUUCUUGAUCAGUUAUAGAAUCUUCCUUACUAUAAUUUCCUCCCUGAAGAUUAGAAUCAAAAUAAGAUUGCGUUUCAACAAAUGUGACAUCCAUGGUAACAAUAAUCUUCCUAUCAAUUGGAUCAUAACAUUUGUAACCAUUUUUAUUAGAAGCAUAGCCAACAAAGACGCAUUUUUUUUCUCUAGAAUCUAGUUUACCAUGGUUGUAAAGAUGAACAAAAACACUACACCCAAAAACUCAAAGGGAUAAAUCUAUGAUCAAUUUAGAGUUAGGAAAGAAGGCUUCACCCCAAAGAUAACGUGGUACCUGACUAGUGAACAUCAAGGCUCUAGUUACUCUCAAAAGAUGUUGGUUUUUUCUUUCUACAAUCUCAUUUUGUUGUGGGGUAUUUGUACAAGAGCUUUGGUGGACUAUUCCAUGUUUGGUUAAGAAAACACAUAAUUGGUCACUAAAAAAUUCCCCACCAUUGUCACUCCAAAAUACUUCUAUUUUCACACCAAAUCGUGUUUUCACCAUAGCAUAAAAAGACUAAAACACAUUUUUAACUUCAGACUUAUCUUUUAAUAAAAAAAACCCAAUAAAUACGAACAUGAUCAUCAAUAAAUGUGACAAACUAACGUUUUCCUAAAAAAGUUGAGACUGUUGAAAGUCCUCAAACAUCACUAUGAAUUAACGAAAAAGGUUUGGAAACUUUAUAUUUUUGAGGUGGAAAGAAUGACCGAUGAUGUUUAGCCUAUUCAUAAAAUUCACAAUGAUAUGAAUAAGGACUUUUAUUUUUAAAUAGAUUAGGUAACAAAUAUCUUAAAUAGUAAAAAUUAAUAUGUACAAGCCUAUAAUGCCAAAUCAUAACCUUAUCAAAACCAGAAACAGAAUUUAAACAUAAAGUAGUUGUUGGUUGACUUAGAUGGUCGUCGUCAAUAAAGUAAAUUCCACCAGAUUCUUUAGCAUUGCCAAUCAUCCUCCCCGAGACCAUGUCCUGAAAUUUACACAUAGAUGAGUUAAAUAUAACAUGACAAUUCGAGGACUAGGAUAAUUUACUGACUGAUAUGAGAUCACAAGCUCGAUUUGGCAUACGUAAAACAUCAUGUAAAACUAAGGAAGAAGAAAUUUUAAUAGUGCGUUUCCCGGCUAUUACCGAGAAUGACCCAUCUGCUACUUUGAUCUUUUUGUUUCCUGCACAAGAUGUAUAAGUUGAGAAAAGAAAAUGACUACUAGUCAUGUGAUCACUAGCUCCAGAAUCGAAGAUCCACGUGUUUGUUUUACAAGGCUUGACGCUGAAAAAAUAAAAAAAAAAUUAGUACUUGAUUGGGCAAAGGAGAAAGAAGGAUUAUUGGAUGAGUUAAGAACAGAAGAAUUCAUCCGAAACUGUGGUGACUGAAAAAGCUUGAGUAGAUACUCUAAUUGUUCCUUAAUGAAUAGAGACCCUUCUAGAGAACUUUGACCCUCAAAAUUUUUAGUAGUUGUUUUGAAAACUCUACUAUCCCCUAAUUAUGAACCACGACCAUUGCCACUCUUUUUUUUUCCAUUCAUCAGUUUUCCAUGGAGCUUCCAACAUGUUUCUUGAGUGUUCCAAUAUUUUUUGCAGUGAUCGCACCAAGGUUUUUUUCUUUUUUCACUAUCAUCAUUAUUUUUAAUAGUUACAAUAGUAGAAUUAUCAUCAUUAGCUUCAAACCCUGGCUUUAACAUUACUUUUCUCCUUGUUUCCUCUUUUCUAACCUUAGAAAAAAUUUCACAGAGUUUUGGAAGCAGUUUUUUUCCUAAGAUCCGAGAUCUCACUUCAUCAAAUUCUUUAUUUAAACCAACCAGAAACAAAUAAGCUCGUUCAUUCUCUUCUGUUUUCAUAGCUUUUACACCAUCUCUUGGACACUCUCAUUCAUCAUUAUAACACUAACCCAAUGCUUUCCAAAGAGACAUCAUCUCGUUAUAAUAAAAAGUAACUUCCUUUUCCCCUUGUCUAGCUUUAUAGAGUUUUAUUUUUAACUCAAAUAUCUGUGAAGCGUUUUCUAUUUCUGAAUAAGUGUCUUUCACAACAUCCAAACAUCUUUAACAGUCAAGAGAAAAAGAAAAGGGUUACCUAUGUAUGCUUCCAUGGAAUUAAUAAGUCACGCAAUUAUCAUAGAAUUUUCUGACCUCUACUUGCUCAUCUUUGGUUCGCCCACCUGUGGUUGAUUGACUUCUCCAGAUAAAUGACCUAACUUGCCAUGCUCAUCAAUUCUUAACUUUACGGACUGCGACCAUUCCAGAUAAUUCUUGCCAUUCAUCUUGUGAGAUAUCACCUAAAAAGAAAGGUGGGACGCCUCUGUCCUUUGAGUCAUUGUACUCUCGGUAGUUGUUUCAACAGUAGAACUUUCUUCCUCUGUUUGAUUGAUGGAUCUUUUAUCUCUAGUGAAGGUUGUUUUAACCAUGAUGUUACUAGAGAUUUAAUCUAGCUCAGGUGCCAUGAAAGUUUUCAAGAGAGUAUUCAAUAAAAAUGUUCUAUAAUUUAUUAACUAAAAAGCUGAACUUAAAUAGAGAAAAUAGUCAUAACCUAAUUGAGAAAAUAAUUCCCUUAUUCUAAUAAACUACUAAAAAUAAAAUAAAAUAUUCCUAGAAUAUCUAAAAUGAUUUAUUCUAACAUAUAUCUACCUAAAUAAGAUUUAUCUACCUAAAUAAAUUUAAAAUAUAUGAGUUUCACAUAUUUCAAUAGGUUACUCUUAUUAAUUCCUUCAACAUUUCAUAGUCUUCCCUCCAUUUUUCCUACUAAAAAUCAGUUUGGGCUCCUUUUUUCUCAGAAAAAGAAAAAAGAAGUAACAGCAUACUUUUGCUCUUCAGCUCCUUUCAGUUUGCAUGAACGAUUUCAAGGCCUUGGCUAAUAUUUGAAUAUAUAUUCAAUGAGGUUUUGGUUUUGGUUUAAUAUUUGAUUAUGUUUGAUGCGUCGUUGAGAGCACCAAAAAUAUCAUAUCCCUAUAAAAUAACAAAAAGAAUAGUAUAAAAGAAGUAGGGUCAAAUCCUCAGGGACUGGACUUGCACAAGUUCAUGUUCCUCAAGAUCCCAGGUAGAGUCGUGCCCAAGAAAAACAGCGUACCUAGAAAAAAAAAACAGAAUUAAAAGUUUGGUUGAAUUGAGAUUGCGUAAAUUGAAAUUGAAAUUGUAAAAAUAAACAGAGUUGAGAAAAGAGAGUUUUUUUAUGGAGAGAUUCCAACCUCUGGUUAUCUCGAUCCUCCUUGGGUUCAAUCAUAGGCUUUUAGGUGAUCCUUCUCGAACAGAAUAAGCCAGAUAUAGUGGAAGAGGAUGCCUACAACCACCAGCUCCACUUAGAUUUUAGAUUUACAAUUUAGAGGAACUUGACUCUAGCCAACCGUUGCUUUUGUGGGACCGUCUUACAGUAGAUCAUCACUUCUCAAUGGCGAAUGCCACGCCAUCUUGUCUCUUGGGCUCGACAAUCACUGACGCAAUAAGCUAACGAACCGACUGUGAAACCUUCCCAAAACAUACAAAGCAGCCGUCUUUGCACAAGAUGAAAAGACUACUUUUGGAAGGACAUGUACAGAAGUGUCAGUCCUGUAACACGGAGAAACGAUGAAUACUCGUUGAGAAGGCUAAGUGUGGAUUCUAAGCCUUAUGAACCCUUUUUGGGGAAUCUCGACAAACUUUGGCUAGAUAAAUUUAGUGGCUUAUGCUUUUUUGGGGAAAAAGAAAUAAACUUAAUAAAAAUGGAAUUUUAUUGAAUAAAUGAAAUGAACAAAAGCUAGAGCUUUUUGGGAUAGGGAGAUUUUACAAAAAAAGAUGAGUGAAAUUUGUGUCACUCCAUCCCCUAUUUAUAGUACUUAGAAAACCUAAUUUAUUCCUAUAUAAAUUCUAAAAGAUAAAUAAAGAUAAAAGCUAAAAUUAAAUCUAAAUAAUAAUCUUAACAAUAAUCCUAAUACAAUUAAAAUUCAAAUAGAGAGUUGUGUUUAUAAAAUCUCUUCUUUGAACUAUUGUCCCCAAGUCUUCCACACUUUGCAUUUUCGGCACCACUUCUUUCUUAUUUUGCAUCCUGGCCCAUUUUAUCUUCAAAUUUAUGCUUUUUGCCCCUAAAUUUCUUUUUGCCUUCAAUUUAGUCCCUACAAGAUAAAAAAACCAUAAAUAGCUCAAAUUAGUAAGAACAUACUCAAAAUAAAUAUGUAAUUAAUACAAAAAAAUAUGUCAUUCCAGAAUAUUAUCAGAUUCCCCCUACUUAGCCCAUGCUUGCCCUCAAGUAUGGUUCCUAUCCACUGUGAAAUUUAGUUUUUACCAUGAAAGAAAUAUCACUCUAAAGUUUUAUAAAAAUUAGGCAUAAUACAUACGAAAAAUAAAGAGAACCUUUAACUUCCUUUAAGUAAAACCGAAAAAAGUAUUCCAAUUAAUACAUACAAAAAUUAAAAUCAUCUUGAAUUAUUUCAUGAAAAUUAGGUAAUUCACUAAACUUACCAAGACACCCUAUUUGUUUCCACCUUUAGUCCCCAAAUGUAAUUUUAUUAUUAAUAUUCUUUUCCUUUUUCUUUUUCUUUUUCUUUUUCUUUUUCUUUUUCUUUUUCUUUUUCUUUUUCUUUUUGCUUAAGAAUAUAUUGAACCUUUUGACGCGAAAAGAGACAACAGCCAAGCACCCCACCCUGGUUACUCAGCCUAACAUACUCCUAAUUUAUUAUAUUUAAAUAUAUAUUUUUCUUAAGAAUAUAUUGAACUUUUUGACGCGAAGAGAGAUGACAGCCAAGCACCCCACCCCGGUUACUCAACCCAACAUACUCCUAAUUUGUUAUAUUUAAAUAUAUAUUUUUCUUAAGAAUAUAUUGAACUUUUUGACGCGAAGAGAGAUGAUAGCCAAGCACCCCACCCCGGUUACUCAACCCAACAUACUCCUAAUUUAUUAUAUUUAAAUAUAUAUUUUUCUUAAGAAUAUAUUGAACCUUUUGACGCAAAGAGAGAUGACAGUCAAGCACCCCACCCCGGUUACUCAGCCCAACAUAUUCUUAAAAAAAAAUUCUCGGUUAGCAGAGUUUUACCUAACAAGUCACACAACUUUUGACGCGAAGUAGGAUGACAACCCAAGCACCCUACCCCAAUUACUCAAUCAGUCACGUUUUAAGCUGCACUCAUAACCACGGAGGCAUCAAAAUUUAUUAUAAUGAAACAGAAUUUUUAAUUUUGGAGAAUUAGGAAAAACAAUCAAGUGUCAAAAAUAAGUUUCGGCAACUACCUAACAGUCAUGAACAUAAAUUUAGCAUACAAUUGUAUUAAGUGUUCUCUUUGCAUUAAACUUAAUCUAUUUUACAAAAAGCAAGAUAGGGUUAACUCUAUUAAUCAUAAUUAUUUUAGCCUAAUAGAAAUAAAAUAGUGGAGACGAAAUCAAUAUAGCAAAAUCAUAACUAACUCAAUAUAUAGGAAUCAUGCUCGCAAAUUAAAUAGUGGGCGAUUUCUGGUCAAAAUCUUAGGCAUGAAAAAGGGCAGGAUAUACUAAAAAAAAUUAAAUGUGCGUAGAAACGAGCACAAUGCAGCAACAACAGUAACACAACAGUAAAAGCAGCAGAUAAAAUGAUAGAAAUAAUGAGGAAUGCCUCCCCCUACUUAAAACACAUUGUCCUCGAUGUGAAAGAAAAAUAACAAAUAGGGGGAAGAGAAAAAAGUUUAGAAAAACUCCUCAUAUAUUUACUGUCGUUCGCACAGAUCUACAAUAAGAUCAGUCAUCUACUGGCCGAUGGUGUCGAGUCAUGUCUCAAUGCGUUCCAAUCGUUGCUCGAUGGUCACGGAAGGUUGGUCUUGAUUGGGUACUCGUGCAGAUUUUUCCGCCGAAAGAUUCGUUCAGCCGGUGUAGAUCGGGUGCCUGGAGGUACAAAAAGAAAGGAAGUAGGAAAGACAAGAAGCAAUCCCAUCGAGUUGAGACAGCAGGCAACUAAUGGAUCAGCUUGGUAAACAAUAUGUAAGUUUGAAAUAGGGGCAUUAGAGCCAUGUAACAUGUAAAAAGAAUAACAGUUGUGUAAUAAAAAAGCCUAAAAUGAGAAGACGCUUUGCAUUUAUAAUAUGCUCAAAUUGAAGCGCAUACCAAUAGCCCAAAUUUACCGGACGACCGGUGUACAUACACCAUAAUAAGAAUAAUUCCAUCUUCGAGACGAUAGCCGGUACAUCUCUCCGACCUGAGAAAUUAUAAGCCAAAUAACAAUGUAUGUAACAUAAGGCAGGGUUACGAAACCACAAAUCCUUUGAUGUUUUAGGGCUAUAUAUGGUUUCAACAUUAUCUAUUAAUAACGCAAAGGCCUCUAUAGCCUUGAAGUCUGCUGGAAAAGUACACAAGUUGUUUUCAUAAUCAGUGGACAAAGCAUAAUCCUCUGUUACAAAAGCCAAUGCAAUAUUAAAAUCAGUUAGGGAUAAACUGUGUGGUACCAAGCAAUCGAAAUGUGAUAAUGCCAGAUAUGUCCAAUGAGAAUUGGUCGUGCCGUUAAAAAUGGAAGGUGGAAUAAAACUCUAAAAUCAGUUCGUAAUAAGUGCAGUGAGUGAUAUCAAAAUUUCCAACCCAACCAAUAUUGCGAAAAUAAUCGGCAACCAUAGUGUCUGUCGAAACCACUUUUUUUAAAAAACAAGUCUACUUGGAUUUUGAAAAGCGAAAACGGAGUUGCCACCGAUCCUUUUUAUUUAGGUGUAAUCGGAUCACCUCAUAAUUUAAUCAUUUUAAGAAAAGUUUAAAUUUACUAAAACGAUAAUUUUUGGUCUACAAAAUCCAGAAAACGAGUUCGGGAGUCGGUUACGCACGAGGAAGGAUUAGCACCCUCGAUACGCCCAAAAUUGGUACCUUGUUGAUUAAUUAGUGUUCUAAUAUCGAAAAUUUACAAAGAUUUUAAAAUACGAUCCUUUUAUUUAACCAGAAACUUGUAUAAAUCAAGUUGCACGUUAAAACCCUCUUAUUUCAGAAAGAGAAAAUGUCAUGCCCAAUGAGUUAGGGUAUGAUAUUUCACAUCCUCAAAAAUGAGUUUGUCUUUUGAAAAACUCAUGCAAUGAAAUUUAAAAAGGAUAUUCAAUUGUUUAAGUCAGAUGAAAAAUCGAAGCCCAAUAAGUUAGGGCACGAUAUCUCAAAAUUCCAAACAUUGAAUAUUGUCUUUAUUAUUUUUUAGAAAAAAUCCUCAUCUCGAGAAAAUAAAAUGCCGUAUCCAAUGAGUUAGUACGCAACGUAUCGAAUCCUCGGGAAUGAGCUUUUUAUUUACUUGUUUUAAUUUUAAAAAAAACUUGAUUACUUAGAUUCAACGAGGAAAAUUAGAACCCAAUAAGUUAGGGUCCAAUCGCCUCGAAGAUCCCAAAUACCGAGUAUUACGUUAUCUUCAAAGCUUUUGAAUAAAAUGAUUUCGACACUUAAGUGAUAUUAAACGUAACCUUUUAAACGAAUAAAAUGCGAUGGAACGAUAAUGUAUAACGCGGAAUGAUAAUUCGUAAGCCAAAAUGUACACUAAUGAACACAAAUAAUCAAUAGAUAAAUACAAACAAACAUAGCAACAAUAAUCUCAAUCAUACAUUAUGCAAAUACCGAUAACAACAUCCAACAAUUAAAUGAAUUAAUAAUCAAAUUUAAAAGAUACACUAAAAAAAUUCAAUAGCAAGAGGAGAAAUCAUAAUCAAUAAAUUAUACGUACAAAAGUUUUAAAAUAAACAAUAUAUAUGAGUUUAAAAUAGAUUCAAAAUAGAGUUAAAAAUAAACACUUCAUAAAAUAACAGUAUUUAAAUGAAUUUUGAAACAAUUAUUAUACAAGAAGAAGAUUCAAAUAUAUAAAAUAAUUUACAUAUAUUAAUUUAGAAUAAGUAAUACAUAGGGAGUGAAAAGCCUCAUGUAAAUAAUAAUAUUUAUAAUAAUAUGUAAAAGGUUGAAAUAUGCCAAAUAUAAUAAAACUAGGAUUUUUUGUACAAAAAUAAAUUAUGUAUUUAUAGAAAUAGGUAAAAGAUAUAUAAUAAUAUGAAAUCAAUAAUAUAUUAUAUGUACAUAUAUAUAUACAAAAAUAGUUUAAUAUAAAUUGUGUAUAUAUAUAAAAUAGUAUUGAAUAAGAAUAUUAUUGUAUAAAUCUUUAAAGCAUAAAAGUAUGUAUAAGUGAAUUUUAAAGAUGUAUUAUAAAAUAAAACCAUAAAAAAAUGUACAAAUUAUAUUGGACCAAUAUAAAAAAUAUAAACUAAUACAUCUUUAAAACAGUGAUACAACACAUAUCAGAUUCUCUCGGCUCGGGGGGUGCAAUUUAAUUGUUGCAAAACUCUUUUUGUUGACUGCAUCCAAUCUUCAGCAGCGGACGGAUCAAUUCCUUUUAGUCCCAAAACCUCCGUGGCACUAUAUUUCCGUAGCUCUUUAAUCGGGGCCCGUCUGACAGUUGGUACUGAUGUAGUAACAGGUACAGUUCCCGCUACACGUUGUAAUGCAUCAGCUAUAGUUCUUAACAAUUGUGAAUCAUCUCUUUCUCUUCCUAUACAUUAGGAGGUUAAUUAUCUAACGGAUUCACACUAGGUGUAGCAGAUUCAAUUUCUUCAAUUUCUCGACUUCCAGUAUGCAUUUCCUGUUCAUCAUCAUAUAUUCUUUCAUCUGACAUUUUAUCUAUAAAACAAAAUCAAAUAAAUAUAUUAGCAUCCAAAAACCCGACUCAGUUUCGACUUAAAUGUGUCAUGUAAUCUAGACUCUACUUUGAACCCGAUUUAGGCCGAGAAUCGACUAAACAUUAGCUCUGAUAUCAACAAUUCUAACACUCCCUAACCCCAAAUCGUCGCCAAAACAGGGUUACGAGGCAUUACCAGUCCUAUCAAACAAUCUACAGAUAAUUCAUAAUAAAAUAACAUUCAAAAUAUAAUUGCAUAACUAAGUCUGUGUAAUUAAACUUUCGAAGUUUUAAAUAUAAAUUAAAAGGGAAAUGAAACUCGUUCGAGUACUCUAAAUUUUUUUUUGACAAAAUUUCGGCAGCAUUUCUGCUUAUUUUUACGUAAAACCCCCUGCAAUUAUAACCGCAUCAUUUCCAAAUAUAACCAAUUCAUUUCACAUUCUCAUUUUCUAUUCUAAAUACAGUCUAAUCGAACUCAAUCAAUAUAAUACCAAUUUAAAUUUAUCAAUAUGCUAAUUAAAUAAAAAUAGAUAAACUUCUUUCAUUAUAAUUCAUAGACUUAUAACACUAACAUUUUUAACCAUUUAUAUUAAAACAAAAUAACCUCUAUACUCAUCCUAUUUACAUGCCACAUUACCAAAAUAAAAUGUAUUUCACCAAAAUUAUGCUGAAGUCGAGUCUAACUUUGGAUGCUGGUUCAGUACUUGACUUCUACAACCUGAGCACGGAAACAACCGCACGCUGAGUAUGCAUAUACUCAGUGGUAUCACUAUAAUUCAAUUUAUAAUUAAAUACAUUAAAUCACACACAUACUUUUCAUUACAAUUAUCACUACUAAUAAACAAUUCAAUCUUUUUAUAUUAUCAAUUAAUUAUAUAUAUAAAUAUCAUUCUUAUUUCUUUAUUUCAAAUUUCACUUUUCACAUAUACUAUGUCAUUCGAGAUUAGUUUUAUCAGUAAAUUUAUUUCAUUUAUCCCUAUUAACUUGACUCGGACUCGGCGGAUACACGGAUUCCAACCAAACACACCAGUAAACAGUAAUCAAUAAUGGUAGCAGUAACAGUAACAGUAACAGUAACAGUAUUCAACACACAAAGUGCUGAAUCUGUAACAGUAACGGUAACAGUAUUCGACACACAAAGUGCCGAAUUGGUAACAGUAACAGUAGUCGGCACAUAAGUGUCUGAUCAGUAAGCCGGCAAAUACCCUGUACUCUUUCGUAUCCUAUGGCAUGCCAACUAUAUCCGACUUUCCCGACUAGUUAAUAGGGUAUUUAAUUUACUUUUCAGUAUAAUUUCCAUCUUAGCUCAGUAUCAAUUAUAAAUUCAUUAUUUCAAUCGGUUUCACAGUAUUACAGUAAUUCUUUACUUCAAUAAUUUCACAAUUCAAUGCAUUAUAUAUAACAAUAUUCGGUAUCUUCACAAUUCACUCAAUACUCAAAACAAUAUUUCAUAAUUCAGUUUAGUAUCAGUUUCAAUUUCAAUAUCACAUUAUAAAUUUAUCAUUUAUUAAACACUUACCUUAAAAUACUUACCACACAUAACUAGCAAAUUAAACACUUAAUAAUAAUAAAGUUUGAAUUAUAGUGAUACAAACCAGAAUUCUCUUCGAAUUUAAUCCUCGACGAUCUUUUCUUUUCCUUUUUGGCCCGAUGCUUCAGGCUCGAUAUUAGCUACGAACAAUUAAAAUAAUUUCACAAUCCUUAGGACAAAACAAUUUAAUUGCUGAAAUUUUUAUCUAACUUUUACUUUAAUUCUAAUUUAAUCCUAACUAAACCUAUAUAUUUUUCUUUCUCAAUUCAUACAUUUUUGCUACUCAAUUUCUUGCCAAACUCACACUUAACUAUCUAAUUUUUAUCAUAUUUUCAAUUUAAUCCCUAAAAUUCAAAACUUAUAGUUUAGUUUACAACUUAAUCUUUUAUUCAAUUCCAAACAAAAUUUCUAUCAAAUAAAUCCCUAAUUUAACAAUUUAUUCAACAUGAACCAUGCUUAAAAACCUAUAAACUUUCAAAAUCUCAACUUAUUUUCAACAAAACUUUGUUUUAAAACUUCUAAAACAUGUAAAUUAAAAGAAAAAGACUUGAUUAAACUUACCUUUAAAGCUUUAAAACCUUAAACCCUAAUUUUUCCUUUCUUUCUCUUUUUCUUUCUUUCUUUCUCCCCUGUUUCUUCUCUAUUUCGUCUCCUUCAAUUCUGUUUCUUUCUUUUCUUUUGCUUUGUUUUAUUUUACUUUAUGUUUAGUUAAUUAAUUAUAAGUAUUACAAAUGUAUGUAUUUUACUAAUACACUUGUAUUAAAUCAUCACCGUACACUUGUCUUUAUUUAUUUUGUUUAUCAAAUAAAAAUCUCAUAAUAUAAUUAUUUAAUUAAUUAAUAUCUUUUACUUAAAUUUUAAGUAAAUAAUAAUUAUAAUACAAGUGUAUAAAUAUUUAUUAUUACACUUGUACCAUCUUUUCACCAUACAUUUGUCUUAAUUUUAAUUUAUUCCAUAAUAAAAUAAUAUAAUUAAUAUAAAUUACCAUUUGAAUAAAUAAUUGUAAUAAUUAUAUACAUAUAAUAUUUAUAUAUAACUUAAACAAAAUCUUGAAUUUAAUGCAUAUAUGUAGAGGUGCUCAUGGGCCAGGCCGGGUUCAAGCCGAGCCCGAAAAAAAUUUUAGCCCGAUUGCUAAAUCCGGGCCCGGCCCGAAAUAUGGGCCUGAGAUUUUGCCCAAGCCCGGCCCGUGGAGAAAAUAUGAAGCCCAGGCCCAGCCCGGCCCAUUUUGCUUUAAAAUCUGGAAUGUUAAAAAACUGGCAUCUAUCUCAAAUCUUUGAAGUAGCCAUCCACAAACGAAUGAGUUUUUCUAUUUAAAAUUCAUAAUGUUUAGGAAAAUAUGAACAAUAAGCAAAGCAACACUUUAAAUAGGAUGAAAGAUGAUCAUAACUCAAUUUGAAUGCUGGAACAAUAUUGCAUGUAUAAUCAGGUAGGUCCCAAAAAUUGCUAUGUAAUAUUUUACACCGUUCAUCAGCAUCUAGUUUACAACGGAGAAGACCUGCAAGUGUUUUUACAGCCAAAGGAGACCAUCAAAUCUUUUAACAAUUGCAACAUUUUUCAAUCUUGAAACUAGAAGAAUAAAAAAAUUCUGUAUAAGACUAUUAAAUUAAAAAUAAAAAUAGAAAAGAUCAAGAGAAUAAAAAUAAAAAAUCAUUUCAAGCUUGUGAUCUCAAGGUCAAGAGAGACUGGUGUUUUUUCUCAUACUUGACAAAAUCAAACUGUAUUAUAAUUUCAUACUUGAUUUCAAUACAAGAAAUUAUACAUGUAAAUAUAUACAUAUUCAAAACUAACAUAUACAUAUAUCAAUUCAUACUAAACUUCAAAACUAGAUCUUAUACAUGUAUAUAUAUAUAAUCGAACCUCAUAUACUUAUAUAAUGACAUAUCUUAAUUCGAUACAAAAGAAUAUACAUAUAUAUAUUUGCAUGCUUAUUCGAAACUACUUAAACAAGUAUAAUAUACAUAUUAUAAAUCCAAUCCAAAGGUUUAUACAUGUAUAUACCUAUGCAUUUAUUCGAACCUUAUGUACACAUAUAUAUACAUACCUUUGAUUAAACCAAUAAUUUAUACAUGUGUGAAUUCGAACCUUGUAUAUAUAUAUAUAAACUUUAUACUUCAACUAAAUUCAAUAACAUUUAUGUAUAUACUUAUAUACCAUUCAUACUUUAACUAAAUGCAAAGGCCUAUAUAAGUAUAUACCUAUAUGUUCGAACAUUAAAACAGUAUAUUAAUCAUUCAUACUUUAAAUUUAUUCAACCAAUAUACUUUAAAUUAUAAUUCAUCAAAGUUGAAUUAUAACCAAAGUUGAUAACCAUGCAAGAUUUACUCAAUUUGUCUGAAAAUCUUAAGCAAAAGAUUCUCCGAAUUGCUGAAAACAAAGCAAGAAUUCAUGACUCUUAUGUUGAUUUUGAAGCUAAAAUUGUUUAUAAGAAUUGAGUUAAAUUGUGAGUAUUCGAAUAUAUGUUCUGGCAAUGAACACUUUAGUCACUUAAUCUUUAUAUCAUUACUCCUUAAUUUAAUAAUUCAAACAAUAUCAAUAAUAAUGUAAGCCCAAUUCCUAGCAAAGUUACUGUCAAUCAUAUGUUUCAAUAAUCCUUCAUUCAUACUUCACUCACCAUUUCUCAAUAUGUAAAAAGCAAUUCUAAUUCUAAUCGAUGGAUUGCUAUGUAAAGAUAAAAAAGAGAAGAAGAAAUACAAUUCUAAUUCUAAUCGAUGGAUUACUAUGCAAAUACAGAACCCGUGGCAGUAUGCAUUCUCAUCCAAUAAUAAUUUUUUGUAACUACAGCCAAACAAUCAAUAACAAUCAUUCUCAUCCAAUAAUUUUUUUUUUUGUAAAGUUAGAAAGGUAAAUAAAUCUUAUACCAAAUUCUAAUGACAAACAUGCUGAGCUAAGUGUGAUGAAAGAAAAAAAAGAAGAAAGUUUUUAAGGUCUGUACUAAUAAAAGCUCUGUACUAAUAAAAGCAUGGCAAAAGGAACAGUAUCUACAAUUUCUUUCUUUAAUAGAUGGUUAAUUCACUAAUUGAAAAGCACCAGUUUCUGCCUAGUGCUCGUUGAAGAUAUACAAGUAUAUACUGCCUGAAAGUAAAAUAUAGUGUAAGAACUAGUCCUUAAAUUUUAGAUUUUUGUAGUUUUCUGAUAAGAUGCGGUGCUACAGUUUGUGUUAGACCUUCCUAUUCCUCUGUAAUUCAAAAACCAGUCUAAUAUAUCAUCAUUUUUGGGUGUUGACUUCUCAGAUAAUCCCUCAAUUGGAACAUAUUUCACUUACUACUGAUGACAUUUUUCAAAAUAAGAAAAUCUCUGUUUUAAAGUAGAUAACCAUUUCAAAAUAAACAAGUAAUUCAUACUGUGCAACAUGUCCCAAACAAAAUGCACUGAAAUCAUCUUGUAAGAAAACGAGGAAGGACAAAAUACGAGGAGUUACUGGCUAAAAUCAGUCAUUUUCUUCUUUUAACUCAAAAGUCAAGAGGGGAGUCCCCUCUUUUUUAUGUUCAUCAUAUUACAAGAUACGAGGAAGGACAAGCCUACAAGGAUUUACUGGCUUUGAAUCCCUGAUUUGGACUGCAAACAAACGAACUUAGAUACAAGAAUAAGCAUAUAAGACAGUGAGCCUAAGAAGUUCAUCACAAAUGACUGAUUUUAGCAGAUGCCAUUGAAAGAGAGUGAGGGAACUGAUUCGAAUAAAAAUAAAAAUCAAAAAGCACAAAGCAAAAAACUAAUUCAAAGGUUAACAGCAAACUCACCUUUGAGAAGACGAAGAAGGCUAGAAGCACCGUAGCGUGGAGUCGUGGAGGUGGAGGUGGAUUUCCGAUUUGGGGGAAAAAAAGGGAGAGAAGGGGUUAGGGAGUUAUCUGGGGUCGGGGAAAUGGGGAAGGGAAGGGAAGGGAAAUGGGAAAUGUAUUAAUGACAGUUGACAUAUAAUAAAUUUUAAAAAUAAAAAUAUAUAUUAAUUAAAUUCGGGCCGGGCCCGGGCCAAAAAAAGUUUACCAAAAGCCCGGCCCAUUUUUAAAACGGACCUCAUUUUUUGCCCAAACCCAUAUUUCGGGCCUAUAUUUUUAUCCGAACCUUCCCAUAUUUCGGGCAGGCCAUUGGGCUGGGCCGGGCUGCCCGGCCCAUGAGCACCUCUACAUAUAUGCCGCCUCAUUUUAUAUAAAUGGCUUAAUUGUUAUUUUAGCCCUUUUACUUUCUUUUAAUCUAUAAUUAAACUUUCACUCUUUAUUCAAUUUAAUCCUUUUCGCUAAUUACUCCUAAUUAAGCUAAAUUCACUUAUCUAAAACCUAAUUAAACACACAACUAGUCUCGUAAAUAUUUCUAAUAAUUAUUUUCGAACUCAAUUUACUAAGGCGGAGGCCCGAUAAUACACACACUUUUCCGGUGCCCACGGAUUUUGAGUCGUUACAAGAGCUUUGUGUCCUUGACCAUGCAUGCCAUAGCCUGUGAUCAUAAAAUUCCAUGAUAUAACAUCUUUAGAAAGGGACACAUCUUCGAUCCUCGAAUACACAUCUUUAAAAAAUGUCUAGAAAAAGAUUUAAUAGGAUAAGGCUAGUAAAGUAGUUUACCACAAUUAAUGUCUCUUGCAAGAUUGGCCCAUUAGAAAAUUGAAAAUUUCUUUUAUCCGUUUUGGUUGCAGCCCUUCUUCCUUCAUCCCUUCGUAGAUAUUACGCUUUCGUUUUACAAGGGAAGUGCUACCUAUUGAUCCAUCAUUAUCAGCAGAGUGUUGAUGAAUAUCUUAAAAAUUUGCAGAACAUUGACUCCUAUGGCUAUGCUGCUCUUUUAAUUGAUCUAUCUCUUCCAAAUCUUUCUCAUACACUAUUCUAACACCACACUUCUUCACCUUAACACCGGGACCAAUUGGGUUUGUGAAAGACAGCUCAAGCACAUUGCAUUCCUGAUCUGAGCAACCUAUUGUUGAUAAAUUCUUGGUUUCAUUUUCAUCUUCCAAGGAAGACUGAUAUAAUUUGUCACGCGACCAAUAACGAAGAAAAAGGUGAUCCUUCGUUAUAGGCUGGUUAUUUUGUUUACCUAACAACCAGCCCAGCCAGUCACUCUCAUCAACUUGUCCAGAUUUUCUACAAUGGAUAACCGCUCUACAGAUGAUAACCUCCUCAUCCCUAGAAGCAUCAUCAUUGACAAAAAUGCAACACCCAGCAACUCCAAUCCAUUGACUAUCAUUUUUAUUAUUGAGAGGUAGAGGUAUCUUAAUUGAAGAGCCACCUGUCUGCCGGUUAAACCAUUCUGGGAUUUCACUUCCAGGCAUAAUAACAUCAAAUAUUUUUUUUGAAUUCGCAAAUGGCUGCAAAAUAAAACACCAGUUAUUUGGCAACUAGAACCAAAAAUUAUCAAGUAUGAGAUUCUAUAAGCGAAAAAUAAGAGAGAUCAAUUCACCUUGAGAUGUUUUUUCAGCAAUGUUAAUGCAUUGAUGUUCUCUGCCAAUCUAUAGCAGUUAACCGCUUUCAUGAAAGUCGAACCCACUAAAUUGGUUACAUCCAACGGAUUUGCAAGUUCAACUACUUCAAGCGAAGAACAACCAUCUAACCGCACAUCUUCAAUACUUGUUAGAAGCUCAGGCACCGAUUUAAGCUCCUUGCAAUUUGACAAUCGAAGGGUUUUAAGCUUGGAAAGUGUAGUAAGAGCUGAAGGAAUGCCAAUGAAAUUGUUACCACUAAGAUCAAGUAAUAUCAAAGAGGAUAGACCAUAAAUAUCACUUGGAAUAUCUGCUUCACAAAGAUUGCGAACAUUGCAAUUUGACAAUCCGAGAUAUUGAAGCUUGGAGAGUCGCAUAAGAGACACGGGUAUGUUGCUGAAACUGUUACCACUAAGAUCAAGUUUUUUCAAAGAGGAUAAACAAGAAAUAUCAUUAGGAAUGUCUCCUUCCCGAAGAUUCCUAUCCCUUAGAUUCAACUCUCUUAAACUGGACAAGGAAGGCAACAUCGGCGCCAUGAAAUUAAUCCUUCCUCUAUGGAUUACCUUGAAAAGAGAAGAAAGAUUUCUUUGUAACUUAGAUGGUCCCUUGCAUCCAUUGAAAGAUAAAACUUUAAGAUUUUUCAAUUGAAAAAUGAAGGGUGGUAGUUUUGCUAUAGCUGUUUCACUUAAGUCAAGCUCUUCCAAAAAUUCUAAUUGCUGUAAACUCUCUGGCAAAUUUUCAACUUUAUAACAGCCAGAAAGAUCAAGACUUUUUAGACAUUCCAUUUUCCCAUCAAUCUCUGGAAACCUUACCAGAUUUGAACAACCCGAAAGAAUUAAUGUUUCAAGAGAUUCCAUUCCAAUUUUGGUUGGAAGACUCCUAAGACUUCUACAACCUCUUAAAUUCAAAAGUUUAAGGCUCUUAAGAACUCCGAUUGAUGGAUGAACAUGUGCUAAUCUGGUACAACCUUCCAAAAUCAAAACUUCGAGAUAUGUGGCUGUUGUGAAGUCCGGUGUCUUGAUCAGGUUUUGGGACCCUUCAAGAUUGACCAUUUUCAAUUUAUACAAGGGCUGUUGAAAACAAUAGUAAAUUAGAAAGAAAGAUAAAAGGCUAAUUUUUUGUUGUUAUUUUUCUAUCAUAAUAAAAUUUUAAUCAUUCAACUUAAAAUAAACUAAAACACAAGGAUGGGAUGAAUUAAUUCUUACUCUAUUUCCCUUCCAUAGUUGUUCAAUGCAACUGUAUGGCAAGAUAAGUGCAACAAGGUUAUCCGGUUUGAAGCUUGAAGGUAAUGAUCUUAAAGGACAUCCUUUCCAAUCUAAAAGUCGUAACUCAUUAGAAAUAUAUUUGAGAUCAUAACAAUUCGAGAGGCAAAGGACUUUGAGUAAUCUCAACUUUUUCAUCUUUAAGAAGGCAUCGACAUUCAAAUUGAGCAUCUUGUUCGACUCCCUGAUAAGCAUGGGCAGAACAAAGAGGAGAUUCAAGAUAUAGAAAACAAAUUCUCUACAAUUAUGUUGCUUCAGCAACCUUUUUUUCUUGAAAUAGACAUGUCCAACACUUAUGUCUGACUCAUAUUAUAACAUAGGUAUAAAAAUAUGAUAUUUCAAAGACUCUUCAAAUAUAUAAAACACUUAAAAAUAAAAACGAACAUACUUAAGUUAAACACAAACUCAUUCUUAACACCUACAUCUGAGUCCAAAUAACAUAGCUUGAAAGAAUUGGAACUAAUAUUCACCAACACAUCACUAACUCUUUUUCUUUUUUAAAAAGAUUUAAGCAUUGAAAAUUUUGCCAAUGCUUUUUAAUUUCUUACUUUUUACAAAAAUAAAAAUAACAACAAUACUAAUAAUAUGUAUAGAUACCUGUUUAUAUAUGUUUUCCUACCUCUUAAUAUCAAUGAUCACACCUUCAAUCACUUCUGUAGCCUAAACAUCAAGAGUAAAACAUAAAAAGACAGAAAAAUAAUGGUUUUAAACCAUAUAAUCAAAUUUGUGAAAACUUACAUUUAUAUUUAUCGUAGCGUGUUCAAAAUUAUACAUAUAUUUAGGAAUAUAAUAAAUAGAUGUAUUCUUGAUUAUACAUAUUGCAUAAGUCUUAUUAAUACUUAUAAUCAACAAAAAGAUUUAAAAGGACAUAUAUUUAGAAAGAUAAAGAACUGGUCUAUUCGUUUUACUCAAUCAAGCAUUUAAAACAUAACUUCAUAAAUAUGAAGUUGUAAAAAUGAGUUAUAGACAUUUUUUCACCAGUUAUUCUUGACAAUGUAAAUAGAUAAUUUAUUUAAAUCAAUAAAUAUAUACAAAUAAGUGGUUAUAAUAAUGUAUGUUAUGCCUAAUGAAACUCCCAAACUGUCCUGUAAGGUCCACGUGUUUUGUACCCAAAAACAUAAUAGUUUGGGAUAAAUGGAAUGACUGCAAGAUUCAAAUUGAACAUAAAAUCUACUGAAUGUCACCUCUUAAAACUUAAUCUUAACCAAUUGAAUUCAACCCGGAAUAUAUAUAAUGCAAUUUCAAUGUAAUGACUUACACUGUUUCUUGUUAGCACAUGAUAAACAUCUCUUUCCUCCCACAACCUGCAACGUUUUCCAGGCUCAUCGAUAGAUUUUUCCCUAACAAUUCUUUUUCCCAUUUCUUGUAUCAAGUUAUGCAUCCACAAAUACUUGCCUUCAUGAACCUUUAUGAGAGAUUUCUUAAUGAGAAUAUCUAUUCCAAUAUCUGAGAAAAACUCACAACCAUCCAAUACUUUCGAUACAAAGUCUUUCUCCUCCCCGUUGAAGAAGCAUGCUAUGUCUAGAAAUAUAUUCUUCUCCAUUUCUUCCAAUCCAUCAAAGCUGAUUCGAAGUCCAUCGAGAAUUUCUUUGUUAGAAUCUCUUUUAAGCCUUUCGACUGCACUUCUCCAUUGAGCUACAUCUCUACUGCACAAAAAAGAACCCAAAAUUUCGAGAGCUAAAGGGAGACCAUCAGCAUAACGUACAACAUGUUCAGAAAGCUCAAUGAAAUCAUCUUUUGGCACUGUAUCACUAUGAAAAGCUUUCAAAUUGAAAAGUCUAAGUGCAUCGUCAGGAUUCAAUGUUGUAGGUUUAUACACACCAUCGACUCCAUAAGAUCGGAGUAAAUGUUCAUCUCUUGUUGUUACAACGAUUCGACUCCCUAAACCGAACCAAUUACGCCCUCCAACCAAGCAUUUCAAGUGUUGUACAUUAUCAACGUCAUCAAGAACAAUAAGAACUUUUUUACGAGACAAAUUGUGGCUAAUUACGGCAUUCCCUUCAUGGACAUUGAAAAAACUAAAGCAUUCAUCUGGCAAGAUUUGAGAAAGAAGUUGUUUUUGUAAAGAAACAAGUCCACAUUUGUUUGAAACUUCUCGAAUAUCAGCAAGAAAGCUUUUACCUUCAAAAUGAGGUGACAUUUGGGUGUAAACAACCCUCGCAAGAGUUGUUUUACCGAUGCCACCCAUUCCGCAAAUUCCUAUAAUGCGGACAUCAUCUUCCCCAAUGUUUAUUUUCGAAUACAACUCCUUCAAAGGUAAGCUAAUUCCAACCAAUUCAUCAUGAACAAUUGGAUAUGUCUCACGUAAUCUGGCUGAUAUCUUCUUAACAAUGUCUCCAAUAAAUUCCAUUUCAUGUCUACAAAGAAAUAAAAUUUAAUUCUUUCAAAUAAUAUUUUGUUGAUAUCUUUCAAACGCUCUUUUUUUUCUAUUUCAAUGAACAAUAUAGUUUAGAAGCAAACAAAAAGCAAGAUAACACAACUUGUUCUUCAGUAGAAAAAUUAAACUUUACAAUUAAACACAUGUAAUCCAAAGAAUAACAAUUUUGUAGUCAUUAAAACUAUAAAAGAAAGAAUACCUGUUAUUUAAAUGCCAUCCCCUGAUGCUAGCCACUUCAGUCAAAGCCUUUCGCCACCUUUGGAUCUUGUAUUUAUCUUCCUUGCAUCUCUCUUCGUGGUUGGCAAAGGCUUCAUCAACUUUACCUUUCUGAUUUUUAAAAUCGGAUGGAUCAACAUUGUAAAAAAUUGGAAACACUUUAUGACCAUUUUUUCUUUGUUUAACAAUCUCAGCAAGCUCCUCCAAGCAAUAACCUGAAAAGGCAUAAGUUUCCGAGAAAACGAUUACCGAGCACCAUGAUUGCUGAACUGCUUUGAGAAUUCCUGGUCUGAUCUCUUCACCCGCCUCCAGCUUUAGAUCAUCUUUGAAAGUGACAAUCCCACUUCUCCUUAGAGCAUGAUAGAGAUGAUCCGUGAAGUUCCAGCGGGUAUCUUCACCUCUAAAACUCAAGAAAACAUCAUAUUGCUUCCUAGAAAUGGAUGAGUGAAUUGAAGCUAACGACAUCAUGACAAUGUAUGAGAAGAAAUUUGCCGUUUAAAAUCAGAGAACAAAACGCCCAAUACCCAGAAAGGAACCAGCAACAAUUAGUAUUUAUAAGCAACAGUUUUGUAAGCAAAAGUUCUCAAUACAUUUCUCACCUUCCCUCCUUCCAAGUAAAAACGCGUAGCAGUGGAAAGUGGGGUCAUAGACGAAAUAUUUUCCGCGAAGAAACUCAGAAGGUGAGAGUUGACAAAGUGGAACCUACUUUAAUUAAAGUGUUUGACGGUUUCUGUUGUUUUUUAUUACAAACAAUAAUAAGUGAAGAUAUAAUAUUCUUCCGUAUUAAAAAACAAUAAAAAAUUAAAUAUCUUUUAUAGAAAUUAUUUUAUGACGCUUUCGAGCAUGGUCAUUUUUUAAUUGUUUAAUUUUUAAUUAUUGACAUAUAAUUUUGAUAAUUUUUUAAGUUAAAUUUCGAAUUUAAACCUCGACCCUUAAACUUAGACUUAGAACUUUGAGCCUCAAAUAUGAACAUGAACUCUGAAUCCCAAAUAGUAAACUUGUCUAAAGUUCAAGAUUUUAAAUUUGAGGUUUAGAGUUUAUGAUUUGAGUAUGGGUUCGGGAUUCAAUAUUUAAAUUUAUUAUUUAGAGUUUAAGAUUUAAAAUUCAAGGUCAAUGUUGUAAGUUCUUAGUUCAAGAUUCAGUGUUUUAAGUUUAGAGUUCAAGGUAAAAAAAAUUAUCAAAAUUAUGCAUCAAUAACAUUAAAAAAAUUACUAAAGUAUCAUUAUAUAAUUAGAAAGAGACCAUGAAUGAUAUGAUGAGAAGGGUUCAUAAAAUAAUUUCAAAUAUUUUAAGGAUGACAAAACCCAAACCGUCCAAUGAUUCAAAACUGAUGCUAAAAAAACUAGUCCAAAAAAACAGAUUGAAUGACUAAUUGAACCAAUUUUUUCAAUUUUAAUAAUUUAUUUAAUUAAACCAUGGAACCGAAAAUUGUUGGUCUAAUCAAUUCAAGCAACAGAGUAAUUCAGAAAAUAUUUCCUUUUGCAGGUUUCUGUAGAGACCAAAGUGAAAAGCAGAUAGUAUCACAGUUUCAAUGCAGGCGUGAGAGGAUUAAUUAUUUUAACAUCGCAAUCAAAUCAUUUUCACCAAUAAUCAUUGCAUGAACAUUUUCCAUCAACAAAGUGAUGGAAACGGUUAGCAUCUCUUACGAUAAUCUCCCUCUUUACGACCUUUGAUAUAUAUUUAGUCACUGUAUGGCAAUCACCACAUACACGGAGGUUCUUACUGAUCCUUAUCAAGCUUCCUGCCGGUGUAUGUAAAAGUCCGAAAGCGAUAGCUAACCUCUCACUAUGCCUCCACAGUGAUUUGAUCUUCAUCGCCUCAUCUACGUCACGAAGAACACAACUUGUAUCCGGUACAUAACCUAAAGCUUCAAGUUCUGAUUUCAAGUUCUCAAGAAUCCGAUCGAUUUCAACCGAGUUCGGAUGUGAAUCUUCACCAGCAAAAAAUGCAUGGAGCUGUUUUCCAACUUCAAUCAGGCUGUAUCCUGGUGUUUUUUUCAGUCCGCGUCCCCUCAUGAGACCUCGAAUAUGAUCUACUGCAUCCCAUCUCCUUGCUUCAGCAUAUAUGUUUGAUAACAUGAUGUAAAUACCCGGGUUUGUUGCGUCCAAACUUAAUAAAUAGUCUGCAGCUUUUAUGCCGAUAUCAAUGUUCUUGUGCAUUCUACAUCCAUUUAGCAAUGCUUCGAAAACUUCACGGCUUGAUUGAAAGGGCAUUUGUUUGAUCAAUACCUCCGCUUCUUUGAUAUGUCCUGCUCUGCUAAGAAGAUCGACAUAGCAAGCAUAGUGCUUCUCAUUAGCCCUGAUGUUAUGGUCGCUUUCCAUGCUCAGAAACAAACUUCUUCCUUGGUCCACAAACCCCGAGUGACUACAAGCAGAUAGAAGAGAGACAAAUGUAGUUUUAUUCGGCUUGAGUCCCUCCUCUAACAUUCGGCGAUAAAGAUCAAGAGCUUUGUGUCCUUGACCAUGCAUGCCAUAGCCUGUGAUCAUAGAAUUCCAUGAUAUAACAUCUUUAAAAAAGGACACAUCUUCGAACACCCUCUCAGCAUAGUUAAUGUUUCCACACUUAGCAUACAUAUCGAUCAAGGCUGUCCUGUUAACUACAUCGAAAGCAUAACCAUACCGUAACAGUCGAGCAUGGACACUCCUUCCUUUCUUCAACGAACCCAAGUGUGCACAACAGUGGACUAAACUAACCAGAGUUGUAGAAUUUGCAGUGACUCCCUCUUCUUGCAUCUUACCAAAUAAUCUUAUGGCAUCUUCGGCAUGGCCAUUUUGUGCUAAUCCGACAAGCAUAGCAGUCCAUGUAAUCACAUUUCGAUUCUUCAUCCUAUCAAACAUAAAAGUUGCCUCCUUUAAGGCACCACACUUGGAAUACAAAUCUACCAAUGCUGUACACAAAAUAACGUUUAUGUCGAGGCCUUUCCGGAAAAUAUAACCAUGGAGAACCUUCCCACUUUCCAAAUCUGCUACUUGAGCACAAGAUUGGAGGAGGCUAAUUAUGGUUCCUGAAUCGAAACCACCACCAGUUAAUACUAAUUUCUGAAACAGAUCGAAAGCUUCAUAUACCAAACAAUUCUGAACAUACCCUGAGAUGAUAACAUUCCAUGAAACCAGAGUUUUUGCAGGCAUGAUAUCGAAAACCGAUCGAGCUCUUUCAUGUUCACCCAACUUACUAUACAUAUCAAUCAAUGCAGUAUGCACCAAAACAUCAGUUCCCAAUCCGAAUACGAGAACCAAUCCAUGAACACGUUUCCCUAGUUCUAAAUCCCUCAUUCCUCCACAAGCUUGAACCAAACUGACCAUAGUUAUAGCACUUGGCCUAACACCACAAAGAAUCAUCUCAAGAAACAAAUCAAAAGCUGCAACAUAGUAACAUCCCUUUACAUAACCACCAAUCAUUGAAUUCCAACAAACAACAUCUCUGCUGAUCAUCUGAUUAAAAACCCGUCUCGCACUAUUGAAAUCACCGAAUUUCAUAAAGAAAUUAAUCAUUGAACUUCCCAAAAACUUAUCACCAUCCACUCUAUGAUCCACAGCUCUCUUGAUUAUUUCCGUUCCCCUCUCAUAAUCUUCUAGUUCCAUGCAAGCCUUCAACACAAAAUUACACGAAUAACUAUCGAAUCCCCAAUCCGAAGCCCCCAUUAAUUCAAACAACUCAAUAGUUUCCUUAUAACACUGAUUUCUCAAAUACCCAUUAAGCAUUGAAUUACAAAGAAUGGGUUUUGGUUGAGGAAUUUUAUCGAACACUUUCCUGGCAAGCCCCAAACAACCCAGUUCACUAUAACUUCUAACCAAAUUGGAUGACAAAAACUGGUGUUUAGAUACAGAAUUCGUGAUAAUCUGGGCAUGGAUAGAUUUAACAGAGAAAAGGGUAUUUGAGAAUUCAUGUAAAAGUGACAAGAAUCUCUGAAUAUCGAGAGGGAGAUGAUUAAAGUUGGCAUUUUUUAUACUUGAAAAAGAGUGCAAAGAGAGAAACUUGAAGGGUACUUUGUGAAGAAAAUUAUGAGUAUUAAGAUUGGGGGAAGGCAUAAAGGAGAUCAUAAGAGAGUGGAAUUUGAGUUAAAGUGCUUUCUUUUUAACUAAAGCCAUUGAAUUUCUUAAAGUUCUAAGGCCUAAUAGUUUCAUAGCAACCUAGGGUUCAUCCAACAACUGAAUUUUGUGGAUGAAUUAACAAUGAUUUACUCUUAUUAAUGGUGCCUGAAUUGUAAAAAAAAAAAAAGAUCUCUAUUUUAAAUUUUUGUCCGAAAAAAUUAAGUUUAUAUAAGCUUCUUUUUUUUCAUUAAAAUUCUUAUUUAAAUUAUUUUAAUGCAGUUGAAACUCAACAUGGUUACUAAAUACUGAGAUUUUAAGCAAAAAAAAAAACUAAUACCAUGGCCUACUUGUGUUUUUUAAUGAGUUUUAAGUUGGUUGUGUUGGUCAAAUAUGUCGUCUUUAGUACUCUCUUAAAUUUAUUAUGAUUAGUUGUACUUAUUAAUUUUGAUUAGAAUCUUUAAUAUAAUUUUAACUUAAUUUUUUAUUUAACCGAAAAUAAUACUUACAUGACCAAUUUUGUCUUAAUUUAAUAAUAAUAAAAAACAAUAUCAAAUGAGAUAUGGUAGUUCUUAUUAGACACCAUACAUUUUUUUUCGAAUAAAAUGCGUACUUUUCAAGUAAAAUAUGCACCUUUUGAGUAAAAUAAAACAAAAUUGAUAGUUUAUUUACUUAUAUAAGAAUUGAUGCAUCGUAGUUAUAUCAUAGUUUUUAGAGUAAACUAUAUUUAAAGUCACCGAAUUACUAGUAAGUUAACGUUUUAGUUACUCAAUUUCAAAAAGUUAUAAAAUUAUCACUAAACCGUUCAAAAAUUUUCAUUUAAAUUAUCGAGUUGUUAGAAUUGUUAUUAUAUGAUCUUCUCCAUUCUCACCUCCAACACUAAUCAAAAGUGUAGAUUUCCCCUCCUCUUUUAUGCUUUAGUUUUUUCUUUUUAUAAAAUAGUUUUGAAGGUUACAAAUUUACAAACUAAAAUCUAAAUAAUUUUCUUCUCCAAUCUUCGAUACCGACCAUCAAAUCAGCUUAAAUUUGAGAUAUAUUUUUCUACUCAUUGAUGGAUAUUAUUUCACUAUAUCGAUUGUCAAAUAGUCACUCGAAACUUGCUGAUCGGACUUUCAAAAAAUAAGCUUAACAAUCCAAUAACUUAAAUAGACACAUUUAAAUAGCUCAAUGGUUAUUUUAUAACUUUUUUAAAAUUAAGUACAUUUAUUAGUUUAGCUACCUUUGAGUAAUUUACCCUACUUUUUAUUUUACUUUCAAAUAUAGGGUUGAACUUUUAUUUUCAAAAUGGAUUGCCUUCUUUGGUCAGGAACCAUAGGAGAGUGGGGAAUUUAGUAUUUUCUGUAUUAAUUUCAUGUUCGUAUUAUUUUCGCGGACAAGAAUACAUUUCCGGUUGCUUCAAUUUUAUCAAUAUUGAAGAAAUAAAGAAUGCUACAAUGGUCAAUUACGAUCAAUAUUGAUGGUAUAUCGAUAACAAAGAGAGCGCCGAAACCACAAAAAGACCUAAAAUCACAUUUCAGCUGUGAUUUAUAUUCCGGGUUGUAAACCGAUUGAAUCUUAGCUCAAUUGUCAUCGACAUUGUUGUCAGUGCAAAACAUGAAUUCAAGUACACUGAAACGCAUUAUCCUCCUAUUUAAGGGUUGAGAAUGAACUAUGAGUAGCUCUAGACAUUAUAUCAAAAAUAGCAAAUAUGAUUAAAAUCUAUAAUGAGAUUAUUGUUAAAAAAAAUCGGAUUCUAAAAUUGGGGUGAAAACAAAAUCCAAGGAAAAUCAUAUCUAUUUCAAUCCAGUAACAUUCCAGUACAGUAACCUUCUUUCGAUAUAAGAUUUUAAAAAAAAGUUACAAACAGAAAUAAUUAGAGCACCAAAAAUGUCUUGAGAAAACAUUUAUAUACCAGGAAUAGGGAGCAGGGGUAACAAAAAUUACGACUUAAUUCCUUCUACCUUUGUUUUUCCGGGAUGAGACUACAACCCAACUGUCUUCAGCUUCAGCUGACUGGUUUUGCUUUGGCUCAUCUGUCAGCAUACUGACUGGAUUCAAACUUGACUGAGAGUUUGGUACAUCCACCAUCAUGUUUGCCGCGAUGUCUGCACUCAUGCUAUCAUCUUCAUCAUCAUCGUCAUCCUCAUCUUCGUUGUUACUCUAGGAUAAAAAUAAUAUGAAUCCAUGAGAAGAAUAAUAAACAACUUCAACCCAUAAAUCUACAUCUUAUACGAUGACUCGGUAAUCUUUUGUUGGUAAAAAGAAUACAUCAUGUAAGAACCGAUCAUGGGAAGAAUAUUUGAGAGAGAGAACUGUAGGUGAAACCUUUUUAAUAGUUCCACCAUCCAAAUGCAGUUGUUAUUUUAUGAGAGGCCAUGCCAUGCCAUUAAAAUGGGGGGACAAGCAGUAUAAACCAUUCCAUUUCAGAAUAUACCAUCCAUCAUAAGAGAUCUAAGGUUUUAAUAGUAUAAACCUUUCCACAUCGAGAAGGGGAUUGGAAGAUGAGGAGUUGAAGGUAACCCCAGAAGUAGCAAGUAUGAACCAACACUUUUUCUUUUCCUUUUUCAUCUAUUAAUUUUAUGUCAAGUUUUUAAUAUUAAGAAACAGCACUAAACUCGGAAAAGCAAUAAAAUAAUCAGACUUCACAAAUCAAAUUGAUGGUGAGACUCUGAUCUCCUUGAAAAUCACAUAGUAAUUGGUAUCUUGCACCCUCUAAGACCACUGAAGAAAUCUUUUUCAUAUGAACAAUGCGACUUUCCUAACAUGUCAAUGUAGCUGCUAAGCAUUGGAAACAAAAACAAAACAAAAUCUAAAGAAAGCAAAGAUAAACAGAAGCAAAAUUCAACAGAGAUAGUAUGUAGUAUAUUAUCUUCAAAACGAAACAUAUUAAUAGGCAUUAAAGGGUUUAAACAAGAAAAUACCGGUCGGACAUGAGCGACUGGAGGAGGAUUCGUUGUCCUCAGUUUUUCAACAGAUUGAUAGUUACCUUCCAAACACUCUUCAUGCAUAAUCAUUAAUUUCUCAGCCACCUGUAACAAGUCGAAGGAAUUGAAUUAUCUCUAAUGCAUAAUCAUUAUAGGAACUUGAUCCAUUGUAUAGCAUGGGUAUGCCAUUUUUUUGGCAAUCUCCUAUAUCAAUGUGAAGUGUCCAAGGUGAGCCGAACAUAGACAUGCUAGGUAAAUAACAAUUAAAAGUUGCAUAUUGAAUAAAUGAAAAUAUAUAUUCCGACAAAACACCACAAAGAACAACUCAAAAUGUCUUAAACUUAGCUUGAACAAAGAAUUUGACCUAAAAUGUUGGCUUUUUAAAUGUUAAAAACUGCCCCUGGGUAUAGCUUACUCUGUAAAAAAACAUUCAGAAACUAGUAUGUCACAAUGAGUUAAGGUGACAACAACAUCGAAUAACAAAAUUAGGAGGAACCAACCCGAUUAAAACAAUCAUCAAAGGAAAGUAUAUAUUCCGAAAAACACCCCGAAAGAACAAUUCAACAAGUUGUUAAACUUAAUUUGAUCAAAGAAUUUGAGCCUAAACUGUUGGUUUUUAAAAAAUCAAAUUUAAAAAAAAAAAAAAACUACCCCUUGUUAUAGUUCACUCUGUAAAAUACACUAAAAAACCAAAGGAGCAUCCAUACUGUACACAUUCAUAAACUAAUAUAUCACAAUGUUCUUUAAGUGUCAGCAACAUAGAUUCGAUUUGAUUAAAUUAAGGCAAUUUUUGUAUCAGUUGUUCCAGAUUUAUAGCAUCGAACAUCAUAAAUAAGAGAUUGAAAUGACUAUAGUAUCCUGAAUUGAAGCCAAGCCAAGAUUAAGAUUGAAGAUACCUCCUCAACGCUGCCAUCUUCAACCAACGUAUUAAGACUAAGCAAACCUUCCUCUAAAAGAUUUUCCAAAUCAUCUAUAUAAAGCGGCUCCGCUGAGAUAGUAAAAAAAAUCAAAUUUAAUUACUGAAUUUGGAAAAUAAAAAAAGAAAAUAACUGAUUAUAAUAUACAUAAAAGUUACCUCUGGCUUCAGUGAAGAAUGAGAAGACGUCGGUGCAGAUGGCGUUGGCUUUGCCGAGAGAAUCACGGCCGCCCCACUCGUUUUCAACGGCGGCGGUGAGAGCCGACCACCGAGUGAGGAUUAAGCUUAUUCCUUCCUGGAAUACCGGGGCUGAUUCCGCCGUUAGUUUCUUCGAUUCCAUUGAUUUUUUUUUAAUCCUUCUUUUCUUUUUCUCUGUUCGCCUUCUGUUUCUUUGCAAUUUUAGUUUGUCUAUGAGAGAACUAAAGCCCUACGAGUUUUCAAAGUGAUUGAAGAUGUGCUUGUUUGGAUUUGAGGAUAAAAGUAUUCGGGUUAUAGAUAGAGGUGGAGUUUUAAUGAAAAUGGAUUGGACCGGGUCUUAAAGUUGGGUUUUAAUUGUGCUUUUGGAAUUUAGAAUUUCAAUCUAAGCCCAACUAGGUGGAACUAUAGACGGUUCGGUUCAGUUCAGUUCAAUUUGAUUUUUUUAAAAAUUUACGAUUAAUUAGAAGUUUUAUUACAUGCAUAUGCGUGGAAACCAAAAAUUUAAAAUAUAAAUAUGUGUUUAAAAAUAACAUACAAUAAAUAAUGAAAUAUAUGAUUUGAAACUAAUUUAUAAUAACACAUGAAAUAUGUACGUUAUUAAAAUGAAAAAAUUAAAUUGAAUUGUUUAUCAUGGUAUUGUUAUCAAUCUUGAGUCGGUGUCGAGUUAAUUUAUUGCACCAACUCAGUCAAAUAUAUUAUUAAUAUAUACAAUUUAUGGAGGUAAAAAGUGUGUGCAUAAUAAAAUUAAAAGGUAUAAGAAUAUCAAAAUAAAGUUUUAGUAGAGUGGUAAAUUAAAAGGUUAAUUAAUGCAAUUGCAGUCCGUUUGAAUCCCAAUAUAUGUAUAUUUUUAUUGGUUUGUUUUAAAGUGAAAAGACUAAAAUACUAUUAAAUAAUAUUACUUAUUUUAAUUACGGAAGGGUAUUAUUGUAAUUUUUUAACCGAGUGGUGACCUAGUUGAGGGUAACACCAACUCAAUUAAGAGUUUAAAUAAUAGUAAGUAUAGAUAUACAACUAAUGCAGAUAAUAAAGUGUGCAUAAUAAAAUUAAAAUGUAUAAAAAUAACAAAAUAAAACUUUAGGAGAAUAGUAAAUUAAAGGUUUUAUUAAUACAAUAGAUGUGGGUGUGAAUCUUAUACCAUAUGUAUAUUUUUAUUGUUUGUUUUAAAAUGAAAAAACUAAAAUACCCUCAAAUAGUAUUAUUUAUUUUAAUUACGAAAGGGCAUUCCCAUAAUUUUUUUAACCAAGUCACUGACUCGAUUGAGGGCAGUGACAGAUCCAGAAAUACGAUUUAGGGGAGGCAAGGGCGAAGUCAAAAUUUUUUGGGGGGGCGGAAUUAAAUUAUAUUUUUUAUUAUAGUAAAAAUGCAAAUUCAUCCUUUUUAAUAGCCUAUAUCUUUAUAAUUUUUAGAGGAUUGAAUCAAAUUUUUAUCAUUUGGGGGGACAAAGUGCAAUUUUACUAUUACUAAUUUCAAAUUUUAUAAAUUGUAAAGGGCUUAAAAAAAUCAUUUUAGGGGGGGGGGUUGGGAACCCUUCCAACUCCCCCUAGAUCCGUCCCUGAUUGAGGGUGACACCAACGUUAUCAGAAGUUUAAAUAAUAGUAUAAAUAUCAUUGGCCAAUUUCAUAUCGAUAUUGCAUGUAUCAAUUAGAAUGUUUUGUUUUGAUAGUAAAUUAGAACAACAAAGUCUAGGUUUCAUUUUGAUAUAAAUUUUAAUUGAUACCUAUUAUAUCAAUCAUAACAAUAGAUUUCACUCAUAUCAUUCGUAAUACAACACAUUUUUUUCUUCUAUGUAUGAUUUUAUGGAACUUGAAUCUUGUAUGUUUAGUAUGGGAUGAUCUUGUUGUUUAUUGUAUAUAACAAUUUUUUUCUUAUUUAUUUUAAAUUUAUUAAAUAAUGGAUUAUAUUUAUAAAUAUUUUGUAUUUAAAAUUUAAUUAAUCUCGUUUAUAUUCAUUUGAUAUUUAUAAAUAUUAAUCAUAAAAACUCAUUUAAGAAAUAAUUGAGAUUCCUAUUAAUUAUAUAAACUCAUCUUCCCCGCCUUUAAAGCAAAACUUGUGGAAUAUAUUAUUACAUGGUCAUAUCCAUUUUUAUGUUUAAAUGUAUGUUGGUAAAUAAAAUCCCGAGUCCAAGGAAAUAGGAAAUAAUUAAGAUGAAUGUCAUCAAUCCAUCUCAAAAUCAAGUCCUUAGCUUUAUGAAAAAUCACAAUAUACUCAAAUAUAUAUAUAUAAAUAUAUUUGAUGUUGUUUCUGUACUUUCCCGCAACUCUUUCAUAUUUAUAAGGUAUAGUUUUCUGAUGUGACAUAUUAGGGGAUAAUUAGGUAUCAUAUAUAUGACACGCUCUCUCUUUAGAUUUGACACAUACCCUUAGACGUGUUUUUUGAUGGUAUUCGCACUCAAGUAUCAUUAUAGGAAGUAAGACAUGUGCUCCACCUCGUGAGGUGGUGACACGCGAGAUGGGAUCACCUCACGAGGUUGCCCUUAUUGAUGGGGUGCGAGGAGUGCUCGCACGUGAGGUGGCGAUAUACGAUGGGACGAUCCAUCUCGCGUGCUCAACCUCGCAAGGUGAUGAGUUGUGAUGGGAUCACUUCACGGGGUUGCCCUUAUUGAUGGGGGUAUCAGGAGUGCUCGCACGUGAGAUGACAAAAUACAACAGGGAGAUCCACAUCUCACAAGGACGCGAUGAGGCAUUCCACCUCAUGAUAAGAGUCGAAUUCCAAGUCACAAGGAUGAGUCGGAUUUCGGGUCUUGAAAUAUUCUAUAACAACAUUUAAAUGUCAAUAAAUGAAACUUUUAAGUCCUAAUAACAUACAUAUUUAUGUAUGUAAUCAUCAAUCCAUCUCAAUAUCAAGACCUUAACCUUACGAGAAAACACACAUAUACUAAAUUAUAUAUAUUUAUAAGAUCAUAUUCAUUUCAUGUUUAAAUAUAUAUCUAUGUUUAUAACAAACAUAUAUAUAUUUAAAUCUCAAAUUCAAGUAACAUAGACCAAGUCAUGAUUAUAACAAACACCAGUUGUCUUGUCUUAAUGGUCUUUGCUAUUUCUGAUCUCCAAACACAGACAUUACACCAUUUGUCCAUUGAACCCAAACCCUCGUCUCAUCACUUCGUAGCCACCCACGUUAUCCAACUAUUUGCAUGAUCCAUGCACCUUAUAAAACUAAUUUUCUUCUAAUAGUUCCCGAAAAUCUCUUUUACUUUCACAGUAAACCUUAAAAAAACCGAAAUUUACAAAUCAAAACUCUGAACAAAUUUACUUAAAUGCUAAGAAAAUGAGCCAACAACAACCGGAGAGGCCCCAAGAACCAAUCAAUUACGGAGAUAGCUUCUCCGGAAAAGGCGAGCUUGCCGAGAAGGCAGUGGCACCUAAAGAUGUUGCCAUGAUGCAGAAGGCGGCCGGGAACUCCGUGAUUGGUCAAACCCAGAAGGGUGGUGUCGAUGCAUCUAUGCAAUCUGCAACGUCGAAGAAUGAGAGUUCGGGAUUGGUUGGCCGCGAAAGAGUCAGUGCUGAUUCCGGUGUUUAUAUUAAAGAGACCGAGUCCCCUAGAAAACGUGUAAUCUCGGAGCACUUUGGUAAAGAGGUAAGAGGAGCAAUCUACAGAGAGAGCUCUAAUUUAAUUUAUGUUACCGCUUUUUUAAUUAUAUUUGUGGAGUUAAAAAAUUAUACCGUUAAUAUAUUAAAAAAUUAUUCUUAUAUUAUAAAAAUGUCUGCUCGAAUUAGGUUGGGCUAAGACUAAAUACUGAGUCUAUACUUAGUACUAAUUUAAUUUCACAUAUGAAUUUUAAAUUUUACUCAAAUCUAUUAAUAUUUAUAUGGCUAACUUACAUAUAUUUACAUCAUCCAUUUUCUUUAAAUAUGUUAUUUUAUUUAAUUUAUCUUUUUUAUUAAUUUUUAAAAAUAAACAACCUUAAAAUAUUUUUAAUAUUUUUUAUAAUAUUAUAUAUUUAUUUUUUAUAUGAUAUAAACUACAUAAUAUAUAAAAAAUAAUACCUUAUAAAUUUAAAAAAAGAGCCCAUUACAUUUUAUUUAACAAUCUAAUUUUUGUGUCCAACCCAACGUUUUUAGAAUCAGACAAGUAAUCAGGUCGGUCAAAAUAUUGGUUCGUUGAUCUAAUUGAUUUGGUUAAAAAUCAUUAAAAUUUCAUAAAAAAUUUAAAAAUCUAUUUUAGUUAGUCCGUUCUAAUUCACAAUUCAACUAAUAUGAUACUAUUAUUUAGAUUAAUACUUAAUCUUAUUUGUGGGUCAACUAAUCUAAACGACCAAUCUAAUCCGAUUCAAAAAUAAUUGGUGGACACUAUUUCUAAGUCUAAUACCUAUGUCAAAACUCUCUUACAGGUCGAAUGGGUUUUCUAAUUUAGAGGAAUAAUAUAUAUUCAAACAAUGAUAACACUCGACAUGGAUUUUCUUUUUAAAGAUUGUAGGACGAUAUAGCCAAGGAGAUUCAUUCGCAUCGGACACCGACUCGACGUCUGAACACUAUGGUGGAAUCACGAUUGGGGAAGCACUUGAAGCCACUGCUCUUACAGCAGGAAAAAAACCGGUGGAAUGGAGUGAUGCCGCUGCAAUUCAGGCGGCGGAAGUGAGAGCCACCGGUCGAACCUCCAUAAUGCCCGGUGGCGUUGCAGCGGCCGCUCAAUCAGCUGCCACGCUUAAUGCCAGGGCAACCAGAGAUGAAGACAAGACCAAAUUGGGUGCUAUUCUUGCGGUAAUUAAGUUUUACUAAUGACUAAAUUAACUUAUUCGAUUCGGCUAAAGUAAUAGUUAAUCACAAAAAAUAAUUUCACUUAGCAAAAAAAGAUUUUGUUUAAACGAAAAUCCAUCGAAUUAAUCGAAACAAUUUUGGGUUGGUUAUAUGUUUUAUAAUUUCAGUUGAUUUAAUUAAUGAAAAUUCGGUAUAAUUAUUAAUCAAAUUGAUUAUGUCAAUUAAUGAUCUGUUAUAGAACGCGACAGCAAAGUUGCCGGCAGAUAAGCCGGCAACACGGAAAGAUGCAGAAGGGGUAAUGGGUGCCGAGAUGAGGAAUGAUCCUAACCUGACCACACAUCCAGCCGGUGUUGCCGCCUCUGUGGCUGCCGCUGCAAGACUCAACCAGAGUCACAAAUGAAAGUAUAGCAAACACCAAUGACUGUCAUGCAUGUCAUAUAAUUUUGAUAUUUUUUUCGACGAAAGAAUAUAAUUUUGAUGUUGGUAUACGUGUAAUUACAAGAACUUCACUCGGCUUUGAAUUGAGCUGGGUCAAGUCGAAAUUGUUGAUUAAUUUUGUAAUCAUUUUCUAAAAAUAUAUGUGAAUAAACUGACUUGAGGAAAUUGGAAAACAAUUAUGAGGCAAAAUUAAGUAAUUUGAAAUUUUUAUUUAUAUCCAAAAUUAAAUAUAUAUUAUAGAAUUAUGUAAAUAUUAAAAAUAUGUUAAGUUGUUGAUAUUUAAAAUUUUAAUAAAAUAUAUAAUAGUAGUAAAAUUUAUAUAGUAAAUAAAUAUAAUUAUGUUUUUAAAAGAUAAAAAAAAUAGUAGGUGUAAACCAGUUUAAAUUAAUUAUUUAAAAAUAUAGACAGAUUUAGAUAAAACUUAAUAUUCAUAUUUCAUGUUAAACUAAGCUUAGCAAAUAUGUAUGGUAUUAAUAUCAUGCAUUGACCUGACCUGAACUCGAUUUAGCUUAACCCAUGAACAUUUCUAAGCAUAUUUGAUGGUAAGUAAAUUUUGACGAAAAAUACAAACAAUAUAAAUUAUUGAAUUAAAAUUUUCAAAUUAAAAAAAAUGGUAAAAGGAUUUAUUUUUCACAUGUUAAGUACAAAGAAAUGGUUAAUAUGUUAGUUGGUGCUUGAAUUUAGUUAGGGAAAUAAGCCGAUUUUGAAGAGAGAAAGUGAAAACUUGUCCCGCGUCACUUUCUUAAAAAUUAUUUUGUUUUUUUUUUCUUUUUUGGUUGCUGAAAAUUUUGGAUUUAAAGAUUUAUUUUUGUAUGUGUUUGAGAUAAACAUUGUUAUAGUUUUAAGGUAUGUUUGAGUUUACGGUGAUAUGUGAUGGCCCUCAAAGACUCACAAAUUUCAUCUGUCGGGUGAGGAUGGAGUCAUCACCUGAGAAGUCGGAUCGCAUUGCAACUCAAGCUCUCAAUUCAAGGUGAUUAUACGGUCACGGGUUGAAGUGUAACUAAGGCUUAAAGUUUACAAAGGUUUUGCUAUCAAGGGAUGGAGUAUAACUCAAGCCUCCAGUUGUUAGUGGUUUUGCAGGGACAAGAUCAAGUUUUUCCUCAUCAAAAGAAGAUGAUGCUUUAUAAACCCCAUGCAAAAGUCUAAGAUCGUAAUGAUAGGGAAAAACAUAGGGGUCUUCCAGUAUAAUCAGGUUAUUCAUUUUCCCCGUCUCCACUAAGGGCGGUGAGCCUAUUACUAUAACCUAUGACAAACUUGGGGGCAAGAACACUUUCAGGGGGAAGGACUUAUUGUGAUGCUGGAGAAAAGAAGAAACGCAACUCAGGACGGCAACAAUUGUAGUUAUUAAUCAUAGCAAUCAUUGCCGCCCCGAGUUGUGUUUCAUCUUUUAUCAACCGUCACAAUAACUCCACCCUGCUGAAAGUCUUAGUUGCCCCCAACUUUGUCACAGGUUAUUGAAACAAGGUCAUCACCUUUAAUGGAGAUGUAAAAAAUUAGUAAGUUGAUUACACCAGAAAGCCCUUGUGUUUUUUCUUGUAAGUAUGAUCUUAAGCUUCUAUAUGAGAUUUAUAAAACAUCGUUUGCCUUUGAUGAGGAGAAACUCAAUCCUCUGCUCGCAUAACCACUACCGACUGUGGCCCAAGUUAUACUUAAUCCUUGACAGCAAAACAUUUGCAAACUUUAAGCACUAGUUACAUUUCAACCCGUGAUCGUAUAAUCACCAUCAACAAGGACCCUGAGUUGCAAUGCGAUCUUGGCUUCUAAGGUGUUGGUUCCAUCCUCAAACGAAUAAGCAGAAUUGUCAUUUAAAAAAUUAAAUUAAAUAUAAUAAAAUCGAAGAGAUUAAGUUGAGAGAAAAAAAUUAAAAUGAAAUUGUAGAGAGAACUUGAUCAAGAGAAUUGAGAUAUUGGGGUUUGAAUGAAAAAUAAUGGAAUUGAAAGGGGUUUAUAUAGGAAAAAAUAUGGCUGUUGGGAAUUCACUAGUUGGAAUUUAGCCUUUGGAGGGGAAGUGACCGUUACCUGAAAACGUGUCUUAUAGGGCGCGUUUUCACAUUCUCUCUCUAAAAACAACCUAUUUCCCUAAAUAAAAAAUAUAUAAAAAUGAUUUCUUUUAUAACUCAAUAAAUUUAUGGUAAAAGUGCCAUAACCCAUUUGCUAGGAAUUGAAUUUUAUUUUGUCCCUUUUAGUAAAAAAAUGAACAAAUUAGUCAUUGAAUAUUUUUUUUUAUCAAUCUCAUUAUAGGUGCUUUAGCAUACUUGAACCCUUGUUUUCCUACAUUGGCAAUAAUGCCCAUGCCAAUCGGGCUAAGACUCAAGUAACAAUUAGUCAUUGUAUGUUAGAUUAAAGGUUAAAUUUGUUAUUCUGUUAAAAAGAUCAUCUAUUUCUACUGCUAAAAUUUGGUCCCUAUACAUCAUAAUGAGGUACAUCUAACACAACACGUGUAAUUGUUUGAUUAUUCUAUUAACCACAUUAAUUUUUAACAAUAGAAAUGGAUUAAAUCUUUAAUAGAAAUGAUCAGUUUGCACUUUGAUCUAACGUACAAAGAUUAAUUUACCUUUUUUUUAGUAAAAAGGUCAAAAUACAAUCUGAACCCUAAUAUAGGGGCCUCUAUAAUACUUUUACCAAAAAAUUUAACAUAUGACGUCACUACAUUAGUAAUCAUAAUUCAGUACUGCAAUAUUGACAUAUUUAAUUUUUAUGGUCCAGAAAUAUAUUUAAUUUAAGUUAAAAUAUGACUCAAGUCUAUAUACUUUUAAAAAAUUUGAGAUUUAGUCUCUAUAUUUUUAUUUUUAAGAAUUUAGUUCAUUUUAGAUUUUAAAAUUAUGAUCCAAGUUUUAACAUUGUUAAAUCUUUUUGUUAAAUUUAUUGGUGUGAUAUUUUGAAAUAAAAAAAAACUUACUUAAUAGCCAUGUAAUUAAAAAAUGACGUUGUAAUGAAUCUUAAUUUAACAAAAAAAGUUUAACAAUAGUUAGAACUGAACUUCAAAAUUUGAAAAGUAAAAAUAAAAGUAAAGAAACUAAAUUCUAAGUUCCCAAAAAGUAUAAGGACUUAUUGCAUAUUUUGCGUAAAAUUUUAAUUUUAAUAAAAAAUAAACUAAAAAUUUAAGAUAAGGUUUAUAAAAUAAAACCGUCUCCAGUUUUCUGGCCACAAAGAAUAUCCCCCCCCCCCCCACGCCCCCUCUAAUUUCAGCAUCACUCAGAUUUUUCUUCCUUCAAUUCUAAACCAAAAAAACAAUAAUAAUAACAUUUGUCUCACAAAUAUCUCCAAUGGCGGCAACUACAUCAUCUUUGCUUCAAACCGACCCUUUAAAGCUAAAACAAUGUCUUCCUCUUCGUUUACACCUCCCUACCCCCCCUCGCUUCACUAAAUUCACCGGGAACUUCACUUUUCAAAGCCAAGACUUUGCUAAGUUUAACCUCAGAUGUUUCUUCUCCAAGCGAAACCAUUUAACGAGCUCGAAUUUCAAUACCAACCAUUUUAAUUUCACCCCAGAUGAUAAAACUAAAACCCCAUUUGAGAUCAUUGCUGAAACGGUUUUGAAAGCUUUAAAGGCCUUGAAAAGGCCUGUUAUAGCGGCGAUUUUAUUGGGUUUGUUGUUAAUGUAUGAUCCUAAUAGCACAGCAUUAGCUGCUUCUGGUGGGAGGAUGGGAGGGAGGUCUUUUUCUUCGAGGAGUUAUUCAGUGCCUAGUAAUGGAGGGUCGAGUUUUUCUUCUUAUUCCGUUCCUUAUUAUGCGCCGGCUUCGUUUGGCGGCGGCGGUGGGUUUUAUGUUGGGACUGCUGUUGGGGUCGGAGUUGGUGCUGGGUCGGGUUUUAUGUUGAUUAUGAUUGGGUUUUUUGCGUUUGUUUUGGUUUCCGGGUUUCUUUCGGAUAGGUCCGAAAGUGGCCUGCUUACUGAUAUUGAAAGGACCAGUGUUCUUAAGCUUCAAGUGAGUGUUUCUUUUCUGUUGCGGGUUUAUAUAUAUAUAUAUCAUAAAUACAAGAUUGGUCAACAUGUGGAAAAUUAGGAAUGGAAAUUGCAUAGCUUGGAUGUGAAGCAACAUAUAGGAGUGUUGCUUAUAUGUGGAUUUUGGUUUGAGCCUUUAGAUUCAGAAAAUGCUAAUUGAGUUUCUUCUUUGAUUAUAUGAAGCUAUGUUGCUCGGAUUUAAGUGUGAGCAUGGUACAAAAAUGUGUCCAACAUGAAUAUGUUCUGUUUUUUCUAAAUUUUUUUGUGUACUUGGAGGGUUGUAUCUUGGUAGUCAUGUUUAUAUAUGUGGACAUGGGUAUCGGAUUCAAGUAUUUCAAGAAAAAUAAAGAGCUGGUGAAACAUGUCAUGGAUUGGAGAUCAACCGACACUGGCUAAUUACGAAUAUUACUCAAAUGUGAAUUUUGGGCGAGCCUUUAGACUUAGAUUCUGCUAAUAUGAAUUGCUUCUUUUAUCAAGUUUGAGACUUGAUUUUAUGAGAAUAAUCAAGAAGGUAUGAGUUAGACAAGAAAAUGAGAUGGACAUGAAGUUGUGCUGAUUACCAUCAUAAUUAGUGAUUUAUGGAUUUGCAGUCUCACCAUUUUUUUUUCCGCUUUUAGGUUGGGUUGUUGGGUACGGGACGAUCUCUUCAAAGGGAUCUGAAUCGGAUUGCUGAAGUUGCCGAUACUUCUACAUCUGAGGGGCUAGGCUUUGUAUUAACAGGUAAUGCUCUCUAAAAUUGGUUACAGAUAAAGCAUUUUAAGUGAUAUAUGGGAUUAACUGGUAGAUGUUUUGCAUGAUACGCACAUUAUGAAUGGCAACGAAUGAAAAUGCUCUUCCCUUGUGAUCAUUGUAGCAAUCAAAUCCCUUGACACUUAUCUCCCAUCACCAAUCCUUGUGUAACACAGACUUCAGUGUAUGUGUCAGAUACAACUAGUAUUUGUCUCAUAAGAGAAAUGUUCAAUUUUUUUUCCGAAGGUUUUUCAUUUAUUUGAAGGAUCUUUGGAAGAACAUAUCCCCAUAGCCAAUGCCAUGUGCGGAUAUACGGCAAACAUUUGCAUGGGUCAUGGAUACAUCAAGAAAAGCAAAGAAUCGGAGUAACUUAGAUCAACCCUAAUCACAAAAGAAAGAUAAUAACUUAAGAGGCAACGUAUGAGCCUUAUAGCUCUAUAGCACAGGUAUGAUUGCUUGUUGUUCUGAAAUCAGCUUAGAAAAUAACAAAUGUAUGAUAUCUAAUGAAAUAGUUGAUGUACAAUUACAAGCAAUAAGAGGUAUAGACUUUGUCCCCCCUUUAGUAAUUUAUUUAGAUUGGGAUGGACAUUGAUGCCAUUCAUUGCAUUGCUUUGUUUUAUUUUUCUGUAAGUGUGAGCCUGUGAUCCUUCUUCAUUCUGUUUUUCUUUAGCAAUACUUGUAGAUUUAUAAGGUACCUGGCAAGUUUAUGUUCCACUAAUUUCUUAAACAUGCAAAGUCAGAUGUCUGUUAGAUAGAUUAUGUGUACCGAGGAAGUUUUUUAAUGUGCCUUCGGUUUUUUGUAGAGACCUCGUUAGCUUUGCUUCGCCAUCCUGAUUAUUGCAUCUCGGGUUAUUCAUCUGUAAGUUUACCCUUUCUGAAAUGGUUAGUUUUGUCUCUUUCAGUGAAUGAAUGUAGCUUGUGACUACGCUUUUUCUGACCUUUUGNNNNNNNNNNNNNNNNNNNNNNNNNNNNNNNNNNNNNNNNNNNNNNNNNNNNNNNNNNNNNNNNNNNNNNNNNNNNNNNNNNNNNNNNNNNNNNNNNNNNNNNNNNNNNNNNNNNNNNNNNNNNNNNNNNNNNNNNNNNNNNNNNNNNNNNNNNNNNNNNNNNNNNNNNNNNNNNNNNNNNNNNNNNNNNNNNNNNNNNNNNNNNNNNNNNNNNNNNNNNNNNNNNNNNNNNNNNNNNNNNNNNNNNNNNNNNNNNNNNNNNNNNNNNNNNNNNNNNNNNNNNNNNNNNNNNNNNNNNNNNNNNNNNNNNNNNNNNNNNNNNNNNNNNNNNNNNNNNNNNNNNNNNNNNNNNNNNNNNNNNNNNNNNNNNNNNNNNNNNNNNNNNNNNNNNNNNNNNNNNNNNNNNNNNNNNNNNNNNNNNNNNNNNNNNNNNNNNNNNNNNNNNNNNNNNNNNNNNNNNNNNNNNNNNNNNNNNNNNNNNNNNNNNNNNNNNNNNNNNNAAGUACCAACAAGCAUUUCAUAUGUUCCAUUCUAUGAAUAACAAAGUAAAUAAGCACAUAUUUUACCCAUAAAGUGGGUCUUCAAUUAGCUUUAGAUUGUUAGUACCAACAUCUAGCAUAUCUGGGAGUAUAUGUCAGAGACAGAUUGAUUUAAUAAUUAAAGUUCUAACACAAGACAAGAGAGUUGCCAUCACAAGAAAAUGUUGAAAAUGUAAAAUACGAUAAUAACAUGGAGCAAACAUUUUCAGCAAGAUACAAUCCACACACACACAUUUUGCUCAGCCAUAAAAAUUAUUUUAAUAUGAUAUAUUAUCAUAUAUUUAGCUUUCCAGCUAAGUAUGAAACCCUUAUGGGGCCUUCUUUUAUUUGCCCAAAUUAAAAAUGGUCAUACCAAUGCAAAGUAAAUCGGUUUAAUUUGAUUCCAUCUCUAUUUUAUUUUAUUUAUAUUUAAUGAUAAAGUAUAUACAUUUUCAUAUAGGAAUAACUUUUAAUGGGUUGAACCUAAUUCAUGAACACAUUCAAUUUAAAAAAUAAAAUAAAAGAAUAAAAGCAAUAAAAAGCGUGAAAGCAAUAAAAAAGACAGACACAAAAUAUCAUUAAAAGAUAACAUGAAUAUGAUAUAAAAAUAAGAAUAUUUAACAAUUAUUAAAUAAAUAGUGAGAGAUGAGAGGUAGUUGCACUCUCAUCAAGCAGUGUAUAACUCACUCAUUUAAAUGCACCACUUCCCACUAUAAUGGCUCGCAAACAAACAUUCAUUUCAUGGGGUAACUUUUUCCUUACACAGGCUAAUAGCUUGCCUUCAUAAAUUUGCUUCUUCUCUCUCACACUUGAAUAGAAUCUUUUGAACCUCUCAAUUUAUUAAUUAGAGAAGAAAGAUCUCUCAUUUCUCCAACCAAUCUUAUGUUUCAGAACUUGUUUUUUUAUUUAUUUUGUUUAUGUGUUUAGUUGACAAAAGCUGAUUCCAAGGGAGUUUUUAUGACUUUUUUUCUUUUUUAAUUUAUAGAUUUCUAUUGACAGCUUCAACUAUGCCUUGUCCUUAGGUGACACAUUACUGAAUCAAAUUACUAAUAUAUAUUUAUAUAUACAAAGGCAGCUUAGCUUAUGCUAUGUAGAUUAUUACAUGGGCUAUACAGGCAGGGUUGAGUGGCAGGAGCAAGGACUUGAGAGGUAUACAUGCUUGUACAGAGAGUAGAGAAGUGACACAUUUGGUCUAUCUAUUUUUUAGCUUUAAUGAUGAAAGUAAUAGGAGGGCCUUUGAUGGGGAAGAGCUACCUUCAUCAAAGCUCUAAUAGUUAUUAGGAGUAACUGAUCUUUGAAUUUUGUUUCAACUGUUUGAACAAAAAAAAAAAACCGACUUCCUUCACGAAUCGAGCCCCCUUGCUGCGUGUUUGUCAUCAUUUUGUACUGAUUAAAGAAAAUAUUUGAGCUACAAAUCAUAAGUUACAUAGAGUAACUUGACACUGCCAUCAUAAUAAUCUAGCACAAGAUAGUGUCAAAGGUCUUCAAGAAUCCAAGUCCUCAUAAUUUACAGAUCCCACAACUGUUCAGAGGGCCAUUUUUUCAGGCGGGAGGGGGCAACAAGGAGCCUAUUUCAGAAUAUCAGAUUUAUCAUUCAUGAUUUGAAUGAUAAUGUAAUUUGAGGAUUGGGUAUAAACAAAAGUUGAAAACGAUUAGAACUGAAAAUGUAAUUUUUGUUAAUGAAGGCAAUUAGGAUUAUGAUUAAAAGUUGAAACUGAAAAUGUUACUACUAAAUAGUAGGUUAGAAUAGAUGACAACGAAAUUCAAAAUGCUUACAGUUAUUAGUUGAAAACUAGAACAGAUUCCAACAUAAAAAUAUAACAGAAAAGCACAUAAAUAUAUGUGCAUACACCAGCCAAUUUGGCAGGUCUAAAUGUAAUUGGAAAAAAAUGCCAAAAGGAGAAAGGAUGAUGCCCAUUUUUAGUUUCAACAGAACCCAAAAUUCAGAAAAAAGAAACUCAACUAAAUGAGAAACAUGUUGCCACGUUUCAUUGGCAAAUCUUAAUUAAAUCACAAUACAUGAAGUCAAAGGAUAAACUCACACCUGAAUAUAUGGGAAGUAUAUGUCUUUCAGCUUACAUUGGAGCUUAGAUAUGUCCAAGUUUCUCACUACAGGAUUUAAUAUCACCACCUGUGAAGAAUCAUACUAUAAAUACAUGAACUGAGACAAAUAAAACGCCAACAGCUCACCUAGCUAAAAUGAUUCUUAUGCACAAAUAGAAUGCAGGAUCUAACCUCAAAAACAACAAUAUAUGAAAAUUAAAGGGAACAUACAGAAGAGUAAACCUUUGUAAAGCUCCCAUGGGGUGACUCCUUGAUUUCUUCAUCAAGAGGAUCCCUAAUGCCUCCAUCAGUCUAAUGUAAAAAGAUUUUGAUGACAUAAUGCAACAAACUUCUGAGAAAAUUUCAUAACAAAAAUAAUUUCUAUAAAAACUUAUUCUUUAGGGAAAUUAAUAAUAAGACUAUCUUACACUCCAACUACAUUCAGAGCCAGAAUUGCCAAGUAAAGCCUCUCGUGCAAGACGUAACUUGUAAACUUUCUUGGAUUGUUUUGUCUUGGAAGAGACUUCAACACAGCUAUAUGAAGACAAGAAAAUAUAUAACUACAAAAAUCUAUUAAGUCUCUAGGAAAUGAUUCUAUCAGCAUAAAACAGAGGAAAGGACAUGUGGUUUGUCAAAUAGGUCAUACCUCCCUAUAUUCAUAGAUGCAAUAAGUCCUCCAUAUCCAAACAUGCCAAAAAAGGGCUGCAUUGUUAUGAAAGCCAAAGUGAGAGCUUCUAACUAACAUUAGAAUCUCUGUGUGCAAACAUAAAAGGCAAGCUUCAAUUAUGUCAAAUCUCAGACAGAGAUACUAAUGUGUCUAACCAAAGAAAUACAUGAGUUUCACAGAUUUUGUACCACUAAGAAUGGUGGCUUGCACCCUAUUGCCUGUUGUUUAUAUAACCUGUUUAGUGAGGCACCCAUCUUUCCCCUGAAUAGAAUAAGUGGAAUAAACUUGAAUUCAUUAGCAAAACUCAAAAGAAAAACUAUAAUUAAGAAACACAACCAGUAGAAGUCUAUAGUGCAUAUUUCCUUCCAAAAUAUAUCCCACUUAAGUUCGAAACUUUGAACCAUGAACAAACCGGUGUGGAUGGAUGAGAGAAAAUCUAAAAGGCUGCUUGAAAAGUGUAGCAGUUGAAUACAUCAACCAUAACUUAACUUCUGUCUUACCUGACUACAGAAGAAAAGUAACCCAAAGUGCCAAACCAAGAAGUCGUAACAAAAAAAAAAAACAUAAAUAUAAAAGAAGAGAAAAAGGACUUCAUAUAAACAUACCACUUCACAAUAGAGUUUUCAUCACUGUUGUCCAUUCCAGGUCUAGUGUCAAAAAUUGAGAUUCCACUCUCAAGAACAUCCACACUUCAAAAACAUUAAAAUAGCCAUUAGCCAUAUAAAGUAUGAUGAAAACAAUUUGUUUUUUAUUAUGAGAAAAAGCAACACAUCAUUAAAAACACUGGCAUUGGGUAUAAACAAAAGGGUGUUUUUUUGUUAAACGUUUGCGGCGGGGAUAGCCAUUGGAGAGCAGAAGAAGAAGGGGAAGUAGAGAAAACGAUGAAGAAGGAGUUCAAAACAUCGUUUUCUGGUACCGAGAUGGAAAGCUGGGUUUCUUUGAUAGGGUCAGGUGAAGAGGAAAGAGAGAAAGGGAGAGGGGAGAGGGUAAUAGGAGAAAGGACUUGGUGAAUAGAAAGGGAACGGGUAAAGCCAUGGGAAGAUUAGGGAUUUCAUGGGGGGAAAAUUUGGGGUAAAAUGGCGCCAUUCUAAAAUGAUUUUUGCGGUGUUUUUUUUUAUUUUUUAUCUCUUAAAAAUUUAUUUUAUUUUGAACAAAAUGACUAUAUUUUGUUCUACUAAAAAUUUUUUAUUUUAUCUGUUAAAUAUUAUUAGUUAAGUCAUAUAAAAUAUUUAUUAUUUUUAAAAUUAAUUUUUUAUAAAAAAAUUAAGUACUCUCAAAAUAAAUAUCAUAGAUUUUAAUAAGAAAAAAAUUAUUAAAUGACUGUAAUUAAUUAUUAAGUUAGAAUUAUCCAAGCCAUUAACCUUUAACCUCUAACUCUUAAUUCUUAACCUCUAACCUCUAACCCCUCUUUUACAAUUAUAUAAUAACUUAAUUAAUAUAUAAAUUACAAAAUAUUAAUUAAUCUAAACCUUAAACCAUAACUUGACCCUGAAUUUCUAAACCCUAAAUCACUAACUCUUAACUUUUAACCCCUAACCUAAACUACUAACCCCUAAACCUUAUCUAAUAUAUAAAUUCAAAAACAUUAAUUAAUCUAAACUCGAAUCCCUAACCCCUAAACCUUAUUUCAUAAAAAAUUAAAACACACUAAUUAAUCUAAACCCUAAAGCCUAACUUGACAUCGAAUCCAUAAACCUUAAAUCCCUAACUCUUAAUCUCUAACCCCUAACCCCUAAUGCCUAAAUCACAACCCUUAAACUAGAAUCUCUAAUCCCUAAUCCCUAAUUCCAUAAUCUAUAAAUGUUAAAAUUGUAACUCCUAAACCGGUCUUAAAUCCUAAAUUAACCAUAUACCCUAAACCAUAUAUAUUAAACCCUAAACUAUAAUGAUAAUUAAUUAAAUAUUUUAAAAUUAAUACUAUCGUAUUUUUUACAAUUAAAAUCAAUCAGUCAUCUACCUAAAAAUUUUUAAAAUUAUUUUAAAUAAUAGUAUUUUAAUUUUUCCAUUUUUAACAAAUAUUUUUCUAUGUUUUUUUAUUUCAAAUUAUUUCUAUGUGUCAUUAUUUCAAAUUUAUCCAUUUAACAAAUAUUCAAUUAAAAAUAAAAUAAAUUUUAAUUAAUAUAAAUAAACAAAUUAAAUAGUAAAUAACAGAUAAAAUAUUUUUGCGGCGCUUUCUCAAAAACGCCGCUAAAGCUCUGAGAAUUAGCGGCGCUUUCUCAAAAACGCCGCUAAAGAUCUGAGCAUUAGCGGCGCUUUUCAAAAUCGCCGCUAAAGAUCUGAGCAUUAGCGGCGCUUUUUCAAAAACGCCGCUAAAGAUCUGAACAUUAGCGGCGUUUUUUUUUAAAUGCCGCUAAAGACCUGAUAGGUCAAAAAAAGAUGUCGUUGGGCUUAGGUUUUUUUGCGGCGUUUUUCCAAAAACGUCGGUAAUGCUUAUUUUUAGCGGCGCUUUCCUAAAAGCGCCACUAAUGCUUGAUUUUUAGUGGCGUUUUUUGUCCAAACGCCACUAAAAGUGCCGCUAAAAGCCUGUUUUGGUGUAGUGAGCUUGCACGCUGACAAGCAACAACAAAAGCUGCUCGAACCAUGCAUGUUGCAGUUGAAGAUGAUGAUGAUGCUUCAGCUUAGUUUUAUUACUUUAAUCAACAUUUUGUAACUUAGUUAGAUUCAAACCAAGUUGUUAAUGUACUUGAUGAAAUUUGAAAAUGUUUGAGCUGAUAAAUCAGCUUUACUAAGUGUGCAAGUUAUGUUUUAUUAGUUCCAAGGUUAGUUAGUGGUAGUAGGUGAUGUUUAGGUAACCAUUUUGUUUUCCUUGACCAGCUUAUGUCUGGUAUAUGUAUUGGCAUUAUGCCAUUUCUUUAUGGUAAUGAAAAUUCAUCAAAGAAUUCUUUAUCUAAUACUCUCUCGAAUCUCAGCUUCAUUUCGUUCUCAAAGCUUGAUUCUAUUAUUGUUUGCACAGCAAGUAUCGAGCCUUUAAGCUCAAGAAAUUGCAUGUUUCAUUCAUCUCUGUUCUUAGUUCCAACAGUUCUCUUUUUCCAUAAGAAAUAAAUGUAAUGCAAAUAACUUGCAAAAAUGUAUGAUUGCUUGCUUUUGUACCCUAAUUGGCUGACGUAUCAUGUCUUGAAAUUAUAUCCACAUAUUGCUUAGUACAUUUUAGGCUGAAACUUCUAGCCUUGAACAUAUACGCCCAUUCAGAUCAUAAUCAAUUUAAUUUCUCUACAAAAGUUCUAAAGUUUUAGUUCAGCUGACUUCAAAAUAAUUUUGCUUUGCUACUGGUGUCUGGUGUUAUUGGAUUGAAGUCUGGUUCUUGCUUGCGUAAGUUAUCAACUUAUCAUGUUGCGAUGUAUUAGCACUUAAUGUACUUUCAUGUCGCUCUUUAGAGUUUCGGUGGUUGUUGGGCAUUUUAUGUACUUUUUUCUGUUGUAACUAUCAUGUUUGCACAUGUAUUUGGAUGUAGUUUCUUAGAAAUCAUCAUGUUUUUCUUUUGUUCUCGAUUUGGGAGAAUGUCCUACACUUCAUAAGCCCUAUGUGCUGAUUGAGUAUGUAUGACCUGAUAUAGACAUUUCUUUUUGGCUUUCGGAAUAUUCUUUUUACCUUCAAAUAAUAGUUUUUUGUUUCAUUCCCGAGAAUUUUAUUUACGAGAAAUUGCUGAUGCUAUCACUUGUGGCCCCUAACAUAGCAAGUAAUUUAGGACAUGAACUGCUAGAAUGCUAAAAUUUUUAGCUUGCUGAUCUUAGAUGUGAUUCUGUUGUUAGAGUCUCCGAGAGUCCUCAAAUUUAUGCUGCACUUUUUUAAAGUUCAUGUCGUCGAUUAUAAAUUUUGUUUGUCACAUUUUGACAGGUCCGAUGGAAAAGAGGUUAUGGUGGACAACCAAUAUCUUCAAGCUAACAAUCCACUGCUGGUAAUGGAUCAUUUUCUUGCCUGAUCUUUUCCUUCAUUAAAUUGACUCAAAGAGCUGACAAUUCUUGCACUUUUGUUUUUUUUUCUUCAAUUGCAGUUAAUCAGCUUCAAUGAGCAACAUCUUAAGUAUAGCCCUCCAUCUUGAUCACCUAGGCGUAUUUAGUGUAUUGAUGAAGCUGAAGGCCGCCAUAUUCGUUUUGUUUGUGUAUGCAUUGUUGUAACUCUUUUACAUUAGUUGCAGAAAAUAGAGCAAGAUAAGUAAGCGCUCUCAUUUUCAAGUUCCAAGCACUUAAAAUAGUUUGGUGAUGGGAUUAGGUUCUCAUGCAAAGCUGUAUUUGUUGCCUAGGAUCACAUCUGUAUUUCAUUUUCCCAACAUUUUCUUCCACUAAGCUCAGUAAUGCCGUUGAUUCAAUGUUUGCAGAUUGUAAUGGCGAACCCAGCUAGAGUUCCAGCGAGGAGAAUAAACGAAUCUAUUGAAUUUUUUAAAAGAAAAAAAAAUAUAAGUGUCUCACGCACAAAAGAUUUUCUAAUUGAAUAUUAGUGCAUACUUUAUAUUCAAAUUUGAAAAACUAUUAAAAAAAAUGUCUAAACAUAAAUAUUUUAUAAAAAAAUAAACUGAGGAGUUGGAAUAAUAUUAUUUGUAUUUCGAGUCAUGAAAUUUAAAUGAUACUUUAUUAGAAGGGAUUAAAUCUAUUUAAGUACCUUUAAGAAUUUAUAUUUAAUCUUUCAAAUAUAUAAAAACAGUUUUAACUGCUUAAAUUGAACACAUACAUUGGUCUCCAAUAAAAAUAAAAUGAUUUUUAACUCAGUUGAAAUUAUGAUCCGUCCUUAUCAAAGGAUUCUCAUUUUAUCAUUACUUACUUCGUCUCCAUUUUUGUCUCACAAUUUUGUUUUAAUUUGCUUCAUCUUCAACCUACAAAUAAAAUAUAGAUGCAAGUGAAAAAAUAUAUAAUGGAAAAAAAUUUAAUAAAAAAUGGUGAAACCAAUCAAAAUAUACACAUUUUGAUUAUGUAAAAAGGAAUGAAUUAAGUGACUAAAAUUUUAAAUGGCUUAAAAAACAAUGUUAUCAACAUUUGAGAUAUGUACAUGUUGAAUAUGAUGAGUAUGAAUACAAUUUUUAAAAUGUUUUGGCAUAUAAUGGAAGGAUCAUAUCUCAUAUGCAAAACAAGUCUAGAAUAAUUGUUUAAAUGAAAUAUAAGAUGUGUAAAAGAAAAUUAAUAGGACGAAGUUGGUUAAGUAGUUUACCACAGUUAAUGCUUCUUUCUUGAUUGGCCCUUUACAAAAUUGAAAAUAUUUUGCAUCCGUUUCGGUUGCGGCUCUUCUUCCUCUGUUUCCUCAUAGAUAUUACGUUUUCGUUUUAUGUGAGAAGUGCUACCUACUGAUCCAUGGUUGUGAGCGGAGUGUUGGUGGAUGUGUUCAAAAUUUGGAGAAGAUUGACUGGUAUCGCACUACAACUCUUUCAUUUCUUCCAAAUCUUUCUCAUACACUAUUCUAACACCACACUUCUUCACCUUAACAUUACGAGAAUUUGGUCCAAGUUCGAUAUUGAAAGACAACUCAAGCUCAUCUUCAAUUUGGUCUAAGCAAUCUGUUGUCCAUAAAUUAGUGGUUUCACAGUCGUCAUAUUUAUCCUCCAAGGAAGGAUAUAGCCUAAAAAAAUCAAGAACAUAAAAUAAGAAAAUAAAAUAAAUAAUGUAUAAUGUAGGAUAAAAAAAGAAAUAGUAUGUAACUUUUGUUGAAUGACUUACAGUGUUUUUUGUUAGGACAUGAUGGACAUCCCUUUCCUCCCACAAUCUGCAACGUUUUCCAGGUUCAUCAACACAUUUUUCUGUAACAAUUUUUCUUCCCAUUUCUUGCAACAAACUAUGCAUCCACAAAUAUUGGUUGCUAUCAUCGACUUUUAUUAAAGAUUUCUUAAUGAGAACAUCAAUUCCAAUAUCGGGACAAAACUCACAACCAUCCAAUACUUUGAUUACAAAAUCUUUCUUCUCCCUGUUGAAGAAGCAUGCUAUAUCUAAAAAUAUAUUCUUCUCCCUUUCUUCCAGUCCAUCAAAACUGAUUCGAAGUUUAUCGAGAAUUUCUUUAUUAGAAUCUCUUUUAAGUCUUUCAAUCGCACUGCUCCAUUGAGUAGCAUCUCUACCGCACAAAAAGGAACCCAAAAUUUCAAGAGCUAAAGGGAGUCCACCAGCAUAAUUUACAACAUGUUUAGAAAGCUCAAUGAAAUCAACUUUCUGCACUGUAUCACUAUGAAAAGCUUUCAGACUGAAAAGUUGAAGCGCAUCUUUGGGAUUCAAUGUUAUGGGCUCAUACAUAUCAUCAACUGGCAAAGAUCGAAGCAAAUGUUCUUCUCUUGUUGUUACAACGAUUCUACUUCCUAAUCCGAACCAAUCGUGCCUUCCAACCAAGCAUUUUAAGUGUUGUAUGUUAUCAACAUUAUCAAGAACAACAAGAACCUUUUUGUAAGACAACCUAUGGCUAAUAAUGUCACUCCCUUCAUGAACAUCGAAAAAGUUGAAGCACUCACCAUGAAAGAUCUGUGAAAGAAGUUGUUUCUGUAAAGAAACUAGUCCGCAUUUGUCUGAAACUUCUCGAAUAUCAGCAAUAAAGCUUUUACCUUCAAACUGAGAUGACAUUUGAGUGUAAGCAACUCUUGCGAGUGUCGUUUUACCGAUACCACCCAUUCCGCAAAUUCCUAUAACGCGGACAUCAUCUUCCCCAAUGUUUAUUUUCAAAUAUAAAUCCUCCAAGCGUUCACUAAUUCCAACCAAGUCGCUAUGAGUAGCUGGAUAUGUCUGACAUAGUUUUGCUGAUAUCUUCUUGACAAUGUCUUUAAUAAAUCCUGAUUCAUGCCUAAAAAAAAAGAUGAAAAUUUAAUGUUUUGAAUAAAAUUUUGUUGAUAUGUUUCAAAUACACUUUCUUUUUCAAUGAAUCAUCAAACAUAAUAUAUUUGGAAGCAAACAAGAACCAAGAAUAAGAAAGCAAGAUCUGUUGCGGAGCCAGAAUACAAAGUUUGCUCUUGUAUUGAAAUAUGACACUUUUCAAUUAAACACAUAGGAUUAGAAAGAAAAAAAAAAGUUAUACAUAUAUAUCCAAAAAACUAGAAAAUAAAGAAGAAAAGAAAGAAUUACCUGUUAUUUAAAUGCCAUCCCUUGAUUCCAGCCACUUGAAUUAAAGCAUUUCGCCAUCUUUGGAUCUUCUCACUAUCUUCUUUGUAUCUCUCUUUAUGUCUGGCAAAGGCUUCUUCCACUUUCUCUUUUUGUUUUCUUAAAUCAGAUGGACCAACAUGGUAAAAAAUUGGAAACACUUUAUGGCCGUCGUUGUUAUGUUGUUUAACAAUCUGAGCAAGCUCCUCCAAGCACCAACUUGAAAAGGCAUAAUUUUGUGAAAAAACGAUUACUGAGCACCAUGAUUGCUGAAUUGCUUUAAAGAGUUCAGGUGCAAUCUCUUCGCCGGCCUCCAGCUUUGGAUCAUCUCUGAAAGUGACGAUCCCACUCCUACUUAGAGCAUCAUAGAGAUGAUCGGUAAAGUUGUUGCGGGUAUCUUCACCUCUGAAACUCAAGAAAACAUCAUAUUUUUUUCUAGAAAUGGAGGAAGAAGCUGAAGGUAACGACAACAUAAGGAUGUAUGAAAGGAGAAGGAUAUUUCGAUCUAGUGUUCAAAAUCAGAAAAUAAUGAAUAUAUGAGGAAAAACAAAUCAAAAAUAGAAGAAGGCCGGGUGAAAUGUUCUUUCCAUGAAGGUGAGAGUUAAAAAUGUUAGACGGUUUGUAUUUUAUGUACUUAACAAUGAAAGAUAAUAAUUAAAAAUAUUACUUUUCGAUGUUAUAGAUGUUGUUUCUGGGAAGACUCCAAGAAGGUGAGAGUAGACAAAAUGGAGCCUACAGUUAUUAUUAAGUAUUGGUGUAUAGAACAAAGAACAUGCAAGUUGGCUGAGACUUGAGCAGCAAGGCUCGAGACUUGCAGAAGAAACAACAGAUUUCUAAACAGAAAAUUGAAAAGGAAAACAAGGAAAAAUGGAGAGUAUUGGAACAAAAACAGAUUGAAUUCAUUCAAACUUGAAUAAUGGCAUAAUGCCAAUACAUAAACCAAGCAAUACAUAAUGACAAUUGAUUAUUAUUUUUCUCUAAAGUACUCAUAAAAAAAAGUUAUUAUUAAAAUGUCGUUUAAUGUUUCCGUGGUUAUGAGUGCAACUUAAAAACAUGACUGACUGAGUAACCAGGGUAGGGUGCUUGGGUUGUCAUCUUAUUUCGCGCCAGAAGGUUGUGUGGCGUGUUAGGUAAAACUCCGCUAACCGGAAUUGAUUUUUAAGAAUAUGUUGGGCUGAGUAACCGGGGUGGGGUGCUUGGCUGUCACCUCUCUUAGCGUCAAAAGGUUCGAUGUGUUCUUAAGAAAAAAUUAUAAUAAAUUAGGAGUUUGCUGGGCUGAGUAACUGGGGUGGGGUGCUUAGCUGUCAUCUCUCUUCAAGUCAAAAGAUUCAAUAUAUAUAUAUUCCUAAAGCAUUAAAAAUAUAAAUAAUAAAUAAAUAAAAAAGAAAAAAAGAAAAAAUAUAAUUUGGGGACUAAAGGAGGAAACAAAUAGGUUUUCUUGGUAGGUUUGGUAAUUUACCUAAUUUUCAUUAAAUAAUUCAAGUCGAUUCUAAUUUUUGUAUGUAUUAAUUGGAAAACUUUUUCUGUUUUACUUAAAGCAAGCUUAGGGUUCUCUUUAUUUUUCAUAUGCAUUUUUGACUGAUUUUUAUAAAACUUUGGAGUGAUAUUUCUUUUAUGACAAAAUCUAACUUUCACAGUAGAUAGGAAUCAUAAUUGAGGGCAAGAAUUGGCUAAGUAAGAGGGAAUUUGAAAGAAUUUUGCAUGUGAUUUUAGAAUUUUUACAGUGGGUGGUAGUGGUGAUCUAUGUUUUUACUGUAUUAUCGUAACCUUUAUUAUCGCUUGGGGUAGGGAGUCAGAAGAUUGUCUUAUAUUUAAUGUUUAUUGUUGGGGUUUUGACAACAACAAAAGAAGAGAGCAAGAUAGAGAAUAAAGGAGGAAGAAACAAAGAACAAUUUACUUGCUCACAAAUGUGCAGCAAGGAAGCAAUAAUCUGCUUUACACUACUGAUAUGUUUGCUUAUUCAAUAUAAAACAAUACAUUUAUAAUAAAAAAAACAUCACCAAAUACUCAACUAAUCCCUCUAAUCAGCAUUGGGACUAUUAAAACAUUGCUUGUACACAUGAAUAAGCUGACUUAUCAGCUCAAUCAUCCCAUCAAAACAUCAACAACUAAGUUCAUUUUCAACCAAACUAAAUUACAGUGCAACUAAAAUAGAAAAUAUUGCUGCAACAUGCACUAUUGUUGCAGUAUGCAUACAAGCUGUAUGCACUCAACAAAAUCAUCAUAGUAGCAUGCACUUUAACAAAAACAUAAUAGUAGCAUGGCUGGCCAUUUUCAACAUUUAUGUUCGACACAUAAACACAACUUGAUCACUUUUGUUGAUUCCUCACUUGCAUUAUCCUUUGAGCCAUGCUUCUAUUGGUCUAGGGGACAAACAUAAAAAAUAACAAGAUUAUUUUUGUUCCAUUGAGAUCAUCUAUAUCGCUUGUAUAUUAUCUUACCUCAAAUCGAGAUAAUUUUGUUGAUAUCACAGAAAACACAACUGUUACCAAGAACAAAAAAAAAAAUUAGACAAGAACAAAAAAUGAAUCUAUUGACUUUUUUAAAAGAAAAAAAAAUAAGAAUAAGUGUCUAAACAUAAAUAUUUUAUAAAAAAAAUAUAAACUGAAGAGUUGGAAGAAUAUUAUUUGUACUUCAAGCCAUCAAAUUUAAAUGAUACUUUAUUAGAAGGAAUUAAAUCUAUUUAAGCACUAUUAACGAUUUAUAGUUAAUCUUCUAAAUAUAUAAAAACAGUUUUGAUUGGUUAAAUUGAAUAUAUAAUUGGUCUCCAAUAAAAAUAAAAUGAUUUUUAACUCAGCUGAAAUUAUGAUCAAUCCUUAUUAAAUGAUUCUCACUUUAUUAUUACUUCCUUCAUCUUCAUUUUUGUCUCACAAUCUUGUUUUAAAUUGCUUCAUCUUCAACCUACAAAUAAAAUAUAGAUGUAAGUGAAUAUAUAUAAUGGAAAUAAAGUUUUAAUAAAAAAAGUGAAACCAAUUAAAAUGUACACAUUUCGGUUACGUAAAAAGGAAUGAAUUAAAUAGCUAAAAUUUUAAAUGGUAUAAAAAACAAUGUUAUCAACAUUUGAAAUAUGUAGAUGUUGAAUAUGAAUAUGAAUAAAAAAUUUUAAAAUGUUGUGGCAUAUAAUGGAAGGAUCAUAUCUCAUAUGCAAAACAAGUCUAGAAUAAUUGUUUAAAUGAAAUAUAAGAUGUGUAAAAGAAAAUUAAUAGGACGAAGUUGGUUAAGUAGUUUACCACAGUUAAUGCUUCUUUCUUGAUUGGCCCUUUACAAAAUUGAAAAUAUUUUGCAUCCGUUCUGGUUGCGGCUCUUCUUCUUCCGUUUCCUCAUAGAUAUUACGUUUUCGUUUCAUGUGAGAAGUGCUACCUACUGAUCCAUGGUUGUGAGGAGAGUGUUGGUGGAUGUGUUCAAAAUUUGGAGAAGAUUGAGUGGUAUGGCACUGCAACUCUUUCAUUUCUUCCAAAUCUUUCUCAUACACUAUUCUAACACCACACUUCUUCACCUUAACAUUACGAGAAUUUGGUCCAAGUUCGAUAUUGAAAGACAACUCAAGCUCAUCUUCAAUUUGGUCUAAGCAAUCUGUUGUCCAUAAAUUAGUGGUUUCACAGUCGUCAUAUUUAUCCUCCAAGGAAGGAUAUAUUUUAUCACGCGACCAAUAACCAAGUAAAAGGUGAUCUUUCAUUAUUGGUUCACGCAGCUCCCAGCCUCUCCAACCAAUCCGUCGAUGAUUUCUACCUCGAAAAAUAGAUCCAUUACAGCUUGCUUGAUCAGAAUUUCUACAAUAGAUAUAUGCUCCACAACCGAUAGACUCGUUAUGCCUUGAAGCAUCAUUAUUGACAAAAAUGCAGCAAGAAGCAACUCCAAUCCAUUGACUAUCUUUCCGAAGGUUGAUAGGUAGGGGUAUCUUAAUUGAAGAGUCACUUUUUUGUUGGCUAAACCAUUCUGGAAUUUCACUUCCGGGCAUCAUAAUAUCAACGAAGCCAUAAUCAAACCGUUUUCUAGAAUUUGGAAAGGCCUGCAAAAUAAAACACAAGUCGUCUGGUAACUAAAACCAUAAAUUCUCAAGCAUGAGAUUUUGUAAGGUAGACAAAAUAGAUUAAUAGACCUUAAUAUGUUCUUUCAGCAGUAUUAAUGCAUUGAUUUUCUCAGCCAAUUUGAAGCAGUUAGUGGCACAAAUGUCAACACAACCCACGAAAUUGCGUACUUUUGAUGGACUUGCAACUACUUCAAGUGAAGAACAGCCAUCUAUUUUCACAAGUGCUAUACGUGUUGGUAGCUCAGGCAACGAUUUAAGCAUCUUGAAACCUGACAAUUUAAGCAAUUUGAGCCUGGAAAGUUGAGUAAGAGCCAAAGGAAGGGUGAUGAAAUUCUUACCACUAAGAUUAAGAUAACUCAAAGAGGAUAGACCAGAAAUAUCACUAUGAGUAUCUGCUUCACCAAAAGUGCACAUGUUGCAAUUUGACAUUAAUAUAAGAUUUGCAAGCUUCGAGAGUCGAGUAAGAGAUGCAGGUAUGCUGAUGAAAUUAUUACCACUAAGAUCAAGAGAUACCAAAGAGGAUAGACCAGAAAUAUCAGGUGGAAUAUCUCCUUCACAGAGAUUGCAGUCCCUUAGAUUCAACUCUCUUAAUGAACUCAAACCUGACAACAAAGGCAACAUCCGAGCCAUGGGAUUCGUCCUUCUUCCUUGGAUUACCUUGAAAAGAGAAGGCAAAUUUGGUAGUAACUUAUAUGAUGGUCCCUUGCCCCCACUGAAAGACAGAACUUUAAGAUUUUUAAAUUGAAAAAUGAAGGAUGGUGGUUCUGUUAUGGCUGUUUCACUCAAGUCGAGCUCUUCCAAAAACGUUGCCUGCUGCAAAUUCUCCGAUAAAUUUUCCACUCUAUAACAACCGGAAAGAUCUAGAGUUUUUAGACGUUCCAUUUUCCCAUCAAUCUCCGGAAACAUUACAAGACUUGAGCAACCCGAAAGAAUUAAUGUUUCUAGAGAUUCCAUUCCAAUUUUGGUUGGAAGAGUCCUAAGACUUUUGCAAUCUCUUAAAUUCAAAAAUUUAAGGCUCUUAAGCACCCCGAUUGAUGGAUGAACAUCCACUAAUUUGGUACAACCUUUCAAAAUCAAAACUUCAAGAUUUGAUGCUGUUGUGAAGUCUGGUGUCUUGAUCAGGUUUUGAGACCCUCUGAGGUUCAUUAUUUUCAAGUUAAACAAGAAGACCAUAAUAAAUUAGAAACAAAUGAGAAAACAUAAUAAUGCCCAUUUUUGUUUUUUUGUUUUACCUUAAUCAAAGUUUAAUAAUUUAUAUUAAAAUAAGCUAAAACACAAGGAUAAGAUGAGUUAAUUCUUACUCUAUUUCCCUUCCAUAGUUGUUGAAUGUGACUAUAUGGUAAAAGAAGUGCGACAAGGUUGUCCGGUUGAAAGCUUGAAGGUAAGUAUCUUAAAGGGUAUGCUGUCCAAUCUAAAAGUCGUAAUUCAUUAGAAAGAUAUUUGAGAUCAUCACAAUUUGAAAGGCAAAGCACUUUGAGCAAUCUCAGUUUUUUCAUCUUCAAGAACGUAUCCACACUCAAAUUGAGCAUCUUGUUUGGUUCCCUAAUAUCCAUGAGCAAAACAAAAAUGAGCUUCAAAAUAUACAAAAAUAUUCAAUAUCUAAAAGAAAUGUUGCAUCGAAAUUGUUUUUUAAGUACUCGUAUCCAAUACUUUUAUCUAAUGCACAUUCGUAUAUGGGUAUUAAGAUAUGAUCCUUUAAGAACCUUUUAAAUAUGGAAAAAAAACAAUUUUUAAUUUUUUUUUGAAUAUACCCAUAUUAAAGAGAUACUUAUAUCUAACAAUCACAUCUGAUGUUAAGUUACCUAAUCCUAAAAAAUUGAAUUAAUAUGUUAAUUUAUAUUUGGUCCGCAAACAAUGCAUAAUUUACAAGUUAAUGAACAAUGACACAUAAUUAAAAAUGAAACCAUUUUCAUUAAAAAAAUUUUGAUGACAUGUUAUAAUAUAAUUCGUUGAUAUAUGCUUUUAGUACAUUAAAUAUAUACAAUUAAUUUUCACAAAAAAAUAUACCAUUAAUAUUUCAAAAAUAAGUACAUUUCACUUUUGAUUCUUUUGAAAAAGAAAAUAUGUUGCUAGAUAAAUUUCAUAAUUAGACAUAGAAAUAUUGAAUGUCAAAAGUUUUGCUAUAGUUUUUUUAUCAUAUUUAAAAAUAAUAAUUUUUAUAGUACACAUAGAUAUAAGUUUAUGUGUAUCUUUUUACCUUUUAUUAUCGAUGAUUAUGCUUUCAAUCAUUUUUGUAGCCUAAAAAAAUCAAUAACAGACAAUAAGAAAAUAAAAUAAAUGGUGAAUAAUGUAGGAUAGAAAAGAAAUAGUACGUAACUUUUGUUGAAUGACUUACAGUGUUUUUUGUUAGGACAUGAUGGAUAUCCCUUUCCUCCCACAAUCUGCAACGUUUUCCUGGUUCAUCAACACAUUUUUCUUUAACAAUUGUUCUUCCCAUUUCUUGCAGCAAGUCAUGCAUCUUCAAAUAUUUGUUGUGUUCAUCGACUUUUACAAGAGAUUUUUUAACGAGAACAUCAAUUCCGAUAUCAGGAAAAAACUCACAACCAUCCAAUACUUUGAUUACAAAAUCUUUCUUCUCCCCAUUGAAGAAGCAUGCUAUAUCUAAAAAUAUAUUCUUCUCCCUUUCUUCCAGUCCAUCAAAACUGAUUCGAAGUUUAUCGAGAAUUUCUUUAUUAGAAUCUCUUUUAAGUCUUUCAAUCGCACUUCUCCAUUGAAUCGCAUCUCUACCGCACAAAAAGGAACCCAAAACUUCAAGAGCUAAAGGGAGCCCACGAACAUAAUCUAUGACAUGUUCAGAAAGCUCAAUGAAAUCAUCUUUCGGCACUGUAUCAGUAGGGAAAGCUUUCAGAUUGAAAAGUUGAAGCGCAUCUUUGGGAUUCAGUGUUGUGGGCAUAUACACAUCAUUAACUUGGCAGCAUCGAAGCAAAUGUUCGUCUCUUGUUGUUACAAUGAUUCUACUCCCUAAUCCGAACCAAUCAUGCCUUCCAACCAAGCAUUUUAGGUGUUGUAUGUUAUCAACAUUAUCAAGAACAACAAGAACCUUUUUGUGAGACAACCUAUGGCUAAUUAUUUUAUUUCCUUCAUGAACAUUGAAAAAGUUGAAGCAUUCACCAUGAAAGAUCUGUGAAAGAAGUUGUUUCUGUAAAGAAACUAGUCCGCAUUUGUCCGAAACUUCUCGAAUAUCAGCAAUAAAGCUUUUACCUUCAAAAUGAGGUGACAUUUGAGUGUAAGCAACUCUUGCGAGUGUCGUUUUACCGAUGCCACCCAUUCCGCAAAUUCCUAUAACGCGGACAUCAUCUUCCCCAAUGUUUAUUUUCAAAUACAAAUCCUCCAAGCGUUCACUAAUACCAACCAAGUCGCUAUGAGUAACUGGAUAUGUCUGACAUAGUUUUGCUGAUAUCUUCUUAACAAUGUCUCUAAUAAAUUCUGAUUCAUGCCUAAAAAAAAAAAAAUUUAAUGUUUUGAGUAAAAUUUUGUUGAUAUGUUUCGAAUGCACUUUCUUUUUCACUGAAUCAUGAAACAUAAUAUAGUUUGGAAGCAAACAAGAACCAAGAAUAAGAAAGCAAGAUCUGUUGCGGAGCCAGAAGACAAAAUUUGCUCUUUUACUGAAAUAUGACACUUUUCAAUUAAACACAUAGGAUUAGGGAAAAAAAAAUGUUAUACAUACAUACAUAUAUAUAUAUAUCCAAAAAACUUGAAAAUAGAGAAGAAAAGAAAGAAUUACCUGUUAUUUAAAUGCCAUCCCUUGAUUGCAGCCACUUGAUUUAAAGCAUUUCGCCACCUUUGGAUCUUCUCACUUUCUUCUUUGUAUCUCUCUUCAUGUCUGGCAAAGGCUUCUUCCACUUUCCCUUUUUGUUUUCUUAAAUCAGAAGGAUCAACAUCGUAAAAAAUUGGAAACACUUUAUGGCCGUUGUUGUUAUGUUGUUGAACAAUCUCAGCAAGCUCCUCCAAGCACCAACUUGAAAAGGCAUAAGUUUGUGAAAAAACGAUUACCGAGCACCAUGAUUGCUGAAUUGCUUUAAAGAGUUCUGGCGCGAUCUCUUCACCGGCCUGCAGCUUUGGAUCAUCCCUGAAAGUGACGAUCCCACUCCUCUUUAGAGCAGCAUAGAGAUGAUCGGUGAAGUUUUUGCGAGUAUCUUCACCUCUAAAACUCAAGAAAACAUCAUAUUUCUUUCUAGAAAUGUAUGAGGAAGUUGAAGGUAAUGACAACAUGACGAUGUUUGAGAAGAAAAAUAUAUAUGUGGAUGUAGUGUUCAAAAUCAGAAAAUUGAUCGCUCAAUACGCCAGAAAGAAAGUAGAAACAAUAAGUAUAUGAGAGUGAAGAUCGAGAAAAGCAGAUGAAAAUUCCAGGGAAGAAUAAAGGACGUUUCUAAGCAAUUUCUCUAUAACCUUUGAAUUUUCGAAAUGAAUACGAGUAGGUGUUGACAUUGGGUGAUGCAUGUUCUUUCCAGGAAGAAUCCAAGAAGGUGGGUGUUGACAAAAUGGAGCCUACAAUAAUUUUAAGUAAUAAGAAAGUGUUGGACGGUUUGUGUUUUACUUUCAUUUACAUAAUCAUAUAUAUAAUUGUCUAUAUAACUAUAUAUUAAAGGAGUAUUUGUAGACACCAGUCCAGGGAGGACAAUGCGUUAUUUUAAAUUCGGUCCCUCACAUUUUGCCUUUAAUAUGAUUAAGUUCUAUUCGAAGCAUUUAAAAUGUUCAUUAGGUGCAGACUAAAAUAACUUAUAUUUACUCACUAUCAUAAUAUUUUAUGUAUGAAUACAAUUUAUUAAUUUAAUGUAUAGGAUUUUUUUUUCUUUUACAUUAUAAGAAAUUGUUAGAAUUUCAAUUUUAGUUUUUUAUUAUGCCUAAAUUUAAGAUUUAAUAUUUAAUUUCUAACCUAAUUUAAUCAUAUAUUUUUAUAAUGUUAUUAGUCAGACAUAUAAUUAAUAUUGUUGAAUUUUCUAUUAGUUAUAGCAUUAUAAACAUGUGAAGUUGUUGCGAGUAUCUUCACCUCUAAAACUCAAGAAAACAUUAUAUUUCUUUUUAGAAAUGGAGGAAGAAGUUGAAGGUAAGGGCAACAUGAGUAUGUAUGAAAGGAGAAGAAUAUCUCAAUCUGGUGUUCAAAAUCAGAAAAUAGAUCGCCCAAUACCCACAAAGAAACUAGAAAAGUAAGUAUAUGAGCAUAGGGGUGGAAAUUAGGGGCCGACAAAGUAAGUAUGUUAUCUGUUUUAUGUUGGAUCAAUUUGAGAUAUAAUUAAUCUCAUAAUUUGCAGGUUGUUGUUAAGACUUAUUCUCAUCUUUCAUCUAUUGAUUUAGUCUUGUUUGAAUUGGAUUGAUCGAUCGAUUAGAUCAAGAGCCGACAAAGUAUUAGUUCGAUGAGUGAUUUUGAAUUGAUUAGAUUCAAAAUUGAUACGAACCGAUUCAACCUGUUAAAAACUAAAUGAAUCAAACUCUAUUUUAACUUUUUAAAAUUUUAAUAGUUUUUUAAUCAUUGGACCAACAAACUAAUAGCCUAUCCAAUUCGACUAGCAAAUCCGAUUUAACUCAAGAAAACAUCAUAUUUUUUUCUAGAAAUGGAGGAAGAAGUUGAAGGUAAGGACAACAUGAGGAUGUAUGAAAGGAGAAGGAUAUUUCAAUCUGGUGUUCAAAAUCAAAAAAUAAUGAAUAUAUGAAGAAAAACAUAUGAAAAAUAGAAGAGGGCCGGGUGAUAUGUUCUUUCCAUGAAGGUGAGACGGUUUGCAUUUUAUGUACUUAACAAUGAAAGAUAAUAAUUAAAAACAUUAGUUUUCGAAAUGAAAGGGAGUAGGUGUGGAAAUUCGGGGUUAUAGAUGUUGUUUCCGGGAAGACUCCAAGAAGGUUGUGUUUUACUCAAAUUUCUCAAAUAUCUUAAACAUUUGGGAUUUGCACAAGCUCAAUUACUUCCAGAACCGGCGACCUGGAUUCUAAAUUCCAAUAAUUCUUUUCCGCGAAAAUCAAACUAAUCAAAGAUGCAUAGAUGAAUACAUAAAAAAUAAAAGAGUGAGGAAUUAAGGAUAAAAGUAUUCAAAUCUGCCUAAUUUCAGGAAUCAAAGAGUUGAUACACGAAAUGUCAAAGUCAGAGUGAACAGUGACUAGGAAAAUGGUUUUUUUUUUUUUUUACAAAAAAAAAAAAGAAGUUAAGAACUGAGGUAUACAGACUAAUGAAGUUUUAAUCCCACAAGUAAUUUUACAGGCUUUUCCCAGAGGUUUUAGGUGAAAUACUGGGGACAUUUUAAGCGGUGAAAAUCUCCUCUCAAAUUUCUAUGGUUUUGUUACUAAAAUGAAAAUAAAAUUUUAAAAAAUAAAAAAAAUGAAACCAAUUAAAAUGUGCACAUUUAAAUUAUGUAAAAAGGAAUGAACUAAGUGACUAAAAUUUUAAAUGGUAUAAAAGAAUGUAAUCAACAUUUGGGAUAUGUAUAGAAUAUGAGCUCAUGUUGAAUAUGAGUAUGAACAAAAAAUUCAAAUUUGUUUGAUAUAUACGAAGGAAUGUAAAUAAGUCUAGAAUGAUUAAAUUAAAUAAAAGAUGUAAACAAUAAUUAAUAGGACAAGGUUGGUUAAGUAGUUUACCACAGUUAAUGCUUCUUUCCCGAUUGGCCCAUUAUAAAAUUGAAAAUUUUUUGCAUCAGUUUUGAGCAGAGUGUUGGUGGACGUGUUCAAAAUUGGGAAAAGAUUGAGUGGUAUGUCACUGCAACUCUUUUAUUUCUUCCAAAUCUUUCUCAUACACUAUUCUAAUACCACACUUCUUCACCUUACCGCCUCUAGAUCUAUCUGAGAAAGACAUCCAGAGCUCAUCAUAUUUUUUAUCUAAGCAAUUUAUUGUCCAUAAAUUAUUGGUUUUACAGUCACCAUAUUUAUCCUCCAUGGAAAUUGGAUAUAAUAUAUGCUUUAUCCGCCAAAAACAAAGAAAAUGAUGAUAUUUAAUUAUGGGCAGGUGAAAUCCUCUAUCCACCGACGAGUUACUCCAAGCAAAAUUUAGAGAAAUUUUACCUCGAUAUAAUUUACGGGUGGCUUGUUGAAAAUUUCUAUACAAGAUAGAUCCAUUACAACUGAUAAUCUCGCUUGAAGCAUCAUCACCGAUAAAAAUGCAGCAACAAGCAACUCCAAUCCAUUGACUAGCAUUCCGAAGGUUGAUAGGUUGGGGUAUCUAAAUUGAAGAGCCACUUUUUUGUUGGCCAAACCAUUCUGGGAUUUCACUUCCGGGCAUAACAAUAUCAAACGGUUUUCUUGAAUUUGCAAAUGCCUGCAAAAUAAGACACAAGUCGUUCGGCAACUAAAACCAUAAAUUCUCAAGUAUGAGAUUUUGUAAGGGAGAAAAAAUAGAGUAAUCGACCUUAAGAUGUUUUUCCAGCAAUGUUAAUGCAUUGAUAUUCUCAGCCAAAUUGAAGCAGCUAAUGGCUUUAACGGUAGCCCCGUACACUGGAUUGCAUAUUAAUGAACUUGGAACUACUUCAAGUGAAGAACAACCAUCUAUCCACACCUCUUUUAUACUUGGUAGCUCAGGCAACGAUUUAAGCAUCUUGCAAUCUGACAAGUGACAAUCUAAUAGAAUGAAGCUUGGAAAGUCGAAUAAUAGAUGCAGGUAUGCUGAUGAAAUUGUUACCACUAAGACCAAGAUCUGUCAAGGAGGAUAGGCAAGAAAUAUCACGUGGAAUAUCUCCUUCACCAAGAUUGCAGUCCCUUAGCUUCAACUUUCUUAAUGAACUCAAACCUGACAAUGAAGGUAACAUCGGGGCCAUGGAAUUUGUCCUUCCUCUUCGAUUAACUUGAAAAGAGAAGGAAGAUUUUGUUGUAACUUAGAUAAUCUUUUGCAUCCACUGAAAGACAGAACUUUAAGAUUUUUAAAUUGGAAAAUGAAAGAUGGUGGUUCUGUUAUGGCUGUUUCACUCAAGUCGAGCUCUUUCAAAAACUUUGCUUGCUGCCAAUUCUCUGAUAAAUUUUCAAUUCUAUAAACAUCAAGAGUUUUUAGACGUUCCAUUUUCCCAUCAAUCUCCGGAAACCUUACAAGACUCGAGCAACCCGAAAGAAUUAAUGUUUCAAGAGAUUCCAUUCCAAUUUUGGUCGGAAGAGUCCUAAGACUUUUCUAAUCUCUUAAAUUCAAAAGUUUAAGGCUCUUAAGCACUCCGAUGGAUGGAUGAAUAUCCACUAAUUUGGUACAACCUUCCAAAAUCGAAACUUCAAGAUUUGAUGCUGUUGUGAAGUCCGGUGUCUUGAUCAGGUUUUGGAACCCUUUAAGGUUCAUCAUUUUCAACUUAUACAAGGGCCGUUGAAGGCCAUAAUAAAUUAGAAACAAAUGAGAAAACAUAAUAAUGCUCAUUUUUUUUACCUUAAUCAAAGUUUAAUCAUUUAUAUUAAAAUAAGUUAAAAUGAUGAGUUAAUUCUUACUUUAUUUCCCUUCGACAGUUGUUCGAUGUGAUUAUAUAGUAAAAGAAGUGCGACAAGAUUGUCUGGUUGGAAGCUUGAAGGCAUGUAUUUUAAAAGAUAUCUUGUCCAAUUUAAAAGCUGUAGUUUAUUAGAAAGAUAUUUGAGAUCAUCAUAAUUUGAGAGACAAAGCACUUUGAGCAAUCUCAAUUUUUUUUAUCUUCGAGAAGAAAUUGACAUUCAAAUUGAACAUAUUAUUAAAUUCCCUAAAAAAAAUAUGGACAAAACAAAAAUGAGGUUCAAAGUACACAAAGGAUUCAAAACCUAAAAGCUAUGUUGUUUGGAUAUUAGUUUUUUAAGUACCCGUGUCUGAUAGUUAUAUUUUAUCAUAAGAUUCUUAUGCAUAUCAGAAUAUGGUAUUAAGAUACUUAAAUACAUGAAAAAAAGACCUUUUUUAAAAAAAUAUUCAUACUCAUAUUAAAGACAUAUUAUAUCUAAUCAUUAAAAAUGUUGGACGGUUUGUAUUUUAUGUAUUUAAUCAUAAGAUUAUGAAAAUAAUAAUUAGAAUAUAAUUUUAAAUACACUCUUUCCACAGUAGGUUGUUUAGUAUAUUAGGUGAGGAGAAUACCAAUGUAACUUUAAAAUAUGAACAAAUCCAGACUGUCACCUUCAAUUCACCAUCGACCUAAUUCUAAGAAUGGCAUUUAUGUAAUACUUUUGUCAAACCCAAAAUAAUUCAUAACCAUCAAAGAAAUUUAUAACUUAAAAAAUUUAAGAUUCAAAUCUAAAAUUAAACUCAAGAUGAUUUGAAUUAUCACAUAAAAAUGGAACUCUACCUCAAACCUAAAAUAACUUAAAUUCAAAUUUAGUUAAAAAAAAAACUUCAAACUUGAAUUGAGAAAUCUACAUAUAUCUUGUUUUCUAACUAUUUUUUAGUUUUAUUACACCUUAAAAAGAAAUAUAUUACUUGGGAAAAAUAAAGGGGUUAGUGAGAAUGAGGGUGAUAGAGGUUAAUGUGAACAUGAAUGAUUAAGUCAGUAAGAACUUUGUAUAGCAUGGGGAAUUACAGAUGAAUACUAUAGAUAUUUGUAAACAUUUCACCCUUUGUAAUUAUCGUUUUCUGCUUAUUGGGUAAAUAAACUAAAAGUUAUCCAAAAUUCCUUUUUAGAAAUUUUCUUUUUGACUCUUUUGUGAAUAUAAAUGAUCCAUGCAUAUUGUCACGUAAACUGCCAUGUUAAUGUCAUUCAAAACAAAAUAAUUUGACUAAAUUUUAAUGACAAAAUGAGUAAAUAUUAAUGGCUAAAUUUGUCUUUAUACCAAAAACUUAAAGCCAAGUUUGAUUCGGUCCAUAUUAACUCAACUCGCUCAAUUGACAUAUCUACAUAUAUCUCGUUCUCUAAUUAUUUUCUACUUUCCAAAUAUUAUCAAGCUUGAGCUUGACUCAAAAUUUAAAGCUUGAUAUUCAGUUCAAGCUAAGCUCAAGAUAUAAUCUAGUUGCUCGAGCUCGAAUUCAUAUAAGCUUAUUUAUCAAUUUUUGUACUCAAACUCGAACUCGAUUAAACUUGUUUAUCAAUUUUCAUACUCAAGAUCAAACUUGAGCUCGGGCUUGACUCGAUAAUUAAACUUAAGGUUAAUAAUAUAUAUAUUAAGUAAUAAUGUAAUUUAAUAAAAAAAUAUUUAAAAUGUAAGUUAAAAUUGAAAAGCUCAGUAAGGCUUGUGAGCCAUCCAAGCGGAGUAUUACUAAGCUCGUAUUCAGUUCAAUUGAUAGCUCAAGUCCAAGCUCGUCUCAAUAAUUAUCAAAUCAAAUUUGAGUUUUUUUCUAUGGCGACCCCUCUAAAAUUGGCGAGUUACCACAAAGUGGCAGCCUGAUUACUUUGGUGAGUUAAGAAUAUGAACUGGAUUUGUAGAACUUGCAUGCAAGAUAUGUUUAUAGAUUAUGUUUCCUUUCUAGAAGAUUUAGUAUUUAUUAGUAUAAUAUAUUUUUAGUUAUUAAUGUAAAAUCUUUGUUAUUUCUUUCCAUAUUUAGGAGUUUUUUAUAUUAUAAAUAUCUUUGUUUUAUUGUCCAAAUGUUGUGAGUAAAAUAUAUAAAAAUUUAGCAAACAAUUUUGUUGCUAAAUUUCUUAUUUAUACUCUAUAACUAUUUCUUCUUUAGUAUCGAAAUUCCAACAAUUAUCAUGUAAUCUAUUAAUUGUUUAUAUUUAUUAAAAGUGUAUCUAUUACACUUUUAAAAACUUACAAUUUUCACGUCAUAAAAAAUAUACAUGUGAAAUUAGGGGUGAACAAAAUUCGAUUCGAUUUGAAAAAACUCGAUAAAAAAUUUAAUUUUUGAAUUACAUAGUUCGAGUUAUUAGAUUUAAUCGAAUUAUUCGGAUCAACUCGAAUAAAAAAUAUAUUUUUCAGUUUAACUCGAAUAUAAAUUAUACAAUUCAAGUUGUCUGAAAAUCCGAAUAAGAAAAAGUAACACUAUAUUGUUUUGAUAAAUGUUUAUAUUUUCUGAAGUUAAAUAUAAAAUUUUUUAACUCGAUUCGACUCAACUGAAUCGAAUAUGUGAAAUGGAAAAUGUAGAAAUUUAAAUGACUCAUAAGCUAUAAUUGUCACCUUAGCAGAUAUCAUUGGCAUUUAACAAUACGUGAAAGAAUUUAUUCGAUAAAUGUUGUUACUUAAAUGACUCAACUGAGGGAUUUAAAUGAUUUUUAUAAAAUACUUAGAAAAUUUUUUAAACCAUUAAGCCAAGUUAGAAAAAUAUUUUUUAAAUUAAUUCCCUAAUUAGGGAUUUUUAAGAUUAUUUCCUAUAACAUGUUUUUUUAUGGGAGGCUACCUCGACAUCCAAGAUGAUGAGGUUCAUUGGAUUUUAAGUCACCAUGGAAUUAAUAUGUAGAGAAGUAGAAAUGAAAAUUCAGUGUGAAGGCAGCCUUUAAUUUAUUUAUUUCAAUUUACUUUAAUUCAUUUAAUUUUGAUUAAGAUUAAUAAUUUUAUUCAAUCGCUAUAUUAAACAAAUUAAAAACUUCAAUAAACGUCAUAUUUAAAUUUCUAUUUGAAUUUACAUUUUAUAUUAAAAAAAGUUCAUUCAAAAUGGUAUAAUUUAUAAUUAUCUAAUAACAUAACCCAUUUUAGAAACCCCAAUUCGCUCGAGUCUAUUAUUACUUUAGUGUCUGCUUCCAUUUCAACUGGGCAACUUCUGUUGGUCCUUCACUUCUAUGCAUCCACUAAGUGAGCGAACUUCCAUGCUUUUAUUGAUCUAUAGGCAGUCAACAUAAAGCACCAAGAUCAUUUUCUUGCACUCAGAUCAUCUAUGUUAUUGAUAUUUUGGCUUACCUCAAACCGAUCGAGCAGCUUUAGUUAAUCCCACAAGAAACACAACUGUCAAAAUCCUUGCUCGUCUCAACCAAAAACCGCAACAUAUUUCCCUAAACUCUAACAUUAGACAAGACAUACCAAGAAUCAGUGAUAAAUGAAAAGGUUUUCAAUCCCGUUAGAAGAGAUAUUACCACUUAAAUGUAGCAAUUAGUGCAUGUUGCUUUCAAUGAAAUGCAUCUACUUCUAAGCUAAUUCUUACUUUUUAUACAUUCAAACAUAUAUUACUGUUUUCUCAUCUAAACUAUAUCCUUAGCUUGAAUAAUACUAAUUUUACUUUAAGCCAUGAAGUUUAAAUGAUACUUCUGUUAGCCCUUUUAAGUACUAUUCAGCACCCAUACAAACUACAAAAUGAAGCUAUUUAAAUUCUAAUUAAAGAAGCAGGCACUAAAUCACACCUAAACACAUUACACGCAUCCAAUGGUAUUUUCUCUUAUUAUUCCCUUUUUUUCAUAAAGUGGUUAUAUUUAAUAUUAUGUUUGACUUAUAUAUAUAUCAUCUUCCAAAUAGAUAAAAAACAAAUUUAAUAGAUUAAAUUGGACACAUAUCAUAUUUAACAGAUUAUAUUUUACAUAUAUAUAUUGUUAAAGUUGUGUCAUUCAAAUUCUAAGAGACUGCUCGCAAGUUAAGUUAAACAAAAUAUAAUUUCUUUUUAGAAGAUUUAGUAUUUAUUAGUAUCAUAUAUUUAACAUUUAUUAACAUAAUUUAUUUGACUUACUAAUUUAGCCUAUAAAUAGGCUCUUUUACAAUCUUAGAAACUUACACCCAUUAGAGACUAGAACUUAUAACACAUUUAGAAAAUUUUGUGUUUACGUUUUUUAGGGUUCUUUAUUUUUGGGUUUUCGGGGUUUAGUUUUUAUCUCCAUCUUUUGUACUUUAAAUUACAUAAACCUAAAUUUACUAAAAUUAAUAAUUUAAUUUAUAUUUAGGACAUUGAUAAUGCAUAUUUUUAAAUAUUUUCAAUGAGCCAAAUAAUGUUUUAAUUUAUAUCAGUAUAGGCCUAGGGGCGAAAUCAAAAAAAAAAUUUAGGGGAUCGAAAUUAAAUUGUAAUUUUUACGAUAGAAAAAAAAAUACUAUUUCACUAUUUUAAUAGAUUAUAUCUUUAUAAUUUUUAUAUUUUUAAGAAUGACAAAAAUAUAAUUUUACCUUUACUGAUUUAAAAUUUUAAAAAAUUUAAAAGAACCAUAUGAAAAAAAAUUAUUUUAAGGGGGUCAAGACUCAAGACCUCUGCCAGCCCCUGUAUAAGCCCUUAAUUUGUAAACACCUACAUCUCUCUAAUGUUUUAUUUCAAGGAGUAAUAUAUUGCUAGAUAAAUUUCAUAAAGAUAUUCGUGAAAUAUGAAGCACUAGAGGUUUUUGACUUUUUUUUAUUGAAUCUUUGAACAUGACAAAAAUAUAUAUUAAUAAUAGACAUCGAUAACUGUGUAUGUAUAUUUUCUUAUUUUUUUAUAGUUGAUAAUUAUACCUUCAAUUAUUUCUGUAGUUUAAAAAUAAUUAAGAACAUAAAAUAAUUAGAGGACAAAAUACACAGGAUGAAAGUACCAGGGAUGUCUCUAUUAUAGGGAUAGGAUUAAACUAUUCCAUGUACUAUAAGGGCUAGUUAAUAUAUUAUUAUGAUUUUAUAAAAUAUUAAUUAUCACAUUAAUCAGUACUAAUUAGGCAUUAUAAGAGUUAUUUAAAUGCUAAAAGACUUGCUUGUUUAAUUAUUAAUUAUUGUUUAUUUAAUGUAGAGGUGCUUAUGGGUCGGAUUAGGUGGAGUUCGGGUCGGGCCUAAGCAUGAUAAUAACAUAUUUUAUGUUUGUUCAAACCUGGCUCAACUCUAAAUAUGAGCUUAAAAUUUUAUCCAAAACUCACCCAUUUUUACAAAAGACUAAUAUUCCAUGCCCAUUUUAGAUCCGCCUAUUUUAUUUUUUAUUUUUUAAAAUAUUUAUAUUAUAUUGUUUUAAUAUUUAAUAAUUUUAUACAUUUUUAUUUAUUGAAUUUUUUAUAGUUAUCUUAACAUUAUCUUAAUGUUUACAUUAGAAUAGUAUUAUAUAUUUAGUAUAGGUUUAUUUUUUAAUGUGUUCUAAAUUGCAAAAUAUAAAGUAUUAUAAACUUAAAAAUGGGCCUAGCUGAGCCGGUUUCAAGCCUGAGCCCAACCUAUAUUUUAGAUAGACUUAAAUUUUUUGUCCAAGUUUAUUUUUGGGCCUAAUAUUUUUAUCCAAACCCUUUUAAAUUUCAGUCGGACCUUCGAAUUUAAGCAAGUAGCCCGACUAAUGAAUAGAUCUAAUUUAAUGUUAUAAUAAAAUUAAAAGUUAAUAUAUAAUAGUCUCGAGAAUCCAUUCAUAUAUAAACCAUUGGAACCAUUGAUUACUUUGAGCAAAUUUCCAUAUUGAUGUUCCUUCAAGUAAGUUACAAUUAUGCCAUGGUUGAAGAUCAUCAGAGACCGCGCUGUUCUAUCUGCACCAGCAAUGGGUGACAGAGAUAUCAUAUUCAAAUAAAUGAAUGGAAGAUUAUUUUAAUUGAUAAUAUGAUAAUAUUAUUUUUUUAUAAUUAUGUUAUAUGUUAUUUAUAUUAUGUGGAGUAAAAGGUUUAAAAUUUAUUAAAAUUUGUAAACAAAAUUCAAUUAAUUAAAAGAGCAAGUGCUAAAAAUAAAUGUAUAAAAUAUAAAAUGAAGAGUUGGAAUAAUAUCAUUUGUACUUCAAGCUAUAAAAUUUAAAUGGUACUCUUAUUAGAAGGAAUUAAAUCUAUUUAAGUCCUAUUAAGUAUUUAUGUUCAAUAUUCUUCCAAAUAUAUAAAAAAUAAUUUUUACGGAUUAAAUUUAACACAUGUUUUUAACUCAACUGAAAUUAUAAUCUAAUCCUCAUUAAAAGAUUUCCACCUUAUUAUCAUCUGUUUCGACAGAAAAUCUAUCUAAUUUUCUCCACAUUUCUAUAUAAUGAAAAUAAAAAUUUGGUAAAUAAAAAAUAAAACCAAUCAAAAUGUACACAUUUCCAUUAUGUAAAAAGGAAUGAUUAAAAUUGUAAAUGGAAUUUAAAAAAAAAAAACUAUGUUAUCAACAUUUGGGAUAGGUAUAGAAUAUAAGUAUGAAUAAAAAUUUUAAGUUUUUUUAGUAUAUAAAAGGGAUUAUAUCUGAUACACAUAUUACAAAUAAGUCUUGAGUGCUUACUACAAAUGAAAUAAAAGAUGUAAAUAAGGUAUAUAUGUAAAAAAGAAUUAAUCAGACAAGGUUGGUUAAGUAGUUUACCAAAGUUAAUGCUUCUUCUCCGAUUGGCCCAUUAUAAAAUUGAAAAUUUUUUGCAUCCGUCUUGGUUGUGGCCCUUCUCCCUCUGCUUCCUCGUAGAUAUUACGUUUUCGUUUUACGUGAGAAGUGCUACCUAGUGAUUCAUUGUUCUGAGCAGAGUGUUGGAGGAUGUGUUCAAAAUUUGGAGAAGAUUGAGUGCUAUGACACUGCAACUCUUUGUUUUCUUCCAAAUCUUUCUCAUACACUAUUCUAACACCGCACUUCUUCGCCUUAAAACUAUAGUUACCUGGAAAAGAUAUCUGAAGCUCAUCGCAUUCUUGAUCCGAGCAAUCUGCUGUUAGUAAAUUCUUGGGUUCACAUUUAUCCUCCAAGGAAGAUGGAUAUAGUUCAUCACGAGACCAAUAAUUAAGAAAAAGGUGGUCCUUCUUUAUGGGUUGGACAUAUUCCUGACCUAAAUAAAUUAUACUCGAAUGGACAUUUCGAGAAUUUUUGCAGCCAGAUUGUCCUGCAAUUUUACUCUGGAUAUUAGCUUUACAGCCGAAACUCUUAUCCCCAGAAGCACUAUCAUUGACAAAAAUGCAGCACACAGCGACUCCAAUCCAUUGACUGUCAUUCUGAAUAUUGAGAGGCAGAGGUAUUUCAAGUAAAGAGCCACCUCUCUGUUGGCUGAACCAUUCUGGGAUUUCAUUUCCAGGUAUGAUAACAAAAAACCUUUUUCUUGAAUUUGCAAAUGCCUGCAGAGUAAAACACCAGUAGUUCAGUAAUGAAAAUCAUAAAAUUUCAAGUAUGAGAUUCUAUAAGGUAAAAGAAAAGAGACAGAUUAACUGACCUUAAGAUGUUUUUUUAGCAAUGUUAAUGCAUUGUUGUUCUCCGCCAAAUUGUAGCAGUUAAUGGCUGUAAUAAAAGCAGAAUCCGAUAAAUUGCAUACUUUUGAUGGACUUGCAACUACUUCAAGUGAAGAACAACCAUCUAUCCACACAUCUUCUGUACUCGUUGGAAGCUCAGGCAACGAUUUAAGCAUCUUGCAAUCUGACAAUCUAAUAUAAUAAAGCUUGGAAAGUCGAAUAAUAGAUGCAGGUAUGCUGAUGAAAUUGUUACCCUUAAGAUCAAGGAAUUUCAAAGAGGAUAAACCAGAAAUAUCACUAGGAAUAUCUCCUUCACAAAGACUGCAGUCCCUUAGAUUCAACUCUCUUAAUGAACUCAAACCUGGCAAUGAAGGUAACAUCGGAGCCAUGGAAUUUGUCCUUCCUCUUCGGAUUAACUUGAAAAGAGAAGAAAGAUUUUGCUGUAACUUUGAUGAUCUUUUGCAUCCAUUGAAAGACAGAACUUUAAGAUUUUUAAAUUGAAAAAUGAAUUGGUGGUUCUGUUAUGGCUGUUUCACUCAAGUCGAGAUUUUCCAAAAACUUCGCUUGCUGCAAAUUCUCCGAUAAAUUUUCAACUCUAUAGCAACCGGAAAGAUCUAAAGUUUUUAGACAUUCCAUUUUCCCAUCAAUCUCCGGAAACCUUAUAAGACUUGAGCAACCCGAAAGAAUUAAUGUUUCAAGAGAUUCCAUUCCAAUUUUGGUCGGAAGACUCUUAAGACAUUUGCAAUCUCUUAAAUUCAAAACUUUAAAGCUCUUAAGUACUGCGAUUGAUGGAUGAACAUCCACUAAUUUGGUACAACCUUCCAAUGUUAGAACUUCAAGAUUUGAUGCCGUUGUGAAGUCUGGUGUCUUGAUCAGGUUUUGGGACCCUUCAAGGUUCAUCAUUUUCAACUUACACGAGGGCUGUCGAAGAUCACAAUAAAUUAGAAACAAAUGAGAAAACAUAAUAAUGCUUAUUUUUGUUUUUUUACCUUAAUCAAAGUUUAAUCAUUUAUAUUAAAUAAGCUCAAAUACAAGGAUGAGAUGAGUUAAUUCUUACUCUAUUUCCCUUCCAUAGUUGUUGAAUGUGACUAUAUGGUAAAAGAAGUGCCACAAGGUUGUCUAGUUGGAAGCUUGAAGGCAACGAUCUUAAAGGGCAUCCUUUCCAAUCUAAAAGCCGUAGCUCAUUAGAAAGAAAUUUGAGAUCAUCACAUUUUGAUAGGCAAAGCACUUUGAGCAAUCUCAAUUUUUUCAUCUUUGAAAAGGCAUGGGCACUUAAGUUGAGCAUUUUGCUCGAUUCCCUAAUAACCAUAAGCAAAACAAAAAUGAGCUUUAGGGUAUACAAAAACAUUCAAUAUCUAAAAGCUAUAUUGCAUCUGCAUUGUUUUUUUAAGUACCUGUAUUCGAUAAUUAUAUCUAAUGCAUAUCCAAAUAUAAGUAUUAAGAUAUGAUCCUUUAAAAACUCUUUAAAUACAUGGAAAAAUUUUUUCUUUUUUAAAUUGAACAUGCCCACAUAAAUAUAUAACAUAUUUAUAUCUAAUAGUCACAUCCACAUAAAAUUAUCUAAUCCUAAAAAAAUUAAAUAAUAUUUUGAUUUAUAUUUGGUCCGCAAACAAUGCAUAAUUCUAUACAAGUUGACGAACCGAACAAUAGCACAUAAUUAAAAAUGAAACAUUUUCAUUAAAAAAAAAAACCUUUUGAAGACAUGAGAAAAAACCUUUUGCAGACAUGUUAUAAUCUAAUCCACUUAUCUACAGUAUUAGUGCAUAAAUAGAUACCAUUAAUAUUUCAAAAAGUCAUACAUGUUCUCUAUUCAUUAUUUUGAAAGAGCAAUACGUUGUUAGACAAAUUUCAUAAUUAAACAUUGACAUAUUGAGCGUAUAAGGUUUUGCUAAGUUUCUAAUUAUAUUUUAAAAAGAAUGAAAUAAUUAUUUACAGUACACAUAGAUAUAUUUAUGUGUGUCUUCUUACCUUUUAUUAUCAAUAAUCAUGCCUUCAAUUAUUUCUGUAGCCUAAAACAAUCAAAAAUAGAAAAUAAGAAAACAAAAUAAAUGAUACAUAAUGUAGGAUAAAACUUUUAAAAAUUUGCAUUUUUAUUUAACAUUGUUAUACUCGAAAUAUAAUAAAUAAAGCAUUUUAAACAAAGUAAAAUAGUUUCUGAUUAGGGUAAUGCAAUGCAAUGAAAUUAUAUAUUUAUUUUUACAAGUUCUUAAUAUUUGUAAACAUCAAACAUACCUUAUCUCAAAAAGUACAAAAUAUCAUUUUUGAAGGACUGUGUAUCAACUAAUUAGACUAAGCUUUGAAUUUAUAUCAUAUAUUGAUUAGAAUUUUAAAUAAAAAAGAAAUAGUAUGUAGCUUUUGUUGAAUGACUUACCGUGUUUUUUGUUAGGAUAUGAUGGACGUCCGUUUCUUCCCAUAAUCUGCAACGCUUUCCAGGUUCAUCAACACAUUUUUCUCUAACAAUUUUUCUUCCCAUUUCUUGCAACAAGUCAUGCAUCUUCAAAUAUUCGUUGUGUUUAUCGAUUUUUACUAGAGAUUUUUUAAUGAGAACAUCAAUUCCAAUAUCUGGAAAAAACUCACAGCCAUCCAAUACUUUGAUUACAAAAUCUUUCUUCUCCCCAUUGAAGAAGCAUGCUAUAUCUAGAAAUAUAUUCUUCUCCCUUUCUUCUAGUCCAUCAAAGCUGAUUCGAAGUUUAUCGAGAAUUUCUUUAUUAGAAUCUCUUUUAAGUCUUUUAAUCGCACUCCUCCGUUGAGUUGCAUCUCUACCGCACCAAAAGGAACCCAAAACUUCAAGAGCUAAAGGGAGCCCACUAGCAUAAUCUAUGACAUAUUCAGAAAGCUCAAUGAAAUCAUCCUUCGGCACCAUAUCACUAUGAAAAGCUUUCAGAUUGAAAAGUUGAAGCGCAUCUUUGGGAUUCAGUGUUGUGGGCAUAUACACAUCAUCAACUCGGCAACAUCGAAGCAAAUGUUCGUCUCUUGUUGUUACAAUGAUUCUACUCCCUAAUCCGAACCAAUCAUGCCUUCCAACCAAGCAUUUUAGGUGUUGCAUGUUAUCAACAUUAUCAAGAACAACAAGAACCUUUUUGUGAGAUAACCUAUGGCUAAUUAUGGUACUCCCUUCAUGGACAUCGAAAAAGUUGAAGCAUUCACCAUGAAAGAUCUGUGAAAGAAGUUGUUUCUGUAAAGAAACUAGUCCGCAUUUGUUUGAAACUUCUCGGAUAUCAGCAAGAAAGCUUUUACCUUCAAAAUGAGGUGACAUUUGAUCAUAAGCAACUCUUGCGAGUGUUGUUUUACCGAUGCCACCCAUUCCACAAAUUCCUAUAACGCGAACAUCAUCUUCCCCGAUGUUUAUUUUCAAAUAUAAAUCCUCCAAGGGUACAGUAAUUCCAACCAAGUCACUAUGUGUAAUUGAAUAUGUCUGACAUAGUUUUGCUGAUAGCUUCUUAACAAUGUCUCUAAUAAAUUCUGAUUCAUGCCUACAAAGAAAGAAAAUCUCAUUUUUUGAAUAAAAUUUUGUUGAUAUUUUUCAGAUGCACUUUCUUUUUCAAUGAAUCAUGAAACAUAAUAUAGUUUGGAAGCAAAGAACCAAGAAUAAGAAACAAAGAUCUGUUGCGGAACCAGAAUACAAAAUUUGCUCUUUUAUUGAAAUAUGUCACUUCUCAAUUAAACUAGAGAAGAGAAAAGAAAAGAAAGAAUUACCUGUUAUUUAAAUGCCAUCCCUUGAUGUUUGCCACUUGAGUCAAAGCAUUUCGCCACCUUUGGAUCUUGUCUCUAUCUUCCUUGUAUCUCUCUUCGUGUUUGGCAAAGGCCUCCUCAACUUUCUCUUUCUGUUUUCUUAAAUCGGAUGGAUCCACAUUGUAGAAAAUUGGAAAUACCUUAUGUCCCAUGUCGUUUUUUUGCUUAACAAUCUCAGUAAGCUCCUCCAAGCACCAACUUGAAAAGGCAUAAGUUUCUGAAAAAACGAUUACCGAGCACCAUGAUUGCUGAAUUGCUGUAAAGAGUUCUGGCGCGAUCUCUUCGCCGACCUCCAGCUUUGAAUCAUCCCUGAAAGUGACGAUCCCACUCCUACUUAGAGCAUCAUAGAGAUGAUCGGUGAAGUUCUUGCGGGUAUCUUCACCUCUAAAACUCAAGAAAACAUCAUAUUUCUUUCUAGAAAUGGACGAAGAAGUUGAAGGUAAUGACAACAUGAGGAUGUAUGAGAAGAGAAGAAUAUCUCAAUCUGUUGUUCAAAAUCAGAAAAUAGAUCGCCCAAUACCCACAAAGAAACUAGAAAAAGUUAAGUAUAUGAGCAUAGGGGCGGAAAUUAGGGGUCAAAGAUGAGCUAUGGAUGUGUUCUUUCCAAGAAGGUGAGAGUUGGCAAAGUGGAUGCUAAUUUAAUUAUAAGUAAUAAUUAAAAAUGUUGGACGGUUUGUAUUUUACGAAUUUAAUUAUAAGAUUAUGAGAAUAAUAAUUAGAAUAUAAUUUUAAAGCAGCAUGUGACUAUCAGUUUGAAUACACUCUGUACACUGUAGGUUGUUUAGUAUAUUAGCAUGUGACCAUCAGUUUGAAUGCACUCUUUUACUGUCACCUCCAAUUCUAAGAAUGACAUUUAUGUAUUUCAUUUAAAAAAUUCAUAAUCCAUAAUAAUUAAACUUAAAAAAAGUUUCACAUCUAAAAUUAUUUAAAUCUGAAUUGAUUUUAACCAUGGUAUGAAAACUUAACUCAAGUUCAAAUAACUCAAAUUUAAAUUGAAUUAAAAAUAAUAAUCUAGAUAGAUUCAACUCACUCAAUUGAGAGAUCUAUUUUUUAUUACACCUUAUAUUGCUUGGGGAAAAUAAAGGAGUUAGUGGGAAUGAGUGAUCAAGCCAAUAAGAACUUUGUAUAAUAUGGGGAAUUACAAAUAUAUAUUAGAGAAUAGAUUGAACGAAACUAUAAUUUCACACCAUUCUUAUCUCUUUCUAAUAAGAGAAUCACAAAUUAGAUUUUUACCCUUGAUUUUCAGCUUUUUCAUACAGAUUUUUUUUUUUACUUAAACAAAUUUUUUCAUAAUUUGAUUCAAACGUGAAAGAAUCCGAAAUUUUUUAAGUUGAUAUAAUGAUUAAAACUUCUCCUAACCCAUCCCAACCAUAAAAAAGGAAGAUAUAUAUAUUUUAACCAUCCUAUCUAAUACUUGUAUUAUGAGUAAAGAUAUCUAAAAUGAUUAUUUUACGUGUAAAAAAAAAUUAAUAGGACAAGGGUGGUUAAGUAGUUUACCACAGUUAAAUGCUAUUUUUUGCAUCUAUAUUUUUUAAAAAUAUUUAAUAUAUGUAUUUAAAAAAUACUUACAUAUAUCAAAUAAAUCACACGGAAUAAAUUCCAAAUAUAAAAUAUCAAUUAUAUAAGAUACUCGUCAAUAAACUCCACAAAGAAAAGGAUAAUUCUUGUUCCACUUUAUCAUUGAAAUGGUGUGCACCGGCCGGUACGACCGGAACCGAUGCAGAACCGACCACCAUGAUUCUACCUGCUGAACAACUAGGUAUUCAGGCAUAGUGCUGGAGAGGUGUCAGUUGAGUCAACUUUUGCAUUGUUGGCUGUCAUGUUUAUUCUGAUAGCUGCGUUGGGAAUCCCCUAUAGGUUUCUGGGAUUUACAGUAGAUUAGAUGAGUAAUAGAAGAAGCUAUUAAUAGUAACAACGGGAUAUUUUGCAGAUUGGAUCAGUAUGUCAUUGCUAAGUUUGCUGAAAGUUUUGAAUUGGUAGCAAGAACCCUGGCAGAGAAUGCUGGACUGAAUCCAAUGGAUAUCAUUUCUAAGUUGUAUGAAAAACAUGCAUCUGGAAAUGCACUGUGUUGCGUGUAGUAAAGGCAGAAAGCUUGAAAAUGAAAAUCGCACUUAAAAUAGUUUGCUGAUGGGAUUAGGUUCUCAUGCAAAGCCGUUGAUUCAAUGUUUGCAGAUUAUGAUGGCGAAAUCAGCUGGAGGUCCAGCGAGGAGAGAUCAACCUGCAGGAAUGGACAGGGUCUAAGUCUUGCACAGUAUGAUUGAUUUCCUAUCUCUUGUAUCUCACCACCCAUGUUCGGACUUUGUUUAGGCGUCUAUUUUAUUUUUAGAUGCUAAAACACUUGAGCUUGAAAGAAUUUUGCAUGUGAUUUUAGAGUUUUUACUGUGUUUUUAGUGUAUUAUCGUGACCUAUAUUAAUGUACUCAAUUUUUUCAUCUUUAAAAAGGCAUCAACACUUAAAUCAAUCUUCUUAUUCAAUUUCCUAAUAAUUAUCUGCAAAAAAAAAAAUCAGCUUUAAAAUAUACAAAAUCAUUCAAUACAUUAAACUUGAUGCGCUUCAAUACUGUUAUUUUUAAGUACUCUAUAGGCUUACUAUCUCUUUUGGCCCCCUGCACUUUCAAUGACAUAUUGUCACAUGUCAAAAUUAAGUAAAAAAAAUACUUAAAAACUAAAAAAAAUCAUUAAAAUCCAAAAAAAAUUAUUAAAACUUAGAAAAUUAUAAAAACUAAAAAAAAAUCAUAAUCUAGUUUUGAAAAUUAUAAAAAAAUUAAAAAUUAUAAGUAUGUAAAAUUAAAAAAAUUUUAUAAUUUUUUUAUGAAGUGCAACUCUUUUCCUCCUCAAUCCAUUUUUUUUGAAUCAAUGUCAACCACUUCAACACCAACAAAAAAAAAAUCAUUUUUUUAAGUUUUGAACCGGUGCCAGCCACUUCAACACUAGCACCUAAUAAAAUAUUUUUUAUUUUUCUUUUUAAAUUGUAGAAUACCUAUAGUUUUUUGAAGGUAUUUAAAAAAAAUACAUUUGGGCGUCGGUCAUUACACUGCCGACACAAAAAAAAUAUCAUUUUUAUUGGACGAGACAAUCAUUAAGGCAUCAUUAGAGAAUGAUGGAGGGUGGUGCCAAUGGUGAGAUGGCCAACACCGCCCGACAUUGUAGAUUUCAGAUUAUAUAUGUCAUAAUUUUACAAACAGGCUCAUUUUUAUAAAUAUAUACUUUUUUUUGAGGUUAGUUGAGUAGAAUAGUCAGAAGAAAUGAACGAAAUAAAUGGAUGUUGAAUUGUUUCUUUCUUUUUUAUUUUUCUCGAAUUUGGCAUUGUGGAGUUUCGACUAUUUUACCUAAAUGACCCAAAAAAUAAUUAUUUAUGCAAAUGACCCUGGUUCAAAAACAAUCACCUAAAUGACUUAAAAUGAACAGUAAAAUUAGGUAAGAGAAACUAAAUGGCCAACAGUAUUUUUUCUGUCACAACCAUUGCUUGAUGAUUGUGUUAGGUAUUAAAAAAUAAAUUUUUGGGUGUCGAAGACUAGAUGGUCGAUACCAUUGUAUUUUUUUCACUCGUAUCAUAUUAGCAUGCAUUUAUACCAAUAUUUUUAAAAAAAACUAUCUUUUUGGAGUGCUAACACAUUGAUAACCGGCACUCAUUUUACCCAAAUUAAUCUCAAAAUUCAUGUGACCACUGACCUCUUUAUUUUAAAUCGUAUUUUGAUUNNNNNNNNNNNNNNNNNNNNNNNNNNNNNNNNNNNNNNNNNNNNNNNNNNNNNNNNNNNNNNNNNNNNNNNNNNNNNNNNNNNNNNNNNNNNNNNNNNNNNNNNNNNNNNNNNNNNNNNNNNNNNNNNNNNNNNNNNNNNNNNNNNNNNNNNNNNNNNNNNNNNNNNNNNNNNNNNNNNNNNNNNNNNNNNNNNNNNNNNNNNNNNNNNNNNNNNNNNNNNNNNNNNNNNNNNNNNNNNNNNNNNNNNNNNNNNNNNNNNNNNNNNNNNNNNNNNNNNNNNNNNNNNNNNNNNNNNNNNNNNNNNNNNNNNNNNNNNNNNNNNNNNNNNNNNNNNNNNNNNNNNNNNNNNNNNNNNNNNNNNNNNNNNNNNNNNNNNNNNNNNNNNNNNNNNNNNNNNNNNNNNNNNNNNNNNNNNNNNNNNNNNNNNNNNNNNNNNNNNNNNNNNNNNNNNNNNNNNNNNNNNNNNNNNNNNNNNNNNNNNNNNNNNNNNNNNNNNNNNCAGAUCAGUUGCAAGAGAUGGAUGGGAUGUGGCAAGUGAGGAUUGGAAUAUGGUCAGGAAAUGCAAAGGUCUUCAAUGAAUAAGACAUUUUCUUUGAAUUCAUUUUAAGGGACAUUUGUUAGCGAAUGAGGAGAGAGCUUGAUGACAUGUGACAGCUGACACUAGUUACUCAAGAUGUGAGCAGGUUGAGGCAACCAUACAAGUUUUGAGGGAUUUUUCUUUUGCUAAGAUUAAUGUUUGGAAUAAUCUUGUUCCAAAUGAUCUUAGCAGGUUUUUGCAUAUUAAGGAUUAACUUGUUGGAAUUUAAAGAAUAUUGGGCAGAUUGAUGUUGAGGGAAUAGACUGGUCAACUUUGUUUCCUAUUAUUUGUCGAUGUCUUUGGAAGUGUCGUAAUGCUUUUGUGUUUAAAGAUGCAAGUAACAGCAAUGGGGGAAGUUGUUAGUCUAGUCUAUCUUGGCUAAAAGUUCAACUCACAUAGGGUCUUCUAAUAUUUUUGUUACAAAGAUCUCCAGAGCUGCAAAGCAAUGGUGACAUCCCAAGGAAGGUUGGGUUCAGCUUAAUUCGAAUGAGACAACCGACAUUAGAUAUUGGUGUCACGGUGAUUGAAGGGGGUCUAAGGGAUGUGAAUUCAAAUUGGAGUUUUACUCGUACCAUGCCUCAUGGCAUUUGUUGAAAAUGUGUACGUGCAUUUAUUUCUGUCAAUUAUAAUUAUAGCAGUAAUUAGUAUUGUAAUAAGCCCCAAUUGACCCGGGCCCGCACAAAACAAAGAUAGGCAGUCUGUUUUUUGAUAAUAUAGGCUUAAAACCCAAUAAUUGAAAACCCAAUGGCCCAAGUACUAACCAAGCUUGCUAGCCCAAAACACCAGCAUGAACCUAGGCGCAGCAGCUCCCACAGCGCACGCCGCAACAGCGCCCCACACGCCGCGCUUGUUGCUCCGCGCCCGUCGCGCGCAUUCCCCGGUCACCAAACCUGCGAAAGGGGGACACAAGCGCAGCAAAUAAAGAAAGCAGUGGGGAUUUUUGAUUUUUUUCGAAUUUUUGGUGUUAAUCGGCUAUAUAAAGCCAAUGAAAAUCUGUAUCAAGGGGGCCGCGAAAAUCUGUAAAAAGGGGGGAAUUCAGUGUAAAAAAGGGACGAAAAGAGAGAAAAAUACAAAGAAACGAAAUAGAUACAGAAAAUUUUCGAAUAUAUAAGGUGUCUUUUCCAUUUUUCAUCUUUCUAGUUUCGUUUUUGUUUUUUUUCCCUUUUAGCUUUAUUUUAUUUUAUUUUUAUUAUUAAAAUAUAAAGAAAGGAGGAAAGGACUUACCCUGGUCGCCGGAGUUGUCGAGCCGGUGUCUUCCUCUGGUGAAAUCGAGACAUGGGCACUAGGCUCAAACGACAGCGCAAGGAAGGAGGGGGUUUUGAAACCCCUAACAGAGAAAAAGGAAAAACGACUCAAGGGUUUUUUUUGUCUGUUUUAGUUAUAAAUGUUUUUUUUGUUAAAAUUUGGUUUAAAUAAGAAGGCUAAAACGGCGCCGUUUCAGCCUUACGACCCGCGCGGUGACUGCGACCCAGGGAAGGAUCCGCGCAUUUCUGUAAAAGGGGCCAAUUUCACAUUGGUCCUCUGUUUUAUGAGGGGUGUUUAAAUCAGUCUUUUUAUUUUUUAAAUUUGGCCAUAUGUUUUAAUAAUGUUCCAAUUUGGUUCCAUGUUGCUGCGCAGCAUUUGGGAGGUUUGGGUAAAAUUACCCUUUCGAUCCUCCUACUGUUGCGUGCAUCUUAAUUUGGUCCUAUUAUUCCCAUCUUUAAAUUUGGUUUCAAAACUUCGUUGAUUUCUAAUUUAAAUCCUUAUUUGUUAUUUUUCUUGUUAUAUUUUUAAUUUAUGUUAUAUAUUAUUAUUAUUAUUAUAUUAUUAUUAUUAUUAUUACCAUUACUAUAUAUAUACACAUAUGGCAUAUUCUCUACAAUAAUAUAUACAUACAUUUUUUUUAAAUGAUUUUUAUAAACCAUGCACCUUACAUAUAUAUAUAUUUAUUAUUAUUCUACUUGCAUAACUUUUACUUACUUUCAUAUACAUUUAUAUUUUAUAUAGAUAUGCAUUGUUGUAACAUAUUUAUUUCCUAUAUUUUAUAAUUUAAGCAUACAUGCAUUCUCUGUUACAUAUACGUACACAUUUUUCUUUAUUAUUUUAUAUAUUUGAUUAUUUUAUAUACAUAUUGUGCAUAUAUAAGUAUUUAAAUUCAACACAUACGUAUUUCCAUGACUUACCAAUACAUGUACUUAUACUUUUUCUUUUUUCUUUUUUUUUGUAAAUAUAUACACAUGUACAUUUUAAAUUAAAGUAUUUGUACCAUUUUGUACGUGAACCUUUAAACAUAACUUUUGGGAAAUAUAUUUUGGUUUGUCAAACAUUAAAAUCGUUUUUAUUUUUAAAUAUUUGGCAUUCAUUAUUCUCGAGAAUGAUCGUGUCCCUAACUUACUGGAUUGGAUUAUUUUUGAUGAAUUUAGAGAGCCCAAUAUUUGUUUUGCAAUAAAUUCACAGAUUUCAAAUAAAGCUUAUUUUCGGGGAUUCAAAAAUGUUGGGUCCUAACUUAACUGGUCCUGAUAUUUUGACUUCUCGAAAUAAGAAUUUUCAAAAGCAAAAGGCAAUAUUCGAGGUAUUUUGAAGAUUUAAAAACAUUGUGCCCUAACUCACUGGGUGCGGUGUUUUAUUUCUUUGAAAUAAGAAUGUCUUAUUAUUUUGAUUCGUUCAUGAAAUAAAAAGUUUUCCUUUUAAAAUCUUUUCAAAUUUUCGACACCAAGGCAUUAAAGAAUCAAUUUGGUACCGAUUUUGGGCGUUACGAAGAUGCUAAUCCUUCCUCGUGCGUAACUGACUCCCGGACUCAUUCUCUCUCAAAUUUCGUAAACCAAAAUCAUUUUAAGGUGAGCCGAUCAUACCAUAAUAAAGGAUCGGUGGCGACUCCAGUUUUUAUUUUUAAGUCUAAGCUAAAAUUUUGUUUUGAAAAAGCGGUUUCAACAAUUAUUAUUUUUCCAGGUUGAAAAAAUCAAAUAUAUUCGUGGAAUACUUCUCUAUGAGCUCCUUAAGAAUCGAAAAGAUCGUUCUUGCGAAUGCAUUUUCACUGCAGCUCAGUCAACAAAAGACAGGUUCUACUGUACCGUUAUAAAAUUUCUCUCUUUGUAUGAUCUAAAUGUUGGGUUUGAUGAUUAUGAAAUCAAGACUGCUCAUUACCUAACUGAUUGGUUAUCUAAAUGUCUAUUGUAUAUAUUUUUUUGUGUGUGUGUGUACUGAUGUCUUGUUUGAUCAUGCUUGUGUUGCUUUCUCCUCCUGCAUCUUCAGAUAUCAAUCAGGGUCAGUUCAGUUUCAAUGGUUACUUGAAUGUUGAUGAACUUGCGGGCGUAGGUUCAAGUGGGCUCUUUAAACUGACUAAUUUUACAACCCAUACAAAAGGUCACAUCUUCUACAAGAAUCCAAUCCAAUUCAAGAACUCCACAGAUGGUAGUGUUUUCUCUUUUUCCACCACUUUCAUUUUUGCAAUUACCGGAAUUCCUAACUUGAGUUAAUGAAUUGAUUUUCUCAGCCCAAUUUGAAGCAGUUAAUGGCAUUAAUGUCAUCACAGUCCACUAAAUUGCAUACUUUUGAUGGACUUGCAACUACUUCAAGUCAAGAACACCAUCUAUAUGCACAGCUGCUAUACUUGUUGGUAGCUCAGGCAACGAUUAAGCAUCUUGCAACCUGACAAUUUAAGCAAUUUGAGCCUGGAAAGUUGAGUAAGAGCCAAAGGAAUGGUGAUGAAAUUCUUACCACUAAGAUCAAAACGUAUCAAAGAGGAUAUACCAGAAAUAUCACCAUGAAUAUCUGCUUCACCAAGAGUGCACAUGUUGCAAUUUGACAAUAUAAGAUUUCCGAGCUUCGAGAGUCGAGUAAGAGAUGCAAGUAUGCUGAUGAAAUUGUUACCAGUAAGAUCAAGAGGCCACAAAGAGGAUAGACCAGAAAUAUCACGUGGAAGAUCUCCUUCACAAAGAUUGCAGUCCCUUAGUUUUAGCUCUCUUAAAGAACCAAAUCUGACAACAAAGGCAACAUCUGAGCCAUGGGAUUCGUCCUUCUUCCUUGGAUUACCUUGAAAAGAGAAGGCAAAUUUGGUAGUAACUUAUAUGAUGGUCCCUUGCGCCCAUUGAAAGAAAGAACUUUAAGAUUUUUAAAUUGAAAAAUAGAGGAUGGUGGUUCUGCUAUGGCUGUUUCACUCAAGUCGAGCUCCAAAAACUUUGCUUGCUGCAAAUUCUCCGAUAAAUUUUCCACUCUAUAACAACCAGAAAGAUCUAGAGUUUUUAGACGUUUCAUUUUCCCAUCAAUCUCCGGAAACCUUACAAGACCUGAGCAACCCGAAAGAAUUAAUGUUUCUAGAGAUUCCAUUCCAAUUCCAGUCGGAAGACUCUUGAGACUUUUGCAAUCUCUUAAAUUCAAAAGUUUAAGGUUCCUAAGCACUCUAAUUGAUGGAUGAACAUCCACUAAUUGGUACAACCUUUCAAAAAUCAGAACUUCAAGAUUUGAUGUUUGUGUGUAGUCUAGUGAAUUGAUCAGGUUUUGGACCCAUUAUUAUUUUUAUUUUUUGAAAUAUGAAUGGCUGGAUUAUAUUAAUAAAACAAAUUCCAAAUCAUUUAGAGCCUAGACAAAACAGAAAAUAUGCAAUAAACAAACAUUAAAUAAAAGCAGGAUAAUCCAAACACCCAGGCAGACUUUCCUUUUCCCUAGACAUCUGAGAAAGCGAAACCCUUCAGAUGCCUUCUCUGUUUCGUUGAUAACCACCAAAAUGUCUGCUCUAGAUCUUUCCGAUGCAACUGGAAGAAACCCUUCAGGUCUGGCUAAACUCUGCAUUUCAUCACUUAAACACCAAUCUUCCGUCGAAACUGAGAAACCCAAUAGUCCAUCUAUUCUCCGAUCUGUUUGCCCACAGUAAAAUCCCAUUUUAUCUUCUUUCUAAGCAGUGGAUCUUCGACCUGCUGGACAAAGUGAGCCCAACUGUUGACGGUCCUCUUCCGCUGCCACUUUCGUGAAUGAAGGAACCGCACCAACAAGAUAAGUUUCUUCAUCUCUCUUUAAUCCCUCUGUAGCCAAUAGAUGUGCAACUCCGUUUGCUUGUUUUGGCACAUGUUUAAAGACACAGAUUUGAUAUCCCUCUAUUUGAGAUAUAGGCUCCUAUCACUGACCUUUCAACUCCCUUUGUUUGCAGCUUCCGAAUCACAGAUAAGGAGUGUCCUUCGAUCUCCACCAUCGAGAAUCCCACAUGCAAUCCCAUCUCAGCCGCAUUUCAACUUUUACAAGAGCUGUUGAAGACCAUCAUAAAUUAGAAACAAAUGAGAAAACAUAAUAAACAUAAAUAAGGCUAUUGUGAAAGAUGAUCCAAUUGAGACCAACCUUGAAAAGAGUUCACUAUUCAUAUCACGUCAACGGUUUAAUCAGCAUUUUGCAUUAAAAAAAUUUACAGUUUAACUCAAAAUAAAAUCUUAUAAAUGCUAAGAACAUUUUUUUUUUGUCAUUAUACCUAUUUAAAAGGUUUUAUUAACAUUACAAUUAAAUUUAUAUUUUACAAACAAAAAAUUCAAAAACCCCAUUUAAAAUAGUAUAAUUUACAUUACAUUACAAAUAAAAAAUAACAAAUUAUAUAAUAACAUAAGCUAUUUUUUGAAAUCGUAAUUUUCUGCAUUCAUCCAAAUGCGAAAGUGUUGACUUCCAUUUCAACUUAACUUUUGUCGAUUCCUUACUUGCAUUAUCCUUUGAGUCAUGCUUCUAUCGGUCUAGGGGACUAACAUAAAACACCAAGAUUAUUUUUAUUAUUUGCAUUGAUAUCAUCUAUAUCACUGGUAUAUUAACUUACCUCAAAUUGAGAAAGUUUUGUUGGUAUUACAGAAAACACAACCACUGGCAAGAACAGAAAAAAUAAAUUAGACAAGAACAAAAAAUAAAUCUAUUGAAUUGAAAAAAAAAAGUUGAACAAGUCUCACACACAAAAAAGAUUAAAAUAUAGAUGUAAGUUAAUAUAUAUAUAUAAUAAAAUUGAAAUUAAAAACAAAAAGUGAAACCAAUCAAAAUGUACACAUUUCAUUUAUGUAAAAAGGAAUGAAUUCACUAUUCAUGUCAAGUCAACACUAUUAACAGUUCAAUAAGCAUUUUGCAUUAAAAAAUCCAUAAUUUGACUAAAAAAAAUGUUAAGAGCUAAAUUGCUUAAAAAAAUAAGGAUUAAAUUGUCAAACUUUAUAAACACUAAAACCUUUUUUUGUCAUUAUUCCUAAUUUAAAAGGUUUUAUUUACAUUACAAUUAAAUUACUAUUUGAAUUUACAUUACAUGUAAAAAAACAACUAAUUAUGUAAUAACAUAAUCUAUUUCUCUAAAUUUACAUUACCUUUGAGCAAACUUUCAUACUUCUACUAGCCUAGGGGACACAUAAAACACCAAGGUUAUUUUUGCUGCAAUGAGAUCAUCUAUAUCACUUGUAAGGAGGGAUUUUAUGAAACUGUGAUUCCAAAUCAUCCUUAUCAUCUUUUAAUAGGAGAAUAACAAAAUAGAUUUUUCCUCCUGAUUUUCAGCUUUUUUCUCUCAAAAAUUCAAAUUCAACUAAAAAUACUAAAAUUUUGAGUUGUCAUUCUCCUAUUGAAAAUCUAUAGGAAUGACAUAGAAUUGCAGUUUCAUAUAAUCCUUUCUCUGUCACUAGUAUAUUUACUUAGCUCAAAUCAAGAAAAUUUUGUUAAUAUCACAAAAAACACAACAGUUGAAAAUCUUGCUCAUGUCAGUAAAAAAUCAUAUCUUUAUUUCUCUAAACCCUAAAAUUAGACAAGAACAAAAAAUGAAUUUAUUGAAUUUAAAAAAAAAAUAUUUGAUAUGAAUAUUUCUCUCACACGUAAAAGAUUUUCUAGCACACUUUAUAUUCAUACUUGAGUAAGUUUUAAAAAUAAAUGUCUGAACAUAAAUACUUUACAAAAAAAUACAUAAACUUAAGAGUUGGAAUAAUAUUAUUUCUACUACAAACCAUGAAAUUUAAAUGAUACUUUUAUUAGGAGUAGUUGGAGUAAUAUUAUUAAGUAUUAGAAAAGACUUAUUUUUAAUCUUUUGAAUAUAUAAAAAUAAUUUUGACUGAUUAAAUUGAACACAUAAGUUAGUCUCAAAUAAAAAUAAAAUGGUUUUUAACUCGGUCCAAAUUAUGAUCUGAUCUUUAUUAAAGGAUUUCACCUUAUUGUUACCUGUUUUGUCACCGAAACUAUCUAUUUUUCUCUACAUUUCUAUCUCGAGUUGAUUAUAUUUAUUUCAACCUACAAAUAAAAUAUAGAUGUAAGUGUAUAUAUAAUGAAAAUAAAAUUUUAAUAAAAAAUGAAACCAAUCAAAAUUUACACAUUUCAGGGAAUGAAUUAAGCGACUAAAAUUUUAAAUGAUAUAUAUAAACUAUGAUAUGAGCUCCUGUUGAAUAUGAGUAAAAGAUUUAUAAGUUUUUGGUAUGUAAGAAGGAUCGUAAAUAAGUCUAGAUUGAUCACUUUAAAUAAAAGAUUGGUUAAGUAGUUUACCACAGUUAAUGCUUCUUCCUUGAUUGGCCCAUUAUAAAAUUGAAAAUUUUUUGCAUCAGCUUUGGUUGCAGCCCUCUUUCCCUGAUUGGCUUGCGCGGUGCCAAAAUUUGGCCCUUAAAACCCCGUAAGUAGUUUACCACAGUUGAUGCUUCUUCCUCCGCUUCCUCGGAGAUAUUGCGCUUUUGUUUUAUGUCAGAAGUGCUACCUGCUGAUCCAUCGUUUUGAGCAGAGUGUUGGUGGAUGUGUUCAAAAUUUGGUGAAGAUUGAGUGAUAUGGCAAUGCAACUCUUUUAUUGCUUCCAAAUCUUUCUCAUACACUAUUCUAACACCACACUUCUUCACCUUAAGGCUAUGACCAUUGAAAAACACAUGAAGCUCAUCACGUUUAUGACCUAAGCAAUCUGUUGUCCGUAAAUUAUUGGUUUCACAGCCACCAUAUUUAUCCUUCAAGGAUAAUGGAUAUAAUUUAUCACGCGACCAAUAACGAAGAAAAAUGUGAUCUUUCAUUAUGGGCCUGUUGAGUCGUUUACCCACCAAAUAGCCUCUCCUCUCAAUCUGUCGACGAUUUCUACCAUACAUUAACGCUCCACAGUCGAUAAAGCCCUCAUCCCUUGAAGCAUCAUUAUUGACAAAAAUGCAGCAACAAGCAACUCCAAUCCAUUCACUAUCCUCCUGAAGGUUGAUAGGCAGAGGAAUGUCAAUUGAAGAGUGACUUGUUUGUUGGCUAAACCAUUCUGGGAUUUCACUUCCUGGCAUGAUAAUAUCAAACAUUUUUCUUGAAUUUGCAAAUGCCUGCAAAAUAAAACACAAGUCGUUUGGUAACUAAAACUAUAAAUUCUUAAGAAUGAGAUUUUGUAAGGGAGAAAAAGAGAGAUUAAUCGACCUUAAGAUGUUUUCUCAGCAGUGUUAAUGCAUUGAUAUUCUCAGCCAAUUUGAAGCAGUUAAAGGCUAAAAUAGCAGCCGAAUCCACUAAAUUGCAUACUUUUGAUGGACUUGCAACUACUUCAAGUGAAGAACAACCAUCUAGCCACACAUCUUCUAUACAUGUUGGUAGCUGAGGCAACGAGUUAAGCUCCAUGCAAUUUGAUAAUGCAAGCAAUUUAAGCUUGGAAAGUUGAGUCAGAGCCAAAGGAACGGUGAUGAAAUUGUUACCGUUAAGAAAAAGCCAUUUCAAAGAGCAUAGACCAUGAAUAUCUGCUUCACCAAGAGUGCACAUGUUGCAAUUUGACAAUAUAAGCUCUUCAAGCUUGAAGAGUCGAGUAAGAGAUGCAGGUAUGCUGAUGAAAUUGUUACCACUAAGAUCAAGUUCUUUCAAACAGGAUAGACCAGAAAUAUCACUUGGAAUAUCUCCUUCACAAAGAUUGCAGUCCCUUAGUUUUAGCUUACUUAAUGAACUCAAACCUGACAACAAAGGCAACAUCGGAGCGAUGGAAUUUGUCCUUCCUCUGUCGAAUCCAUUGAAAGACAGAACUUUAAGAUUUUUAAAUUGAAAAAUGAAGGAUGGUAGUUCUGUUAUGGCUGUUUCACUCAAGUCGAGCUCUUCCAAAAACUUUGCAUGCUGCAAAUUCUCUGAUAAAUUUUCAACUCUAUAACAACCGGAAAGAUCUAGAGUUUUUAGACGUUCCAUUUUCCCAUCAAUCUCCGGAAACCUUAAAAGACUUGAGCAACCUGAAAGAAUUAAUGUUUCAAGAGAUUCCAUUCCAAUUAUGGUCGGAAGACUCCUAAGACUUCUGCAAUCUCUUAAGUUCAAAACUUUAACGCUCUUAAGUACUGCGAUUGAUGGAUGAACAUCCACUAAUUUGGUACAACCUUUCAAUAUUAGAACUUCAAGAUUUGAUGCCGUUGUGAAGUCUGGUGUCUUGAUCAGGUUUUGGGACCCUUCAAGGUUCAUCAUUUUCAACUUACCCAAGGGCUGUUGAAGAUCACAAUAAAUUAGAAACAAAUAAGAACACAUAAUAAUGCUUAUUUCUGUUGUUUUUACCUUAAUUAAAGUUUAAUAAUUUAUAUUAAAAUAAGCUAAAAUACAAGGAUGAGAUGAGUUAAUUCUUACUCUAUUUCCCUUCCAUAGUUGUCGAAUGCGACUAUAUGAUAAAAGAAGUGCAACAAGGUUGUCCGGUUGGAAGCUUGAAGGCAAUGAUCUUAAAGGACAUCCUUUCCAAUCUAAAAGCCGUAGUUCAUUAGAAAGAAAUUUGAGAUCAUCACAAUUUGAUAGGCAAAGCACUUUGAGCAAUCUCAAUUUUUUUCAUUUUUGAGAAGGCAUUGACACUCAAGUUGAGCAUCUUGCUCGAUUCCCUAAUCAUGAAUAAAAUAAAAUGAAAAUGAGCUUCACAAUAUACAAAAACAUUCAAUAUCUAAAAGUUAUGUUAUAAUCUAAUUCAUUGAUAUACUAUUAAUAUUUCGAAAAGACAUACAUUUCUGUAUUGAUUCUUUUGAAAGAUUAAUACGCUACUAGAUUAAUUUCAUAAUUAAACAUUGAAAUAUUGAGUGUCAAAGGUUUUGCAAUAAUUCAUUAUCAUAUUUAAAAAAUAAAAUAAUUAUUUACCGUACACAUAAAUAUAAGUCUAUGUGUCUUCUUACCUUUUAUUAUUGAUGAUUAUACCUUCAAUCAUUUUUGUACCCUAAAAAAAAAUCAAGAAUAGAAAAUAAGAAAAAAAAAUAAAUGAUGUAUAAUGUAGGAUAAAACUUUUAAAAACUUACAUUUUUGUUUAGCAUUAUUAUAUUCUAAAUAUAAUAAAUAAAGCAUUUUAAACGAACUAAAACAAUUUCUACAAAUAUUAUGCUCUAAUGAGGGUAAUGCAAUGAAAUUAAAUAUUUAUUUCUACAAAUCCUUUUUAAUAUUUGUAAACACUUAUCUCAAAAUUACUAAAUAUCACUUUUUAAGAAUAUUUGUAUCAACCAAUUAGACUAAGCUUUGGGUUUAUAUCAUGUAUUGAUUUGAUAUUAUAUAACAAAAUAGAAAUAGUAUGUAACUUUUGUUAAAUGACUUACAGUGUUUUUUGUUAGGACAUGAUGGACGUCUCUUUCCUCCCACAAUCUACAACGUUUUCCAGGUUCAUCAACACAUUUUUCUUUAACAAUUUUUCUUCCCAUUUCUUGCAACAAGUUAUGCAUCCACAAAUAUUUGUGUUCAUCGACUUUAAUGAGAGAUUUUUUAAUGAGAACAUCAAUGCCAAUAUCUGGGAAAAACUCACAACCAUCCAAUACUUUCAUUACAAAAUCUUUCUCCUCCCCAUUGAAGAAGCAUGCUAUAUCUAGAAAUAUAUUCUUCUCCCUUUCUUCCAGUCCAUCAAAACUGAUUCGAAGUUUAUCGAGGAUUUCUUUAUUAGAAUCUCUUUUAAGUCUUUCAAUUGCACUUCUCCAUUGAGUAGCAUCUCUACCGCAUAAAAAGCAACCCAAAAUUUCAAGAGCUAACGGGAGCCCACCAGCAUAUUUUACAACAUGGUAAGAAAGCUCAAUGAAAUCAUCUUUCGGAACUGUAUCACCAUGAAAAGCUUUUAGACUGAAAAGUUGAAGAGCAUCUUUGGGAUUCAAUGUUGUGGGCUCAUACAUAUCAUCAACUGGCCAAGAUCGAAGCAAAUGUUCUUCUCUUGUUGUUACAAUGAUUCUACUCCCUAAUCCGAACCAAUCAUGCCUUCCAACCAAGCAUUUUAAGUGUUGAAUGUUAUCAACAUCAUCAAGAACAACAAGAACCUUUUUGCGAGACAACAUAUGACUAAUUAUAUCAUUCCCUUCAUGAACAUUGAAAAUUUUGAAGCAUUCAUCAUGAAAAAUCUCCGAAAGAAGUUGUUUCUGCAAAGAAACUAAUCCACAUUUGUCUGAAACUUCUCGAACAUCAGCAAUAAAGCUUUUACUUUCAAAAUGAUGUGACAUUUGAUUAUAAGCAAGUCUUGCGAGUGUGGUUUUACCGAUACCACCCAUUCCGCAAAUCCCUAUAAUGCGGACAUCAUUUUCCCCAAUGUUUAUUUUCAAAUAUAAAUCCUCCAAGCGUUCAGUCAUUCCAACCAAGUCACUAUGAGUAACUAGGUGACACAGUUUUGCUGAUAUCUUCUUAAUAAUCUCUCUAAUAAAUUCCGAUUCAUGCCUACAAGAAAAGAAAUUUUAAUUUUUUGAAUAAUUUUUGUUUCAUAUUAUCAAAUGCACUUUCUUUUUCAAUGAAUCAUGAAAUAUAAUAUAGUUUGGAAGCAAACAAGAACCAAGACACUUUUCUAUUAAACACAUAGGAUUAGAAAGAAAAAACAAAGUUAUACAUAUAUAUCCCAAAAAAUAGAAAAUAGAGAGAAGAAAAAGAAAGAGUUACCUGUUAUUUAAAUGCCAUCCCUUGAUUCCAGCCACUUGAAUUAAAGCAUUUCGCCACCUUUGGAUCUUCUCCCUAUCUUCUUUGUAUCUCUCUUCAUGUCUAGCAAAGGCUUCUUCCACUUUCUCUUUUUGUUUUCUUAAAUCAGAUGGAUCAACAUCGUAAAAAAUUGGAAACACUUUAUGGCCGUCGUUGUUAUGUUGUUUAACAAUCUCAGCAAGCUCCUCCAAGCACCAACUUGAAAAGGCAUAAGUUUGUGAAAAAACGAUUACCGAACACCAUGAUUGCUGAAUUGCUGUAAAGAGUUCUGGCGCGAUCUCUUCGCCGGCCUCCAGCUUUGGAUCAUCCCUGAAAGUGACGAUCCUACUCCGACUUAAAGCAUCAUAGAGAUGAUCGGUAAAGUUGGUGCGGGUAUCUUCACCUCUAAAACUCAAGAAAACAUCAUAUUUCUUUCUAGAAUUGGACGAAGAAGUUGAAGGUAAUGACGAAAUGACGAUGUGCGAGAAAAAAAAAAUAUGUGGAUGUAGUGUUGAAAAUCAGAAAAUUGAUAGCUCAAUACGCCUGAAAGAAACUAGAAACAGAUCAGAUUUCACAGGGAAGAAUGAAGGUGGUUUCUAACCAAUUUCUCUAUAACCUUUUCACUUUCCAAAUGAAUGCGCGUACUUGUGGAAAUUGGGGGGCCAUAAAUGAGUGAUGCAUAUGAAUCCAACAAGGUGUGUGUUGAUAAAAUGGAGCCUACAAUAAUUGCAACUGUUCUUAAGUUUGUGCUUUACUUGCUUUCUAACUCUGGAAUUUGAAUUUGAAUUUUUUGUCUAAUUACUUUAAAAUAAAUAAAAAAUUUAAUAUUUAUUUUCUUUACUAAUAUGGCAUAUACGUGAAUUAACAUUCGAAUGACAUGUCAGUAUUUAAUUAAUUUUUUAAAUUUAAAAAAUAUUUUUUUUAUAAUUUUAAUAUUUUUAAUUUUUAAAAAUAUUUUUUUGUUUUUUAAAAUUUUAAAAAAUUAAUUAAAUAAUGAUGUGUUAUUCAUAUGGUAAUAUACAUGCAUGUUAUAUCAGCAAAGUUAAAAAAAUUAACUUUUUCAUCAAAUUUUGGGGUGAUUUGAUAAAAAAACACAAAUUAAAUUGCUAAAAAGACAAAAAAAAUUAAAUAAAUAACUAAAAUAAAUUUUUUAAUAAAAUUUAAUGGUUAAAUAAAUCAUUCAACCUGGAGGUCCAGUAAGGAGAGAUUAAACCUACAGAAUGGAUGAGGACUAAGCCUUGCAUGGUUUUUUGCUUUUUAUUUUUUAUUUAUAUUUUCUUUUCUUUUUAGAUGACACCGACCCCUUAAAAUGGAAAUUCUCCUUUUAUGUCCCUUAAAAUUUUAAACUUGUAAUGAUAAAAUUACACAUUGGUUCCCUUAAAAACAAUAAAAAUUCGAUUUAAUCUUUUAAAACUUAUAAAUAUAUAAACUAUUAAAAUGAUAAAAUUACGUUUUUACUAUCAUAAAAAAUACAAUUUAGUUUCGACCCCCUCAAAAUUUUUGACUUCACCCCUGCCUAUAUUAGGGCUUGGGGUAGGGAGUUAGAAGAUUGUCUUAUUCAUUUCUUUCUCGAUUUUGCAUGGAUGCAACGAAGGAGCCAUGUAGAGGCCCAUGGGCCAUGGCCCUCCAAUUUUUUUUUUAAAUUUAGUCCUUUGUAAAUAUACUAUGACCCUCCCAAAAAUAUAAGUAGGUCCCCUAAGGCUUAAGAUUUUUGUAAUUUCCCCCUUUAUAUAUAUUAUAGCCCUCCUAAAAAUAUAAGUAAACCCCUCUAAUAUUUUUUAUAGUAUUAAAAAUAACAUUAAAAAAAUUAUUCUUGAUAUCAAAGAAAAAGUUUGAUCCAUAUCACUCAUAUAUUAACUUAUCUCAAAUUAAGAAAAUUUUCUUGAUAUCACAUAAAAUACAACAAUUGAAAAUCUUGCUCACGUCAACCAAAAUCAUAUCUCUAAACCCUCAUAUUAGAAUGAACAAAAAAUGAAUCUUUUAAUUUUUUUUAAAUAUUAUUGGAUAUGAAUGUGACGUCUCUCACACAUAAAAGAUUUUCCAAUUAAUUAAAAGAGCAUACUCUUUAUAUUCAUAUUUGAAUAAGUAUUAAAAAUAAAUGUCUAAACAUAAAUACUUUAUAUAAAAUAUAAACGGAAGAGUUGGAAUAAUAUUAUUUGUGCUUCAAGCCAUAAAAUUUAAAUGGUACUUUUAUUAGAAGAAAUUAAACCUAUUUGAGUAUUGUAAAGGACUUAUAUUUAAUAUUCCCAAUAUAUAAAAACAAUUUUGAUUGAUUAAAUUGAACACAUAAGUUGAUCUCAAAUAAAAAUGAAAUAAUUUUUAACUUAGCCCAAAUUACAAUCUUAUCCUCGUUAAAGGAUUUUUCACUUUAUUAUUACCUCCUUUGUCAUGAAACUAUCCAUUUUUCCCCACAACUCUAUCUCAAAUUGAUUAUAUUUACUUCAACCUACAAAUAAAAUAUAAAUGUAAGUGAAUAUAUAUAAUGAAAAUAAAAAUUUAAUAAAUAAAUAAAACCAAUUAAAAUGUACACAUUUCAAUUAUGUAAAAAGGAAUGAAUUGAAUGACUAAAAUUUUGAAUAGUAAAAAAAUGUAAAAUAAGUGACUAAAAUUUUAAAUGGUAUAAAAAACCUAAAUUAUGAGAUAUGUACAUAUUCAAUACGAUUGUAUGGCUAAAAGUUUUAAAUUUUUUUAAUAUAUAUUAAAAAUAUCAUAUCUUAUACGCAAAUAAAUUUAAAAUGAUUAUUUUAAAUGAAAUAGAAGCAAUAGUACAUGGUUGGUUAAGUACUUUACCACAAUUAUUGCUUCUUCCCCGAUUGGCCCAUCAUAAAAUUGAAAAUUGUCUGCAUCCAUUUUGGAUGCGGCCCUUCUUCCUCUGCUUCCUCGUAGAUCUUACAUUCUCUGUUUGAUGUGAGAAGUGCUACCUACUGAUCUAUGGUUGUGAGCAGAGUGUUGGUGGAUGUGUUCAAAAUUUGGAGAAGAUCGAGUGGUAUGACACUGCAACUCUUUUAUUUCUUCCAAAUCUUUCUCAUACAUUAUUCUGACACCACACUUCUUCACCUUAGCAUUGGGUUUACAUGGAUGUAAGAAAGACACCUCAAGCUCACGGUCACCAUAUUUAUCCGCCAAUGAAAAUGGAAAUAAUUUAUCACGCGACCAAUAACGAAGAAAAAGGUGAUCUUUCGUUAUGGGCUGAUUCCUAUAUUUCCUACUGAACCUAGUAAUAAUUCUAGAAAAACUAGAAUGGAAGAAAUCCAAACUUCAACAAUUGAUAAAAAGUCAAAAGUUGGAAUAAUUAUAAAAGUUACAUUUCAGUUUAGAAAAUAUAAAAAAUAUUCUCUAAAUGCCUUGAUAGAUACUGGAGCUACAAUAUGUAGUUGCAGAGAAAAUGCGAUUCCUGUAGAAAAAUGCGAAUUAAUGAAAAAACCCAUAAAAAUAAUGGGAAUAGAAGGUAGUAAAACUAUUAUAAAAUAUAAAGCUAAAAAUAUAUCAAUCUAUAUAAACAAUGUUAGAUUUGUGAUUCCUAAAAUAGUAUGUUUUCCUAACAUGAAAGGAGAUAUAUUAUUAGGUAAUAGUUUUAUUUGUAAGUACUUACCUUUUACUAUUGAUAAACGUUCUAUUUGGCUAUCAGUAAAAGAAGAUUUUGUGGAAAUUCCACUUGAAGAAAAUAAUAAAAUUGUGUGUAAUAAAUUUACACCUAUUAAAAUUAAUUAGUUAAUAUUUGUAAUUUAUUACUAAUAUUUACUGAUUUUUUGAGCAGGCCUUUUAAUGGAUAGAGGUAAAAAGCCUAUACAAGAAACUGUAGGUGAAUGGACUACCGUUCACAAAAGCCCAACAAAGGGAAAGCAGGAUCAAACUCCAAAAAAGGAUUUGUACCUGCACAAAUACCAUUUUAUCUUAACCAAGGAUAUUAUGUGUCUUAUCCAAUGGUAAAUCAACCACUUGGACCAAAUGUUUUAAAAUAUCCAAUGGUAAACCAACCACUUGGAAGCAGUUUUUCUAACAUGGUGUAUCAAUCACCAAUGUCCCAAGAUCCAUAUUUAGCAUCACAAACCAGUUAUGCUGAUAUGAUCAAAAGAUCCGAAAAUUUGUUGAAAGAACAACAAAUUGAAGAUGAAAAAGAAAUUUUAAAAAUAAAAGAUUUUUAUAAUCCUAGUUUAUCACCAGAAUUUUAUGAUUUUAUAAACGAGAUAUUGUGAAAAUAUUGUGAAUUUUAUGUUAUUAAUUAUUAAUUAUAAAUUAUCUAUAUUUAGUGUUUAUAGUUUAGAUUAGAAUUUUGUAUGAAUAUUAUAAUUUUUUUAUGAAUAUUGUAAUGUUGUAUGAAUAUUGUAAUUAUUUUAUAAUUAAAUUUGUAUUUAUAGUUUUGGAUUAGUAAUUUUUUGUAUGAAUAUUGUAAUUUGUAUGAAUAUUAUAAAUUUUUUGUAUGAAUAUUGUAAUAAUAUUAUAGUUUUGUAUGAAUAUUGCAAUUUUUUUGUAUGAAUAUUGUAAUUUUGUAAUUUUGUAUGAAUAUUAUAUUUUUUUGUAUGAAUGUUGUAAUAUUAUAAUUUUGUAUGAAUAUUGUAAUUUUUUUGUAUGAAUAUUGUAAUAUUGUAAUUUUGCAUGAAUAUUGUAAUGUGAGGAUAUAUUGUAAUAUUGCAAUUUUUUGUAUGAAUAUUGUAAUUAGUUUAUAAAUAAUUUGUUAGUAAUUUGGGAAAAAUUCACAAUAUUUUGUGUUUGUAAUUAUUUAAAAUUUAAUUUAUUAGUAAUUUAGGAUUAAGCUAUAAGUUGUUGUGUUUAGUUUAGUAUUUGGUGAGUUUAACAUAUAAAGUUUAUAAAAAAAUUUAAAAUCAUUUCAUUAAAAGUUUAAUUAUAAAAAAAUUAAAAAUCAUUUUAUUAAAAGUUUGGGUUUUUUACACCAAUAAUAUAGAAAAAAAAUAUUGAAAUAGGAUGUCAGAAAAAAAUUUACCAAAAAAUAACUGACUUUUUUAAUCAUAUAGUUGUUGUUAACUUAUUUAAUUUUUAUAUAAUGUAACUUUUAUAUAAUUAAAUUUUAUUUGAUUUUGUAUUUAUUUAACAGUAAUUAUUGAUUUUUUGAAACAAAUUAACUGAAUUCAUUUUUUUUAUUGCAGAUUUGCAAGAAAUGGGUUCUCUAAUUAAUAAUAAUAAUCACAUAUCAAGUACUAUUAAUGAGAUGGUAAUAAAAUUUAAUUUUGAUAAUCAUGUUAUUUGUUAAAUUAAAUUAUAUUGUAUUAACUAUUUUGCUAAUUUAAUAAUGUCAGGGUCCGUACCGCGCAUUGAGGGGCCGUGUUAAUUGUGUAGGGUUUCAGCCAGAUGAACGCCUAAUACCAUACUUAGAGUUAGCCGGGUUCGGAUCAGCGGCAUUGAUUCGGACUUUUGAUCUGCGAUACGACUUGAUUUCCGCUUUAGUCGAGCGAUGGCGUCUGGAAACCCACACAUUUCAUCUGCCGUGCGGAGAGUGUACCGUCACUCUAGAGGACGUUGCAGUACAGCUCAGGCUUCCCAUAGACGGGAAUGCGAUCACGGGCAUAAGUUCAAUCUCUAGGCCGGCUACCCUUUGCAAUGAAUUACUUGGACGCUCGCCAAGUCAGGGGAAAUUUACCAGUUUGAAAUUUUCAUGGCUACAUGCCAAUUUUGAGCAUUUGUCAAGUACUGCUAAUGAACGGGAGGUGAUGCAGGCUGUUCGAGCUUAUAUUAUGCACCUUAUAGGGGGUGUACUCAUGCCGGAUGCAAACGGCAGUAAGAUCCACUUGAUGUACUUACCCUUAUUAUCCAAUUUGCAUAACACUCGUUCAUACAGUUGGGGGUCCGCAGUUUUAGCCAUUCUGUAUCGCGAACUUUGUUGGACAACAAAUCCUUCUGCGGCUGACAUUGGCGGAUGCCUCAUACUGCUGCAGUCGUGGGCACUUUACCGGAUGCCAUUCUUGGCAUCCAUUAGUCAUCAAUCAUAUGUAUUUCCACUAGUUAAUAGGUGAUGAAUUUUUACUCAUUAUAAUAAUUAGUUGACUUUUUUAUAAUAUAUUAUUCUAACAAUUUGUUUUCGUAGGUGGAGAAGUAAUCCGGGGAUUGGGAGGUCACCGUCGGUUCCGAUAUAUCGUUUAAUGAUUGAGAAUCAUGCUGGAGAGGGGGUACGUUUUUCGAAUAUAAACUCAAUUUUAUUAUUUUAUCUCACUCGACCCGCGUUAAUAUAACAACGUUAUUAAUUGUGCAGUUCAUUUGGAUGUCGUAUUCUGCUCCAGAAAUUAUGGCAGUUAUGCCAUCAUCGGCCCGCGUCCACUCAAACCUAUGGUGUAUUAGCGCACCCAUUAUCAAUUUUAACGUAGUGGAGUGGUAUCAUGGCAAUCGAGUACUCCGACAGUUCGGUUGCAUACAGUAUAUCCCGACAUUGCCAGUACAAUUGGGGGAGAUCCAUGGGAUGAGCAAGAAGGGGAGGUAUGGAGAUAAUUGGGAAGAAGUGCACGAAGAGUAUAUCACGAUAUGGAACAACCGGUUCGGGAUGGUACCUCAGAUGGAUCGUGCUCCGGAUUUGCAGCCCUCGUUAGAGUAUAUACAGUGGUACUGUGAGACAGGGAAACCAUUUCUGUUUGGUGGGCGAUCGAUUGUAGUCCCUCCGUAUACGACACAAAUUACGCAACCCUUUGGAAAUCUGCAUCAUGCACCAGAGCCAGAGCCAGGGCCAGAGCCAGAGCCAGAGCCAGAGCCAGAGCCAGAGCGAGAGGCAGAACUACAUUCUAGGGAUAGUUCUUAUCAUCCAGAAUUAGGGGGCGAUGACUAUUUUGUGGCCUCGUAUCCACCUAAGUACUCUGCUCCUUCUGGCCAAUAUCCGCCGUCAUACUCCUCUCCUCCCGGAUCAAGUUCAUCGAUGGCAUUUGAGACAUAUGAUUAUUUGUCUAUGUUUCACACACCCCAACAUACUGUUGAGGAGAAUGUUGAUAACCGUAAUCGCCCACAACGUCAGCGUCGAGCUCCACAAAAAUAUACCCCUAGAACCACACCAUCAAACCAUCAAUUUUAGGGGUUUUCUAAUAAACACCCGUAUAUUUAUGUAAUGAUAGUUCUUAUCUAAAUAAAAUUACAAUGGUUUAAAAAUGUCUCCAUAACUGCAACAAAUUGUAGACAAUUUUGUGAUUCAAACCAUAUCUAUGUAAUGAAGUACAUAUCAAUUUCUACUCGAUUGAGACGAUUGUCCAACAUGGUAGUUUCGGAGAGGGCAUUUACUUCGAUUAUGACCGGGUAAUCUGCAUACGCCACACAAAUUCCAGUCAGAUUUCUCCCUAAUGUCCAUUUCGUUAUGGAUUCUGGAUGAUUGCGGACGACCUUUCAGGUUUCUACGCAACCUUAUGUCUGGGACUAGCUCGAAGGUUGCCGGAGGUACCUCCCAAGUAGAUAGGUCAGGAAGCACGGGGAACUCGUUUUCCCAUACACGCAACGUGCGUUCGAUGGUGUACACUUCAUCUAUAAAUUGUUCUACAUUGAGCCCAACUUUAGCACAAGUUGCCACGACGUGUGCACAUGGAAAAUGAAGUGUUUGAAACCUUCUACAAUCGCACCGUCUAUUUCGGAGAUCAACUCCGUAGGACCUAGGUGGUAUACUGGGUCGACGACUGAUGGUCUCUGUAACUCGAAACGUUUCAUUAUGUCGUGAAUAUACUUCUACUGUCAUCGACCUCGCCAUUCGACGGUUUACAACCAUUGCAUCCCUAAUGCCUUCGACAAAGACAUGGCCCGCCUCCAUCUGGUUCACUUGUUGCUGACCCAUUCUUGGCAUCAAGGUAUCCAACCUGAAGAACGUUGCCGAGAAGACAGAUGAAAUUGGAAGAUGCCGUGUUUUUAAUAACACAGCGUUGAUCCCCUCCACUAAGUUUGUAGUCAUUUGACCAUAACGAAAGCCCUCGUCAAAACUUUGAGCCCAUUGCCACGGCUCCAUGAUACCCAGCCACUGCCGGAAAGAUGUGUUGGUUUGACCCUCCAUGUCACUCUCAAGCCGGGCCAUUCUUUGGCGAAAAAUGUGUGGCUCUAACUCGUACGCUGCAUAUAUAUUGAAAAAAAUUUAAGUUACAGUAUUGCUCUAAAACAUUAAAACUUAUAUUUAAAAGAUAAGGUAAUUCUUUACCCAUUCUCACAACUUGUCUCUUCCAGUCUGCAUUCUUAUAAUCUCGCUGGAAGUUAGCCGCGAUGUGCCGGAUGCAGUAAACAGAUCGCCAUGGUACACCAGAACGCCUAAUGGCUGCAAUUAAUCAUUUUCCUCUAUCGGAAAUGAUGCAAAUAUUAUCAUUGCUAAUCACAUACCUCCGCAGGUUGGUAAGAAAGAACUCCCACGAUUUCAUGUUCUCCUUAUCGACGAUGGCAAAUGCUAUCGGGAGUACGUUCCUGUUGCCGUCUUGAGCAAUCGCAAGAAGUAAGAUCUGUGUGUAUUUUCCAUAUAGCCAGGUUCCAUCUACUUGCACAAAUGGUUUGCAGUGGGGAAAUGCGCGCACACAUUGAUCAAAAGUCCAGAACAUCCGAUGGAAAAUUCUUUUUCUCGAUUGUAGUUGGUCAUUUGGACCGUCAUAAGAUCGUGUCUGCAACUCAAUUACAGUCCCCGGUACGUGUUCCCUCAUGGCGGCUAUCCAUCUCUGUAAUUCAUUGUACGAUGCAUCGAAAUCUCCGUACAAUUGCUCCAUUGCCAUCUGUUUAGCUAUCCAUGCCUUCCGGUAUGAUACUCGAUACUGGAAUCGUGCUUGUAUUUCAGCAAUCAGUACCGAAACUUUAAUGGUCGGCAUGUCUUUCACCAUUGGCAUGAUGCAUGUACAGAUAGUUUUGGAGUCAAGUUUUUGAUGAUCUUCUGUCAGACGUGUUGAAGUGCAUGUGUGGGGCUCCACAAAUUUUCGUAUUUCCCACAUCUGCGACUUCUACAUAAAUGCAGCUCGUACCCGCCAAUUGCAGCCUUCUGCCAACCUCCAACACUCUCCAAUAUAUAAUGUUGGUUUAGACUCGAUGACUUUGUAAUCUACUGAUAUAUUCAUGCUAUACCGCUUAAUCGCAAACAUACAUUCUUCCUUACUUUCAAAUCUCUGGCCUACGCGUAACUCAUCUAGAUCAUAAUAUACGCUCAUUCGGUAACCAUAUGGUAUUUCAGGGUACUCCGGAAACUCAGCUGCCCGUGCCGCAUCGGGGUCUAUCCGAGACAUGUGUGCCCCAGGAUUAUUGUGUAUCACAAUACGAUGAAUCUGGUUUCCGAUUGAAGACGCAUUAACAUUUCCAUCCUCAUUCACCCCUUCAUCGUCAAUAUCAUCCGCGACCUCGUCUGCGUCGGGAUCACUCUCACUAUCCACUUCGUAAUCAACAGGAUCACUACUAUAGUAUACAUCAUCACCAACCACAUCAGUCUUGGCUGCAGCAUUAAGAUCAAUAUUUAUCCCAUGUAUAGGUGAUUGGCUAUCAACAUACGAUACCGGAACCACCAUACACGGCGCUUCAACUCCAUCUUCUUCACCUAAUGGAGUGGGAUCUUCAGUUGCCUCCACACUGGCUAACUCAGCAAAUAACUGAAUCGGUGUAUUUUUGUUACUCGAAGUCCCACAAUAAAGAGCGACCAUUGUUUCCACGUCUUCAUCAUCUACAAGUUCCAUUUCGGUAAAUUUUAUUGGAUCUGUUGAUAUUGGAAACUUGUAGAAAACUUUUGAUAUCCUUCUCCCACAACGUCUAUAAAUUUUUUCACUAAUUUUUUCCUUCAUAUCAUCAAACGAGAUAUUUCUAUCAAAUCUCAUUGCUACUUGUUUGCGACAUUCAAAUAUACAUCCCACAGUUGUUGUUAAAAUUUCUCCAUCGAAAUAAACGCAUACAAAAAACUGAUUCUCCAUUUUCAAUACUAGAUCUGUAAAAAAAGAAUUUCAAAUUUCUUAAAACUGUUUCAAAAUGUAAACAAAAUACAUAAAAAUUGCAAAAUUACAAUAUUACAAUAUUCAUACAAAAAAAUUGCAAUAUUCAUACAAAAUUAUAAUAUUACAACAUUCAUACAAAAAAAUAUAAUAUUCAUACAAAAUUACAAAAUUACAAUAUUCAUACAAAAAAAUUGCAAUAUUCAUACAAAACUAUAAUAUUAUUACAAUAUUCAUACAAAAAAUUUAUAAUAUUCAUACAAAAUUACAAUAUUCAUACAAAAAAUUACUAAUCCAAAACUAUAAAUACAAAUUUAAUUAUAAAAUAAUUACAAUAUUCAUACAACAUUACAAUAUUCAUAAAAAAAUUAUAAUAUUCAUACAAAAUUCUAAUCUAAACUAUAAACACUAAAUAUAGAUAAUUUAUAAUUAAUAAUUAAUAACAUAAAAUUCACAAUAUUUUCUAAAAUAUAUACUAAAAAAUUCACAAACUAUAAACUUAUUAAAUUAUAAACAAAAUUAUUUAUUAAAAAAAUACAUUACCUUUUUUAUAAACUUUCUUCUUCUUCUUCUUCUCUUCUUCUUCUUCUCCUUCUCCUCUUCUUCUUUCUCUCUUUUUUUUUCUCUACCGUCUGGAGCUUGGUUCAUUUGCUAUUACUUAUAGCAAAAAUAAAAUUGUUUUGAAGGGACAUUUCAAUGGCAUGGCAGCAGCAUGCCUACUUGAUAGGCCCCACCCGACCCGACCCGACCGUAUUUUGACCCGUAUUUUUUUUAAAAAUAUUAAAAAAAUAUAAAAUUAUAUUUUAAUAAAUUUUUUUAUUAUUAUUUUAUUCAUUGGCGCCUAUCUAAUAGGCUCCAAUGAAAAAGUAACCUAUUUUGGUAAAAUUUUUUUCUGACAUACUAUUUCAGUAAUUUUUUUUCUAUCCUAAUUAGGUAAAAAACCCUCAUACUGGACUAUCAAGAAAUUAUCCUCUCAAACCUCGCAUGUAGCGGGCACACUUGGUUACAUGGCUCCUGAGCAUGCAAGAACUGGGAAAGCAAACACAAGCACUGAUAUAUAUGCAUUUGGAAUUUUCAUGCUCGAAAUUACUUGGGGUAGAAGGCUGAUCUAAGCACGAGCAUCGCCGGAUGAAAAUUUUCUUGCUGAUUGGAUAAUGGAUUGCUGGGAUAAAGGAGGCAUUUUGGCGGUUGUCGAUGGGAUGUUGGAAAAGAAGUUUGUGGUACAAGAAGCGGCCUUUGUGACUCGUAUCAGAAGCAGAGUUGGUGUUGAAGCUUGGGUUGCUUUGCUCGCACCCGAUGGUGGCGGCUAGGUCUAGCGUGUCCAGUGUGGUAUCGUAUUUGGAUGGUGUUGUUUCGUUACCCGAUGAUUUAAACUCUGUUAUCAAAGCUCGAGAAUUCCCUGGAUUAUCCAAUGAUGAGUUAAUAAGUGAAAGAAACAACACCAUUCCUCCAUUAACAAUAACACUGUCGUUUGUAUCUCAUGGUCGGUGAAGUUGAAUUAAAGAUUGUCUUUCAUUUGUUUCUUUUUAAGACGUAUGAUCCAAAUUCAAAACAUUUGUUGAUAGAGUGUUUUGCAGCUUCAAAGGCCAAAUGUGUUGUAAAUUUACAACAACUGUAUAGAGUGUUUUGCAGGGUGGAAACUGGUUCAUAAGCCCUGGAAGCCCCCUUGUUCUUGUUGGAGUUGGAGUCAUCAUUUGUAAUAGGCGCUGUAUAAAAUAUAUCAACCAUUAAUCAAAAGCUUCAUUUUCAAGGUAAAUGAGAAAACAAAACAAAAAAAAAGAGCUGAAAACCUUGAUUUGAGGGCUUUGUGACAUAGAGAAGAAUAACAGUGUCCUGGCACUGGACAGUGUGAGAAGAAUAAAGCUCCCUCUGCUUCAAUGCAGAAAGAGUAAUAUAGGGGAAUCCUACUAAGAACAGCAGGGGACAAUAUCCAGAUUGCUAUUCUAGGGACAUGAUUUUUUGUGUCUCAAUCAAAGGCUUGAAAGGUCGAAUUCUAUGGGGUGCUUCAAAUCCUUUCUCUGUGGGCAAUGAGCCUUACCCCGAUCGGCAAUGGACUGUGGGCCUUUACAAAGUGAUGUAUAUUUGAAAGAUAAUAUCUCAUCCUCGUAUUCAGAGCCGGAGUCAAGGACACUUAAAAUAAAAAAAUUUCCAUUUAAAUCCUUUACAAUUUAUAAAGUUUUAAAUUAGUAAUGAUAAAAUUGUACUUUGCUCCUCUAAAAUGAUAAAAAUUUGAUUUAUUCCUUUAAAAAUUAUAAAGACAAAGACUAUUAGAAUAGUGAAAUUAUAUUUUUAUUAUUGUUAAAAUGUACAAUUUAAUUUCAACCCUCCAAAAAAAUAAUUAUCUGACUCUGCUGCUGCUUUAUAUUAUAAGUAAAGAUAUCUAAAAUUAUUUUAUAUGUAAAAAAAAAAAAAUUAACAGGAUAAGGGUGGUUAAGUAGUUUACCACAAUUAAUGCUUCUUCCCGGAUCAGUCCGUUACAAAAUUGAAAACUUUUUGCAUCCGUUUUGGUUGUGGCCUUUCUUCCUCCGCCUCCUCGUUGGUAUUAUGUUUUCGUACUGAAAGGGAAGUACUAUGUAUUGAUCCAUCGCUAUCAGCAGAGUGUUGAUAGAUAUCUUCGAAAUUAGCAUAAUAAUGAGUGGCAUGGCUAUGCAUCUCUUUUAUUUCUUCCAAAUCUUUCACAUACACUAUUCUAACACCACACUUCUUCGCCUUAAAACUAAAGUUACCUAGAAAAUAUAUCUCAAGCUCAUCACAUUCUUCAUCCGAGCAAUCUGCUGUUACUAAAUUCUUGGGUUCACAUUUAUCCUCCAAGGAAAAUGAAGAAAAAAGUGAUCUUUCAUUAUGAUCCAGUUAAAAGCAUGUCACUAAGUAAGUCGCUAUUUACAAAUAUUUCUGGCUCAGGUCUGUUCUCUUUUACAUCGAAAAUUAACCUCUGAUUCUUUUAUAAAUUAAAAUUAAUGACUUCUUUUUGUCAAGUUUUUUGCUCUCAAAUAUGCUGCCUGCACUGUGUUGCGUGCAGAGAAUCGCACUUAAAAUAGUUUGGUGAUGGGAUUAGGUUCUCAUGCAAUGCAAAGCUGUAUUUGCUGCUUAGGAUCGCAUCUGUAUUUCAUAUUCCCAACAUUUUCUUCCACUAAGCUCGGUAAUGCCCGUUGAUUCAAUGUUUGCAGAUUAUGAUGUAAUCACCCGUGUUCGUACUUUGUUUAGGCAUCUAUUUUAUAUAUUAUUUUUUUUAUGCUAGAACACUUGAGCUUGAAAAAAAUUUGCAUGUGAUUUUAGCCAUCUAUUUUAUUUUUUAUAAGAUAAUCUUAUUCAUUUCUUUCUCGAUUUUGCAUGAAUGUUGGUUAUAUCAUAGCCUAUAUUACACCAACUCAUUCAUUUUUAGAGGUGAUCAUGGGUUGAGUUAUCCGGCUCGGCCUGAUGGCCCUCCCGAAAAAGGGAGGGUUCGGGUAAAAAUAUAGGCCCGAAAUAUGGGUUUGGGCAAAAAAAUAGUCCCGUAUAAAAAAUGGGCCGGGCUCGGGCAAAACUUUUUUGGCCUAGGCCCGGCCUGGCCCAAAGUAUAUUAAAUAUAUAUUUUUUAUUUUUAAUCAAAUAUACCUCUAAUUCUGGUUGAUUGAUUAUAUUUUUCAGGUUUUUGAUGCUAUUUUGGUGUUGUAAAAUUUAAUAUGGGCAGGGCUUGACUCGAGCUUAAUAAUUUUCUUUUAGGCAGGGCUUGGACAAAUUUUUAGGCUCAUAUUUUGGGUUGGGCCUAGAAAAUUGGCCUAAAAUUUUAUCUGGGCCUGGCCCGGCCAUGAUCACCUCUAUUCAUUUUCCCUAAGUACCUAUAUUUAAGACUUACGUGGCUUGAACACUUUAUAAAGGGAGUACAUCAGUUUCGGACACAUGAAUUGGCUUGAAUAGACUUAUUGGAACCCACCAUUGUUUGAAAAGUCAAAUGGGGUGGGCACCGAAAGUAGAAAGUAAUAUUGGUUGGCAAGUUGGGUUAAAAGUUGGCAUGGGAUAAUUGCAAUUUUGGUCCCUAAUUGUAUAGGGACAUUGCAAGUUGAUCCUUGAACCUCAACUAUAAAUAGGCCUAACCAUUGCUUACUUUCUUCAUCCCAUAAUUGCCAUUCUCUACUUAAGGCAUUAUUCUCUCUCUCUAUUUGUAAAUUUCACUUGUAAUUUUUGGAGUGAAAUAUAUUUGGUAGUGCCCGAGGACGUAGGCAAAAUUUGCUGAACCUCGUUAAAAUUCUGGUGUUCUUUAUUAUUUGUUUUGCAUAUUUUGUGAAUGUGAUUGUAGUGAUUUAUUGUGCUAUUAAAUUACGAUAGAGGGAUAUUCUGGCUAGGAAAGACUUGGUAUUUAAGUGAUCUUCGUGAUCUACCUCUCUUUCCUGGUAAUUGAACUUAGUGUGAUUUUUCAGUACAAUAAUUUUACUCUUUCACACGCUUCCGCGCAACAAUUGGUACCAGAGCCAGGCUUGUACUUGGGGUAUACGACCGUUUACGGUACUAUUCAUGUAUACAGCACUAUUUACGUAUACGACACUAUUCACAUAUACGAUACUGUUCACGUAUACAGUAGUUAGGAUUGAGGAGAAAAAUGGCAGCAGCAUCGUCAUCAGUAAGGACUACUGUGACAAAUGCAAAAUUUGAAGUAGAGAAAUUUGACGGUACCAAUAAUUUUGGUAUGUGGCAAUGUGAGAUCCUGGAUGUCUUAUGUCAGCAAGAGCUAGAUAUAGCCCUUGAAGAAAAACCUGACAAGAUGGAUGACAAUGAGUGGGCCAAGAUCAAUAGACAGGCGUGUGGUACAAUCCGCCUAUGUUUGGCCAAAGAGCAGAAGUACUCUGUCAUGAGGGAGACAUCAGCGAAGAAGUUAUGGGAUACACUGGAAGAAAAGUUUCUAACGAAAAGUCUUAAAAAUAGGCUUUAUAUGAAAAAGAAACUUUAUCGAUUCACGUAUGCACCCGGUAUGUCGAUGAAUGACCAUGUGAACUCAUUCAAUAAAAUUUUAGCAGACUUGCUAAAUUUGGAUGAGAAAUUUGAAGAUGAAGACAAGGCAUUAUUGUUGUUGAAUUCCCUUCCUGAUGAAUAUGAUCAUCUUACCACCACAUUGCUUCAUGGGAAGGACACGAUCACAUUUGAUGCAGUCUGUAGUGCGUUGUAUAGAUCUGAGACUCAAAAGAAAGAUAAAAGAGAUCACAGAGAUACAACCGCAGAAGUCUUAACAGGAAGAGGUCGUUCACACAGCAGCAAAUCUGGUAGAAGGGGAAAGUCCAAAGGGAGACCCGCCAAAGAUGAAUGUGCCUUUUACCGUGAAAAAGGGCAUUGGAAAAAGAAUUGUCCUAAGCUACAAAAGGGCAAGGCUAUUUCUAAUGCAUGUGUAGCGGAGCAUGAUGAGGAGUCAGACUUUAGCUUGGUUGGCAUGGCAAUGGCAUGUCAAACGGAUGAGUGGAUUUUGGAUUCAGGAUGUACUUACCAUAUGUGUCCUAAUAAGGACUGGUUUUCUAGUAUUAAAGAGCUAGAAGGUGGAAUUGUUCUUAUGGGAAAUGAUAGUGCUUGUAAGACAAUGGGAGUGGGUACAGUCCAAUUGAAGAAUCACGAUGGCUCAAUCCAAGUCUUGACAGAUGUUCGCUACGUACCUAGCCUGAAGAAAAAUCUCAUCUCAUUAGGUGCCCUAGAAUCUAAAGGGCUCACAAUCACUUUGAGAGAUGGAUUACUAAAAGUAGUAGCUGGGCAACUGACGGUGAUGAAAGGCACAAGAAGAAAUAACUUGUAUUUUUUAAAUGGAAGUACAGUUAUUGGAUCAACAUCAACAGUUUCUACAAAAUAUGUAGAUUCAGAGGCUACCAGAUUAUGGCAUAUGCGAUUGGGACAUGCUGGUGAAAAAGCUUUGCAGACAUUGGUGAAGCAAGGCUUAUUGAAAGGUGCAAAUUCUUGCAAAAUGAAAUUCUGUGAACAUUGUGUUCUGGGCAAGCAGAAGAGGGUAAAAUUUGGUCCAGCAAUUCACAAUACGAAAGGAAUUCUGGACUACGUUCACAGUGAUGUGUGGGGACCUACCAAAGUAACUUCUUUGGGAGGUAUGCACUAUUUUGUUACUUUUGUUGAUGAUUAUUCAAGAAAAGUAUGAGUGUAUCUAAUGAAAAGAAAAAGUGAAGUUUUGGAUGCAUUUUUGAAAUGGAAGAAGAUGGUGGAGACUCAGACUGGUCGAAAGGUCAAAUGACUUCGAUCAGAUAAUGGUACUGAGUACAAAAACGAUCCAUUUCUACAAGUAUGCCAAGAUGAGGGCAUUGUGCGACACUUCACUGUUCGGGAUACACCACAGCAAAAUGGGGUGACAGAACGAAUGAAUCGAACUAUACUGGAGAAAGUUUGAUGUAUGUUGUCCAAUGCUGGAUUGGGCAAAGAAUUUUGGGCUGAGGCAGUUACAUAUGCGUGCCAUCUAAUUAACCGUUUGCCAUCAGCUGCAAUAAAUGGAAAAACUCCUAUGGAGAUGUGGACUGGUAAAUCUGCUACUGAUUAUGAUUCUUUACAUGUAUUUGGUUCCACUGCAUAUUAUCAUGUAAAAAAAUCUAAGUUAGACCCAAGAGCAAAGAAAGCAUUAUUCUUGGGUAUAACUGAUGGAGUAAAAGGAUAUCGUCUCUGGUGUCCUGAUACAAGGAAGAUUGUUUUCAGUAGAGAUGUGACUUUUGAUGAAUCAACCAUGUUGAAGUACAAGGAUUCACAAAAGGAUGACAAAACCAGUAGUACUUUGCAGCAGGUGGAGCUUGAAAAGGUUAACGAUGAUCCAGCUAAUAUUGAAGGGACAAAUGAUGAAGAGGUUCCUACCCAAGAACCUCUACAGCAACAAGAUUCAAUUGCAUAUAGAAGGCCAAGAAGAGAGAUUCGUAAGCCUGCUCGCUUUGAUGAUAUAGUGGCCUAUGCACUUCCAAUUACAGAUGAUGAUGUUCAUUCUACUUACACAGAAGUAAUAAGUAACCCUGAUGGUGUAAAGUGGAAGCAAGUAAUGAAUGAAGAAAUGCAGUCUCUUCAUAAAAAUAAGACCUGGGAGUUGGUGACACUACCCAAGGGAAAGAAGGCAAUUGGAUGCAAAUGGGUAUAUGCAAAGAAGGAAGGAUUUCCUGAUAAAAAUGAAAUUCGAUACAAGGCUAGAUUAGUAGCAAAGGGUUAUGCUCAGAAAGAAGGAAUAGACUACAAUGAAGUGUUUUCUCCAGUUGUGAAGCAUUCGUCUAUUCGGAUUUUGCUAGCCUUGGUUGCGCAAUAUGAUCUUGAACUAGUUCAGCUUGAUGUGAAGACCGCGUUUUUACACGGUGAUUUGGAAGAGGAAAUCUAUAUGACUCAGCCAGAUGGAUUCAAGGUUGCUGGAAAAGAAAAUUGAGUUUGCAAACUGACAAAGUCGCUUUAUGGAUUGAAGCAAUCUCCGAGGCAGUGGUACAAGCGAUUUGAUCAGUUCAUGAAAGGGCAAAGGUACACAAUAAGUAAAUUUGAUCAUUGCGUGUAUUUUCAGAAGCUACAAGAAGGAACUUUCAUAUACUUGCUCUUAUAUGUUGAUGAUAUGCUAAUAGCAUCUAAGAGCAAAGUUGAGAUUGAAAGAUUGAAGACUCAACUCAAUCUCGAGUUUGAGAUGAAAGAUCUAGGAGAAGCUAAAAAGAUUCUCGGCAUGGAAAUAUGGAGAGAUAGAGCUCAUGAUAGAGUUAGCUUGUCUCAGAAGCAGUAUUUGAAAAAGGUACUACAACAGUUUGGCAUGAACGAGCAGACAAAACCUGUAAGUACCCCGUUGGCUUCUCAUUUCAAGCUUUCUGCACAACUAUCUCCUUCGACGAAUACGAAACGAGAAUACAUGUUGCAAGUUCCGUAUUCUAAUGCAGUGGGUAGCUUGAUGUAUGCAAUGGUGUGUACAAGACCCGACAUUUCACAGGCAGUUAGUAUAGUGAGCAGGUAUAUGCAUAAUCCUGGAAAAGGACAUUGGCAAGCUAUGAAAUGGAUUCUACGGUAUAUUCAGAAGACCGUGGAUGUUGGAUUACUGUUCAAGCAGGAUAAUACACUUGGUAAAGGUGUUAUUGGGUACGUUGAUUCUGACUAUGCCGGUGAUUUGGACAAGCGAAGAUCAACCACCGGUUAUGUGUUUACACUUGCUGGAGGACCAAUAAGUUGGAAGUCUACACUACAGUCUACAGUUGCAUUGUCAACCACAGAAGCCGAGUACAUGGCUGUAACAGAGGCUGUAAAGGAGGCUGUUUGGUUACAAGGUAUGGCUAAAACCUUGGGGUUGGUUCAAGAGCAUAUUAACGUGUAUUGUGAUAGUCAAAAUGCUAUUCAUUUAGCAAAGAAUCAAGUCUAUCAUGCACGUACAAAACAUAUCGACGUACGAUUCCAUUUUGUGCGGGAAAUUAUUGAAGAGGGGAAAAUUUGUCUUCAGAAGAUCAAGACUGCAGAUAAUCCCGCAGAUAUGAUGACCAAGGUGGUAACAGCAACCAAGUUCGAACAUUGUUUGAACUUGAUUAAUAUCCUGCAAGUUUAACAGUUGAAGAAGGCACUAUCAAGUAUUGUUGUCAAAAGCAGAAAGAAUUGUGUGAAGAUAAGAUUAUCGUAAUCAAAUCUUCAAGGUGGAGAUUAUUGGAACCCACCAUUGUUUGAAAAGUCAAAUGGGGUGGGCACCGAAAGUAGAAAGUAAUAUUGGUUGGCAAGUUGGGUUAAAAGUUGGCAUGGGAUAAUUGCAAUUUUGGUCCCUAAUUGUAUAGGGACAUUGCAAGUUGAUCCUUGAACCUCAACUAUAAAUAGGCCUAACCAUUUCUUACUUUCUUCAUCCCAUAAUUGCCAUUCUCUACUUAAGGCAUUAUUCUCUCUCUCUAUUUGUAAAUUUCACUUGUAAUUUUUGGAGUGAAAUAUAUUUGGUAGUGCCCGAGGACGUAGGCAAAAUUUGCUGAACCUCGUUAAAAUUCUGGUGUUCUUUAUUAUUUGUUUUGCAUAUUUUGUGAAUGUGAUUGUAGUGAUUUAUUGUGCUAUUAAAUUACGAUAGCGGGAUAUUCUGGCUAGGAAAGACUUGGUAUUUAAGUGAUCUUCGUGAUCUACCUCUCUUUCCUGGGAAUUGAACUUAGUGUGAUUUUUCAGUACAAUAAUUUUACUCUUUCACACGCUUCCGCGCAACAAGACUUUUAUACUUUCCUAGUAGAGGAAUAAUUUAAUUACAAUUCAUUCUAUUAUUAUGUAUUAAAUGAACAAUUUCAAUUCCAAAUAUAAGUUGAGAUCUAAUUAUUUCGUCCAAUUGUCUUUAAAAACAUUUAAACCUAUCAAUUAUUUGAAUCUCAAUAUUUCAGAUUUUUUUAAGGUUAUAACAUUCUCACUGUAAAGAAAAUAAGGAUUAAAUUGUCAAAUUUUAUAAACGCUAAGAACCUUUUUGUCAUCUUGCCUAAUUUAUGUUUCAUGUAAAAAACAACUAAUUAUAUAAUAACAUAAUUUUUUCUCAAAAUCCUAAUUCCCUAAAUUCAUCCGAGCCUAUAAUUGCUAAAGCGUCCCCUUCUAUUUCAACUUGAUGACUUUUGUUGGUCCCCCACUUGCAUGAUCCUUUGAGUAGACUUUCAUGCUUCUAUUGGUCUAGGGAUAAACAUAAAACACCAAGAUUAUUUUUGUUGCAUUGUGAUCAUCUAUACCAUUAGUAUAUUAAUUUAACCUCAAAUUGAUAUAUUUUUGUUCAUAUCACAAAAAACACAACUGUUAAAAAUCUUACUUACGUCAACCAAAAGCCAUAUCUCUAUUUCUCUAAACCUAACAUUAGACAAGAACAAAAAAUGAAUCUAGUGAAUUUUGAAAAAAAAAAUUGGUCAUACAGAAAAUAUUUUCCAAUUAAUUAAAAGAGUAUACUUUAUAUUUAUAUUUGAAUAAGUGUUAAAAAUAAAUGUCUAACCAUAAAUACUUCAUAAAAAAUAUAAACUAAAUAGUUGGUGUUAGGAUCGUCCCGAAUAAGUAACGAACAAGUAAAAAUAGUAGAAGAAAUUGAGAAGAUGAACACACAAAUUUAACGUUGAAAAACCCCUCAAAAGAGGAUAAAAAACCACGGGCAAAGAUAACUUUACUAUAAUGGCAAAAGAAUGAAGAGUACAAAAGAUGGAGAUAAAAAACUAAACCCCGAAAACCCGAAAAACAAAGAACCCUCAAACGUAAACACAAAAUUCUCUGAAUGUGUUAUGAGUUCUAAUCUAAUGGGUGUCUCUUUUAAUUCUAAGAUUGUAAAUGAGCCUAUUUAUAGGCUAAAUUAGCAAGUCAAAUAAACUAUACUAAUAAAUGCUAAAUAUAUUAUACUAAUAAAUACUAAAUCUUCUAGAAAGAAAAUAUAUUUUUGUUUAACUUGACUUGCAAGCAAUCUCUUAGAAUUUGGGUCACACAAUUCUAACAAUCUCCACCUUGACACAAAUUCUUUCAAUGCCAUCUUUGCCAAAACCCGCCACGGGCCUAUCUUGAACUAUGCAGGGAAUUAACUGAGUCGAAUCUAUGCUUAGAAGCUGGAAGACUUCUAGCCUUCGACUUGUGCACUGCCAAAUCAAAACUAACCCGGGUCUGAUUUUUACGAAUACAAUGCCCUAACUUUUCAAAACCUGCAUCCAAAAGAGAACCUCUCUUCAACGAAACGGUCAUACCUUUUUCCCUCCUAUGACCAAGUUACCUCCGCUUCAAAUGAGUUGACUUUGACUCUGUAACGGAUGAGGGACGUCCGAUUUCACCGGUCACUGUAGAACCUUCCAGAAUAUAAAGACUGCCGGUUCUUUUACCUUUUAACAAAAUGAGAGCUCCACGAGAUACUUUAAUGUCGCUCGACUCGAUGUUGAUUCUGCAUCCUUUCAAGUCUAAAAUACUCAAGGAGAUGAGAUUCUUUCGUAAAUCAGGUACAUACUUGACAUCUGAGAGUGUCCUAAUCGUCCCAUCGUGUAUCCUAAUUUUAACAGUACCAAUACCGAUUAUUUUACUAGAUGAAUCGUUUCCCAUGUGCACAACGCCACCUUCAACUGAACUGCAUGUGGAGAACCAUUCUCUAUUGGGACACAUGUGGAAAGAACAUCCUGAAUUUAGGAUCCACUCAGACGUAAGCUUGGAGUUAUCGCUCGUUGACACUAACAAGAAAUCAUCACCGCCUUCAUCGACCAAAUUAGCACCAGCUACAUCUUCCUCGUUACUCUCAGCAGCUCUUUUAUUUCGCAGUUUAUAACAAUCUGCUUUGACGUGACCUAACUUUUUGCAAUAGCGACACCUUUUGUCUCGUUUCUUUGAUGCUACCAAAACGGAAGCUUGUCUAUCUGCUUUGCUAUUCAAAUCAAACUCAUUGUCGAGUUUGUCUCUACUCAACAAAUGACCCUUCACAUCUUCGAACGAGAGUUUGUCUCUACCAUAAAUCAGGGUCUCCCUGAAAGACUUGUAUGAAGAGGGUAAAGAGCACAAUAAUAGCAUAGCUUGAUCUUCAUCGUCAAUAAGAACCUCAACGUUCUUUAAAUCAUUUAAAAGAGUAAUGAAUUGACUGAUGUGAUCUUUAAGAAGCUCACCUUCGUUCAUGCGAAACGUAAAUAGACGUUGUUUCAACACUAAACGGUUAGCCAGAGACUUAGUCGCAUAAAGAGUUUCUAACCUUUUCCACAAGGCGAAUGAGGUCUUCUCCAUCAAUACCUCCUGCAAUACUGUAUUCGCGAGGCACAACUGGAUUGCAGACAAGGCCUUUUCAUCAAGCUCUUCCCAUUCUGUUUGAUUUAGAUUCUCAGGCUUUUUCCCUGUAACAACCUUUUUCAAGCCAUUUUGAACUAGAAUUGCCAUCAUCCGAACUUGCCACAGAUUGAAAUUUGUCUCACCAUCGAACUUCUCAAUUUCAAACCUUGUUGCUGCCAUCUCUGAACGGGCUGAUCUAUGAAAGUUAAACUAGCUCUGAUACCACUUGUUAGGAUCGUCCCGAUUAAGCAACGAACAAGUAAAAAUAGUAGAAGAAAUUAAGAAGAUGAACACACAAAUUUAACGUGGAAAAACCCCUCAAAAGAGGAUAAAAAACCACGGGCAAAUAUAAUUUUACUAUAAUGGCAAAAGAAUGAAGAGUACAAAAGAUGGAGAUAAAAAACUAAACCCCGAAAACCCGAAAAACAAAGAACCCUCAAACGUAAACACAAAAUUCUUUGAAUGUGUUAUGAGUUCUAAUCUAAUGGGUGUCUCUUUUAAUUCUAAGAUUGUAAAGGAGCCUAUUUAUAGGCUAAAUUAGCAAGUCAAAUAAACUAUACUAAUAAAUGCUAAAUAUAUUAUACUAAUAAAUACUAAAUCUUCUAGAAAGAAAAUAUAUUUUUGUUUAACUUGACUUGCAAGCAAUCUCUUAGAAUUUGGGUCACACAAUUCUAACAGUUGGAAUAACAUUAUUUGUACUUCAAGCCAUGAAAUUUAAAUGGUACUUUUAUUAGAAUGAACUAAACCUAUUUAAGUACUAUUAAGAAUUUAUAUUUAAUAUUCUAAAUAUAUAAAAACAAUUUUGAUUGGUUAAAUUGAACACAUGAUCUCAAAUAAAAAUGAAAUGGUUUUAACUUAACCGAAAUUAUGAUCUAAUCUUCAUUAAAAGGUUUUCACCUUAUUAUUACUUGUUUCGUCACGGUUUCUUUUCCGCAUUUAUGUCUUAAAUUGAUUAUAUUUACUUCAACCUAAAAAUAAAAUAUAGAUGUAAGUGAAUAUAUAAUGAAAAUAAUAUUUUAAUAAAUCUAGUUUGAAGUCUUAAUUGGCGUUAUUCAAGUAUUAAUGGUACGUAUUGUAAGCCAAUUCAUGUAUGCACCAAGUGAAGAUCAUAUGGAGGUUGUUUAUCGAAUCUUACGAUAUCUAAAAUUUUUUCGAGAAAAAGGAUUAUCUUUUUGCUAAAAAUGGAGAUCAAGAAAUAAAGAAAUAUAUAGAUGCGGAUUGAAUUGGAAGUCAAAUUGAUCGAAAGUCUACAUCGAGAUAUUUUAUAUUUGUUGGAAAUAACUUGGUUACAUGGCGAAAUAAGAAAUAAAAUAUUGUAGCAAAAUCUAAGUGCAAAGGCAGAAUUUCUGUGGAAUGACACGAAGUAUCUAUGAAUUGCUAUGGAUAAAAUUUUAAAUCUAGUAGUAGGGCUUAUACCCCACUGUUUACAAUAAGUAAUGCUGAAAGGGUUUUGUAUAUAUUUCAGCAUCCUAAGUAGCAAACUGUGGCUGUCCAUGCAAAUACCAUUUAGGAUUAUAUUUUAUAACCUAGCAUUUUAUAAAAUAAAAAAUUUGUGUUUAAUUUUGGAAUUUUUAUUUCCUUUUUUUAAUUGUUUUAAUUUUUUAGAGAUUAUUUUUAUUAUCGAUUUUUAAUCUUUUAAUACUUUUUAAAAAUAUUUAUAAUUUAUUGUACUUUUCUGGUCCUAACAACUCUAAAGUCUAGUUACAUUCAAGCUUUGAUAGCAUUACAAAAUAAUCAACAGUAAACAAAAGAAAAAAGUUACUUCUGGUCCUGCUCGAAUUCUGAUCUGCAGCAGCUGCUGGUCUGCUUCUUGGCCUAUUGUUGCAUUGCAGUCCAUGUUCAACACUCCUACUUGGACUGUAGGCAACAAACACCAACUGAUUCUCUAAGAGAUUCAAACCUCAUAGUACAGAGAGGCUUUGUCAAAAUAUCAGCCAAUUGACUUUGUGAGCUACAAUGUGCAAGACUUACAUCCUUUGAUUGCACUGCCUCUCGAACAAAAUAGAAUUUGAGUUUAAAAUGUUUUGUUUUACCAUGAAAAAUAGCAUUUUUGGAGAUAGCUAUUGCUGAUUGAUUAUCAACCAUAAUCUCAGUAGGCUCAAAUUGUUCCUCAUUCAAAUCACACAACAAUUUUCUAAGCCAAAUAGCUUGGCUUACUGCUCCAGCUGCUGCUAUGUACUCUACCUUUGCAGUUGAUUGAGCAACUAUUUGUUGCUUUUUAGAGCUCUAACAGAAAGCUCCCGAACCAAGUGUAAAAAGGUAGCCUGAGGUACUCCUCAUAUCAUCAAUCGAUCCUCCCCAGUCACUGUCUAAAUAGCCAGUCAAUUUUAGUUUAUUCCCUGACUUGAACAUCACUCCAAACUUCAAGGUUCCUUUAACAUACCUGAGAAUUCUCUUUGCUAUCUUUAAAUGUGAUGUAUUGCAGCUAUGCAUGAAACGAGAUAACAUACUUACAGAAUGCAUAAGAUCAGGCCUUGUUGCUGUUAAGUAAAGCAAACAUCCAAUCAGACUCCUAUACUCCCUUUCAUCCACUUUUUCUUCAUUUCCAUAGCUACUUAAUUUCUGUCCUGUGACUAGAGGUGUACUCACCGGUUUGCAAUUUUCCAUGUGGAAUUUAGUGAGUAUCUUCAGGGCAAAUGCAUGUUGACUGAUGAAAAUACCCUGACUAAUCUGACUCACCUCCAUACUAAGGAAAAAACUCAUAAUUCCCAAAUCAGUCAUAUCGAACAUGACUUGCAUUUUCUCAUUGGAACUCUUGAAUCAGCUCAAAUUUGCUUCCUGUAACCAACAAAUCAUCCACAUAUAUUGACACUAUCAACAGUGUCUCAUCUUUUGACUUUUUCACAAACAAAGUUGGUUCACUCAAGCUCUUCUCAAAGUUGAGUUUAGACAGAUACCCAUCAAUUCUGUCAUACCAGGCUCGAGGAGCCUGUUUCAAACCAUAAAAUGCCUUCUUCAGCCUAUAAACCUUGUCCUCCUUUCCUUGAACUUUAAAUCCAUCAGGCUGUUCAACAUAAAUUUCCUCUUUAAGAAGGCCAUUCAGGAAAGCUGACUUGACAUCAAGCUGGUGGACCUUCCACUGUUUCUGUGCAGCCAAGGCAAACAGCAACUUUAUAGUGUCCAGCCUUGCUACUGGAGCAAAAGUUUCCUCAAAAUCAAUGCCAAAUUGUUGGCUAUACCCUUUCACCACAAGCCUUGCCUUGUGUUUGUUCAGAGAGCCAUCUGCAUUGAACUUAGUCUUGUAAACCCACUUGACACCAAUGACUUUCUUCUAUUCAGGUCUGUCCAUAAGAUCCCAAGUGUCAUUCUUGUGGAUCAUAUCAAUUUCAGCCUCCAUGGCUUUCAUCCAACUCUUGCUUCUAUCAGCCUCUUCAUAGCUUGAGGGUUCAGCAAUAGCUACGUUGCAUCUCUGGUAGAUAUCAGCAAUCGACCUAGUCCCUCUCAUAGGAGCAUCAUCAACAUUGGCAUUACUGACUUCAUUUUCUGCCAAUUCUAGGUUGCUAUCACCUUUCUCUUCUUCAAACUGUCUUGUAUCUGAACCAUCAAAGUUCUAAAACCUUGUUUCAUCAAAUUUAAUAUCCCCACUUACCAGAAUCUUCUUGGUCAAGGGAUCAAAUAUUCUGUAGCCCUUCUUACAGCUACUAUAGCCAACAAAUAUGCCAGCAAUUGAUCUGUUCUCAAGUUUGGUCCUUCUUUCUGCUGGUACAAGUACAUAACAUAUGCAGCCAAAUAAUUUUAAGUGUAAGACAACAGGUUUGAGACCAUACCAUGCUUUAAAAGGGGUCCUCAAAGAUAGGAGGCUCUGAUUACCAUUUAUUAGAAUAAUGGCUGCAGCAACUUAAAGCAAAUCGAGCAUCAAGAGCAUAAGCUCUUCAAACAGCAAGCAAAAACAAAGAAAAAAUGAAAAGACUAAAAACAGAAAGUAACUGAUGAAGUAAUUCAAUUUUCUCAUUGAAACUUUGAAAUAUAAGAUGUUACAAAAAUAGUAUGACAGUUACCUAACAUAUGUAACUGCUCCCAUCAGUUUUAGCAAGUUGCAAUACAAAAUAAUACAAAUUAAAAGAGCUGAACAUUUCAGCCAUUACAUCUAUCAAAUUCAAAUCCUAACAACUCUAAAGUCUAGUUACAUUCAAGAUUUGAUAGCAUUACAAAAUAAUCAAAAGUAAACAAAAGAAAAAAGUUGCUUCUGGUCCUGCUCAAAUUCUGAUCUGCAGCAGCUGCUGGUCUGUUUCUUGGCCUAUUGUUGCAUUGCAGUCCAUGUUCAACAUCAUGUUGUCAAUGAUAAAUUUUGUUUGUCACAUUUUGACAGGUCCGAUGGAAAAGAGGUUAUGGUGGACAACCAAUAUCUUCAAGCUAACAAUCCACUGCUGGUAAUGGAUCAUUUUCUUGCCUAAUCUUUUCCUUCACUAAAUUGCCUCAAAGAGCUAACAAUUCUUGCACUUCUUUUGUUUUUUUUUCUUCCAUUGCAGUUAAUCAGCCAAAACGACUUCCACCUUUUCGGCUUCUGACACCACCGAUCCAUAGGCUGCAAGUAAGGCACAGGUAUUUUCUAUCUUCGCAAUAUAAUCUGUGACAGUUAACUCACCCUUCUUUGUAAAAUUAAGAUCAUGCUUGAUGCUAGAAAUUUUGCACUGGUUGACGCAGCGAAAAGACGAUUUGCAGUGCUCCAGAUGUCACACGCAGAUUGAGCAGAGGUAAAACAUGACAAAAGUGACGAACUAAUCAUACUUAGGAGCCAAAAAGCUAACAGCUUAUCCUGUUGAUUGAACGCAACCGCUUCUGGAUUCGGAAUAAGAGCACCUUCUGGAGACACAAUAAACCGAGACGAAGCAGACAGCGUACCUUCCAAGAAACCUUGCAGCUCAUAUCCCUCUAUUAUCAACAGGCUAUGUUGCUGCCAUUGAACAAAGUUUUCUCCCUCUAGUUUCACCGUGUCAUGACAAGGGAAAGAUUGGACCAGGCGUUGACCGAAAAACGUCGGACUCCUAGGAUCAGCAAAGUUAGAUACGACUGAUGGUGCCAUAACACAACAACGGAAGCACGUACCAGGACUAGGUGACUGGUACCAUGCUCAAAAUAUGUAUAAACAGAAAAAUGAAGUAUAGAAGAAUUCUUUAGUCUUAUGCUAUCUAGUUGAAUGAAUACACUGAUGAGGUUUUAUACAAAUAUGAUAACCAACUGCCUAAUGAACUGCUUAACAAAUUUUGUAACAACCUAUCAAACUAACCAUCGUAACAACUGUUUAACACUCACGCACAAAAGAUUUUCUAAUUGAAUAUUAGUGCAUACUUUAUAUUCAUAUUUGAAUAAAUAUUAAAAAAAUGUCUAAAUAUAAAUAUUUUAUAAAAAAUAUAAAUUGAGGAGUUGGAAUAAUAUUAUUUGUACUUCAAGCCAUGGAAUUUAAAUGAUUAUUCAUUAGAAGGGAUUAAAUCUAUUUAAGUACAAUUAAGGAUUUAUAUUUAAUCUUCCAAAUAUAUAAAAACAGUUUUGACUAAUUAAAUUGAACACAUAAGUUGGUCUCUAACAAAAAUAAAAUAAUUUUUAACUCAGUUGAAAUGAUGGUUAAUCCUUAUUAAAGGAUUCUCACUUUAUUAUUACUUACUUCGUCUUCAUUUUUGUCUCACAAUUUUGUUUCAAGUUGUUUCAUCUUCAACCUACAAAUAAGAUAUAGAUGUAAGUGAAUAUAUAUAAUGAAAAUAAAAUUUUAAUAAAAAAAAAAGUGAAACCAAUCAAAAUGUAAACAUUUAGAUUAUGUAAAAAGGAAUGAAUUAAGUGACUAAAAUUUUAAAUGGUAUAAAAAACAAUGUUAUCAACAUUUGAGAUAUGUAGAUGUUGAAUAUGAAUAUGAAUAAAUUUUUUUAAAAUGUUUUUGGCAUAUAAUGGAAGGAUCAUAUCUCAUAAGCAAAACAAGUCUAGAAUAAUUGUUUAAAUGAAAUACAAGAUGUGUAAACAAAAAUUAAUAGGACAAAGUUGGUUAAGUAGUUUACCUCAGUUAAUGCUUCUUUCUUGAUUGGUCCAUUACAAAAUUGAAAAAAUUUUGCAUCAGUUUUGGUUGCGGCUCUUCUUCCUCCAUUUCUUCAUAGAUAUUACGUUUCCGUUUUAUGUGAGAAGUGCUACCUACUGAUCCAUGGUUGUGAGCAGAGUGUUGGUGGAUGUGCUCAAAAUUUGGAGAAGAUUGAGUGGUAUCGCACUGCAACUCUUUCAUUUCUUCCAAAUCUUUCUCAUACACUAUUCUAACACCACACUUCUUCACCUUAACACAACGGUAAUUUGGUCCAAAAAAGGUACUGAAAGACAACUCAGGCUCAUCGCAUAUUUGAUCUAAGCAAUCUGUCGUCCAUAAAUUAUUGGUUUCACAGUCACCAUAUUUAUCACGCGGAAAAUAACGAAGAAAAAGGUGAUCUUUCAUUAUGGGCUUGCGAAAGUAUCGACCUACCCACCGAUUUCUCCAAUCAAUUGGUCUACAAUUUCUACCUCGAAAAACUCUAGAUCCAUUACAGCUGAUAGACUCCUUAUUCCUUGAAGCAUCAUUAUUGACAAAAAUGCAGCAACAAGCAACUCCAAUCCAUUCACUAUCUUUCCGAAGUGGUAUCUUAAUUGAAGAGUCACUUUUUUGUUGGCUAAACCAUUCUGGGAUUUCACUUCCGGGCAUCAUAAUAUCAAAGAAGCCAUCAGCAAAAAAUUUUCUUGAUUUUGGAAAUGCCUGCAAAAUAAAACACAAGUCGUUUGGUAACUAAAACCAUAUAUUCUCAAGUAUGAGAUUUUGGAAGGGAGAAAAAAAUAGAUUAAUCGACCUUAAUAUGUUCUUUCAGCAGUGUUAAUACAUUGAUUUUCUCAGCCAAUUUGAAGCAGUUAAUGGCACUAAUGUCACCACAACACACUAAAUUGCAUACUUUUGAUGGACUUGCAACUACUUCAAGUGAAGAACAACUAUCUAGCCACCCAUCUUCUAUACUUGUUGGUAGCUCAGGCAACGAGUUAAGCUUCAUGCAAUUUGAUAAUGCAAGCAAUUUAAGCUUGGAAAGUUGAGUCAGAGCCGAAGGAACGGUGAUGAAAUUGUUACCGUCAAGAAAAAGCCGUUUCAAAGAGGAUAGACCAUGAAUAUCUGCUUCACCAAGAGUGCACAUGUUGCAAUUUGACAAUCUAAGCUCUUCAAGCUUGGAGAGUCGAGUAAGAGAUGCAGGUAUGCUGAUGAAAUUGUUACCACUAAGAUCAAGUUCUUCCAAACAGGAUAGACUAGAAAGAUCACGUGGAAUAUCUCCUUCACAAAGAUUGCAGUCCUUUAGUUUUAGCUCUCUUAAAGAACUCAAACAUGACAACAAAGGCAACAUCCGAGCCAUGGGAUUCGUCCUUCUUCCUUGGAUUACCUUGAAAAGAGAAGGCAAAUUUGGUAGUAACUUAUAUGAUGGUCCCUUGCGCCCAUUGAAAGACAGAACUUUAAGAUUUUUAAAUUGAAAAAUGAAGGAUGGUGGUUCUGUUAUGGCUGUUUCACUCAAGUCGAGCUCUUCCAAAAACUUUGCUUGCUGCAAAUUCUCCGAUAAAUUUUCCACUCUAUAACAACCGGAAAGAUUUAGAGUUUUUAAACGUUCCAUUUUCCCAUCAAUCUCCGGAAACCUUACAAGACUUGAGCAACCCGAAAGAAUUAAUGUUUCUAGAGAUUCCAUUCCGAUUUUGGUUGGAAGAGUCGUAAGACUUUUGCAAUCUCUUAAAUUCAAAAGUUUAAGGCUCUUAAGCAACCGGAUUGAUGGAUGAACAUCCACUAAUUUGGUACAACCUUCCAAAAUCAAAACUUCAAGAUUUGAUGCUGUUGUGAAGUCUGGUGUCUUGAUCAGGUUUUGAGACCCUCUGAGGUUCAUUAUUUUCAUGUUAAACAAGUGCUGUUGAAGACCAUAAUAAAUUAGAAAUAAAUGAGAAAACAUAAUAAUGCUCAUUUUUGCUUUUUUUUUUGUUUUACCUUAAUCAAAUUUUAAUAAUUUAUAUUAAAAUAAGCUAAAACACAAGGAUAAGAUGAGUAAAUUCUUACUCUAUUUCCCUUCCAUAGUUGUUGAAUGUGACUAUAUGGUAAAAGAAGCGCAACAAGGUUGUUCGGUUGAAAGCUUGAAGGCAAGUAUCUUAAAGGGUAUCCUGUCCAAUCUAAAAGUCGUAAUUCAUUAGAAAGAUAUUUAAGAUCAUCACAAUUUGAAAGGCAAAGCACUUUGAGCAAUCUCAGUUUUUUCAUCUUCAAGAAGCUAUCCACACUCAAAUUGAGCAUCUUGUUCGAUUCCCUAAUAUCCAUGAGCAAAACAAAAAUGAGCUUCAAAAUAUACAAAAGCAUUCAAUAUCUAAAAGAAAUGUUGCAUCGAUAUUGUUUUUUAAGUACUCGUAUCCAAUACUUAUAUCUAAUGCACAUUCGUAUAUGGGUAUUAAGAUAUGAUCCUUUAAGAACCUUUUUAAAUAAGUGAAAAAAAUAAUUUUUAAAUUUUUUUUGAAUAUACCCAUAUUAAAGAGAUACUUAUAUCUAACAAUCACAUCCGAUGUUAAAUUACCUAAUCCUAAAAAAUUGAAUUAAUAUGUUGAUUUAUAUUUGGUCCGCAAACAAUGCAUAAUUUACAAGUUAAUGAACCAAACAAUGACACAUAAUUAAAAAAAACCAUUUUCAUUAAAAAAAUUUUGAUGACAUGUUAUAAUCUAAUUCGUUGAUAUACACUUUUAGUACAUUAAAUAUAUAGCAUUAAUUUUCAAAAAAAAUAUACCAUUAAUAUUUCAAAAAUACAUACAUUUCUCUUUUGAAAAAGUAAAUAUGUUGCUAGAUAAAUUUCAUAAUUAAACAUUGAAAUAUUGAAUGUCAAAAGUUUUGUUAUAGUUUUUUUUUAUCAUAUUUAAAAAUAAUAAUUAUUUACAGUACACAUAGAUAUAAGUUUAUGUGUGUCUUCUUACCUUUUAAUAUCAAUGAUUAUGCCUUCAACCAAUUCUGUAGCCUAAAAAAGAUCAACGACAGAUAAUAAGAAAAUAAAAUAAAUGGUGAAUAAUGUAGGAUAGAAAAGAAAAAGUAUGUAACUAUUGUUGAAUGACUUACAGUGUUUUUUGUUAGGACAUGAUGGACGUCUCUUUCCUCCCACAAUCUGCAACGUUUUCCAGGUUCAUCAAUACAUUUUUCUCUAACAAUUGUUCUUCCCAUCUCUUGUAACAAGUCAUGCAUCUUCAAAUUUUUGUUGUGUUUAUCGACUUUUACGAGGGAUUUUUUAAUGAGAACAUCAAUUCCAAUAUCAGGAAAAAACUCACAACCAUCCAAUACUUUGAUUACAAAAUCUUUAUUCUCCCCAUUGAAGAAGCAUGCUAUAUCUAAAAAUAUAUUCUUCUCCCUUUCUUCCAGUCCAUCAAAACUGAUUCGAAGUUUAUCGAAAAUUUCUUUAUUAGAAUCUCUUUUAAGUCUUUCAAUCGCACUUCUCCAUUGAGUCGCAUCUCUACCGCACAAGAAGGAACCCAAAACUUCAAGAGCUAAAGGGAGUCCGCCAGCAUAAUUUACAACAUGUUUAGAAAGCUCAAUGAAAUCAUCUUUCUGCACUGUAUCACUAUGAAAAGCUUUCAGACUGAAAAGUUGAAGCGCAUCUUUGGGAUUCAAUGUUGUGGGCUCAUACAUAUCAUCAACUGGCCAAGAUCGAAGCAAAUGUUCUUCUCUUGUUGUUACAACGAUUCUACUUCCUAAUCCGAACCAAUCGUGCCUUCCAACCAAGCAUUUUAAGUGUUGUAUGUUAUCAACAUUAUCAAGAACAACAAGAACCUUUUUGUGAGACAACCUAUGGCUAAUUAUGUCACUCCCUUCAUGAACAUCGAAAAAGUUGAAGCAUUCACCAUGAAAGAUCUGUGAAAGAAGUUGUUUCUGUAAAGAAACUAGUCCGCAUUUGUCUGAAACUUCUCGAAUAUCAGCAAUAAAGCUUUUACCUUCAAAAUGAGAUGACAUUUGAGUGUAAGCAGCUCUUGCGAGUGUCGUUUUACCGAUACCACCCAUUCCGCAAAUUCCUAUAACUCGGACAUCAUCUUCCCCAAUGUUAAUUUUCAAAUAUAAAUCCUCCAAGCGUUUACUAAUUCCAACCAAGUCGCUAUGAGUAGCUGGAUAUGUCUGACAUAGUUUUGCUGAUAUCUUCUUGACAAUGUCUUUAAUAAAUUCUGAUUCAUGCCUAAAAAAAAGAGAGGAAAAUUUAAUGUUUUGAAUAAAAUUUUGUUGAUAUGUUUCAAAUACACUUUCUUUUUCAAUGAAUCAUCAAACAUAAUAUAGUUUGGAAGCAAACAAGAACCAAGAAUAAGAAAGCAAGAUCUGUUGCGGAGCCAGAAUACAAAGUUUGCUCUUUCAUUGAAAUAUAACACUUUUCAAUUAAACAAAUAGGAUUAGAAAGAAAAAAAAGUUAUACAUAUAUAUCCAAAAAACUAGAAAAUAAAGAAGAAAAGAAAGAAUUACCUGUUAUUUAAAUGCCAUCCCUUGAUUGCAGCCACUUGAAUUAAAGCAUUUCGCCAUCUUUGGAUCUUCUCACUAUCUUCUUUGUAUCUCUCUUUAUGUCUGGCAAAGGCUUCUUCCACUUUCUCUUUUUGUUUUCUUAAAUCAGAUGGACCAACAUGGUAAAAAAUUGGAAACACUUUAUGGCCGUCGUUGUUAUGUUGUUUAACAAUCUCAGCAAGCUCCUCCAAGCACCAACUUGAAAAGGCAUAAGUUUGUGAAAAAACGAUUACUGAGCACCAUGAUUGGUGAAUUGCUUUAAAGAGUUCAGGUGCGAUCUCUUCGCCGGCCUCCAGCUUUGGAUCAUCUCUGAAAGUGACGAUCCCACUCCUACUUAGAGCAUCAUAGAGAUGAUCGGUAAAGUUGUUGCGGGUAUCUUCACCUCUGAAACUCAAGAAAACAUCGUAUUUUUUUCUAGAAAUGGAGGAAGAAGGUAACGACAACAUGAGGAUGUAUGAAAGGAGGAGGAUAUUUCAAUCUGGUGUUCAAAAUCAGAAAAUAAUGAAUAUAUGAGGAAAAACAUAUGAAAAAUAGAAGAGGGCCGGGUGAUAUGUUCGUUCCAUGAAGGUGAGAAUUAAAAAUAUUGGACGGUUUGUAUUUUAUGUACUUAACAAUGAAAGAUAAUAAUUAAAAACAUUAGUUUUCGAAAUGAAAGGGAGUAGGUGUGGAAAUUCGGGGUUAUUGAUGUUGUUUCCGGGAAGACUCCAAGAAGGUGAGAGUAGACAAAAGACACUCAAAUUUCUCAAAUAUCUUAAACAUUUGGGGUUUGACAAGCUCAAUUACUUCCAGAACCGGCGACCUGGAUUCCAAAUUCCAAUAAUUCUUUUCCGCGAAAAUCAAACUAAUCAAAGAUAUAUAGAUGAAUAAAUAAAAAUAAAAGAGUGAGGAAUUAAGGAUAAAAGUAUUCAAAUCUGCCUAAUUUCAGGAAUCAAAGAGUUGAUUCACGAAAUGUCAAAGUCAGAGUGAACAGUGACUAGGAAAAUGGUUUUUUUAACAAAAAAUAAGAAGUUAAGAACAGAGGUAUACUGACUAAUGAAGUUUUAAUCCCACAAGUAAUUUUACAAGCUUUUCCCAGAGGUUUUAGGUGAAAUACUGGGGACCUUUUAAGCGGUGAAAAUCUCCUCUCAAAUUUCUAUGGUUUUUGUUACUAAAAUGAAAAUAAAAUUUUAAAAAAUAAAAAAAAAUGAAGCCAAUUAAAAUAUGCACAUUUAAAUUAUGUAAAAAAAAUGAAUUAAGUGACUAAAAUUUUAAAUGGUAUGAAAGAAUGUAAUCAACAUUUGGGAUAUGUAUAGAAUAUGAGCUCAUGUUGAAUAUGAGUAUGAAUAAAAAAUUCAAAUUUGUUUGAUAUAUACGAAGGAAUGUAAAUAAGUCUAGAAUGAUUAAAUUAAAUAAAAGAUGUAAACAAUAAUUAAUAGGACAAGGUUGGUUAAGUAGUUUACCACAGUUAAUGCUUCUUUCCCGAUUGGCCCAUUAUAAAAUUGAAAAUUUUUUGCAUCAGUUUUGGUUGCGGCCCUUCUUCCUCUGCUUCCUCGUAUAUAUUACGUUUUCGUUUUAUGUGAGAAGUGCUACCUACUAAUGGAUAAUCUUUUUGAGCAGAGUGUUGGUGGAUGUGUUCAAAAUUGGGAGAAGAUUGAGUGGUAUGUCACUGCAACUCUUUUAUUUCUUCCAAAUCUUUCUCAUACACUAUUCUAAUACCACACUUGAUCUUCACCUUACCGCCUCUAGAUCUACCUGAGAAAGACAUCCGGAGCUCAUCGUAUUUUUUAUCUAAGCAAUUUAUUGUCCAUAAAUUAUUGGUUUUACAGUCACCAUAUUUAUCCUCCAUGGAAAUUGGAUAUAAUAUAUGCUUUAUCCGCCAAAAACAAAGAAAAAGAUGAUAUUUAAUUAUGGGCAGGUGAAAUCCUCUAUCCACCGACGAGUUACUCCAAGCAAAAUUUAGAGAAAUUUUACCUCGAUAUAAUUUAUGGGUGGCUUGUUGAAAAUUUCUAUACAAGAUAGAUCCAUUACAACUGAUAAUCUCGCUUGAAGCAUCAUUAUCGACAAAAAUGCAGCAACAAGCAACUCCAAUCCAUUGACUAUCAUUCCGAAGGUUGAUAGGUUAGGGUACCUAAAUUGAAGAGCCACUUUUUUGUUGGCCAAACCAUUCUGGGAUUUCACUUCCGGGCAUAACAAUAUCAAACGGUUUUCUUGAAUUUGCAAAUGCCUGCAAAAUAAAACACAAGUCGUUUGGCAACUAAAACCAUAAAUUCUCAAGUAUGAGAUUUUGUAAGGGAGAAAAAAUAGAGUAAUCGACCUUGUUAGGAUCGUCUCGAUUAAGCAACGAACAAGUAAAAAUAGUAGAAGAAAUUGAGAAGAUGAACACACAAAUUUAACGUGAAAAAACCCCUCAAAAGAGGAUAAAAAACCACGGGCAAAGAUAAUUUUACUAUAAUGGCAAAAGAAUGAAGAGUACAAAAGAUGGAGAUAAAAACUAAACCCCGAAAACCCGAAAAACAAAGAACCCUCAAACGUAAACACAAAAUUCUCUGAAUGUGUUAUGAGUUCUAAUCUAAUGGGUGUCUCAUUUUCUAAGAUUGUAAAGAAGCCUAUUUAUAGGCUAAAUUAGUAAGUCAAAUAAACUAUACUAAUAAAUGCUAAAUAUAUUAUACUAAUAAAUACUAAAUCUUCUAGAAAGAAAAUAUAUUUUUGUUUAACUUGACUUGCAAGCAAUCUCUUAGAAUUUGGGUCACACAAUUCUAACAAUCUCCACCUUGACACAAAUUCUUUCAAUGCCAUCUUUGCCAAAACCCGCCACGGGCCUAUCUUGAACUAUGCAGGGAAUUAACUGAGUCGAAUCUAUGCUUAGAAGCUGGAAGACUUCUAGCCUUCGACUUGUGCACUGCCAAAUCAAAACUAACCCAGGUCUGAUUUUCACGAAUACAGUGCCCUAACUUUUCAAAACCUGCAUCCAAAAGAGAACCUCUCUUCAACGAAACGGUCAUACCUUUUUCCCUCCUAUGACCAAGUUGCCUCCGCUUCAAAUGAGUUGACUUUGACUCCGUAACGGACGAGGGACGUCCGAUUUCACCGGUCACUGUAGAACCUUCCAGAAUAUAAAGACUGCCGGUUCUUUUACCUUUUAACAAAACGAGAGCUCCACGAGAUACUUUAAUGUCGCUCGACUCGAUGUUGAUUCUGCAUCCUUUCAAGUCUAAAAUACUCAAGGAGAUGAGAUUCUUUCGUAAAUCAGGUACAUACCUGACAUCUGAGAGUGUCCUAAUCGUCCCAUCGUGUAUCCUAAUUUUAACAGUACCAAUACCGAUUAUUUUACUAGAUGAAUCGUUUCCCAUGUGCACAACUCCACCUUCAACUGAACUGUAUGUGGAGAACCAUUCUCUAUUGGGACACAUGUGGAAAGAACAUCCUGAAUCUAGGAUCCACUCAGACGUAAGCUUGGAGUUAUCGCUCGUUGACACUAACAAGAAAUCAUCACCACCUUCAUCGACCAAAUUAGCACCAGCUACAUCUUCCUCGUUACUCUCAGCAGCUCUUUUAUUUCGCAGUUUAUAACAAUCUGCUUUGACGUGACCUAACUUUUUGCAAUAGCGACACCUUUUGUCUCGUUUCUUUGAUGCUACCAAAACGGAAGCUUGUCUAUCUGCUUUGCUAUUCAAAUCAAACUCAUUGUCGAGUUUGUCUCUACUCAACAAAUGACCCUUCACAUCUUCGAACGAGAGUUUGUCUCUGCCAUAAAUCAGGGUCUCCCUGAAAGACUUGUAUGAAGAGGGUAAAGAGCACAAUAAUAGCAUAGCUUGAUCUUCAUCGUCAAUAUAAACCUCAACGUUCUUUAAAUCAUUUAAAAGAGUAAUGAAUUGACUGAUGUGAUCUUUAAGAAGCUCACCUUCGUUCAUGCGAAACGUAAAUAGACGUUGUUUCAACACUAAACGGUUAGCCAGAGACUUAGUCGAAUAAAGAGUUUCUAACCUUUUCCACAAGGCGAAUGAGGUUUUCUCCAUCAAUACCUCCUGUAAUACUGUAUUCGCGAGGCACAACUGGAUUGCAGACAAGGCCUUUUCAUCAAGCUCUUCCCAUUCUGUUUGAUUUAGAUUCUCAGGCUUUUUCCCUGUAACAACCUUUUUCAAGCCAUUUUGAACUAGAAUUGCCAUCAUCCGAACUUGCCACAGAUUGAAAUUUGUCUCACCAUCGAACUUCUCAAUUUCAAACCUUGUUGCUGCCAUAUCUGACCGGGCUGAUCCAUGAAAGUUAAACUAGCUCUGAUACCACUUGUUAGGAUCGUCCCGAUUAAGCAACGAACAAGUAAAAAUAGUAGAAGAAAUUGAGAAGAUGAACACACAAAUUUAACGUGGAAAAACCCCUCAAAAGAGGAUAAAAAACCACGGGCAAAGAUAAUUUUACUAUAAUGGCAAAAGAAUGAAGAGUACAAAAGAUGGAGAUAAAAACUAAACCCCGAAAACCCGAAAAACAAAGAACCCUCAAACGUAAACACAAAAUUCUCUGAAUGUGUUAUGAGUUCUAAUCUAAUGGGUGUCUCAUUUUCUAAGAUUGUAAAGGAGCCUAUUUAUAGGCUAAAUUAGUAAGUCAAAUAAACUAUACUAAUAAAUGCUAAAUAUAUUAUACUAAUAAAUACUAAAUCUUCUAGAAAGAAAAUAUAUUUUUGUUUAACUUGACUUGCAAGCAAUCUCUUAGAAUUUGGGUCACACAAUUCUAACAGACCUUAAGAUGUUUUUCCGGCAGUAUUAAUGCAUUGAUAUUCUCAGCCAAUUUGAAGCAGCUAAUGGCUUUAACGGUAGCCCCGUACACUGGAUUGCAUAUUAAUGGACUUGGAACUACUUCAAGUGAAUAACAACCAUCUAUCCCCACCUCUUUUAUACUUGGUAGCUCAGGCAACGAUUUAAGCAUCUUGCAAUCUGACAAGUGACAAUCUAAUAGAAUGAAGCUUGGAAAAUCGAAUAAUAGAUGCAGGUAUGUUGAUGAAAUUGUUACCACUAAGACCAAGAUCUGUCAAGGAGGAUAGGCAAGAAAUAUCACGUGGAAUAUCUCCUUCGCCAAGAUUGCAGUCCCUUAGCUUUAACUUUCUUAAGGAACUCAAACCUGACAACGAAGGUAACAUCGGAGCCAUGGAGUUUGUCCUUCCUCUUCGAUUAACUUGAAAAGAGAAGGAAGAUUUUGUUGUAACUUACCCUUGUCCGAUAGUUAUAUUUUAUCAUAAGAUUCUUAUGCAUAUCAGAAUAUGGGUAUUAAUAUAUGAUCCCUUAGAAACUCUUUAAUUACAUAAAAAAAUAACUUUUUAAAAAAAUAUUCAUACCCGUAUUAAAAUAUGAGCAAAUCCAGACUGUCACCUUCAAUUCACCGUCAACCUAAUUCUAAGAAUGACAUUUAUGUAAUAUUUUUGUCAAACCCAAAAUAAUUCAUAAUUAUCAAAGAAAUUUAUAACUUAAAAAAAUUUAAGGUUCAAAUCUAAAAUGAUGUAAACUCAAGAUGAUUUGAAUUAUCACAUAAAAAUUGAACUCUACCUCAAACCUAAAAUAACUUAAAUUCAAAUUUAGUUAAAAAAAAACUUCAAACUUGAAUUGAGAAAUCUACAUAUAUCUUGUUUUCUAACUAUUUUUUAGAUUUAUUACACCUUAAAGAAAUAUAUUACUUGGGAAAAAUAAAGGGGUUAGUGAGAAUGAGGGUGAUAGAGGUUAAUGUGAACAUGAAUGAUUAAGUCAGUAAGAACUUUGUAUAGCAUGGGGAAUUACAAAUGUAUACUAUAGAUAUUUGUAAACAUUUCACCCUUUCUAAUUAUCGUUUUCUGCUUAUUGGGUAAAUAAAAUAAAAGUUAUCCAAAAUUCCUUUUUAGAAUUUUUUUUUUUGACUCUUUUGUGAAUAUAAAUGAUCCAUGCAUAUUGUUACGUAAACUGUCAUAUUACUGUCAUUAAAAUUUUGACAAUAUAGAUAACUUUUUCAUUCAAAACAAAACAAUUUGACUAAAUUUUAAUGACAAAAUGAAUAAAUAUUAAGGGCUAAAUUUAUCUUUAUGCUAAAAACUUAAAGCCAGAUUUGAUUCGGUCCAUAUUAACUCAACUCACUCAAUUGACAUAUCUACAUAUAUCUCGUUCUCUAAUUAUUUUCUGCUUUCCAAAUAUUAUCAAGCUCCAGCUUGACUCAAAAUUUAAAGCUUGAUAUCCAGUUCAAGCUAAGCUCAAGAUAUAAUCUAGUUGCUCGAGCUCGAAUUCAAAUAAGCUUAUUUAUCAAUUUUUGUACUCAAACUCGAACUUGAUUAAACUUGUUUAUCAAUUUUCAUACUCAAGAUCGAACUUGAGCUCGAGCUUGACUCGAUAAUUAAACUUAAGGUUAAUAAUAUAUAUAUUAAGUAAUAAUGUAAUUUAAUAAAAAAAUAUUUAAAAUGUAUGUUAAAAUUGAAAAGCUCAGUAAGGCUCGUGAGCUAUUCAAGCGGAGUUUUACUAAGCUCGUAUUCGGUUCAAUUGAUAGCUCAAAUCCGAGCUCAUCUUAAUAAUUAUCAAAUCAAGUUUGAGUUUUUUUCUAUGGCGAACUCCCCCAUAUUGGCGAAUCCUUCAAUAUUGGCAAGUUACCACAAAGUGGCGGCCCGAUUACUUUGGCGAACUAAGAAUAUGAACUGGAUUUGACGAACUUGCAUGCAAGAUAUGUUUAUAGAUUAUGUUUCCUUUCUAGAAAAUUUAUUAUUUAUUAGCAUAAUAUAUUUUUUAUUUAUUAAUAUAAAAUAUUUUUAUUUCUUUCCAUAUUUAGGAGUUUUUUAUAUUAUAAAUAUCUUUGUUUUAUUGUUCAAAUGUUGUGAGUAAAAUAUAUAAAACUUUAGCAAACAAUUUUGUUGCUAAAUUUCUUGUUUAUACUCUAUAACUAUUUCUUCUUUAGUAUCGAAAUUCCAACAAUUAUCAUGUAAUCUAUUAAUUGUUUAUAUUUAUUAAAAGUGUAUCUAUUACACUUUUAAAAACUUACAAUUUUCACGUCAUAAAAAAUAUACAUGUGAAAUUAAGGGUGAAUAAAAUCCAAUUCGAUUCGAAAAACUCGAUAAAAAAUUUAAUUUUUGAAUUACAUAGUUCGAGUUAUUAGAGUUAAUCGAAUUAUUCGGAUCAACUAGAAUAAAAAAUCAUAUUUUUCGGUUUAACUCGAAUAUGAAUUAUACAAUUCAAGUUAUCUGAAAAUCCGAAUAAGAAAAAGUAAAACUAAGUUGUUUUGAUAAAUGCUUACAUUUUCUAAAGUUAAAAGUCCAAAUUUUCGGUUUAAUAUGAAUUUUUUUAACUCGAUUCGACUCAACUCAAUCGAAUAUGUGAAAGAUUAAUAAAUUCAGUGUGAAGGCAGCCUUUAAUUUAUUUAUUUCAGUUUACUUUAAUUCAUUUAAUUUUGAUUAAGAUUAAUAAAUUUAUUCAAUACGCUAUAUUAAACAAAUUAAUUAAAAACUUUAAUAAACGUCAUUCUAAAUUACUAUUUGAAUUUACAUUUUGUAUUAAAAAAAGUUGUAUAAUUUAUAUUACAUUACAUAUUAAAAAGAAGUAAUUAUCUAAUAACAUAACCCAUUUUUGAAACCCCAAUUCGGUCGAGUCUAUUAUUACUUUAGAGUCUGCUUCCAUUUCAACUGGGCAACUUCUGUUGGUCCUCCACUUCCAUGAGCGAACUUCCAUGCUUUUAUUGAUCUAGGCAGUAAACAUAAAGCACCAAGAUCAUUUUCUUGCACUCAGAUCAUCUAUGUUAUUGAUAUUUUGGCUUACCUCAAACCGAGCAGCUUUAGUUAAUCCCACAAGAAACACAACUGUCAAAAUCCUUGCUCGUCUCAACCAAAAACCUUAACAUAUUUCCCUAAACUCUAACAUUAGACAAGACAUACCAAGAAUCAGUGAUAAAUGAAAAGGUUUUCAAUCCCGUUAGAAGAGAUAUUACCACUUAAAUGUAGCAAUUAGUGCAUGUUGCUUUCAAUGAAAUGCAUCUACUUCUAAGCUAAUUCUUACUUUUUAUACAUUCAAACAUAUAUUACUGUUUUCUUAUCUAAACUAUAUCCUUAGCUUGAAUAAUAUUAAUUUUACUUUAAGCCAUGAAGUUUAAAUGAUACUUCUGUUAGCCCUUUUAAGUACUAUUCAGCACCCAUACAAACUACAAAAUGAAGCUAUUAAUUUAAAUACUAAAGAAGCAUGCACUGAAUCACACCUACGCACAUUACAGGCAUCCAAUGGUAUUUUCUCUUAUUAUUCCCUUUUUUUUUCAUAAAGUAUUUAUAUUUAAUAUUAUGUUUGACAUAUAUAUAUGUAUAUCAUCUUCCAAAUAGAUAAAAAACAAUUUUAAUAGAUUAAACUGGACACAUAUCAUAUUUAAUAGAUACAUAUAUAUUGUUAAAGUUGUGUGACCUAAAUUUUAAGAGAUUAUUUGCAAGUUAAGUUAAAUAAAAUAUUUUUUUUUCCAGAAGAUUUAGUAUUUAUUAGUAUAAUAUAUUUAGCAUUUAUUAGCAUAGUUUAUUUGACUUACUAAUUUAGCUUAUAAAUUGGUUCUUUUACAACAUUAGAAAAUUACACCCAUUGGAGAUUAGAACUCAUAACACAUUUAGAGAAUUUUGUGUUUAAGUUUUCUAGAGUUCUUUGUUUUUGUGUUUUCGGGAUUUAGUUUUUAUCUCCAUCUUUUGUACUCUUCGUUCUUUUGCCAUUAUAGUAAAAUUAUCUUUGCCUGUGAUUUUUCAUCCUCUUUAGAAGGAUUUUUCCACGUUAAAUUUGUGUGUUCAAAUUUUCAAUUUAUUCCGUUAUUUUUUAUUUGUUGCUUAAUCGGGUUGAUCCUAACAUAUAUUUAAUCUUAUUAUUCCCCUUGAGAUUGAUCAUUUUCAAUUUAUACAUGGGAUGUUGAAAACAAUAAUAAAUUGAAGAGGAAAAAGAAAACACAAGAAAGCUCAUUUCUAUUCAUAUUUUUUUUUAUUCAAAUCUUAAUAGCUUAUAUUAAAAUAAGAUAAAUCAUAAGGAUCAAAUGAAUUUAAUUCUCAAUUUAUUUCCCUUUCAUAGUUGUUCAAUGUCAUUAUAUGUUAAGAGAAAUGCGAUAAAAUUGUUUGGUUGGAAGUUUAAAGGCAAUGAUCUUGAAGGAUAUCCUUUCCAAUUUAAAAGUUGUAACUCAUUAGAAAGAUAUUUGAAAUUAUCACAAUUUGAGUGAAAAAGGACUUUGAAUAAUCUCAACUUUUUUAUCUUUGAAAAGGUAUCAACACUCAAAUUGAACUUCUUGUUCAAUUCCCUGAAAACAAUGGACAAAAUAAAAUUGAACUUUAAAAUAUACAAAAACAUUCAAUAUAUCUAAUACUUGUAUUUGAUGGAUAACCACAUUCGAUAUUGAAAUACAAUCCUUCAACAGCUUUUUAAAUACAUGAACCUCAAAAAAGAACAACUAGACUUAAUCAUGUCAAAAACAUUUUCACAAUUUACUUUAAAUUACAUAAACCUAAAUUUACUAAAAUUAAUAUUUUAAUUUAUAUUUAGGGCAUUCAUAAUGCGUAUUUUUAAAUAUUUUCAAUGAACCAAAUAAUGUUUUAAUUUAUAUCAGUAUAGUCUCAAGGGCAAAAUCAGAAAAAAAUUUUAAGGGGUCGAAAUUAAAUUAUAAUUUUUACGAUAGAAAAAAAACGCUAUUUCACCAUUUUAAUAGAUUAUAUCUUUAUAAAAGGACCAAAGUAUAAUUUUACCUGUACAGCCCAAAUUUUCCUGGGCCUCCAAACCAAAUGGUUAACCCAAUCUCGAAGCCCAAUUACAAUACCCGGCCCAAGGCCCAAAAUCUAAAUUGGCCCAAUUGGGCCCAAAAAUUAAAAAACAUCAGGGAACCCUAGGGUUCCCUGCCUUUCCCAUGUGCGCUGCUCCCUCGGGCGUACCAUCCGCGCCUCGUCCCGAGGCUUACCUGACACCCUAGCCACCGCCAGCCAAGCAUUGCACCAAAAUAGCAAGCUCUUCCUCUGCUGACCACCUGCAAGAAAAGAGAAAGAAAAGACUACCGAAUAGAGGCAGAAACAACAACAAGUAGCAGCGAAAGUAUUGUAUAUUGGUUAUAAAAAGUCAAUACGAUUUCUUUGUAACAGAUGGGGGGGUUUUGGAUUCUCUUUUCCUUUUCUUUUGUAAUAUUUUCACAGAAAUAAGAAACAAAUAUCAAAGGUGAUUUUCGGCCCUUUUCGUUUUCGUUUUUACAUAUUUUAACCUUUUUAUUGUAUUUUUUUUCUUUUGGUUCAUCUAUUUAUAUACAUAUAAUAAAAAUAAAGAAAAAAAGGGGAGAGACUCACCGGAAAUAGGGCUUGAAACGCCAGUUUUCUCACUUGAUCGGCCGUCGGUUUAACGCCGGCGCGGCAGGCGGACGAGCGGUGGUGAGAAGCCCGAUCGACGAGAGACAUGGGGGGCAUUAAGAGGAUUUCUGAUUUUUUUCUGAUGGGGAAGGAAAAAUGAAAAGAAUUAAAAAAAUGGGUUUAAAAUAGAUAAAUGAAACGGCGCCGUUUUGAUGGGGUCAGGAAAGCCCCAAAAUGACGUCGUUUUGGGCUCCUGACCUGAGACCUGACCCUCCUACCCCAGGGGAUCCGCGUGUUUUGACGGAAGGGCUAAUUGCACGUUUAGCCCUUCCGCUUUUUAAUUAUUUUUAAAUUAGGUUUUUUAUAUUUUAAAUUUACCCCGUUAAUUUAUUGCGCUUUCAAUAUUAGUCCCUUCUGAAACUACGUCGUUUUAAAGAAGAAGGACAAAUUUCCUUUUUAGCCCCUCCAUGUCUUUCACGUAUUCAGAGUAGUCCUUCCUCUUUUGUUUAUUUGUGUUUUGAGCUCCGAAUCUUGUUUUAAUGUUUAAUCUAAUCCUUUUGUUAUUUUGUUUAUUUUCUUAAUAAAUUUCAUAUUAUUAUUGCUUUUAUAUAUAUAGGAGUAUAUCUUUUUCUUUAUAUUUUUACAUAUAUACUUAUAUAAAUAAUUUUUAUAUUUUAUGAUAAUUAUAUACGUAUAUAUGUACAUAUUUACUUAUAUAUAUUUUAUAUAAUAAUUUUAGAAUACAUAUAUACAUAUAUUUUUCAUGUUUUUAUAAAUUUACGUACACUCAUUUUUAUAACGUAUAUACUUAUAUUUUAUAUAUCUUUGUAUUUUAUAAUCUAUAUACAUAUGCAUGUAAAUACUUAUAUUUUUAUAUCUUAUAAUUUAUAUAUAUUCUCAUAUUUACAUAAUUUUAUGUAUAUAUAUACAUAUAUAUUUCCCUUAAAUGUACAUACACAUGUUCAUAUUUUAUAAUUUUCAUCUAUUUUCCUUUAUUUUUUUAUGUUCAUUUAUGUAUUUAUUUAUAUGUCCAUUUUCAUGUUUUAGUUUAUUUAUUUAUUUAUUUGUUAUGGUAUAUACAUAAUUUUUUUAUUAUUUGUUUUUUUGCUCAUAUUAUUUUUGUUCACAUUAUCUUUUUUUUUCAUUAUGCAUAUUAACACCACACUUCAAAAAAGAAAAUUUUUCUAAAUGAGGCAAUAUUUAGCGUUUGGAAAUUCGAGAAAACGUGCCCUAAGGUGGUGGGUGUCGAUUUUUCUCGUUCAACCAAAUGGCUUAAUAUCCUUUUAAAAAUUUGUAAAAUAAGGCAAUGUUUUGCGUUUGGGAAAUUCGAGAAAACAUGCCCUAAGGUGCUGGGUGUCGAUUUUUCUCAUUCAACCAAAUGGUUAAAUAUCCUUUUAAAAUAUUUUCAAAAUAAGGCAAUGUUUUGUGUUUGGGAAAUUCGAGAAAACAUGCCCUAAGGUGCUGGGUGUCGAUUUUUCUCAUUCAACCAAAUGACUAAAUAUCCUUUUAAAAAUUUCGAAGUAAGAUAAUAUUUUGCGUUUGGAAAUUUAAGGAAAUGUGCCCUAAUGCGCUGGGUUUCGAUUUUUCCAUUUGACCAAAUAGCCAAAUAUUCUCUUAAAUCUUAAUCCAUGUCAUUCAAGUUUUUUUAGGAUCGUAUUUUAAAUCUCUUUAAAGUUUUCAAUUUUUCGACACUAAGACAUUGAGUAAUCAACUAGGUACCAAUUUUGGGCGUAUCGAGGGUGUUAAUCCUUCCUCGUGCGUAACCGACUCCUGAACCCGUUCUUCUGAAUUUCGUGGACCAAACUUGUUGUUUUAAUAAAAUCAAACCAUUUAUUAAAAACAACAUUUUUUCAAGGUGAUCCGAUCACACCUCAUCAAAAAGGAUCGGUGGCGACUCCUAUUUUCGUUUUCAUUUUCCAAAACCCAAGUCAACCCCAUUUUCAUAAAAAAAUGGUGUCAACAGCUUGGCGACUCCACUGGGGAGUUUAAAUACGAGAGUCAAGCCACGAGUUGAUUACUUUUUUUCUUUUCAUCGAAAAUUAAAGAUUUGGUUUAAAUUUACGAUCCUUUCAUUGCAUUUCAUUCAUUUCAAUUUUUUGAUUUGAUUGCUGUGAUAAUUUAAGUUUGGUAUACUGCUGUAUUGCAUUCCAUGACCGUGGGUCACACCCUCUUAAGUGGGAGUGAGAAACUAGUCCUUCGUGAGGUUUUCACCUCCGUGCAGGAUAGUGGAUCGCUUUCGGGAUACAUCCGUACCUAUGUCUUCGUGAGAUUUUCAUCUCCGUGCAGCCAUAGGGAAAUGUAUUCCCCUGAACCGAACUCAGUCUGUAUGAGCCUAUAAUGGGUGAAGAUCGAGGAAUCUGCUGGUUCGGGUACCUUAUCUUUAGAACCAACCCUCAUAUAGUGGACUUAGGAACUUAACCUAGGUAGAGCCACUCCAAAUCCCUAGUAUUUACCUGAUUAGGUAUUUUUUGUUUUUCGUGCUUGCUUAUGUUUUGUACCAACCCCUCUUGUUGUGUUUUGAUUAUGAUUGCAUUGCAUUGAAUUUGCAUCUUAGGAAAGAGAUAUGGAUUCAAGUUCGAUUACUAAAUUAGAAAGCUUGUCAUGGAAUACGAAUUCCUUGAUAAAGUGGGAAAUAAUACGACUUCCCGAAUAUAUUCUGAGGAACGCAAGAAGGGCGAUGGAAGAGUUCGUGACCCUACUUCGUAGCCUGAGGAUUCAAGGCGAUUGUCUAAGAGCCUUCGACGUUCCAAGAAGCUGACGAGCCUUAUGAAGAUAGGCAGAUGAUGGAUCGCGACCAAGAUCAAAAGAAGGAGCUAGCAAUGGCAUCUAUUGGCGAGAUUACCUCAAACAUGCGGAUGAAGAAAAAGACCGAUGUUGUUUCUUGGAAUAUGAGGGUGAGGCCGUACAUGCAUUUGCUUUAUGUAAAGGAAUUUGCUUUCUAGAAAAGUUUCCUAAAUGUAAUUGAAUUAGAAUCAACGUCUCUUUAGGCAUUCAUUUCAUGCAUUUACAUAUCAUCAUAUGCAUUAAAGUUUUAAAAAGGGAGCCUAAUUAAUUUAAAAUUAUGACAGAGUUACCCUGGAAACUAACAAAAAUUUGCCAACCGUUUAUCACUACGAUACCCGUUGCAAGACAAAAGCCAUGGAUCAAAGAUUCGAAAGACUCGAACAACUUCAAAAGGAGAUGCAGGAACAAAUGAAAGUGCGGUUAGAGAAGAUUCAACAAGAUAUGAGGAACGAAAUGAUAGAGUCUCAAAAAAGCAUGAUAGCUGAAUUGACGCAGUUGUUGAAAGGGGGAAACGACAAAGGAAAGGACCCCGUGGUUAAUACAGAAGAAGGAAAUAAUGAUAACCCUCUCUAUCCCCCAGGUUUCACCCCUCCGCACGCGCAAGCUCAAACUGAGGCGUACCUACACAAAUCCCCUAUUAGACCUCAGCUAUUUCCGAUAGGCACCUCGAUGCCAAUAAACUUCCAAAUUGGAGUAAGCUCUAACCCCGGAGAAAACCCUACCAAACCUAUCAUCCCAGAUAUCGACGAAGUGGCUGAGAAAAAGAAAACGACAGAAGGAUUGCCAAAGCAGUUAGAAGAAAGAUGCAAAUGGCUCGAGAAAAGGUUCAAGGCCAUGGAAAGCAUUGAGAAUUAUCGAGGGAUUGAUGCUAAAGACUUAAGCUUGGUCCCAGAUCUGGUACUGCCCCAUAAGUUCAAAAUGCCAGAAUUUAAGAAGUACAAUGGGACUAGUUGCCCGGAGGCACAUAUUACUAUGUUCUAUAGGCGUAUGGCUGGAUACGUCAACAACGACCAAUUGCUCAUACACUACUUUCAAGAUAGCCUCACAGGGGCAACGUCUAAGUGGUACAAUCAAUUGACGCGUACCCAGAUUAGUUCUUGGAGGGAUUUAGCACAAGCCUUUAUGAAACAAUACAGUCAUGUAGCUGAUAUGGUCCCUGACAGAAUUAUCCUGUAAAAUAUGGAGAAAAAGCCUAAUGAAAGUUUUAGGCAAUACGCACAAAGGUGGAGGGAGAUUGCCGUACAAGUUCAGCCACCACUCCUGGAAAAAGAGACAACAAUGCUCUUCAUCAAUACGCUGAAGGCCUCGUCCAUUACGCAUAUGUUAGGAAGCACAGCAAAAAGCUUUUCUGACAUAGUUAUGAAUGGUGAAAUGAUUGAGAAUGCUAUAAGAGCCGGAAAAAUUGAGGUGGAAGAGAGUGAUAAGAGGUCAACCCCAAGGAGAAGAGAAAAUGAGGUGAACAACACAGGUUACUCAAGGUCAGUAAGUCAUCCAAGUAAAGGGGUCGCUAGUCAACAAGGUUCAUCAAGACAAGAAUCUUAUGUGAAACAAGGCACUAAGAACCUCCAAUUCACGCCAAUUUCGAUGUCGUAUAAGGAGCUGUAUCAAAGCUUAUUCAAUGCGCGUAUUGUCGCCCCUCUCUAUACGAAACCUCCACAGCCUCCGUACCCCAAAUGGCACGAUGCGAAUGCACAAUGCGAGUAUCAUGUGGGAAAUACGGGGCAUUCCAUAGAAAACUAUAUUGCCUUUAAGAAAUUGAUUGAAAGGCUUAUCAGUAUGGGCGUCGUUAAAUUUGAUGAUUCCUCCAGUGCAGAAACUCCAUUACCCAAUAAUAAUUUAUAAGUGGAGUGAAUGCAAUGCAGAAGCAACUGAAGAAGGGACCUUGUUAGAUAUUUUCCCUUAUAAACGUGGAAGUGUUCUAAGCAAUUCGACUGCGGAAGAAAACCCUAUAGUCUCUAGAGCCUUUUAAAGUAAUGUUCAGAACAUUUUUGUUGUUCUUAGCCUAGAAAUGAUAGAAAUUCCUUUGUGAAAUAGGCUUAUGUCUAAACGUUAUUAUUUUAAUGAAAUACAUCUUUACGAUUAUUUUUGAGCCGAUAUUUUCAUUCUUUAUGAAUAAUUCUAUACUCUUUCAUUCUUUUGGAUUUUCUUCCAAACCAUCAUUCAUUCAUAAUAUAUUGUAAAUAAUCAUUCAUAAAUUUAUACAUUCUUUUGUAUAUUCCUCAGUGCUUAUUAUGGGUCCCCAGAUAUCAAUGACGUGAAUGAUUCUGCUACAGACCCAGAUUUUCCUUUUGAGCAAGGCAUGUGUUCAGAGGGAUCUCAGGACUUUGAAAAUGACAAAGAUUGUAGCUUACCUCCGGACUUAUUGAGGAUGGUUGAGCAGGAGGAUAGACAGAUCCUACCUCACAAUGAAUCAUUAAGAAUUCUGAGCUUGGAAUUGACUUGUCCUAAAAAAUGAAGCAAUACCUUGUUCAAAGAGGUCUUUGUAGGAUCAUACCAGGAUAUGUUGGGUUAAGCACUGAUAAUGAAAUCUGCACAACAGCACGAUGUCAAAACUUGUAUGAAUGAUACAAUUCUUUGUCGGGGCAAUGUCGUUCUCGUCAAUUCAGCAUAGCUUUGCCAGUUUGAAGUCGAGUUUCUAUCCCUUCAAGAUGUUGUUGGAUUUUAUCCCGAUGGAAGAGGAAGAUCAAAAGUUUCCAGUUGUAGUUUCACCCUAAAAGGCUCUAUAAAGGAAAUCCAAUAUCAGAGAAGAUCCUUUGAAAGGGAUAACAAGGACUUGCCUAAUCCCAAGAGUUCAAAUCCGAUUCGAAAAAGGAAAAAGAAAAGAAGAAAAAAUCAAAAUCAAGAUCAAAAUGAAAAUGAGAAAAAGAAAGAAGAAUGAAAAAAGAGAAAUCUAGAUGAAAAAAUCAGAAUGAAAAAGAAAAGAAAAAGAAAAGGAGAGGCCAAAGCGAAAACCCGCAAAGGGCACUCUGAGUCAAAAAAAAAGAAAAAAAAAUGAGAAUGAAAAAUGAAAAAUGAAAAUGAAAAAUGGAGAGGCUAAGGGGAAAACUCGAAAAGGGCACCUUAGGCCAAUGGGGAUUUGAGUUGAAAACCCGAAAAGGGCGGCUCAAAUAUUUGUUCAGAAUGGGGCAUGAGGCGAUUAGAGCGAUUCAAAUUUUGAUCAUAUUGGGGCAUGUGGUGAUCUUGCUAUACCUGAAUCAACAGGAAGGGAUAGGCGACAUCUUGGGGCAUCGACAAAGCACUGUAGAUCUCCUAAACUCAUGUCAAACUCAAAAUGGUCUUUAGAAAGCUUGUACAGAGAAGUUCAAGCUGCAAUAUCUGAGGCACCCAAUUCUCAUAUUAUUUUUUGUUCUUGGAAUACCUUUUUUCUUUUCCAAGAUAUACAUUCCCAAUCAAUUUCUUUGUCAUCCUUCUUUACUAUUUUUUGAAUAACUUGAUCUUUCGAGCUAUGCUCAGAACCAACUUUAUUCUUAUCCAUUGUUAUGACCCUUUUUGCAAGCAUGUUGCAUUGGAAUAAUGAAUAAUUGACUAAUAAAACUUUCACAAAGGAAGUUUUGCAUAUUACUCUGAAAAGUUUCUAAAUAAUAUAGGAGCCUGAAGCAGGACUAUUGUUUAGAACACACCAAUUUUAAAGGUUGGAAAUUUGAGAAGGAAUAGUCUAAAUUUAGACUUUCUCUUUGGAUUCAUGUUUUCAAAUACGUUGAUUGACAAGACGCCAUGUUGGUGACAAAGCUUACAUAAACAAGCAAACGAUGAUCACCAGGCAAGAGGAAGAGGUUACCUCGGAGAAAAGAGCCCUCAUUUGCGCAUAAGUAUUUGGUACGACACUUUGAGAAUGGUGUAAGAAACCAGAAUGAUUCAGAUCAUGUAUCCUUGAAUUGUGAUAAGAGAUGAUUGAGGAAAAGCCAUAUUUCUACCCUUGGAUUAUAGUUGGAGAAUGAUGGUACAAGUUCUGUGCCCCAUGAAUUAAACUUGGAGGGCAACCUGGCUAAAUGUUUCUUCAGAAAAGCCAGUCAAGCGAGAAGGCAUCGUAGCACGUCGGUCACAAAGCCUUAAUAAACUUCAAGUAAUGACAACCUAAGCGGGAGCAUUCUUGGAAAGAUAAAAUUCUACAUUCAUGCAAACACCAUUCACACAUGUUUAGUUAGGAGUGUUUGAUUUAUUUUGAUCAUGCCAUCCUAAUCAUUAGGCAUAAUUAGGUUAAUUAGACAGGUCAUGUUUCCCAGAGAACAGAUCAGUGAAGAUUAAAAAUAAAGCCUUGCCUCCAUCGGUUGCAGUGGAGCUGGUUAAAGAAGCAGAUCUUGCCUUCCUGCGUUAACAGCGAAGCAGAUCGAAAACAAAGCCUUUCCUCCAUCGGUUGCAGUGGAGCUAGUUAAAGAAACAGAUCUUGCCUUCCGCGUUAACAGCGAAACAGAUCGAAAACAAAGCCUUGCCUCCAUCGGUUGCAGUGGAGCUGGUUAAAGAAGCAGAUCUUGCCUUCCUGCGUUAACAGCGAAGCAAAUCGAAAACAAAGCCUUGCCUCCAUCGGUUGCAGUGGAACUGGUUAAAGAAGCAGAUCUUGCCUUCCUGCGUUAACAGCGGAGCAGAUCGAAAACAAAGCCUUGCCUCCAUAGGUUGCAGUGGAGCUGGUUAAAGAAACAGAUCUUGCCUUCCUGCGUUAACAGCGAAGCAGAUCGAAAACAAAGCCUUGCCUCCAUCAGUUGCAGUGGAGCUGGUUAAAGAAAUAGAUCUUGCCUUCCUGCGUUAACAGCGAAGCAGAUUGAAAACAAAGCCUUGCCUCCAUAGGUUGCAGUGGAGCUGGUUAAAGAAGCAGAUCUUGCCUUCCUGCGUUAACAGCGAAACAGAUCAAAAACAAAGCCUUGCCUCCAUCGGUUGCAGUGGAACUGGUUAAAGAAGCAGAUCUUGCCUUCCUGCGUUAACAGCGAAGUAGAUCAAAAACAAAGCCUUGCCUCCAUCGGUUGCAGUGGAGCUGGUUAAAGAAGCUGAUCUUGCCUUCCUGCGUUAACAGCGAAGCAGAUAAAAAACAAAGCCUUGCCUCCAUCGGUUGCAGUGGAGCUGGUUAAAGAAGCUGAUCUUGCCUUCUUGUGUUAACAGCGAAGUAGAUCGAAAACAAAGCCUUGCCUCCAUCGGUUGCAGUGGAGUUGGUUAAAGAAACAGAUCUUGCCUUCCUGCGUUAACAGCAGACCAGACUGAAGACCACAGAUCUUUUCUCCCUAAACAGUAGUGGAGCAGAUCGAAGACGGCGAAUCUUAUCUAAGCAGUAGUGAAGCAGAUUUAAGCCACCAGUCCUAUCUCCCUAAGCAGUAGUGGGGCAGGAUAAAGAUGGUAGAUCCUAUCUUCCUAAGCAGUAGUGAAGCAGAUUUAAGCCACCAGUCCUAUCUCCCUAAGCAAUAGUGGAGCAGGUCGAAGAUGGUAGAUCCUAUCUCCCUAAGCAGUAGUGGAGCAGGUCAAAGAUGGUAGAUCUUGCCUUCCUCAGCAGUAGCGGAGUAGAUCGAGGACGGCAAAUCUUAUCUUUCCAAGGUAGUAGGAAGCAAAUUAAAGCCACCAGUCCUAUCUCCCUGAGCAGCAGUGGAGUAGGUUGAAGAUUGUAGAUCUUAUCUCCCUAAGCAGUAGUGGAGCAGAUCGCAUCAAGUCUUAUCUCCCUAAGCAGUAGUGGAGCAGACAGAAGAAACCAAUCCUAUCUCCCUAAGCAGUAGUGGAGUAGAUAGAGUAGAUAGAAGAAACCAAUCCUAUCUCCCUGAAGUAGCAGCGAAAGUAUUGUAUAUUGGCUAUAAAAAGCCAAUACGAUUUCUUUGUAAAAGAUGGGGGGUUUUGGAUUCUCAUUUCCUUUUCUUUUGUAAUAUUUUCACAGAAAUAAGAAACAAAUAUCAAAGGUGAUUUCCGGCCCUUUUCAUUUUCUUUUUUACAUAUUUUAACCUUUUUAUUGUAUUUUUUUCUUUUGGUUCAUCUAUUUAUAUACAUAUAAUAAAAAUAAAGAAAAAAGGGGAGAGACUCACCGAAAAUAGGGCUUGAAACGCCAGUUUUCGCACUUGAUCGGCCGUCGGUUUAACGCCGAUGCGGCAGGUGGACGAGCGGCGGUGAGAAGCCCGAUCGACAGAAGACAUGGGGGCAUUAAGAGGAUUUCUGCUUUUUUUCUGAUGGGGAAGGAAAACUGAAAAGAAUAAAAAAAUGGGUUUAAAAUAGAUAAAUGAAACGGCGCCGUUUUGAUGGGGUCAGGAAAGCCCCAAAACGACGUCGUUUUGGGCUCCUAGCCCGAGACCCGACUCGCCUACCCCAAGGGAUCCGCGUGUUUUGACGGAAGGGCUAAUUGCACGUUUAGCCCUUCCGCUUUUUAAUUAUUUUUAAAUCAGGUUUUUUAUAUUUUAAAUUUACCCCGUUAAUUUAUUGCGUUUUCAAUAUUUUUAAUUAUUUCAUAUUAUUAUUAUUAUUAUUAUUAUUAUUAUUAUUGCUUGUAUAUAUAUAGGAGUAUAUCUUUUUCUUUAUAUUUUUACAUAUAUACUUAUAUAAAUAGUUUUUAUAUUUUAUGAUAAUUAUAUACGUAUAUAUGUACAUAUUUACUUAUAUAUAUAUUUUAUAUAAUAAUUUUAGAAUACAUAUAUACAUAUAUUUUUCAUGUUUUUAUAAAUUUACGUACACUCGUUUUUAUAACGUAUAUACUUAUAUUUUAUAUAUCUUUGUAUUUUAUAAUCUAUAUACAUAUGCAUGUAAAUACUUAUAUUUUUAUAUCUUAUAAUUUAUAUAUAUUCUCAUAUUUACAUAAUUUUAUGUAUAUAUAUAUAUUUCCCUUAAAUGUACAUACACAUGUUCAUAUUUUAUAAUUUUCAUCUAUUUUCCUUUAUUUUUUUAUGUUCAUUUAUGUAUUUAUUUAAAUGUCUAUUUUCAUGUUUUAGUUUAUUUAUUUAUUUAUUUGUUAUGGUAUAUACAUGAUUUUUUUAUUUGUUUUUUUGCUCAUAUUAUUUUUGUUCACAUUAUCAUUUUUUUUCAUUAUGCAUAUUAACACCACACUUCAAAAAAGAAAAAUUUUCUAAAUGAGGCAAUAUUUAGCAUUUGGAAAUUCGAGAAAACGUGCCCUAAGGUGGUGGGUGUCGAUUUUUCUCGUUCAACCAAAUGGCUUAAUAUCCUUUUAAAAAUUUUUAAAAUAAGGCAAUGUUUUGCGUUUGGGAAAUUUGAGAAAACAUGCCCUAAGGUGCUGGGUGUCGAUUUUUCUCAUUCAACCAAAUGGUUAAAUAUCCUUUUAAAAUAUUUUCAAAAUAAGGCAAUGUUUUGUGUUUGGGAAAUUCGAGAAAACAUGUCCUAAGGUGCUGGGUGUCGAUUUUUCUCAUUCAACCAAAUGUCUAAAUAUCCUUUUAAAAAUUUCGAAGUAAGAUAAUAUUUUGCGUUUGGAAAUUUAAGGAAACGUGCCCUAAUGCGCUGGGUUUCGAUUUUUCCAUUUGACCAAAUAGCCAAAUAUUCUCUUAAAUCUUAAUCCAUGUCAUUCAAGUUUUUUUAGGAUCGUAUUUUAAAUCUCUUUAAAGUUUUUAAUUUUUCGACACUAAGACAUUGAGUAAUCAACUAGGUACCAAUUUUGGGCGUAUCGAGGGUGCUAAUCCUUCCUCGUGCGUAACCGACUCCCGAACCAGUUCUUCUAAAUUUCGUGGACCAAACUUGUUGUUUUAAUAAAAUCAAACCGUUUAUUAAAAACAACAUUUUUUCAAGGUGAUCCGAUCACACCUUAUCAAAAAGGAUCAGUGGCGAUUCCCAUUUUCGUUUUCAUUUUCCAAAACCCAAGUCGACCCCGUUUUUAUAAAAAAAUGGUGUCAACAUUACCUUUACUAAUUUAAAAUUUUAGAAAUUUUAAAGGAACCAUAUGAAAAAUUUUUCAUUUUAAGGUGGCCAAGACCUCUGUCAGCCCCUAAUUUCACCAUUGUAUAAGCCCUUAAUUUGUAAAGACCUACAUCUCUCUAAUGUUUUUUUUUUCGAGGAUAAUAUAUUGCUAGAUAAAUUUAAUAAAGAUAUUAGUGAAAUAUGAAGCACUAAAGGUUUUUGACUUUUUUUUAUUGAAUCUUUGAACAUAACAAAAAAUAUAUAUCUUAAUAAUAGACAUCGAUAAAUGUGUAUGCAUAUUUUCUUACUUUUUUUACGGUUGAUGAUUAUACAUUCAAUCAUUUUUGUAGUUUAAAAGUAAUUAAGAAUAUAAAAUAAUUAGAGGACAAAACACACAGGAUGAAAGUACUAGGGAGGUCACUCUAUUAUAGGGAUAGGAUUAAAUUAUUCCAUGUACUAUAAGGGCUAGUUAAUAUAUUAUUAUGGUUUUAUAAAAUAUUAAUUAUCACAUUAAUCAGUACUAAUUAGGCAUUAUAAGAGUUAUUUAAAUCCUAAAAGACUUACUUGUUUAAUUAUUAAUUAUUGUUUAUUUAAUGUAGAGGUGCUGAUGGGCUGGAUUAGGAAGAGUUCGGGUCGGGCCUAAGCAUGAUAGUAACAUAUUUUGUGCUUGUUCAAACCUUGCCUAACCCUAGAUAUGAGCUUAAAAUUUUACCCAAGACCCGCCCAUUUUUGCAAAAGACUAACCCAUGCCCAUUUUAGAUCCGCCUAUAUAAUUUUUUAUUUUUUAAAAUAUUAUAUUAUAGUAUUUUAAUAUUUAAUAAUUUUAUACAUUUUUUAUUUAUUGAAAUUUUUUAUAGUUAUCUUAACAUUAUUUUAAUGUUUACAUUAGAAUAAUAUUAUAUAUUUAGUAUAGGUUUAUUUUUUUAAUGUGUUCUGAAUUAUAAAAUAUAAAGUAUUAUAAACUUAAAAAUUGGCCGAGCUGAGCCGGAUUCAAGCUCGAGCCUGACCUAUAUUUUAGAUAAACUUAAAUUUUUUGUCCAAGUCCAGUUUUGGGCCUAAUAUUUUUAUCCAAACCCUUUCAAAUUUCAAUCGAACCUUCGAAUUUGAGCAAGUAGCCUGACUAAUGAAUAGUUCUAAUUUAAUGUUAUAAUAAAAUUAAAAUUUAAUAUAUAAUAGUCUCAAGAAUCCAUUAAUAAAUUAAUCAUUGGAACCAUUGAUUACUUUGAGCGAAUUUCCAUACUGAUGUUCCUUCAAGUAAGUUACAAUUAUGCCAUGGUUGAAGAUCAUCAGACACCGCGCUGUUCUAUCUGCACCAGCAAUGGGUGACAGAGAUAUCAUAUUCAAAUUAAUGAAUGGAAUAUUAUUUUAAUUGAUAAUAUAAUAAUAUUAAUUUUUUAUAAUUAUGUUAUAUGUUAUUUAUAUUAUGUGGAGUAAAAGUUUUAAAAUUUAUUGAAAUUUGUAAACAAAAUUCAAUAAAUUAAAAGAGCAAGUGUUAAAAAUAAAUGAAUAAAUAUAAAUACUUUACAAAAAAAUAUAAAAUGAAGAGUUGGAAUAAUAUCAUUUGUACUUCAAGCUAUAAAUUUUAAAUGGCACUCUUAUUAGAAGGAAUUAAACCUAUUUAAAUACUAUUCAGUAUUUAUGUUUAAUCUUCUAAAUAUGUAAAAAAUAAUCUUGACGGAUUAAAUUUAACACAUGUUUUUAACUCAAUUGAAAUUAUGAUCUAAUCUUCGUUAAAGGAUUUUCACCUUAUUAUUAUCUAUUUCGACAGAAAACCUAUUUAAUUUGUACUUCAAGCCAUGGAAUUUAAAUAAUUAUUUAUUAGAAGGGAUUAAAUCUAUUUAAGUACCAUUAAGGAUUUAUAUUUAAUCUUUCAAAUAUAUAAAAAUAGUUUUGACUAAUUAAAUUGAACACAUAAAUUGGUCUCUAACAAAAAUAGAAUGAUUUUUAACUCAGUUGAAAUUAUAAUUAAUCCUUAUUAAAGGAUUCUCACUUUAUUAUUACUUGCUUCGUCUCCAUUUUUGUCUCACAAUCUUGUUUCAAGUUGUUUCAUCUUCAACCUACAAAUAAAAUAUAGAUGUAAGUGAAUAUAUAUAAUGGAAAUAAAAUUUUAAUUAAAAAAAAGUGAAACCAAUCAAAAUGUAAACAUUUAGAUAAUGUAAAAAGGAAUGAAUUAAGUGACUAAAAUUUUAAAUGGUAUAAAAAACAAUGUUAUCAACAUUUGAGAUAUGUAGAUGUUGAAUAUGAAUAUGAAUAUGAAAAAAAAAUUUUAAAAUGUUUUGGCAUAUAAUGGAAGGAUCAUAUCUCAUAUGCAAAACAAGUCUAGAAUAAUUGUUUAAAUGGAAUACAAGAUGUGUAAAAAUACAAUUAAUAGGACGAAGUUUGUUAAGUAGUUUACCACAGUUAAUGCUUCUUUCUUGAUUGGCCCUUUACAAAAUUGAAAAAUUUUUGCAUCCGUUUUGGUUGCGGCUCUUCUUCCUCUGUUUCCUCAUAGAUAUUACGUUUUCGUUUUAUGUGAGAAGUGCUACCUACUGAUCCAUGGUUGUGAGCAGAGUGUUGGUGGAUGUGUUCAAAAUUUGGAGAAGAUUGGCUGGUAUCGCACUACAACUCUUUCAUUUCUUCCAAAUCUUUCUCAUACACUAUUCUAACACCACACUUCUUCACCUUAACAUUACGAGAAUUUGGUCCAAGUUCGAUAUUGAAAGACAACUCAAGCUCAUCUUCAAUUUGGUCUAAGCAAUCUGUUGUCCAUAAAUUAGUGGUUUCACAGUCGUCAUAUUUAUCCUCCAAGGAAGGAUAUGUAGCCUAAAAAAAUCAAGAAUAUAAAAUAAGAAAAUAAAAUAAAUAAUGUAUAAUGUAGGAGAAAAAAAGAAAUAGUAUGUAACUUUUGUUGAAUGACUUACAGUGUUUUUUGUUAGGACAUGAUGGACGUCUCUUUCCUCCCACAAUCUGCAACGUUUUCCAGGUUCAUCAAUACAUUUUUCUCUAACAAUUGUUCUUCCCAUCUCUUGUAACAAGUCAUGCAUCUUAAAAUUUUUGUUGUGUUUAUCGACUUUUACGAGAGAUUUUUUAACGAGAACAUCAAUUCCAAUAUCAGGAAAAAACUCACAACCAUCUAAUACUUUGAUUACAAAAUCUUUAUUCUCCCCAUUGAAGAAGCAUGCUAUAUCUAAAAAUAUAUUCUUCUCCCUUUCUUCCAGUCCUUCAAAAUUGAUUCGAAGUUUAUCGAAAAUUUCUUUAUUAGAAUCUCUUUUAAGUCUAUCAAUCGCACUUCUCCAUUGAGUCGCAUCUCUACCGCACAAGAAGGAACCCAAAACUUCAAGAGCUAAAGGGAGUCUGCCAGCAUAAUUUACAACAUGUUUAGAAAGCUCAAUGAAAUCAUCUUUCUGCACUAUAUCACUAUGAAAAGCUUUCAGACUGAAAAGUUGAAGCGCAUCUUUGGGAUUCAAUGUUGUGGGCUCAUACAUAUCAUCAACUGGCCAAGAUCGAAGCAAAUGUUCUUCUCUUGUUGUUACAACGAUUCUACUUCCUAAUCCGAACCAAUCGUGCCUUCCAACCAAGCAUUUUAAGUGUUGUAUGUUAUCAACAUUAUCAAGAACAACAAGAACCUUUUUGUGAGACAACCUAUGGCUAAUUAUGUCACUCCCUUCAUGAACAUCGAAAAAGUUGAAGCAUUCACCAUGAAAGAUCUGUGAAAGAAGUUGUUUCUGUAAAGAAACUAGUCCGCAUUUGUCUGAAACUUCUCGAAUAUCAGCAAUAAAGCUUUUACCUUCAAAAUGAGAUGACAUUUGAGUGUAAGCAACUCUUGCGAGUGUCGUUUUACCGAUACCACCCAUUCCGCAAAUUCCUAUAACGCGGACAUCAUCUUCCCCAAUGUUUAUUUUCAAAUAUAAAUCCUCCAAGCGUUCACUAAUUCCAACCAAGUCGCUAUGAGUAGCUGGAUACGUCUGACAUAGUUUUGCUGAUAUCUUCUUGACAAUGUCUUUAAUAAAUUCUGAUUCAUGCCUAAAAAAAAAGAGAGGAAAAUUUAUUGUUUUGAAUAAAAAUUUGUUGAUAUGUUUCAAAAAAACUUUCUUUUUCAAUGAAUCAUCAAACAUAAUAUAGUUUGGAAGCAAACGAGAACCAAGAAUAAGAAAGCAAGAUCUGUUGUGGAGCCAGAAUACAAAGUUUGCUCUUUUAUUGAAAUAUGACACUUUUCAAUUAAACACAUAGGAUUAGAAAGAAAAAAAAGAUAUACAUAUAUAUGCAAAAAACUAGAAAAUAAAGAAGAAAAGAAAGAAUUACCUGUUAUUUAAAUGCCAUCCCUUGAUUCCAGCCACUUGAAUUAAAGCAUUUCGCCAUCUUUGGAUCUUCUCACUAUCUUCUUUGUAUCUCUCUUUAUGUCUGGCAAAGGCUUCUUCCACUUUCUCUUUUUGUUUUCUUAAAUCAGAUGGACCAACAUGGUAAAAAAUUGGAAACACUUUAUGGCCGUCGUUGUUAUGUUGUUUAACAAUCUCAGCAAGCUCCUCCAAGCACCAACUUGAAAAGGCAUAAGUUUGUGAGAAAACGAUUACCGAGCACCAUGAUUGCUGAAUAGCUUUAAAGAGUUCAGGUGUGAUCUCUUCGCCGGCCUCCAGCUUUGGAUCAUCUCUGAAAGUGACGAUCCCACUCCUACUUAGAGCAUCAUAGAGAUGAUCGGUAAAGUUGUUGCGGGUAUCUUCACCUCUGAAACUCAAGAAAACAUCAUAUUUUUUUCUAGAAAUGGAGGAAGAAGUUGAAGGUAACGACAACAUGAGGAUGUAUGAAAGGAGAAGGAUAUUUCAAUCUGGUGUUCAAAAUCAGAAAAUAAUGAAUAUAUGAGGAAAAACAUAUCAAAAAUAGAAGAGGGCCGGGUGAUAUGUUCUUUCCAUGAAGGUGAGAGUUAAAAAUGUUGGACGGUUUGCAUUUUAUGUACUUAAUGAAAGAUAAUAAUUAAAAACAUUACUUUUCGAAAUGAAAGGGACUAGGUGUGGAAAUUCGGGCCGGGCCUCGGGCACCACUUUUUUGGCCCGGGCCCGGCCCGAAUAUAAUAAAUAUUUUUUUUUAUUUUUUUAAUUUUAAAAUACUUUUAAAAUACUUUUUUUAAAAUUUUUUUAAUUUUAAAAUAUUUUUAAAAUACUUUUAAAAUUUUUUUAAUUUUAAAAUAUUUUUAAAAUAUUUUUUUUUUAAUUUUUAAAAUAAAUUUUUGAUAUUUAUUUAAAAAACGGGCCGUUCCGGGCCGGGCCCGGGCUUAUGAAUUUUUUCUCGGGCCGGGCUUGGGAAAAAUUCUAGGCCCAUAUUUCGGGCCGGGCCGGGCCCGGGCCUAGGACCCAGGCCAAAAUUUUUUCUGUGCCCGGCCCAUGAGCAGCUCUAGUUUGGAGGCAACAAUAGCAGAAAAUUUCAUCUCUGAGCUAACCCAGGGGCCUUUUCACCAUUCUCUCUCUAUCACUCGAGGCUCCCAUCUUCACCACCAACAUCACCAAUACACCCGGGCCUCAUCACUCUCAUCUUCCAUUACCGACCACCAUCCCAAACAGCUCCCCCUCACCUUUGAACCUCUCAAAACAACAACCUCAUUGCCCUCAAGCUCGUAGGUGUGGAAAUUGGGGGAUGAUAGAUGUUCUCUCCACGAAGAUUCUAAGAAAGAGUUCACAAAAUGAACCUAAACUCUAAAAUUCAAACAAAAGUAAACUAUAAAAAUAGUCACUUUUAUUUGCCGCAAAUUACAUUUUAAUCACUUAUGUUUAAAAUGCUAUGUUUUAGCCACUUACGUUAUCGUUUUGUUACGAAGUAGUCACUCUUUAGUUAAGUUCAGUUAUCUCCCUAAUGACAAUCCAACGUGGCAAUCUAAAUGGGUUUUAAAUGACAACUUGGAUUUUCAACUAGGAUGUGAAUAAUUUUUUCAGUUAAAAUGAAAAGGAAAACUAAAAAGAAAAAAGAGAUGAAUGAUUUUUCUUUUCCAGUUCAACAUGUAAUUAAUUUAAAAUUUUUAAUUAAUUAAAUUUAUUUAAUUAAAAACCUAUUGUCGUACCAAUUAGACAUCCAAGUUGGCAUUUAAAACCUAUUUAGACUACCACAUAGAAUUGCCGUUAGGGAGGUAACGGAACUUAAUGGUAGAGUGACCACUUCGUAACAAAACGAUACGCAAGUGACUAAAACAUAAGUGACUAAAAUUUAAUCUAAGUGAAACAAAAGUGACUAUAUUUGUAGUUUACCCAAAAAAAUCAAUCAUAAUUUAAAAAGUUAUAUAAUAUUAAAAUACAUAAUUUUUUUUAAAAAUAGAAAAAUCAUAAACAUAAAGAAGAAUUUUAAAUGGUCUAAAAAUACUAUGUUAUCAACAUUUGGAUAUGCAUUGAGCUCAUGUUGAAUAUGAGUAUAAAUAAAAAAAAUUAAAAAAAAUUUUAUAUAUAAGAAGGAUUAUAUCUCAUAAGCAAAUAGGUUUACAUAGAUGUGUAAAAAAAAACUAAUAGGACAAAGUUGGCCCAUUAUAAAAUUAAAAAUUUUUUGCAUCCGUUUUGGUUGGGGCCCUUCUUCCUCUACUUCAUCAUAGACAUUACGUUUUCGUUUUAUGUGAGAAGUGCUACCUACUGAUCAAUCGUUGGUUCAAAAAUUGGAGAAGAUUGAGUGGCAUAUUUUUAUGUAUUAAUUACAUAUAUAUUUUAAGCACGAUCCUACUAAUUUGGGUUGUUUAUGGUUUUUCAUCUUGUAGGGACUAAAUUGAAGACAAAAGGAAAGGUUUUUCAUCUUGUAGGGACUAAAUUGAAGAUAAAAGGAAAUUUAGGGAUAAAAAGCGUGAAUUUAAAGACAAAAUAGGUUAGCAUGCAAAAUAGAAAAGAAAUGGUGCCGAAAAUACAAACUAUGAAAGACUUGGGGGUAAAAAUUCAAAGAAGAGAUUUAUAAACAUAAGACUCUAUUUAAAUUUAAAUUUUUUAGGAUUAUUAUUUAGAUCUAAAUUCAACUUUUAUCUUUAUUUAUCUUUUAGAGUUUAAAUAGGAACAAACUAGGUUUUUUAUUUACUAUAAAUAAAGGAUGGAGUGACAUAAUUAUUCACUCAUCAAUUAUUGUAAAACACUCAUUUCCCCUAAGGCUUUAGCCUUUUUGUUCCUUUUAUUUUAUUUCCCAAUAAAAUUUCAUUCCAUUAAACUUACUUCGUUUUCUCAAAAAGCAUGAGCCACUAAAUUAUCUAGCCAAAGGUUGUUGAGAUUCCCCAAAAAAGGUUCAUGAGGCUUAGGACCCGCACUUAACAUUCUCAACGAGUAUUCAUCAUUUCUCUGUAUUAUGGGACUGAUGCUUCUGUCCAUGACCUUCUAAAACUGAUUUUUUUAUCUUGUGCAAAGGUAACCUCUUCGUAUAUUUUUGGAAGGUUGCACAAUCGGUUUGUUAACUUACUGCGUCAGAAGUUGUUGAGCCCUAGAGACAAAAUGACGUGGCAUUCGCUAUUGAGAAAUGAUGAUCUAAUGUAAGACGGUCCCACGAAAGUGAUGAUUGGCUAGAGUCAGGUUCCUCUAAAUCGUAAGUAUAAAAUCUAAGUGGAGUUAGUGGUCAUAGGCAUCCUUUUCCACUAUAACUAACUGGCUUAUUCUGUCAUGAGAAGGAUUAUGUACGCCGCUUUUUCUCGGGCGCGACUAUGCCCAGGAUUUCGAGGAACAAGAAGUUGUAGCAAUCCAGUUCCUGAGAAUUUGACCCUACUUUUCUUAUACUAUUCUUUUCAUUAUAGGGAUAGAUUAAUUUUAGUGCUUUCAACAACACACUUAUACACUAUUCUAACACCACACUUCUUCACCUCCAAAUUGCAAUCAUAUGCAUAUAUGAAACACAUCCCAGGCUCAUCGCAAUUUUGAUCUAAGCAAUCUAUUGACAAUAAAUUAUUGAAUUCAUCACAGUCACCAUAUUUAUCCUCUAAGGAAAUUGGAUAUAGUUUAUCAUGCGACCAAUAAUGAAGCAAAAUGUGACCUUUCAUUAUUCCUUUACCCAAGAACGAGCAUCUUUAACCAAGCUAUCUACAAUUUCUACCUUGAAAAAUAAAUCCUCCACAACCGAUAGAAUGUCCUGAAGCAUCAUUGUCAAAAAUGCAACAAGAAGCAACUCCAAUCCAUUGACUAUCUUUCUGAAUGCUGAUAGGUAGGGGUAUCUUAAUUAGAAUAUAAUUUUAAAUACUGAUAAGCUAUAAAAGUAAUAUAUUUUAAUCUCAUUCUUAAUGUAUUUUUCGAUAAUUAAUUAUGUAAAUUAGUGAAUUUGAUGCUCUUAAUAUUUUAAAUUCAUGUUUCUAUACUUAGGAGAGCAUCUCUACCGCAUAAAAAGCAACCCAAAAUUUCAAGAGCUAACGGGAGCCCACCAGCAUAUUUUACAACAUGGUAAGAAAACUCAAUGACAUCAUCUUUCGGCACUGUAUCACUAUGAAAAGCUUUCAGACUGAAAAGUUGAAGCGCAUCUUUGGGCUUCAAUGUUGUGGGCUCAUACAUAUCAUCAACUGGCCAAGACCGAAGCAAAUGUUCUUCUCUUGUUGUUACAAUGAUUCUACUCCCUAAUCCGAACCAAUCAUGCCUUCCAACCAAGCAUUUUAAGUGUUGUAUGUUAUCAUCAUCAUCAAGAACAACAAGAACCUUUUUGCGAGACAACAUAUGACUAAUUAUAUCAUUCCCUUCAUGAACAUUGAAAAAUUUGAAGCAUUCAUCAUGAAAAAUCUCCGAAAGAAGUUGUUUCUGUAAAGAAACUAAUCCACAUUUGUCUGAAACUUCUCGAAUAUCAGCAAUAAAGCUUUUACUUUCAAAAUGAUGUGAUAUUUGAUUAUAAGCAAGUCUUGCGAGUGUUGUUUUACCGAACCACCCAUUCCGCAAAUCCCUAUAAUGCGGACAUCAUUUUCCCCUAUGUUUAUUUUCAAAUAUAAAUCCUCCAAGCGUUCAGUCAUUCCAACCAAGUCACUAUGAGUAACUGGGUGACAUAGUUUUGCUGAUAUCUUCUUAAUAAUCUCUCUAAUAAAUUCUGAUUCAUGCCUACAAGAAAAUAAAUUUUAAUUUUAUAUAUGAAUAAAUUUUUUUUUCAUAUUAUCAAAUGCACUUUCUUUUUCAAUGAAUCAUGAAACAUAAUAUAGUUCGGAAGCAAACAAGAACCAAUACACUUUUCAAUUAAACACAUAGGAUUAGAAAGAAAGAAAAAUGUUAUACAUAUAUAUCCAAAAAAGUAGAAAAUAGAGAAGAAAAGAGAGAGUUACCUGUUAUUUAAAUGUCAUCCCUUGAUUCCAGCCACUUGAAUUAAAGCAUUUCGCCACCUUUGGAUCUUCUCACUAUCUUCUUUGUAUCUCUCUUCAUGUCUAGCAAAGGCUUCUUCCACUUUCUCUUUUUGUUUUCUUAAAUCAGAUGGAUCAACAUCGUAAAAAAUUGGAAACACUUUAUGGCCGUCGUUGUUAUGUUGUUUAACAAUCUCAGCAAGCUCCUCCAAGCACCAACUUGAAAAGGCAUAAGUUUGUGAAAAAACGAUUACCGAACACCAUGAUUUCUGAAUUGCUGUAAAGGGUUCUGGCGCGAUCUCUUCGCCGGCCUCCAGCUUUGGAUCAUCCCUGAAAGUGACGAUCCCUCUCCUACAUAAAGCAUCAUAGAGAUGAUCGGUAAAGUUGUUGCGGGUAUCUUCACCUCUAAAACUCAAGAAAACAUCAUAUUUCUUUCUAGAAAUGGAGGAAGAAGUUGAAGGUAAUGACGACAUGACGAUGAGCGAGAGAAAAAAAUAUGUGGAUGUAGUGUUGAAAAUCAGAAAAUUGAUCGCUCAAUACGUCUGAAAGAAACUAGAAACAGAUCAAAUUUCCAGGGAAGAAUAAAGGUGGUUUCUAAGCAAUUUCUCUAUAACCUUUUCAUUUUCCAAAUGAAUGAGCGUAGUUGUGGAAAUUGGGGGGUCAUAAAUGAGUAAUGCAUAUGAAUCCAAGAAGGUGGGUGUUGAUAAAAGGGAGCCUAUUUGUGUUUUACUUUAAAUUUUUUGUCAAAUCACUUUAAAAUAAAUAGGAAAAUUAAUGCUUAUUCACUUUGCUGAUGUAGUAUACACGUAGAUUGCCAUGCGAAUAACAUGUUAGUAUUUAAUUAAUUUUUAAAUAUUUUUUUUAAAUUUUAAAAAAUUAAUUAAAUGAUGAUAUGUCAUUCAUGUGGCAAUCUACAUGUAUGAUAUAUCAACAAAUUUUAAAAAAUUUAAUUUUUCCAUUAAAUUUUAGGGUGAAUUGAUGUAAAACACAAGUUAAAAAAAGCUAAAUAAAUAAAAAAUUAAAUAAAUAACUAAAACAAUUUUUUUUUUAUAAAAUUUGAUGGUUAAAUAAAUCAUUUGACUUGAGGUCUAGCAAGGAGAGAUUAACCUACAGAAUGAAUGAGGAGGACUAAGCCUUACAUGGUUUUUUGUUUUUUAUUUAUAUUUUAUUUUCUUUUUAGAUGGCACCAACCGCUAAAAUGGAAAUUUUCCUUUUAGGACUCCUAAAAUUUUAAAUUUAUAAUGAUAAAAUUACAGUUUAGCUUUCCCACUCAAAAAAGGAUCACACCUCAUCAAAAAAAGAUCGGUGGUGACUCCCACAUUCGUUUUCAUUUUUCAAAAUCCAAGUUGAUCCCGUUUUUAUCAAAAAAAUGGUGUCAACACCAUCAAUGUCAAAAAUGCCACGUUAAAUAACUCCAACACAUAAGUUGGUCUCCAAUAAAAAUAAAAUGAUUUUUAACUCAAUUGAAAUUAUGAUCGAUCCUUAUUAAAGGAUUCUCAUUUUACCAUUACUUGCUUCGUCUCCAUUUUUGUCUCACAAUUUUGUUUUAAUUUGCCUCAUCUUCAACCUAUAAGUAAAAUAUAUAUGUAAGUGAAUAUAUAUAGUGGAAAUAAAAUUUUAAUAAAAAAGGUAAAAUUAAUCAAAAUAUACACAUUUCGGUAUGUAAAAAGGAAUGAAUUAAGUGACUAAAAUUUUAAAUGGUAUAAAAUUUUAAUAUAUACAUGUUUUGGCAUAUAAUGGAAGGAUCAUAUCGCAUAUGCAAAACAAGUCUAGAAUAAUUGUUUAAAUGAAGUACAAGAUGUGUAAAAAAGAAAAAAUUAAUAGGACAAAGUCAGUUGGACAAAGUUGAUUAAGUAGUUUGCCACAGUUAAUGCUUCUUUCUUGAUUGGCCCAUUACAAAAUUGAAACAAUUUUGCAUCCGUUUUGGUUGCGGCUCUUCUUCCUCCAUUUCCUCAUAGAUAUUACGUUUCCGUUUUAUGUGAGAACUGCUACCUACUGAUCCAUGGUUGCGAGCAGAGUGUUGGUGGAUGUGCUCAAAAUUUGGAGAAGAUUGAGUGGUAUCGCACUGCAACUCUUUCAUUUCUUCCAAAUCUUUCUCAUACACUAUUCGAACACCACACUUCUUCACCUUAACACAACGGUAAUUUGGUCCAAAAAAGGCACUGACAGACAACUCAGGCUCAUCGCAUAUUUGAUCUAAGCAAUCUGUUGUCCAUAAAUUAUUGGUUUCACAGUCACCAUAUUUAUCACGCGGAAAAUAACGAAGAAAAAGGUGAUCUUUCAUUAUGGGCUUGUGAAAGUAUCGACCUACCCACCGGUUUCUCCAAUCAAUUGGUCGACAAUUUCUACCUCGAAAAAUAGAUCCAUCACAGCUGAUAGACUCCUUAUUCCUUGAAGCAUCAUUAUUGGCAAAAAUGCAGCAACAAGCAACUCCAAUCCAUUGACUAUCUUUCCGAAGGUUGAUAGGUAGGGGUAUCUUAAUUGAAGAGUCACUUUUUUGUUGGGUAAACCAUUCUGGAAUUUCACUUGCGGGCAUCAUAAUAUCAAAGAAGUCAUUAUCAAACCAUUUUCUAGAAUUUGGAAGUGCCUGCAAAAUAAAACACAAGUCGUCUGGUAACUAAAACCAUAAAUUCUCAAGUAUGAGAUUUUGUAAGGGAGAAAAAAUAGAUUAAUAGACCUUAAUAUGUUCUUUCAGCAGUGUUAAUGCUUUGGUUUUCUCAGCCAAUUUGAAGCAGUUAAUGGCAAGAAUGUCACAACCCACUAAAUUGCAUACUUUUGAUGGACUUGCAACUACUUCAAGUGAAGAACAACCAUCUAUCUGCACUCGUUUAUUUGUUGAUAGCGCAGGCAAAAAUUUAAGCAUCUUGCAAUCUGACAAGACAAGCGAUUGCAGCCCGGAAUGUUGAGUAAGAGCCAAAGGAAUAGUGAUGAAAUUGUUACCACUAAGAUUAAGACUUUUCAAAGAGGCUUUGAAAAGUAGUUAUGAUGGGCUAGAUUUAGUAGAGCAGAAUAUAUUUCUUGACAUUGCAUGCUUCUUUAAAGGGGAACCCAUAAAAAGAACAAAACUUAUUCUAAGUGGUUGUUAUAAGGGUGCAGAGUGUGGAAUAAACAAAUUGGUUGACAAAUGCCUCAUCAAUGUCUCAUUGGUUAUUUUGGUUAUUCUACAAUGCGCAGUUUCAGACGUCCACUUAUAAUUUAUAUGCAUGAUACGCUUGAAGAGAUGGGAAAGGACAUUGUUUGUCAAGAAUCUAAAACCCUUGGUAAGUGCAGUCGACUAUGGAAUCUUAAACACGUGGAAGACGUGCUCAAAUAUAAUAAAGUAAGCACUACUUAUAUUUAUAUUCUUUUAUUCUUUUAAUAUACUUUAAUGCGACUAUAUAAACCUAUACAUUUGAUAUCAUAUCAAGUAUUAUCCCUUUUAAUUAGUAUUUAGAAAACAAAAUAAUGAUCAUCAUACUGGGCACAUAAUGAUUAGGGGUGUUCAUUCGGUUAACCAACCGGUUAACCGACUCGAAAUAACAUUAAUCGAAUUAACUGACCUUUCAAAAUUUUUAACCGUUAAUCGAACCGAAAUUUUUCGGUUAAUUCGGUCGGUUAACCGAAUUAACCGAAAAUUAUAUGUUUUUUAUUUUUGGUUAAAAAUUAACCGAAUUAACCAAAUUAACCGAAUUAACCGAAUUACUCGAAUUACCCGAAUUAACUGAAUUGAAUCACUACAUAAUUAAAUUAUUUUUAAACUUUUAGACUUUAGUUUUAGUUUUAGAAUUUUAUUUUUAUUUAUUAAAUUAUUUGUAAUUUUUAUGAUUAAUUGGGUUGGGUAAUUGGGUUGGAUUGAAUACUUGGGUUUGGAUUGGGUUUAGGUGAAUAGUGAGCCUAUUUAUUUAUUAUAAUUUUAUUUAUUAAUUUUUUUGGUUAAACCGAAAAAAUUCAGUUAACCGACCGGUUUCGAACCAAAUUAACCAUUAACCGAAAAAUCAAAAAAUAAUUAACUGACCUCCAACCGAAAAAAUCCGGUUAACCGACCGAUUAACCGAAUUCGGUCGGUUAACCGAAUUUUUUCAAUUUUACCCGAGUUUUGCACACCGCUAAUAAUGACUAUGUCUUUGGUAUAAUGUAGAUUUAUGACCUAGUUAAAUACUUAAUGCAUUGAUUUGAAAAAAUAAAAACAAAAGAAAAGAAAACACUUUUUGUAUGUAAAAGUUCCUAAAAGUGCUCAAUUAGUCUACGCCUAUCCUAAUAUAAUUAUUUUUUUAUGAGUUAUUUAAUGGAAUGUCCAUAAAUUUCUCCAUGCUAAUAUUUGAUAAAUUGGUUUUUGUUAUCAGGGAACCGAUCGAAUUCAAGGAAUAAAGGUAGACAUGUCACGUAUGGAUAACCUAUUCCAACAUCCUGUUUUUGAAAGCAUGAUUAAUCUUAGAUGUAUUUUCUUCUAUUUUCCUUCGAAUUGGUUGAGGAAAGAGCAUGAGGAUUAUAAGAAGCUACAUACAGACCAAGAUGAUAUUAUAUCUCUUCCGGAUGAGCUAAGGUAUCUUCGAUGGGAUUAUUACCCCUUCAAAUCUUUAUCAUCAAGUUUUAAUCCAAAGAACCUUGUUGCAUUGGAAUUACCAUAUGGAAACAUGGAACAACUUUGGAACGAAGUUCAUCAGGUAUAUAUACUUUUAUACUUUCUUCAUCCAAGAAUUUUUCUAAGAAAAAGAAUUUGUAAUUGAUAUAGCAUUUAAAUAACAUAUUUUUAUUAAAUUUAUUUAAAAAUAAAUACAAAAGAUUUUAUUCUAUUUUUUAAAAGAAACAAUUUGAUGUAUUGAUGGUGGGCGAAUUAAUACACCCAAUACAUCAAAUAUAAAUUUUAUUUUGAUAGUCUUUGAUUAUAUAACCUAAUCUGUUGAAGUUUUUUCUUCAUGUUCUCAUCAUGUGCAGGAUCUUGUUCAUUUACGGAAAAUUAACCUUUUCAGUUGCAAAAAUUUAAAGAAGAUCCCUAAUUUACUAGGAGCCCUCAACCUGGAAAGACUUGACUGUGAAAAUUGCGAAAGUUUGGUUAAACUUCCUUCCCUCGCCCGUUUGACAUCACUUCAAACCCUUCACCUUGAGGGAUGUCGUAGUCUCAAGAAGUUUUCGGAGAUCCCAAAUUACUUUUAUGAGUUAGAUGUAUCAGAAACAGGAAUAAAAGAAGUACCUGAUUUCAUUGAGCAUCUCGACAGACUUCAAUGAUUGACCUUGACAAACUCAAUGGUAAAAGAUGUAUCAAGCAAUAUUUCAAAGUUGAAAUCUGAUGAAGUUGGUUCAGCAUGCAGCAAACUCGACAGCAUGCAGGCCAAGAAGACCAAGUCAUGCAGGAGCUGCUGAUGCAAGCUUAUUUUGUUUAUUUUGUAAUUCCUAGUCAAUGAAAUGUAAUCUUAGUUCAUUUCUAACUAAGUUAGGUUGUUGAUUGAUGUAAUUAGCUUAUGUAUGAGCUGUAAACACAACUUUGUAUAAGUUUACAAGCCAAAAUUUCAAGUUUCCAUGUCAUUAGUGGAGGUAGGUGAUGUUUAGGUAAUUAUUUGCUGUUUUUGACAAGCUUAGUGCUUGGUUUAUGUAUUGGCAUUGUGCCAUUAUGCAAUUUAUGAAUGAAGUUCAGUUUGUUCAUCAAUUUUUCUCUUCAUUUUUCUUAGCUUUUCUUUCUUUCUCUUGCUCGAAUUCUCUUGUUUGCUCAGCAAGUCUCGAGACUUGCUUGACAAGUUUGCACUGAAUCUGUUAGUUUCAGUUACAGCACCAACAAAAUCCCUUUUUUCUCUAGAUCUUAGUGGUUGUCCAAUCAUUAAAUUUCCAACUGUUGAUGUGCGCUCACCAAGCUUGAGGUUUAAAAGCCUUAAGUAUAUGCAUAUGGAUCGUUGCAAGAGCCUCAAAUUACUCUCAGAGCUUCCAUCAUAUCUGCUCAAGUUGAAUGUACUUGACUGCACAUCAUUGGAAAAAGUUUCCUUUGCAGAUCAAAAUUUAUAUCAGUUUGAUUAUUUAGAUGCUGAUGAUGCUUGUUUUUAUGAGUUUACCAUGCUAUUCCGUAAUUGCUUCAACUUGAAUCAAGAGUCAAUUAAUAACAUUGAGGCAAAUGCCAUGCUCAAAAUUCGAUCCCUAGCUAAGAAAUGGGCAGCGAGAUUUGAUUGCUGUGGCAAGAUUCCUGAUUUGUCAAGUUUGAUUUGUUGUUUCCCAGGAAACAAAAUUUCACCAAAUAAGUUCAAGUGUCAGAGCAUGAAUUCUUCCUUAAGUUUGAAGAUAGCCCCAAAUGGGGGUGGUGGGAGCAGAUUUUUGGUUUUUGUUAUCUGCCUUGUGGCUGAUCUCACUCACUGCCGUUACAUUAGUGAUGUUGAAUGUAUUUGUAAGUACCAACUUACAGCCGCCGGUGGUGGAAAUGAUGGUGGUGGUGGUGGUUAUGAAAAGCUAAGAAGUAAAAUAUCUUUGUUAUUGUUUCCUGAGCCAGAGAAGUACAAGGAUUAUCACGUGUUUAUUCUAUCUACCGCCGACAUGGUUAAAGAAGACCAGAAUUAUGAGGAGGCAUCAUUCAAAUUCUACAUCAGACUUUUGGAUUUAAGAAGAGGAGGAAAAGAGUAUAUCAAGGUGGAGAGAUGUGGUGUUCAUGUAUUUUACGUGGAUGCAGAGAGUGAUACAGAUGCUACAGAUGCUUCAGAUGCUACCGAAAAGAGACAUGCUGGGAACAAAAGAAGCUUUAGCCAUGAUGGUGAAGAAGCGGAUGGAGGACUUAAAAGAUUGAAAUAGUUUGUAUUUCUUUCCAUCUUGGGCUCUGCUUUUGAGGACUUUCAACUUCUCAAUUAUGUCAUUCAAAUGCAUAGGUAGGGGUUUCAUUUUCAUCUCAUUUUUUCAUAUUAUCAUAAAAUUUUCAGUUUUUUCAUUUCUUUUUCAUAUUGUCAUACUUCUGUUUUCCACAAUUGUUAAUAGUAAAAUUUCAACUUAUAAAUUAGUGACACAAAAUGAAGUGCUUUAAUUAAUUAAAACCAACCAGGAUGAAUCUAAACUUGCUCUGCUUUAUAAAUUAAUUGUCUUCUAGAAGGUGCUUUACCAUACUGAAACCUUGUAGUUCCACAUUGUAAAUGUUAAAAGCAUAUUUUAUGAAACAUAAAAUUGGAAAUUUGUUCAACAGUUGUGAUUGUUGCUUACUAUUAUUUUUCUCAUCUUCAUUCCCCUGCCGUGUCUGUGUUCUGUUGUAGAUAUAGCAUAUAUUGUCCAAGAAGGAAAUUCUCCAUAUAUAUUAAUUAAUUUGGAGGAAAAUUGAACAGUAACUGGAGAUUUCAAUACAGUAGCAAAAUGAUUCUGCUUUGGAGUUGAUAAAAUAUCCAUAGGGGAUUUUGGUGGGUACCAAAAUUCAUACUUAAUUCUUAUUGACAGUUGACUUCUUAUUGGUUGUUUUUUUUUUUAAUUCGUAGGACCAAUGGUGGAGUCGGUUCAGCUUCAUUGUUUAGUUCCAGCGUUGGUAUCAUCUGGUAUCUCAAUACUUGCUGCAUUUUCCUUCAAUUAUAUCUUGAUUCAUUAGAAAGAUUGGUUAUUUGUGAGAUUGUUUUUUCUUAUAUCCUUUGCUUCUGUGUUGAUGUAUGGUUAGGGAAUGACAAAUCUUUGGGAAUGCCACUGCUGAAUUGGAGCUUUAGCCAUACAAGGAGGAACACCUGAGCUGUAAGACCUUCAAUUUUAUUUACUGAAUGCUUGCUUUAUACUAGUGUUUGAACUGAUACUUGGUGACAAUGCAAGUUGUCAACAGAUUUGUCAACACAAAGUCAAAGUAAUCUUUUGAGCCCCUUUUUGGGUUCUGGCAAUUCAGUUUUGGUGGAGAAGUAAGUUACUUUUGACUUUGACUUAUUAUCAUGAUUUUAGGUUCAUAUAAUGAUUUUCAGCAUCCUCACCAUUUUUCCCAUAUUUAUCAAUGGGAUUAUAUAAAUCCAGAAUUUGCAACAGAUCUCAAAACUUGUGGGAUAAACACAUGGAGCUGGAGGCAACCUUUGACAGUUUUCAUUCUCAAGCUAGAUUGGGUUAGUUUCAUGGUAGAGCUAUUGGAGUUGAUAUUUUCUUAUCUUGGAUUUUGAUUAUCAUAUCAGUUUGGGCCGAAAUUUCUUUGUAUGUUACUGCUCUUAUGUGGUUUGAGCAUUGUAGUGAGGAGAGAUUAAGAUUCAUACUUGAAUUCUUUUUGACAGUUGAAUUGUUAUUGGCUGGUUUUGAUUCAUAGGAUCAGUGGUGAACAUCAUUCAGCUUAAUUGUUUAGGUUCCACCAUUGAUGCUCAUGCCAUAGGCAGCAAGUAGAGAUUUAAUCAUAUUGCAUCUCAAUACUAUCUGCAUUUUACUUCAAUGAUUUGUUCACCCAUUGAUUUAUGUUUCAUAUUUCCUUCGAAAGUUGGUAAAUAUAUAUAUCUAUAUAAUAUUUCAGUUCAUGAUUUCUAAUUUAUAUUCAUGUUAGCUAAACCUACCAACUAUUACCUAAAUAUAAUCAACAUAUGUUUGAGAUUGGUUAAUCUUAUAACCUAUGCUUUUAUAUUGAUCUAGGAGUAGGUAUUUUCUAUUUGUUAUAAACUAUUAAAAUUAUAAAUAUACAAACUAUUAAAAUGGUAAAAUUACAUUUUUACUAUCAUAAAAAAUACAAUUUAAUUUCGACCCCCUCAAUAAUUUUUUGACUUUGCCCCUGCCUAUAUUAGGGCUUGGGGUAGGGAGUUAGAAUAUCGUCUUAUUCAUUUUUUUCUCGAUUUUGCAUGGAUGCAACGGCGGAGCCAUGUAGAGGCCCAUGGGCCAUAGCCCUCCAAAAUUUAAUUUUUUUUUAAAAAUUUAGUCAUUUCUAAAUGUACUAUGACCGUCCCAAAAAUAUGAUUUUAUCCUCGUUAUAGGAUUUUUUUCACUUUAUUAUUAUCUGCUUUGUCCCGAAACUAUCCUUUUUUCUUCACAUUUCUAUCUCAAAUUGAUUAUAUUUACUUCAACCUAUAAAUAAAAUAUAAAUGUAAGCGAAUAUAUAUAAUGAAAAUAAAAUUUUAAUAAAUAAGUAAAACCAAUUAAAAUUUACACAUUUCAAUUAUGUAAAAAGGAAUGAAUUGAUGACUAAAAUUUUAAAUAGUAAAAAAAAUAUAAAUUAAGUGACAAAUUUUAAGUGGUAUAAAAAAUUAUAUUAUCAACGUUUGAGAUAUGUACAUAUUCAAUACGAUUGUAUGGCUAAAAUUUUUUAAAUUUUUUAAUAUAUAUUAAAAAGAUCAUAUCUUAUACGUAAAUAAAUUUAAAAUGAUUAUUUUAAAUGAAAUAGAAGUAAUAGUACAUGGUUGGUUAAGUACUUUACCAAAAUUAAUGCUUCUUCCCCGAUUGGCCCAUCAUAAAAUUGAAAUUUUUUUGCAUGCAUUUUGGUUGCGGCCCUUCUUCCUCUGCUUCCUCGUAGAUCUUACAUUUUCUGUAUGAUGUGAGAAGUGCUACCUACUGAUCUAUGGUUGUGAGCAGAGUGUUGGUGGAUGUGUUCAAAAUUUGGAGAAGAUUGAGUGGUAUGGCACUGCAACUCUUUUAUUUCUUCCAAAUCUUUCUCAUACAUUAUUCUGACACCACACGUCUUCACCUUAGCAUUGGGUUUACAUGGAUGUAAGAAAGACACCUCAAGCUCACAGUCACCAUAUUUAUCCUUCAAGGAAAAUGGAAAUAAUUUAUCACGCGACCAAUAACGAAGAAAAAGGUGAUCUUUUGUUAUGGGCUGAUUCCUACCUGUCAACAAAAUAUAGCCCCACCAAUCAACCUGUCGACGAUGUCUACCUAGAAAAAUAGAUCCAUUAAGACUGGCUUGUUCAGAAUUUCCACAAUAGGUAAAUGCUCCACAACGGAUUUUCUCGUCACAGCAUGAAGGAUCAUUAUUGACAAAAAUGCAGCAACAAACAACUCCAAUCCAUUCAUCUUUCCCAAUGUUGAUAGGUAGCGGUAUCUUAAUCGAAGAGUCACUUUUUUAUCCUGCAGGGUAUUUUCAAGCUUUGAUAACAGGGCUCAAGUCAUCGGGCAAUGAAGCAACACUGUCCAAAUACAAUAUAAUGCUGGACAUGCUAGGCCUAGCCGCUGCCACCGGGUGUGAGCAACGCAACCCAAGUUUCAACACAAGUCUUUUGGUAACUGAAACCAUAAUUUCUCAAGUAGGAGAUUUUGUAAGGGAGAAAAAAGAGAUUAAUCGACCUUAAUAUGUUUUUUCAGCAGUGCUAAUGCAUUGAUAUUCUCAGCCAAUUUGAAGCAGUUAAUGGCACUGAUGUAACCACGACCCGUUAAAUUGCAUAAUUUUGAUGCACUUGCAACUACUUCAAGUGAAGAACAACCAUCUAUCUGCACUUGUUUAUUUGUUGAUAGCGCAGGAAACAAUUUAAGCAUCUUGCAAUCUGACAAUACAAGCGAUUGCAGCCCGGAAUGUUGAGUAAGAGCCAAAGGAAUGGUGAUGAAAUUGUUACCACUGAGAUUAAGACUUUUCAAAGAGGAUAGACAAGAAAUAUCACUAUGAAUAUCUGCUUCACCAAGAGUGAACAUGUUGGUGCUGUAACUGAAACUAACAGAUUCAGUGCAAACUUGUCAAGCAAGUCUCGAGACUUGCUGAGCAAACAAGAGAAUUCGAGCAAGAGAAAGAAAGAAAAGCUAAGAAAAAUGAAGAGAAAAAUUGAUGAACAAACUGAACUUCAUUCAUGAAUUGCAUAAUGGCACAAUGCCAAUACAUAAACCAGGCACUAAGCUUGUCAAAAACAGUAAGUAAUUACCUAAACAUCACCUACCUCCACUAAUUACAUGGAAACUUGAAAUUUUGGCUUGUAAACUUAUACAAAGUUGUGUUUACAGCUCAUACAUAAGCUAAUUACAUCAGUCAACAACCUAACUUAGUUAGAAAUGAACUAAGAUUACAUUUCAUUGACUAGGAAUUACAAAAUAAACAAAAUAAGCUUGCAUCAGCAGCUCCUGCAUGACUUGGUCUUCAUGGCCUGCAUGCUGUCGAGUUUGUUGCAUGCUGAACCAACUUCAUCACUCCUCCUUGGUUUGCAUUGAGCAAACACCUAGCUUCUUUCUUAGACAUUCGAACCUUGUAACACUAAGGGCUUUGGUUAAAAUGUCUGCAAGUUGAUCCUCUGAAUUACAGUGGAUCAGCUUUACUUCCUGAGCUUGUUCCAUUUCUCGAACAACAUGCAACUUGAUGCUGAAAUGUUUUGUUCUUCCAUGGAACACUGGAUUUUUGGCAAUUGCUACUGCAGAUUGGUUGUCACAGAAGAUCUCAGUAGCUUCCUCUUGAUGCACAUUCAAGUCAGCCAAUAUUUUCCUUAGCCAUAUGGCUUGGUUGACAGCACUUGCUGUUGCCACAUACUCUGCUUUAGCAGUAGAUUGAGCUACUAGACUUUGCUUCUUUGAGCUCCAACAAAACAUGGCUGAACCAAGGUUAAAAGCAUACCUUGAGGUGCUUUUCAUGUCAUCUAUCGAGCCAGCCCAGUCACUAUCAGUGUAGCCAACCAGCUUCAGAUUUCCUUCUUUGCUGUACUUCAAACCAUAGUUUAAAGUGCCUUUGACAUAUCUCAGCACUCUCUUUGCAGCUUGGAAAUGCUUCUCAUUGCAGCAAUGCAAGAACCUUGAGAGCAAUCCUACAGCAUACAUGAUGUCUGGUCUAGUGGCAGUCAAGUAUAGCAAGCAACCAACUAGACUCCUGUAGGUUGUUUCACAAACUUUCUUAAAAUCACCUUGGCUCGAUAGUUUUUCUCCAACAGCAACAGGUGUUUUAGUUGCCUUGCUAUUUUGCAUGGAGAACUUGGUCAGAAUAUUUGUGGCAAAGCUUCUCUGGCUUAGAAAUAUCUCAUUCUGUACUUGAGACACCUCCAUUCCAAGAAAAUAUGACAUCUCCCCAAGAUCAGGCAUUUCAAACACUUCCUGCAUCUUGGUCUUGAAGUCAGCCAGCACUACUCGAUCUCCUCCUGUCACCAGAAGAUCAUCAACAUACAGGGACACAAUGAGUUGUAUUUGUGUCCCUUGUUUCUUGACAUACAGUGUUGGCUCACUCUUGCUUCGAUCGAAUCCCAGAUCAGUCAAGUAGCCAUCGAUUCUGCUAUACCAAGCCCUUGGAGCCUGUUUUAAUCCAUAUAGGGCCUUCUUCAGUUUGUAGACCAUAUACUCUCUGCCAGCUAUUUCAAACCCUUGUGGUUGUUCAACAUAGAUGUCUUCAUCUAAGAAACCAUUUAGAAAGGCUGAUUUCACAUCAAGUUGAUGGAUCUUCCAUUCGAGCUGUGCUGCUAAGGCAAUCAGUAGUCUAAUGGUGUCGAGCCUGGCCACUGGUGCAAAGGUCUCCAGGUAGUCCAAGCCAUACCUCUGACUGAACCCCUUGACAACUAGCCUUGCUUUCAGCUUGUUCAAGGUACCAUCAGCAUUCUGCUUGGCUUUGUACACCCAUUUCACCCCAAUCACCUUCCUUUUGACUGGCCUUUCAACCAAUUCCCAGGUCUGGUUCUUCUCAAUCAUGCUGAUCUCCUCAGCCAUUGCCUGCUUCCACCCUUGCUGAGCCUCAGCCUCUUCAAAGUUGCUUGGUUCAGCUAUGGCUACAUGAGCCCUUUUAUAAAUCUUAGCCAAUGACCUUGUUCCUCUGACUGGUUCAUCAUCAAUAUCCAUUUCAGGGACAUUUUGGUCUGGCUCAGCUUGGUCUGUUGCAAGUUCUUCAGAAACUUCUUCAGGUUCAUGUCUUUCCCAGUUCCAACAUGACCUCUCAUCAAAUACCACAUCCCUGCUUACUGACACUUUGUUUGUUGAAGGAUCUAAAAUCCUAUAGCCCUUCUUAACAGUGCUAUACCCCACCAAAACACCAGGUUGAGCCCUUUCAGACAAUUUGUCCCUUUUAACAGCAGGUACAUGUGCAUAACAGAUGCAUCCAAAGACCUUCAGAUGAGCCAGUGAUGGCUUGAAGCUAAACCAGGCCUCGAAUGGGGUCUUUUGAUCCAAAGCCUUGGUUGGAAGUCUAUUUUGAAUGUAUGUUGUAGUGUUAACUGCUUCUGCCCAUAGUGCUUUAGGCAGAUUCUUCUGAAUCAUCAAGCACCUGGCCAUAUCCAUCAAACUCCUAUUGCUCCUUUCACUUACCCCAUUCUGCUGAGGUGUAUAUGUGUUGGUAAGUUGAUGUUUGAUGCCUGCCUUAUCACAAAAGGCUUGGAACUGAGCUGAGGUGUACUCAGUCCCAUUAUCAGACCUUAUGGUCUUCACCUUACAGCCUGUUUCAGUCUCAGCAGCAGUUUUGAACUUCCAAAACACAGUGGCCACCUCUGAUUUCUGUUUUAAGAAGUAAAUCCAGCAAUAUCAAGAGAAAUCAUCAAUGAACAGUAUGAAAUACCUGUUUCCACUUAAUGACUCAGUCUUCAUAGGGCCACACACAUCAGUAUGCACCAGUUGGAGUUUUUUAGAGGCUCUCCAGGCUUGAUUCGAGGGAAAUGGGAGUCUGGCCUGCUUUCCUAGCUGACAUACUUCACAUACAUCAUCAUGGUCCACUGAGUUGAUAAAGUUUUCAGCCAGGUCUUCUCUGAUCAUUCGGGCCAUCGAUAUGAAGUUGGCAUGUCCCAGUCUUUGAUGCCACAGCUUGGAUUCAUCUGAAGUGGCUGUAUAGGCAAUGUCUGACUUCUUUGUCCAGUCAACCACAAAGCUCUUAUCAGCCAUGGGGACUGCCAUCAGUUUGGAUCCACUUGGAUCACUGAUUUGGCACUGGUGGUCUUUAAACACAACUGAAUAACCUUUUUCCAGCAACUGAGAUAUGCUGAGCAGGUUUCUGUCAAUUUCAGGCACCAACAGCACAUUUGAAAUUACUUUGCUACCUGUAAGGGUGCAUAUCAGCACAUCACCCUUGCCUUCAGCUUGAAUAAAAUGACCAUUUCCUAUCUUGACUUUAGUUCUACAGCUUCUGUCUAAAGACUUGAAGAUUGCAGCAUCAGGUGUCAUGUGGUUGGUGCAUCCACUGUCUAAGAGCCAACCAGAUGAGGACCUUUCUUGAGCAGCUGAGCAUGACACAGCAAAGACUUGCUCCUCUUGGUCACUGUCCUCCUUAGCUACUCGAGCCUCAGCUUUCAUCUGUUGAGUCUGAUUGUGCCUUGAUUUGGCCUUGCUCUUACAGACUCUCUCAACAUGACCCUUUUUCUUACAAUGCUGACACACAGCAUCUGGAUUAAACCAGCAUUUUUCAUCUGAAUGACCAGCCUUUCUGCAGUGCUUGCAAGUCUGACCUUCUCUCCUUGCAGCAUCAUUCUUUGGCUUGUCUCUCCAGGCCUUCUUGCCUUUGUAGGCAGUAUUUGUUCUUGCCUGAAAGGCACCUUCUUGAUGCUCCUCCAGUCUGCUUGCUCUCCUCUGCUCUUGAGCAUAUAGAGCAUUGAUCAACUCUGUCAGGGAGAUGGUGGAUAGGUCCCUUGAGUCCUCGAGAGAUGAGAUUUUUGCCUCAUACCUCUCAGGCAGAGUUGCUAUAACCUUCUCCACUAUCCUAGCUUCAUUGAACUGCUCUCCAAGGAGCCUGAUGCUGUUGACCACAGCCAUAAUCCUGUCAGAAUAUUGCUUGACAGUUUCUUCUUCCUUCAUCUUCAAAUUCUCGAAAUCUCUCCUCAAGUUUAACAACUGUUUCUGCCUUGUCCUCUCUGUCCCUUGAAACUCUUCCUGCAAUUUGUCCUAGGCCUGUUUUGGUGAUUCACAGGCCAUAAUCCUUGUGAAAAUCACAUCAGACACUGAGUUUUGGAUGCAAGACAUAGCCUUGUGCCUCUUGGUCCUUUCAUCAGCAUGCUGCCUGAUCUGAGCCACUGUUGGAUUAGCUAUAAGUGGCUCUGGUUCAACAUCAGAGUUGACCACCUCCCACAGAUCGAAAGCCUGCAGGUAGGUCUUCAUUUUGACCACCCAUAUGUGAUAGCCUUCUCCAUUGAAGACUUGAGGUGCAGCUGGUGAAAAGCUUGAUGAAGCCAUGGAUUUGUGUAACAGAUCCCUUAAGAAAUAGGGUCUGGAUACCAAUUGUUGGUGCUGUAACUGAAACUAACAGAUUCAGUGCAAACUUGUCAAGCAAGUCUCGAGACUUACUGAGCAAACAAGAGAAUUCGAGCAAGAGAAAGAAAGAAAAGAUAAGAAAAAUGAAGAGAAAAAUUGAUGAACAAACUGAACUUCAUUCAUGAAUUGCAUAAUGGCACAAUGCCAAUACAUAAACCAGGCACUAAGCUUGUCAAAAACAGUAAGUAAUUACCUAAACAUCACCUACCUCCACUAAUUACAUGGAAACUUGAAAUUUUGGCUUGUAAACUUAUACAAAGUUGUGUUUACAGCUCAUACAUAAGCUAAUUACAUCAGUCAACAACCUAACUUAGUUAGAAAUGAACUAAGAUUACAUUUCAUUGACUAGGAAUUACAAAAUAAACAAAAUAAGCUUGCAUCAGCAGCUCCUGCAUGACUUGGUCUUCAUGGCCUGCAUGCUGUCGAGUUUGUUGCAUGCUGAACCAACUUCAUCAGAACAUGUUGCAAUUUGACAAUAUAAGAUUUGCAAGCUUCGAGAGUCGAGUAAGAGAUGCAGGUACGCUGAUGAAAUUGUUACCACUAAGAUCUAGUUUAUCCAAACAGGAUAGGCCAGAAAUAUCACGUGGAAUAUCUCCUUCACAAAGAUUGCAGUCCCUUAGUUUUAGCUUUCUUAAAGAACUCAAAUCUGACAACAAAGGCAACAUCCGAGCCACGGGAUUCGUCCUUCUUCCUUGGGUUACCUUGAAAAGAGAAGGCAAAUUUGGUAGUAACUUAUAUGAUGGUCCCUUGCGCCAAUUGAAAGACAGAACUUUAAGAUUUUUAAAUUGAAAAAUGAAGGAUGGUGGUUCUGUUAUGGUUGUUUCACUCAAGUCGAGCUCUUCCAAAAACUUUGCUUGCUGCAAAUUCUCCGAUAAAUUUUCCACUCUAUAACAACCUGAAAGAUCAAGAGUUUUUAGACGUUCCAUUUUCCCAUCAAUCUCCGAAAACCUUACAAGACUUGAGCAACCCGAAAAAGUUAAUGUUUCAAGGGAUUCCAUUCCAAUUUUGGUCGGAAGAUUCCCAAUACUUUUGCAGUCUCUUAAAUUCAAAAGUUUAAGGCUCUUAACCACUACGACUGAUGGAUGAACAUCCACUAAUUUGGUACAACCUUCCAAAAUCAAAACAAUGCAUAAUUCUUUAAUUUAAUAAAAUAUUUAUUAUAUUUACGGUAGUAUUUUUUAAUAUAAAUACUUUUUAAUGUGUUAGAAACAUUUAUUUUGAACUUUUUUAGUGUAUUCAAUAUAAUAUAUUUUAAAAAAUAAUUUUAAAUAAAAUUAAUCUAAAAAAAUAAAAUAUGGAUGGUCUAGAUUGGGCUUGAGUUUACUUUUCUUAAAUCGGGUCGGGAUUGGGUAAAAAAUAAGCCCAUUUUUCGAGUCAAGCCCUAGUUUAGAAAAAUAAUCUAAAUAUCUUGCAUAGGCCCGAUCCAGCUCAUAAACACCUCUAAUUAAAUAUAUACCAUUAAUAUUUAAAAAAUACAUAUUUCUCUAUUGAUUCGUUUGAAAGAGUACUAUGUUACUAGCUAAAUUUCAUAAUUAAACAUUGAAAUAUGGAGUUUAAAAAAAUUAUUAUUUACAGUACACAAAGAUAUCAUGUUAUAUGUAUUACCUUUUAUUAUCAAUGAUUAUGCCUUCAAUCAUUUCUGUAGCCUAAAAAAUUCAAGAACAAAAAUUAAAAAACAAAAUAAAUGGUGCAUCCUGUAAGAUAAAACUUUUGAAAUUUUAAUGCAAUGAAAUUAAAUAUUUAUUUCUACAAAUUCUUUUUAAUAUUUGUAAACAUCAAACAUAAUUUAUCUCAAAAGUACCAAAUAUCACUUUUUAAGAUCGUCAUAUCUACCAAUUAGACUAGACUUUGAAUUUAUAUUAUAUAUUGAUUAGAUAUUCUAUAAAAAGGAAAAGAAAUAGUAUGUAAAUUUUGUUGAAUGGCUUACAGUAUUUUUUGUUCAUCAACACAUUUUUCUGUAACAAUUUUUCUUCUCAUUUCUUGCAACAAGCUAUGCAUCCACAAAUAUUGGUUGCCAUCAUCGACUUUUAUUAAAGAUUUCUUAAUGAGAACAUCAAUUUCAAUAUCGGGAAAAAACUCACAACCAUUCAAUACUUUCCUUACAAAAUCUUUCUUCUCCCCAUUGAAUAAGCAUGCUAUAUCUAGAAAUAUAUUAUUCCUUCUUUCUUCCAAUCCAUCAAAACUGAUUCAAAGUUUAUCGAGGAUUUCUUUAUUAGAAUCUCUCUUUAGUCUUUCAAUCGCACUUCUCCAUUGAGUUGCAUCACAAAAAGGAACCCAAAAAUUCAAGAGCUAGAGGGAGCCCACCGGCAUAAUUUACAAGAUGUUUAGAAAGUUCAAUGAAAUCAUCUUUUGACACUGUAUCACUAUGGAAAGCUUUCAAAUUGAAAAGUUGAAGUGCAUCUUUAGGAUUCAGUGUUGUGGGCAUAUACACAUCAUCAACUUAGCAACAUCGAAGAAAAUGUUCGUCUCUUGUUGUUACAAUGAACUCCCAAAUCCGAACCAAUCACACCUUCCAACCAAGCAUUUUAAGUGUUGUAUGUUAUCAACAUUAUCAAGAACAACAAGAACCUUUUUGUGAGACAAGCUAUGGUUAAUUAUGGCAUUCCCUUCGUGAACAUUGAAAAAGUUGAAGCAUUCAUCAUGAAAGAUCUGUGAAAGAAGUUGUUUUUGUAAAGAAACUAGUCCUCAUUUGUCUGAAACUUCUCAAAUUUCAGCAAUAAAGCUUUUACCGUCAAAAUGAGGUGAUAUUUGAGUGUAAGCAACUCUUGCGAGUGUCGUUUUACCGAUGCCACCCAUUUCGUAAAUUCCUAUAAUGCGGACAUCAUUUCCCCAAUGUUUAUUUUCAAAUACAAAUCCUCCAAGCGUUCACUAAUUCCAACUAAGUCGCUAUGAGUAACUGGAUAUGUUUGACAUAGUUUUGCUGAUAUCUUCACAACAAUUUCCCUAAUAAAUUCUGAUUUGUGCCUGUGAAGAAAGAAAUUUUAAUUUUUUUAAAUAAAAUUUUGUUGAUAUCUUUCAAAUGCACUUUGUAUCUCAUUGAAUCAUAAUGGAAGCAAACAAAAACCAAGAAUAAGAAAGCAAGAUCUGUUGCGGAACCAGAAUACAAAAUUUGCUCUUUUAUUGAAAUAUGACACUUUUCAAAUAAACUAGAAAGUAGAGAAGAAAAGAAAAAAUUACUUGUUAUUUAAAUGCCAUCCCUUGAUGUUAGCCACUUGAAUCAAAGCGUUUCGCCACCUUUGGAUCUUGUCUUUAUCUUCCUUGUAUCUCUCUUCGUGUUUGGCGAAGGCCUCCUUAACUUUCUCUUUCUAUUUUCCUAAAUCGGAUGGAUCCACAUUGUAGAAAAUUGGAAAUACCUUAUGUCCCAUGUCGUUUUUCAGUUUAUAUAUACUAAGUUUCCAAUUAUGUGAAAAGGAAUGAAUACUUUAAAUCAAAUAAAAAAUUGUAAAUAACAUAGCUAAAAAUGUCUGAAAAGGAAUUAAUAGGACAAAGUUAGUGAAGCAGUUUAUCACAAUUAAUGCUUGUUCUUCGAUCGACAAUUAUAAAAUUGAAGAAUUUUUGCAUCCGUUUUGGUUGUAGCCCUUCUUCCUCCCUCUCCUUAUUACGUUUGUGUUUUAUAAGGGAAGUGCUACCUACUGAUACAUCGUUGUGAGAAGAGUGUUGGGGGAUAUGUUCAAAAUUUGGAGAAGAUUGAGUGCUAUGGCACUGCAACUCUUUUAUUUCUUCCAAAUCUUUCUUAUACACUAUUCUACCACCACACUUCUUCACCUUUAAAACUGUGACCAAUUCGGUUGUUGUUAGGAUCGUCCCGAUUAAGCAACAAACAAGUAAAAAUAGCAGAAGAAAUUGAGAAGAUGAACACACAAAUUUAACGUGGAAAAACCCCUCUAAAGAGGAUAAAAAACCACGGGCAAAGAUAAUUUUACUAUAAUGGCAAAAGAAUGAAGAGUACAAAAGAUGGAGAUAAAAACUAAACCUGAAAACCCGAAAAACAAAGAACCCGAAAACGUAAACACAAAAUUCUCUGAAUGUGUUAUGAGUUCUAAUCUAAUGGGUGUGUCUAAUUUCUAAGAUUGUAAAAGAGCCUAUUUAUAGGCUAAAUUAAUAAGUCAAAUAAACUAUACUAAUAAAUGUUAAAUAUAUUAUACUAAUAAAUACUAAAUCUUCUAGAAAGAAAAUAUAUUUUUGUUUAACUUGACUUGCAAGUAAUCUCUUAGAAUUUGAGUCACACAAUUCUAACAGUUGUGAAAGACAGCUCAAGCAUAUUACAACCAGCUUCUCCAACAUUUCUACAAUGGAUAUUGGUUGUAAAAAGGAUAGCCUCCAUAUCCUUAGAAGCAUCAUCAAUGUCAAAAAUGCCACGUGAAGCAACUCCAAUCCAUUCAUUAUCUAUCUGAAGAGUGAGAGGUGAAGUUAUCCUGAUUGAAGAUUCAUCCUUGUUCGCUAAACCAUUCUGGGAUUUAGUUGACCAUAAGAUGUUUUAUCAGCAAUGUGAAUAGAUUGAUGUUCUCAGCCAAUCUGUAGCAGUUAUAUUAAUAAAACAAAUUCCAAAUCAUUUAGAGCACAGACAUUAUAAAGUAGGAUAAUCCAACCACCCAAGCAGACUUUCCUUUUCCCUAAACAUCUGAGAAAGCGAAACCCUUCAGAUGCCUUCUUUGUUUCGUUGAUAGCCACCAAAAUGUCUGCUCUAGAUCUUUCCGAUGCAACUGGAAGAAACCCUUCAGGUCUGGCUAAACUUUGCAUUUCAUCACUUCAAAACACCAAUCUUCCGUCGAAACUUAGAAACCCAGUAGUCCAUCUAUUCUCCGAUCUGUUUGCCCACAGUAAAAUCCCAUUUUAUCUUCUUUCUAAGCAGUGGAUCUUCAACCUGCUGGACAAAGUGAGCCCAACUGUUGACGGUCCUCUUCCGCUGCCACUUUCGCGUAUGAAGGAACCGCGCCAACAAGAUAAGUUUCUUCAUCUCUCUUUAAUCCCUCUGUACCCAAUAGAUGUGCAACUCCGUUUGCUUGUUUUGGCACAUGUUUAAAGACACGGAUUUGAUACCCCUGUAUUUGAGAUAUAGGCUCCUAUCACUGACCUUUCAACUCCCUUUGUUUGCAGCUUCCGAAUCACAGAUAAGGAGUCUCCUUCGAUCUCCACCCUCGAGAAUCCCACAUGCAAUCCCAUCUCAGCUGCAUUUCAACUUAUACAAGAGCUGUUGAAGACCAUCAUAAAUUAGAAGCAAAUAAGAAAACAUAAUAAACUUAAAUAAGGCUACUGUGGAAAGAUGAUCCAAUUAAGACUACCCUUGAAAAGUUUAAUAGUUCACUAUUCAUAUCACGUCAAUGGUUUAAUCAGCAUUUUGCAUUAAAAAAAUUAUAAUUUGACUCAAAAUAAAAUUUUUUUAAACAAUAAGAAAUUUUUUUUAUCAUUAUACCUUAUUUAAAAGGAUUUAUUUACAUUACAGUUAAAUUACUAUGUAAAUUUAUAUUUUACAAAAAAAAAUUCAAAAACCCCAUUUAAAAUAGUAUAAUAACAUAAUUAUAUAAUAAAUUAUAUAAUAACUUUACAAGUAAAAAUGCGCAAUCUAUCUAGAUUCCUUCUAGUAUUAUUAAUUUUAUUAAUUUGAUUUAAACGAUUUAUUCACUUGGUGUCUUGAUUCAUAGAAAUUCUUAAAUUAUGUUAAUAUCUAUUUCGAGAGUAAGAACAACGGACUUUAGGUUAAUUAAUUGAAAUCUCUUUCUAAUUAAAACUCCUGUUGUCACAAUAACUCGAUCUAUGGAUUCCCCCAUUAGAUUUGACUCUAAUCAGGUAGAUUUUUGUCGUCCUAUUUAUAGGAUUGCAUGCAAUUCCACUCAAUUAUGCUAAAUUUACUCUUACACAGGGACUUUUGCUCCAUUGAAUUAAGCACAUUAAACAUGAAUUAAUAUCUCGAAAAUAUUAAAAUAAGAAAUAAGCACGCAUAAUUAAGAAUAAGAAUAAAGUAUUUAUCAUGUAAAUUAGAUAUUAAAUAAUAGAAUUCGUCAUAGGUUUCAUCCUCCCUAGGUAUCUAGGGAAUUAACUCCAAUGGUGUUCCUUGAGGGUUUUCUUUGAUCUUAUCUAAUCGCUCCCCUAUUUCUUCUUCUAUUUGGUAUUUAUAGACUUUAGAAUGUUUAGAAAGCCUAAAAAUUAUGUUUUUCCGCGUGUUUGGGAAGCAAAGUGCGAAAUCGACACGGGCUGGCACAUGGGCGUGUGUCCAGCCCGUGUGGCUCACAAGGGCGUGUGCCCAACCCGUGUGGCUCCUGAAAUUUGCUCUUUUUCUCUGAUUUUCGCUCAUUUUUCGUUUCUUCUGCUCCCUAAUAUUCACCUAAAUAUAAAAACAUGAAUUCAAAAGAUUCUAAUUUGCAUAAAUAUUCAUCCAAAAACACAUUAAAAAUGAGAUUAAAAUAUGUUAAUUUUAUCAUUUCACAGCUGAAAUUAUGAUCAAUCCUUAUUAAAGGAUUCACUUUAUCAUUACCUGCUUUGUCACAAAAUAUAUUCAUUUUUUUCCACAUUUUGGUAUUAAGUUAAUUAAAUUUACUUCAACCUACAAUAAAAUAUAGAUGUAAGUGAAUACAUAUAAUGAAAAUAAAAUUAAAAAAAUGUAAACCCAAUUAAAACGUACACAUUUUGUAAAAAUGAGUGACUAAAAUUUUAAAUGUUUUAAAAACUAUGUUAUAUGAAUAAAAAUUUUAAAAUAUUUUGAUAUAUAAUAGAAGGCCUUUUCAGUUCAAUUUUUCAACUUUCCAGAACUAAGGUUAAAGCCAGCUUAUCUUGAGUAGGAAUUCUUACAUAGUUCUUGGAGCCAUCCAAGCUACUCGAGAUGUUAUGGAGGUUCCAUGAAAAAUUUGUCUGGACGAGCUCUGUAUAAGAAACCAUUUCGGCUUUAGAAAGGCAACCACACCACCAUUGCUUCUUUCAAUGUGAGUUCGUCCUCAAUAUCCUCAAUCAAACCUCUCGUGGUGGCGAAGGUGUUGCCUUUUUAAUAAACAACUCCAGCCUACUGGACAACAGCCAAGGAUAGUGGCUGGGGAUGGUAAAUGAGAACACAAAUGGUUCUUCUCAAUCAAACCAGUGUGGUGGAGGUGGAAUUUGACACCAGGAAGAGCAACGAGCAAGAUAUCGAUGGCAACCAUAUUGGGUUAAACAUAAACAGAAUCCAAUCAACCAAGCAAGUUUCUUUAAGCAACUACGAUGUUAACAUUUCAGCCGGAGGUCAGGAUUUAAGGGUGCAUAUUUGUUUUGACGGCCGAAACCUGUCAGUUUUCAUUGGGGACAACUAGACACUUGUGUUUUCUUAGCCUAUUGGUCUCUCUGUUCAAAGGUGGCAACAACAGCAGCUACAUGCAAGAAACCAUGCAAAUUGGACGUUGCAUGAAGAGAACCAAGAAUUCAGCAGAUGCCUGCUAGUGUCCAUGGUGUAAUUCGACAGUAGCUUGUUUUAUUUUGUUGACUUUUGAUAGUUAAUGCUGUAAUCAUUUUAUGCUUUGGUCAGCUAAAAUUAAUUGUGUGGUUAGCUGAUUUUGUAGUCAUUUUUAGGUUGUCAUUAUGUUGAUGUAAACCUUUAGACACUUACACAAGCAAGCCUUGUUUUCUUUCUAUGUAUUUUGGUCUAUUUAUGUAUGUAACAAUGUUCUUAUUCGGGCAAUGAAAAAAUCACAUUGUUCAUUCAACUUUCUCUUGUUUUUGCUUCUGUUUUAAUCUUUCAAACACUUCAACACUCAUUUUUUGAUUGUCUUAAAACCUUGUUGCUGAGUUAAAAAACCAACACUCUCUACUUAUCUUUCGCAGAAGGUUUUCAUGGGAUUCUUUGGUUCAACAAACAAUGAAACGGAGCUCAACCGUGUGAAUUCGUGGGCGUCUUCUGAUACUGAUUUCGGAGGAAAUGGCAAUCAACUGUGGGUUUGGAUCAUGGUUCCAGUGGCAAGUGUGUGUAUAUUAGUUGGGGUUGCCAUUUGCUUGUGCAUGAGGAGGGUAUACAAAGAGGACAGAUUUAGUGGUUCAUGGUGCUCAACUUCAAGGGAACAUAGAACAUGAGAUUAAAUGGUAGCAAUUAAAUUUAUUAAGAUAGAUUUUGUUAUUUUUAAAGUUUGAUGUGGCAAAUACAUUUAACUAUUAUUGUUUUCAUUAAAAUUAAAAUUCGAAAUAUAUAAAAAUUAAAAAUAAUCUAGUUGGAGAAUAUGGACUAAAUUUAACUUUAUGAAUAAUACAAAACAAAUAUCAAAAUUUAACCAAAUAGAAAUCAUUGCUACCGUUUGGUCUCCAAAAAUGGUAGUGUUUCCUCCUUUUCUACCACAUCUAUUUUUGCAAUUGUACCGGGAUACUUCCAUGGCCAUGGAAUAGUCUUUGUAAUCUCGCCUAACAAAGGAAUUCCUGGAGCUUAUCCCGUUCAGCAUCUUGGUCUUUUCAAUGAAACAAAUAAGUACAGUGACAGCUAAAAGAGUUUAGGAUAAUAAUUCUACAAACGGUUCAAAGAAAAUAGACGAGACAAAGCAUGAAAAUGAUUAUGAUACCAAACUUAGUGAGCUAAAAGGUGCAUUAUCUUCUAAAAGGGGCAAUACAGAUAAGCUUGCAAUUCGGUUUCAAGAAGGCAGAGCUGCUGAAGGUGAUGGACCUGUAAAUGGGUUACCAAAGGUUGACCGUGGGGAAUCAGUUUAGAGUCGCACGGGAGCUAAAAGGAGGAAGUCCGGUUCUGUUAAGAGGUUUAAAUAGGAUCCAGCCUCUUUUGGACCUACUUUGACUCAAAAUGCUACAAAUGUCCAUGUUGGCUAUGCAAUUACAGAUGCAGAGAUGGAAAUCGUAAAUCUUGGUUUAGCAGCGGACAGUUCGAGUCAUAGGUCCCCGAUUGAUAAUUCUUUAAGUGUACCUAUCAUAACCAAGAUCCUCAAGCCUGUAGAUUUUUGUAUCAGCCAACACUCAAGAUGUGUCAGUAACCUUCUUGGCAAUCAGGUUUGUUACAAACUCUAUUUCAAUCACCUUUGAACCGAAUGAACCUUGCAGCUAUAUUUUGAGCAUUGCUAUGAUUUUUCAUUCUCUUUUUCUAAAAGAAGUAAAUGGAAUGCAAAUAACUUGCAAAAAUGUACGAUUGCUUGCCUUUGUACCUUAAUUGGCUGACGUAUCAUGUCUUGAAAUUAUAUCCAUGCAUUGCUUAGUACCUUUUAGGCUGAAACUUCUAGCCUUCAACAUAUAAGCCCGUUCAGAUCCUAAUCAAUUUAAUUACUCUAAAAAAUUUCUAGAGUUUUAGUUCAGCUAACUUCAAAAUAAUUUUGCUUUGCUAUUGGUGUGUGGUGUUAUUGGAUUGAAGUUUGGUUCUUGCUUGCGUAAGUUACCAACUUAUCAUGUUGCAAUGUAUUAACACUUAAUGUAGUUUCAUCAUUCAUGUCGCUCUUUAGAGUUUUGGUUGUUGUUGGGGCAUUUUAUGUACUCUUUUCUGUUGUAACUAUCAUGUUUGCACAUGUAUUUGGAUAUAGUUUCUUAGAAAUCAUCAUGUUUUUCUUUAGUCCUCGAUUUGGGAGAAUGUCCUACACUUCAUAAGCAAGAGCUCUCAUUUUCAAGUUCCAAGCAAUUAAAAUAGUAUGGUGAUGGGAUUUGGUUCUCAUGCAAAGCUGUAUUUGUUGCUUAGGAUCGCAUCUGUAUUUCAUUUUCCCAACAUUUGCUCCCACUAAGCUCAGAAAUGUCGUUGAUUCAAUGUUUGCAGAUUAUAAUGGCGAAACCAGCUGGAGGUCCAGCGAGGAGAGAGAAAUGAAUCUGUUGAAUUUUUUAGAAGAAAAAAUUAUUAGUGCAUACUUUACAUUCAUAUUUGAAUAAAUAUUAAAAAUAAAUGUCUAAACAUAAAUAUUUUACAAAAAAAAUAUAAACUGAGGAGUUCGAAUAAUAUUAUUUGUACUUCAAGCCAUGAAAUUUAAAUGAUACUUUAAUAGAAGGGAUUAAAUCUAUUUAAGUACCUUUAAAGAUUUAUAUUUAAUCUUUCAAAUAUAUAAACACAGUUUUGACUGAUUAAAUUGAACAUAUAAGUUGGUCUCCAAUAAAAAUAAAAUAAUUUUUAAUUCAGUUGAAAUUAUGAUCGAUCCUUAUUAAAAGAAUCUCAUUUUAUCAUUACUUGCUUCAUCUCCAUUUUUGUAUUACAAUUUUGUUUUAAUUUGCCUCAUCUUCAACCUAUAAAUAAAAUAUAGAUAUAAGUGAAUAUAUAUGUUGACACCAUUUUUUGAUAAAAACGAGGUCGACUUGAAUUUUGAAAAAGAAAAUUAAAAUGGGAGUCGCCACCGAUCCUUUUUGAUGAGGUGUGAUCGGAUCACCUCGAAAAGUGGUUGUUUUAAUUUUAAUAAACGAUUUGAUUUUAUUAAAACAAUGAUUUUGGUCCACAAAAUUCAGAAAAACGGGUUCAGGAGUCGGUUACGUACGAGGAAGGAUUAGCACCCUCGUAGCACCCAAAAAUUGGUGCCUAGUUGAUUAGUUAAUGUCUUAAUGUCAAAAAUUGAAAACUUUGAAGAAUUUUAAAAAUAUGAUCCUUAAUUUUUUUUAAAAAGAAAGCUUAUAUAAAUCAAGUUACUCGUUAAGACCCUCCCAUUUCAGGAGGAGAAAACGUCACACCCAAUGCGUUAGAACAUGAUAUUUUACCUCUUCAAAAAUGAGCUUGUCUAAAACCUUGCACAAUAAAAUUUAAAAGGGUAUUCAAUUGUUUAAAUCAUGUGAAAAAAAAUUGCAACCCAAUACGUUAGGACACAAUUUAAACAUUGAAUAUUGCAUUUAUUUUGAAAAAUCCUCGUCUUGAGAAAACAACAUGUCAUAUCCAAUACGUUAGGACACAACGUAUUGAAUUCUCGAUAAUGAGCUUUUUAUUUUUUUAUAAAACAGUGUAGUCUUGAUUAUUUAGAUUCAAUGAAAAAAAUCGAAACCCAAUACGUUAGGGCUCGAUUCUCUCGAAGAUCCCAAAUACCGAGUAUUACUUAUAUUUUUAAAAAUUCUUUUUUUUUUGAAUCUGGGUAAAAAUUGAUGUAAUGGAAUGACAAUUAUGAUGAUGUAAGUAAAAUAAUACGAGCAAGGGCUACAAAAUAAGAUAAAUACAAGGACAAAUCAAUAGCAUACAUGAAGUGAUAAGUAAAUAAACAAAUAGAACGACAAUACUUUUCAAAAUAAUAAUGAACACAUAAAUAAAUAAAUCAAAUAAGACAAUAAUAACCAUAAUGAAAAUAAAUGAAAUUAUAAAAAUAAAAUAAAAAUCUAUGUAUAUAUAACAAAAUUUGAAAAUAGUAAAUAUAUAUAUGUACAUCUAUGUAUAUGUAUAUAAAAUUAUGUAAUAUAUAUAAAAAAUACAUAGAAGUAUAUAUAUGUGUGUGUAUUUACAAAAUUUUAAAAACAUAUAUAGAUAUAGAUAUAGAUAUAGAUAUAUAUAGGUGCGUAUAUACAUUGUAGAAUAUAUUGAAAAUAUAUGUAUAUAUGAAUUAUAAAUAUAGGAAAUAUAUACAAGGAAAAUAUAGAUUUUAAAAUAGAUAGAAUAUGUAUAUAUAUAUAAGUAUAUAAAAAAUGUAUAUGGAUAUAUGAACAUAUUUUUGAAAUUAUGAAACAGAAGUGUGUAUAAAAUUAUGGAAAUAUGAAAAGUAUAUACAUGUAUACAUAUUUUAAAAUUAUUAUACAUGAAAGUAUAUGUAAAUAUGUAUUAAAAUAUUAGAUAUGUAGAUAUAUAAAAAUUAUGAAAAAGAUAAAAGUAUGUGUAUAUAUAUAUAUUUAUAAAAAUUAAAAUAUGUACAUGUAUAAAUAUAUAUAUAUAUUAUAGAAAUGUGUAUAUAUAACAAAAUUUGAGAUUAAAGUUAAAAAUGAGUAAAUAGUGAUAAUAAUAAUAAUAAUAAUAAUAAUAAUAAUAAUAAUAAUAAUAAUCAAUGCUAAUAUAAAAUCAAUGACGAUAGUAUUAAUAAUAUUUAAACAAUUAAUCUAAUAGUAAAAUGACUAAAGUAACAGAUUGAGGAUUGAAUUAAAAAAAAACAAAGUUUUAGGGCUGAAUUGAAAAAGGAAAACAUAAAAAGGGAUUUAAUUAUAACGCGCGUGAAAAUAAGAGGAACAAAAGAGAAAUAAUCCCUGUCCUUUAAAAACGACACCGCUUUAGGGGCAGCGUCUACACAUGGUCUAAGGACCCAAAUUAAAUCGGAAGCAAACUUUGUGGCCAAAAUCAAAAAUAAAAAAGAGAUCGCAUUGAACACGCCGCAAAGGAGAAGGGGCCUAUAGCGAAAUAUCCCCCUAAAGCAAAACACGCGGAUCCUUCCCCUGGGUCAGGGCCAAAACGACGUCGUUUUGGCACCUGACCCCUAGUUGCAAACCGGCGCCGUUUCAUACUUAGUAUAAAUAUAAAAAAACCCCAAAAAAAUACAGUUUCAUCUUUCUUUUUUUAAAAAACUGAGAGCAAAGCUCUCUCUCUCUCUUUCUCUCUCAGGCCUCUAAUCCGGCCAUGGUUAUCGGCCGUAGCGCCACCGUCGUAUCGCCACCGUGGAUGGUGGUCGAUAUUACACAAAAGAAGCAUUUCAGCUCCGUUUCAAAGAGCACAUAAAGCCCAAAAGAAGAAAAUCUUCACCACCCUUUUAAAACUGAUUCUGACGCCAAAAGGAGCUUCCGACGCCGUGGCCAUGGGAUCCUUUAGGUGAGUUUUCCUUGUUUUCCUUUAUUUUCAUGUACAAAAUGUAAAAAGAAGAAAAAAAUGAAUAAAUAAAUAAAGAAGAAAAAAUUAAAAAAAUGAAAAAGUCACAUCUAUUAUAUUGCUUUGUGUUCUUUUUAGAAGAAAUCGAAAAAAAAGGGAAGCUAAAAUAUAGAGAUAAUAAUCAGUUUUUAUAGCCAAUUUCAACAACUAUUUAUGUUUCUAUUUUAUUGUUUUUGCUAUUUGGUUUCUUUUCACUGUUACGUUGUCUUGUCUUGCAGGUGUCAGAGGAGCUGAUGGAGCAGGUGGGUGAAACAGUGGCGGUGGAGGCUGGUAGGUCAAGGGUCAGAAGACCCUAGUUGCGGCGCACCUAGGGUUAGGUUUAGUUGUUUUUGCUAAUAGUGGGCUUGUUGGGCUGAAUUGGGCUAGGUCUAGGUGGGUUUGGUAUUUGGGCUUAUAAUAGGUUAUUUGGGUAUUGUGUAGAUUUGGGUUUGUUAGGCCCUGGGUAAAUUUGGGCUAUACAGCUACCCCUCUUUGCUUCAUUGUUGUGUAACGGGAAUGAAGCAAAGACUAAAAAAGACCAAAUUUGCCCGGUCUCGCCGAGUUUUGACGCUUCUCUUCAAGUAGCUUCAUUCCAGCCUACUGCAUCUUGUUUCUUCGAUCCACUCCACUGCACUUCAAGGAGAUACGGCUCGUAGCUUCAAUCCACUCUGCUGCAACUUCAGGGGGACGAGAUUCAUGGUUUUAGUCUGCUCCACUGCAACUUCAAGGAGAUAGAAUUGAUUUCUUUUGUCUGCUCCACUACUGCUUAGGGAAAUAAUACAUGAUGCGAUCUACUCUACUGCAACUUUCGAGAGGUAAGAUCUGUGGUUUUAAUCCGCUUCACUGUAACUUCAGGGAGAUAGGAUUAAUUUCUUCUAUCUGCUCCGCUACUGCUUAGGGAGAUAAGACUUGAUGCGAUCUACUUUACUACAACUUCAGAGAGAUAAGAUCUGUGGUUUUAAUCCGUUCCACUGUAAAUUUAGAGAGAUAGGAUUGAUUUCUUCUGUCUGCUCCACUACUGCUUAGGGAGAUAAGACUUGAUGCGAUCUACUCUACUGCAACUUCAGAGAGAUAAGAUCUGUGGUUUUAAUCCACUUUACUGCAACUUCAGGGAGAUAGGAUUAAUUUCUUCUGUCUGCUCCACUACUGCCUAUGGAGAUAAGACUUGAUGCGAUCUACUUUACUGCAACUUCAGAGAGAUAAGAUCUCUGGUUUUAAUCUGCUCCACUGCAACUUUAGGGAGAUAGGAUUAAUUUCUUAUGUCUGCUCCACUACUGCUUAGGGAGAUAAGACUUGAUGCGAUCUACUCUACUGCAACUUCAGAGAGAUAAGAUCUGUGGUUUUAAUUCACUCCACUACAACUUCAGGGAGAUAGGAUUGAUUUCUUCUGUCUUCUCCACUACUACUUAGGGAGAUAAGACUUGAUACGAUCUACUCUACUGCAACUUCAGAGAGAUAAGAUCUGUGGUUUUAAUCCGCUCUACUGCAACUUCAGAGAGAUAGGAUUAAUUUCUUCUGUCUGCUCCACUACUGCUUAGGGAGAUAAGAUUUAAUGCAAUCUACUCUACUGCAACUUCAGAGAGAUAAGAUCUGUGGUUUUGAAUCCGCUCCACUAUAACUUUAGGGAGAUUGGAUUGAUUUCUUCUGUCUUCUCCACUACUGCUUAGGGAGAUAAGACUUAAUGCGAUGUACUCUACUGCAACUUCAGAGAGAUAAGAUCUAUGGUUUUAAUCCGUUCCACUGCAACUUCAGGAAGAUAGGAUUGGUGGCUUAAAUCUGCUUCCUACUACCUCAAGAAGAUAAGAUUCACCGUCUUCGAUCUGUUCCACUACUGCUUAGGGAGAUCAGAUCUGUAAUUUUCAACCUACUCCACUGCUACUUAGGGAGAUAAGGCUGGUGCUUCCGAUCUGAUUUACUUCCAGUAUAGGAAGGCAAGAUCUAAAAUCUUCAGUCUACUUCACUGGCAAUACAGGAAGACAAGACUUGCUAUCUUCAGUCUACUUCGCUGCCAACUCAGGGAGGUGAGGCUGGUGUUUUCGAUCUACUUCGCUGCCAAUACAGAAAGACAAGAUCUGCUAUUUUUACUCCGCUCUGCUGCAAACUCAGGGAGGUGAGGCUGGUGUCUUCAAUCUGUUUCACUACCGGUACAUGAAGACAAAAUCUACUAUCUUCUUUAAUCCAUUCCACCGUAACUUCAGUGGUAUAGGAUUUGUGGCUUCACAGAUAUGUUCUAGGGAACGUAACCUGUAAAAUCUAUUUUAUGGACUUAUUUAUGCCUAGUGAUUAGGAUGUUAUGAUCAGAAUGAAUUAAAUGCUCUUAACUAGAUUUGUAUGAAUGAUGAAUGCAGAAUGCCAUUUUUCGAAAAUGAUCCCUCUUUAAUGCUUAGGUUGGCAUUACUCGCUGUUUAUUAGGGCUUUAUCACUGACACGUCAGAAUGCCAUCUUGUUCAGUUGGUAUUUCUAAAGAAAUACUCACAGAUUGCCCCCACUGUAAUCCUCCAGAUUUAAUCCACUGGGACAUAAAAUUUGUACCAUCUUCCUCCCAUUAUGAUUCAGAAGUAGAAAGUUUAGCUUUUCUCAAUCCUCUGUUAUCACAAAUCAAGGUUACAACAUCUGAAUCUCUUUGGCCUUACACUAUUCCCAAGGUGUCAUACCAAAUGUUUAUACACAAUUGUAGAACUUCUCUUCCGAGAAACCUUUUCUUAUCAUUCGGUGAUCAUUACUGGUUUGUUCAUUGAAGCUUUGUCACCAACAGAACAUCUUGUCAUUUUGUUCCAUCAAUGUUUGGACAACAAAAUCUAAAAGGAUGGUCUUAAUGGACUUUUCCUUCUUAGAUAUUUCAACCUUUAAACUUGGUGUGUUCUAAACAAUAGUCCUGUUUUAUGGUCCUAUAUUAUUUAGAAACUUCUAGAGUAAUAUGCAAAACUUCCCUUGUGAAAGUAUUAUUAGUCCAUUAAUCAUUAUUCCAAUGCAACAUGUUUGCAAAAGAUCAAAACAAUGAUAAAAAUAGAAUUAAUUUCGGAGCAUGACUCGAAAUGAAUAAAUUAUCAAGGAUAGUAAAAAUAAAAGAGGAAUGAAUUGGUAACAUGUAUCUUGAAAAGAAAGAGUAUUCCAAGAACAAUAAAUUCAAUAGUAUGAAGAUUAGGUGCCCUAGAUAUCACAGCUUCAACUUCUCUGUACAAACUUUCUAAAGACCUUUCUGAGUUUGACAUGUGUUUAGGAGAUCUACAUUUCUUUGUCGAUGCCCCAAGAUGUCCCCUACCCUUUCUUGUUGAUUCAGGUAUAGCAAGAUCACCACAUGCCCCAUUCUGGUCAAAAUUUGGCUGCUCUGAUCACCUCAUGUCCCAUUCUGAUCAAAAUUUGAGCUGCCCUUUUUGGGUUUUCAACUCAAAUCCCCUUUGGUCUCAAGGCACCCUUUGCGGGUUUUCACCUUAGCCUCUCUUUUUUUCUUUUUCUUUGUUUUUCUUUUCUUUCUUUCUUUUUUUGACUCAAAGCGCCCUUUGCAGGUUUUCACCUUGGUUUUCUUUUUUUUAGGACUCAAGGUGCCCUUUGCAGGUUUUCACCUUGGUUUCUUCUUUUUCAGGUAAAGUCAUUCUUGACUGAAUUUGAAUUCACCGGAUUGGGCAAGUCUUUGGCAUCCAUCUCGGUCAAUAUUAGUGCUCCUCCAGAACAAGCCUUCUUUACAACAUAAGGUCCUUCCCAAUUUGGCAUCCACUUUCCUUUAAAAUCCUUUUUGUAUAAGAAGGAUGUUUUUCAACAUUAGGUUCCCCUCGUGGAAUUCUCUAGGAUGAACCUCUUUGUCGUAAACUCGCAUCAUCUGACCAUGACGGAUAGCUUUUAACAUUCCCUAAACCAAUGGGCCAAGUGUUGCCCCGGCAAAGAUCCCGGCCGACGUUUGAUGAUCAUAGAGGGUGAAUGGUAACUUCCUUAUACCAAUCUUUACAAGUCUCGGUCAUCUUUCUCACGAUCCUUAUUUUAUUUUUUCUUUUUUGGCUGCCUACGGCGUCUGAUCUUUGAACAGAAUACAAACUUCUGACAUUGUCCUUUUUGGCAUUCUUUAUCCGCUCCUGAUCUCUUUUUUUUUUGAAAUCAGAAUUUAAUGAUUUCGACCUUGUAACAUUGGUAUAUGAAGCUAUUUCCACCCUCUUAAUGAAGUAAUCAAAGACCACAAAGAUGAAUCGAUAUUGGCUAAAAACUUUUGACGAGAUUGGCCCCAUCAAAUCCAUGCCCCACAUAUGGAAAAUUUGUGAAGAAAUAGAGGGGGAACAUAGGUUUCAUCUUCCUCAAAUUGGUAUUUACGGCAUAACUGAUGUAAUCCCCUUCCAUGGUGGACUAGCAAUACUGAAACCUCGUGAUUAACGUGGCUAUAAUAAAACCAUUUGUAUGUAUCCAUCUGACACACUUAUGGAUCUUUUAGCCUUAACAGCAUCCACAGGUCUUAGUAAGCCAGAUAUCUUGAUAUGAUUGUGCAAAAACAUCUUUGAAUUCUUAGAAUGAUGUUUCGCUUUGUUUCUGAUGGGUGUCGAGUCCACCAAUAUAAACCUACGCCUAAUUUGCAAUUUAAACAGUAUAGGGAGUAGGGUCGAUCCCUCAGAGACUGGGUUUACUGCAAAUUGUUCCUCUCUUGACCAGAUUUUUGUCAGGGCAGUUUUCGUGCCCAAGAAAUUCGGGGGGAUAAAAUUUGAAACCUGAAAUAAAUAAAUAAAAAGCGUAAAAAGUAAAAGUUGAAGACAAAAUAAUAAAAAUAGUUAAAUAAAGUCUAAAGGAGAAUUAAUUAAAAUAAGCUCAACUUUAGGCACGACUUUUUCCUCGUCUUUGAACUGAUCCUCGAAAUUAGAUGAACUCCACUUUUCCAAUAAGCUAGUUAUAGCUACCAAGGACGCCUCGGACGCCAACUCUUCCUUGUGUAAAUUAGUUAUAGAACGUCUUAUAACUAACUCUUAUCGAUCAAAAAACCACGAAACAUUCGUGAUUUAGAACUCCGGCAGCUUUGCGUUCUAGAAGAGCCUAGCUUGAACCAAUGUCCUCAACCGCGUGGGACAUUUAAAUCUGGUUACUACUUCCAUUGAUGGAACCAAACAACAAUCUCUACUUGGCACGCCAAUGUGUUCACAGAAAACCGAUUAGAAACGUUUCUUUCGGAAUUCCAACUGUAUGUCUAACCACAAUAAAUCAAACGACAUCUUUUUUGACUUAAUGUUGAUCUGACUUUGUGAGUUAACAAAAUCAUACUCUUAAUCUGGAGAAAUAAUAAGUACUAAAAUUUAGGAGUUAAAUUGCUCGGGUUCGUAACUCACGAAUUUUGUCGAGGUUAAUUCCGACCUAAAGCUGAAAAUGGGUUUAGUUAACUAAGGUUUGAGGCAUGUUGAUUAUUGGAUAAAUUAAAUAAGGUAAAAUCGGUGGUUGGCUACUGGAAAUAAAAAGGGAAUUCGAAAAAGGGAUUGCAAAUGGCUUAAGUUGAUGGCUACUAAGAAUUAAUAAAUUGAAGGAAAAAAACUAAAGGCAGCAAAUGAAUUCGUGACAAGAAAAGAGAAAAUGUAUUGAAAGAUGAAAGCUUAAUAUUUUGAUUGAUGAUUAAAAUGAACAAUGUAACAUCUAUUUAUACUAGUGGCAUUGCUAAAUUAAGAGCCACUAUCAUAGAAAAUCAAGGAAAAAUAUUCUAUGAUAUAAAAAAUCCCAAAAUAAUCUCCCACUAAGUCAACAAAAAUUUCAGCUACUUAAUCUUCGAAAAAUUCUUCUUUAGUCCUCCUUCUUUUCUUCUUUUUUCAAUUUAGCCCAAUUUUUUCAUUGUUUUUUAUUUAGCCCCAAAUUGCAUCCCUGCACAAAAUUCAAUAAAAACAUGGAAAAAUUAGUGGUGCAUUCUCAUAAAUUAACCAAUUUAAUUACAUAAAAUAUGUAACUUUAGCAUUUAAUCAAAUCCCCCUACUUAGCAUAUGUUAGUUCUUGAGCAUUAUGCAUGUAUCUGCAAAAGGAAAAAUUUCUUCCAAAAUAGGACUUGACCCUCAUGGUUUGCACAAUUCAACAAUUUAAUCCUAGCACAUUAACAUCUCAAAUAACCUAGCACAAUAAGUAAGUAAAUAUAUUUCAGAAUUUAUUAGAGCUUGAUAGGCUUACCUUUCAUUUUAUUAUUUUUUACUUAGGACAUUUUCGGAUUUUUUGACGCGAGACAUGAUGACAACCCAAGCACCAUGUUCCGGUUACUCAAUUCGGACAUCUCUAAGUGGGUUAUUUCGCCCUACUCAUGAUAACUUGUUAGCGGAGUGAGUGCAAAGAAAUUGGACAGCCACACAAACCUUUUUACGCGAGAUGUGAUGACAACCCAAGCACCACGUUCUGGUUACUCAGCCCGAUGUACAACCCCAAUUUUUCACUCUUAACAUUCGUAUCAGAGGAGUAUUAUUAUUAUUAUUAUUAUUAUUAUUAUUAUUAUUAUUAUUAUUAUUCUCCCCUUUUUUUAUUGAAAGAUGAAAGGUAGGCAGUCAAGCAAACUCAUAAUUCCCAAAAAUUUCUUACCCACUAAGUCUAGGUUAUUGAAAAGUUGUAUGUGUAAAGAACUAAAUAGCUAAAUAGGUCAAACCAUAAGUGUACCAUCCCAACUUAUCAAAAGAAAAAUUUUACCUUUUACCGAAAACAUGCAAAAAUAGCGAUGACAGAUAAGCAAAUUAGAACCAACUUAUGUUUCCCUCCCCCUACUUAUUUUACAUUGUCCCAAUGUAAUUUAAAGAAUAAAAGUAAAGAUAAGUAGGAGACGGAGAGAAAAAGAAACUCCCAUGUAUUUCAACGUCGUGGAGGGUGGUCUCGUAGGUAGAGCAGGCCUUGGCUGAAAUAAAAAGAAUUUUGUGGGUUGACAUGUGGAAUUUAAUUUUGUCUUGGAAUCUUUUCCUGCAAAAAUAAAAAUAAAAAUGAAAAUAAAAUAAAAUAGUAAAUAAUAAUAAUAGCAAAAUUAAAAUGUUUUUUUUUUCAAAUUUAUUAGCUAAGCUAUAAACUCGAGAAAUAAAUUAUUAAAAACCAAGAUUACAAGAUUUGGUAAAACAGUCGUGAUAAAUGCACCAAGUAAGUUCCUAAGAAAGACAGGUGAGUCACAAUGGAAUACUUAAGUACCAAGUCUUUCCUUAGACAGAACUAAUCCUCGACAUGCAUUUUCAUUUUCCGUUUUACCAAAAAUUUUAUUUGCAUAAAGGAAAAGAAAAUUUGGGUUGCCUCCCAACAGCGCUUGUUUAAUGUCGUUUGCUCGACGACCUAUUAUUCAAAUUCUUUAUCCAUUUGUAAUAGACUGCAAAGCAGUUGCACGAUCUUCGAGAAGUAUUUUAUGAAUUGUCUGUAAAAUCCGUACACCUUGAAGUCAUCCAUGAAAACUUCAAUGAUUUUCUCGACAUAAUUGGAGAAUAUGCUCAACAUGCAUCUCUGGAAAGUGGUCGGAGCAUUACAGAGUCCAAACGGUAUUCGCCUAUAUGCAAAUGUUCUGAAAGGGCACGUGAAAAUUAUUUUGUCUUGAUCCUCCGGAGCCACUGGAAUUUGGAAAAAUCCUAAAUAUCCAUCGAGACAACAAUAAUGGGUCUUACCAGCUAAUCACUCGAGCAUUUGAUCGAUGAAGGGAAGUGGAAAAUGGUCUUUUCGAGUAGCUGCAUUCAAGUUCCUGUAAUCGAUGCAAACCCUCCAUCCAUUCUGGAUUCGAGUAGGGACCAGCUCUCCUGAUGAGUUUUUCACUAUUGUCAUACCAGUUUUCUUGGGCACGACAUGAACCGGGCUAACCCAAUCACUGUCAGAGAUCAGGUAUAUCAUUCCAGCAUCCAACAGUUUCUGGAUCUCUUUCUUUACUCCUCCAUCAUGGGUGGAUUAAGGCACCUCUGAGUGUCUCUCUUUGGUUUUGUGUUAUCUUUGAUGGAAAUUCUGUGCAUACAGGUAGAUGAGCUUAACCCUUUUAUGUCGGCUAUUGUCCAACCUAUAGCCUCUUUAUAAUUCCUCAGAACUCGAACUAGACUUUUCUCAUCAUCUUUGGUUAGUUUGUUUGACACUAUCAUCGGUAAGGUGUCUUUCUCUCCCAAAAAGACAUACUUAAGGUGGUCCGGUAAUGCUUUAAGCUCCAAAGUUGGUGGCUGCAAAACAGAAGGCAACAUUUUAAUUUGGGAAGGUAAUAGUUCAAACUGGUUACCUCGAUUCGUCAACGAUGGUUGCAUCUCCAAGUGUUUGACAAUUUCUCGCAACGGAUCUUCUAUAAUUGAUAACUUUUCGAGACGACUUAAAACAUCCAUGUCAAUGCUUCUGUAAAGGACAGUUUCCAACUCAUCAAGGUCAUGAUAUUCAGAAUAAGUUUGAGUUAAACAAUCCAUAAUAUCGAUACUAGAAAUAUUUGAUAAUGAGUUAGGAUGACUCAUGGCUUCGUAGGCAUUGAAUUUCACAAUUUUGCCAUCAAACUCCAUUGUCAAUGUUCCACUCUGAACAUUAAUUUUUGCGAUUGCGGUACUUAGAAACGACCUUCCAAGUAAAAUGUCAGACGAAUUAGUUGAGUUAUCAUCCUCCAAAUUAAUAAUGUAGAAAUCUGUAGGGAAAACUAAUUCGUUAACUUUAACAAGGACUUCUUCAAGCAACCCUUCGGGAUAGAUGACUGACCUGUCUGCCAACUGGAUUAUUACUCCUGUCUUUUUCAAAGGACAUGCGUUAAUCAACUUAUAAAUAGGAUAAGGCAGAACAUUAAUGGAAGCCCCUAAAUCACACAGGGCUUUCUUAAUGCCUACAUUACCUAUCUCACAAGAAAUAGCAAACAUACCUUGGUCCUUGUAUUUGGGCGGAACUUUCUUUUGCAGUACUGCGGAGACAUUUUCUCCUACAUUUACGCUUUCGUUACCUAUUAACCUCCUCUUGCUAGUACACAGUUCCUUGAGGAUUUUACAUAAUGGGGGAUUUGUUUGAUAGUGUCGAGCAAAGGGAUAUUUACCUCCGCCUUCCUGAAUGUCUCGAGGAUUUCUUUUUCCUCAUUCUCUUUCUUAUCCUUUGUGAGCCUCCCUGGAAAAAGAGGUGGCAUCACAACUGGUUUCUAAAUUUCUGAUUCUGGGCUGGCUUUUGGAUCAGAGAUCUACUCUUCUCGUUCAUUGUCUUGCCCAUGACUUUUGUCUGGAACUGUUUCCAAAAUUUUUCCGCUAUGAAGAGUUAUUGCACUUGCAUUCAGUCGAGGAUUCGGCUCUGUCUGGGAAGGUAAUUUACCUUGAGAUUCCAAACGAUUAACUGCCAUCGAGAUUUUACUAACUUGAUUAGUUAACUCUUGUAUUUAUGCGUCUAUCAUUUGUUGGUAUUUUGCAGCAUCAACGGCAAGUCUUUCCGUAAUAGCUUCUAGAGAUAUGCUCGGCUUGGGUGGCGGUUACAGUGGUUGCAGAGGUCUCGGUUGGCAUGAUGGAUUAUAUCAGGGAUUAGCUCCGUAAUUCAAGUUCGGAUGAUCCUUCCACUCAGGAUUGUAGGUGUUGGAGAAAGGAUCAUAGCGUCUUUGCAGAGGUCCCAGAAAGCCUCCGACAGCCUCGACAUGUGCCGUUGAAUUUUUGUUAAGGAUUGGGCACAAAUCUAUCGGAUGUUCAGACGUAGUACAUAUUCCACACAGUUGGGUCAGAUUUUUCUUUUCUAUAAGCAUAGAUUGAACAAUAGGAAUAAGCUUAUCCAAUUUAUCUUUUAAGGAUGAAACGUUUACCCCAUUAACUCGUCUUGUGGGUUCUGAAUUUGGCCGAUACUGUUGCAAAUUUAUCGCCAUGGUGGAUAUCAGUUCUCUUGCCCUUUGAGGAGUCAUAUUGACAAGCACCCCUCCACUAGCAGCGUCAAUCAUCUUCAUUUCAAUAGAGAGCAAACCCUCGUAGAAAUACUGAAGAAAUGAUUGCUCGGUCAAACCGUGUUGAGGAUAACUUGCAUACAGUUUUUUGUAUUGUUCCCAAUAGUCGUAGAGCGAUUCACUCUCCAUUUGGUGAAUUCCCACUAUGUCUCUUCUAAGUUCAACUGCUCGUGAUGCUGGGAAGAAUCUAUCAAGAAAAACACGAGAUAAGUCAUCCCACCUUGUAAUAGAACUGAGGGUAAGUAAAAUAACCAUUAUUUUACUGUAUCAACUAAAAAAAAAGGAAAGGACCGAAAUUUAAUUUCAUCUACGGUUACUACCUAUGGUUUCAUGCUUGAGCAGACUAUAUGGAAUUCUUUCAAGUGAGUGUGUGGAUUUUCAUUCUUCAAGCCUCGAAAAGUGGGCAAAAGGUGAAUUAGGCUUGACUUCAACUCGUAUGGGGUUUCUCCGAUUGGAUAGUUGAUGCAUAACGGUGUUUGCUCGUUGGGACCAGCAGUUAGUUGACGAAUGGUUCGGUUUGCCAUCCUUUCUGGUUCACCGACUUCUGCUUCUUUUGUUUCAAAAAGUGGUUCGGUCUCAGGAUCAACCACUUCGACUUGUUUCUACGUCGAAUUACCUCUGCACGAAUUGCUUGGCUCAACCUUUCGACGUCGGAUUCUAGGAUCCCUUGUCCUAGCUCAACUUCUGAUUUACUUGCAUGUUUAAGAGCUUUUGUCACUUUUCGUUGUGCUCAUUCUGAUUUCUCGAUCUCUGGCUCGUAUUCAAAUCUUCGGAUGAAGAUCUGGUCAUGAAGAUGAUUUAAUCAAUUGUAAGUGUUGCCAUUCCCCGGUAAUGGAGCCAAAAAUGAUAGGUGUCGAGUCCACCAAUAUAAACCUACGCCUAAUUUGCAAUUCAAGCAGUAUAGGGAGUAGGGUCGAUCCCUCAGAGAUUGGGUUUACUGCAAAUUGUUCCUCUCGUGACCAGAUUUUUGUCGGGGCAGUUGUCGUGCCCAAUAAAUUCGGGGGGAUAAAAUCUGAAACCUGAAAUAAAUAAAUAAAUAAAAAGCGUAAAAAGUAAAAGUUGAAGACAAAAUAAUAAAAAUAGUUAAAUAAAGUCUGAAGGAGAAUUAAUUAAGCUCAGCUUUAGGCACGACUUUUUCCUCGUCUUUGAACCGAUCCUCAAAAUUAGAUGAACUCCACUUUUCCAAUAAGCUAGUUAUAGCUACCAAGGACGCCUCGGACACCAACUCUUCCUUGUGUAAAUUAGUUAUAGAAUGUCCUAUAACUAACUCUUACCGAUCAAAAAACCACGAAACAUUCGUGAUUUAGAACUUCGGCAGCUUUGCGUUCUAGAAGAGCCUAGCUCGAACCAAUGUCCUCAACCGCGUGGGACAUUUAAAUCUGGUUACUACUUCCCUUGACGGAACCAAACAACAAUCUCUACUUGGCACGCCAAUGUGUUCACAGAAAACCGAUUAGAAACGUUUCUUUCGGAAUUCCAACUGUACGUCUAACCACACUAAAUCAAACGAUGUCUUUUUUGACUUAAUGUUGAUCUGACUUUGUGUGUUGACAAAAUCAUACUCUUAAUCCGGAGAAAUAAUAAGUACUGAAAUUUAGGAGUUAAAUUGCUCGGGUUCGUAACUCACGGGUUUUGACGAGGUUAAUUCUGACCUAAAGCUGAAAUGGGUUUAGUUAACGAAGGUUUGGGGCAUGUUGAUUAUUGGAUAAAUUAAAUAAGAAUGGGUGGUUGGCUACUGGAAAUAAAAAGGGAAUUGGAAAAAGGGAUUGCAAAUGGCUUAAGUUGGUGGCUACUAGGAAUUAAUAAAUUGAAGGAAAAAAACUAAAGGCAGCAAAUGAAUUCGUGACAAGAAAAGAGAAAAUGUAUUGAAAGAUGAAAGCUUAAUAUUUUGAUUGAUAAUUAAAAUGAAUAAUGUAGCAUCUAUUUAUACUAGUGGCCUUGCUAAAUUAAGAGCCAAUAUCAUAAAAAAUCAAGGAAAAAUAUUCCAUGAUAUAUAAAAAACCGCAAAAUAAUCUCCCACUAAGUCAACAAAAAUUUCAGCUAAUUAAUCUUGGAAAAAUUCUUCUUUAGUCCUCCUUCUUUUCUUCUUUCUUCAAUUUAGCCCAAUUGUUUCCUUUUUCUUCUAUUUAGCCCUAAAUUGUAUCCCUGCACAAAAUUCAAUAAAAACAUGGAAAAAUUAAUGGUGCACUCUAAAAAAUUAACCAAUUUAAUUACAUAAAAUAUGUAACUUUAGCAUUUAAUCAGUUUCAAUGGUAAAACAAGCUCCAAUCUCUUUCUCUUCUCCUAGGCUCAUAAUUUCCACCUGAUUUCUUGUCAAGCAGGAUCUGUUUCUCGACUUGUUCUACUAUCCUUAACAAGUUCGGAAAUAGGCUACAAUCUAUGUCAUCUUCAAAGUCAUGAGAUCCCUCUAAACACAUGUCUCGCUUAAAAAGAGAUUCUGAGUAUGUAGCAGCGUCACUCAUGUCGUUGAUAUUCAAGGACCAAUUGUAUGUACAAAAGAAUAUACAAAGAAUGUAUGAAUUUAUGAAUAAUUAUUUGUACAGUAUGGUUAUGAAUGAAAGAAUGACUUGGAAUAAAAUCCAAAAGAAUAAGCCUUUUUCACAAAAUGAUUACGAAGAUGUAUUAAAAAUAAUGAUGUUCAGACAUAAGCCUUUUUCACAAAGGAGUUCUUAUUGCCUGUAGGCUGAAAGCAACAAGUGCGUUCUGAACAUUACUCCAAGUAAGCUCUAAUUUCUUUUGUAAUUUGAUUAUUUAGAACACUCCCAAGUUUAUAAGGGCGGAUACCUAACAAAGUCCCUUUUCAGUUGCCUUCAUGUAUGACAUUGAUAUGAACAUUUUUUUGACCCCUUCACAGAACUCUAUCUUGUUGGACCUUAGCCAACUGCUCUUGUAUUUGCAGUUGUAGUUGGUCUUGCCUCCCCCUUUGGAGUUGUUCAAGUUUUUCCAAUCUUUAGUCCAUGUUUUUUUGUUCAGGUACCGUAACGAUGCUAAGUCGAUAGACUUUUUUUCAAUUCCCAGGUUAACUAAAAUAAUUUUACCUAAUUAAGGUCCUUUUGUGAAGAUCUAAUACAUAUGAUGAUAUGAUGCAAUGUAAUGCAAAUGCAUUGAAUGAAUGCAAAAAGAAAGAGAGGUAUUGAUUCUAAAUUCAAUUCUAUUAGAACAACUUUUAUAGAAAACAAAUUUCUUUACAUAAAACGGAUUACAUAUGUGGCUUUGCCCUCAUAUUCCAAGCGAAGACAACGAUCCUUUUCUUCAUUCGGAUGUUAAAAUGAAUCACGCAAAUCUUUUAAUGGAUGCCUUUACAAGCUCCUUCUUGAUCUGAGCCGCAACUCAUUGCUCACUCAUCUUCGUGAUGCUCAUUAGCUUCUUUUCAAAAGGUCGGGAUGUUGGCGACUCUCGAAUAAUCUUUGUCAACUUGAAUCCUCGAGCAAUGAAGUAAAGUCGUGUAUUCCUCCACGAACUUUUAGCCUUCUCUCAUUGUGCUUGAUCAGACCAUAUUUGGGCAGUCGGAUUAUAUUCCACUUUAUCAAGAAAUUCGUUUUCCAUGACAAGCUUUUCUAUUUAGCAAUCAAAUUUGAAUCAACACCUCUUUUCUAUGAUGAAAAUGCAAUGCAAUCACAACUAAAACGAAAGAAAGCAGGUUAGUACAAAGCAAAAACAAGCAAGAAAGAAACGAAAAGAGCACCUAUUCGGGUGACCACUAGGGUUUGGCGUGGUUCUACCUAGGGUUGGCUCUUAGGGCUCAUUAUAUGCGGUUUGGUUCUAAAGUAAGGGUACCCGAACUGACAGAUUCCUCGAUCCUCACCUAUUAUAGGUUCAUAUGGACCAAGUUCAGUGCAGGGGGAUACAUUUCUCUAUGGCUACACGGAGAUGAAAAUCUCACGAAGACAUAAGUACGAAUGUAUCCCGAAAGCGAUCUGCUAUCCUGUACGGAGGUGAAUACCUCACGAAGGAAAUAGCUUCUCACUCCCACUUAAAAGAAAAUAAUCAAGCGGUUAUAUAAUGCAAUAUGCAGAAACAUAUAAAAAAUAUACAAACCAAUAGAGUAAUUACAAACCGAAGUAAUAAUCGUUACAAAACGGACGAAAUACAACAAAAUGAUCGUAUAUUUAAACCAAGUUUUCAGGUGACCUCUAGGUAUUUGGUGUGGUUCUACCUAGGGUAGGCUCUUAAGGCUCAUUAUAUGCUGUUCGGUUCUAAAGUAAGGGUACCUGAACCAACAGAUUCCUCAAUCGUCACCCAUUAUAGGCUCAUACGGACUGAGUUCAGUUUAGGGGAAUACAUUUCCCUACGGCCAUGCGAAGAUGAAAAUCUCACGAAGACAUAGGUACGGAUGUAUCCUGGAAGCGAUUCACUAUCCCAUGUGGAGGUGAAAACCUCACGAAGGCGUAGUUUCUCACUCCCACUUAGAAAAGUAUGACCGAGUGGUCAUGCAAUGCAAUGCGCAGAAAUAUAUCCAAACUUAACACAACGUUUAUAAAUCACAAUGAUGAAGAUCGUAAUAAAAACGAAUGAAAAUUCAACGAAAGGAUCGUAUAUUUAAAUCAAAUUCUUGAUUUUCGACAAAAAGAUAAAAAGUAAUGAGCACGUGGCUAGACUCUCUUUUUAUGUCCCCAGUGGAGUUACCAAGCUGUUGACACCAUUUUUUGAUAAAAACGAGGUCGACUUGAAUUUUGAAAAUGAAAAUUAAAAUGGGAGUCGCCACCGAUCCUUUUUGAUGAGGUGUGAUCGGGUCACCUCGAAAAGUGGUUAUUUUUAAUAAACAAUUUGAUUUUAUUAAAACAAUGAUUUUGGUCCACGAAAUUCAAAAAAAAAGGUUCGGGAGUCGGUUACGUACAAGGAAGGAUUAACACCCUCGUAACGCCCAAAAAUUGGUACCUAGUUGAUUAGUUAAUGUCUUCUUAAUGUCGAAAAUUGAAAACUUUGAAGAAUUUUAAAAAUACGAUCUUUAAUUUUUUUUUUAAAAGAAAGCUUAUAUAAAUCAAGUUACUCGUUAAGACCCUCCCAUUUCAAGAGGAGAAAACGUCACACCCAAUGCGUUAGGACAUGAUAUUUUACUUCUUCAGAAAUGAUCUUGUCUAAAAACUUGCACAAUAAAAUUUAAAAGGGUAUUCAAUUGUUUAAAUCAUGUGAAAAAUUGCAACCCAAUACGUUAGGACACAAUUUAAACAUUGAAUAUUGCAUUUACUUUGAAAAAUCCUCGUCUUGAGAAAACAACAUGUCAUAUCCAAUACGUUAGGACACAACGUAUUGAAUUCUCGAUAAUGAGCUUUUUAUUUUUUUAUAAAACAGUGUAGUCUCGAUUAUUUAGAUUCAAUGAAAAAAAUCAAAACCCAAUACGUUAGGGCUCGAUUCUCUCAAAGAUCCCAAAUACCGAGUAUUACUUAUAUUUUUAAAAAUUCUUUUUUUUUUUUGAAUCUGGGUAAAAAUUGAUGUAAUGGAAUGACAAUUAUGAUGAUGUAAGUAAAAUAAUACGAGCAAGGGCUACAAAAUAAGAUAAAUACAAGGACAAAUCAAUAGCAUACAUGAAGUGAUAAGUAAAUAAACAAAUAGAACGACAAUACUUUUCAAAAUAAUAAUGAACACAUAAAUAAAUAAAUCAAAUAAGACAAUAAUAACCAUAAUGAAAAUAAAUGAAAUUAUAAAAAUAAAAUAAAAAUCUAUGUAUAUAUAACAAAAUUUGAAAAUAGUAAAUAUAUAUAUGUACAUCUAUGUAUAUGUAUAUAAAAUUAUGUAAUAUAUAUAAAAAAUACAUAGAAGUAUAUAUAUGUGUGUGUAUUUACAAAAUUUUAAAAACAUAUAUAGAUAUAGAUAUAGAUAUAGAUAUAUAUAGGUGCGUAUAUACAUUGUAGAAUAUAUUGAAAAUAUAUGUAUAUAUGAAUUAUAAAUAUAGGAAAUAUAUACAAGGAAAAUAUAGAUUUUAAAAUAGAUAGAAUAUGUAUAUAUAUAUAAGUAUAUAAAAAAUGUAUAUGGAUAUAUGAACAUAUUUUUGAAAUUAUGAAACAGAAGUGUGUAUAAAAUUAUGGAAAUAUGAAAAGUAUAUACAUGUAUACAUAUUUUAAAAUUAUUAUACAUGAAAGUAUAUGUAAAUAUGUAUUAAAAUAUUAGAUAUGUAGGUAUAUAAAAAUUAUGAAAAAGAUAAAAGUAUGUGUAUAUAUAUAUAUUUAUAAAAAUUAAAAUAUGUACAUGUAUAAAUAUAUAUAUUAUAGAAAUGUGUAUAUAUAACAAAAUUUGAGAUUAAAGUUAAAAAUGAGUAAAUAGUGAUAAUAAUAAUAAUAAUAAUAAUAAUCAAUGCUAAUAUAAAAUCAAUGACGAUAGUAUUAAUAAUAUUUAAACAAUUAAUCUAAUAGUAAAAUGACUAAAGUAACAGAUUGAGGCUUGAAUUAAAAAAAACAAAGUUUUAGGGCUGAAUUGAAAAAGGAAAACAUAAAAAGGGAUUUAAUUAUAACGCGCGUGAAAAUAAGAGGACCAAAAGAGAAAUAAUCCCUGUCCUUUAAAAACGGCACCGCUUUAGGGGCAGCGUCUACACAUGGUCUAAGGACCCAAAUUAAAUCAGAAGCAAACUUUGUGGCCAAAAUCAAAAAUAAAAAAGAGAUCGCAUUGAACACGCCGCAAAGGAGAAGGGGCCUAUAGCGAAAUAUCCCCUAAAGCAAAACACGCGGAUCCUUCCCCUGGGUCGGGUCACCGCACGGGUCAGGGCCAAAACGACGUCGUUUUGGCACCUGACCCCUAGUUGCAAACCGGCGCCGUUUCAUACUUAGUAUAAAUAUAAAAAAAACCCCCAAAAAAUACAGUUUCAUCUUUCUUUUUUUUAAAAACUGAGAGCAAAGCUCUCUCUCUCUCACCGUGGACGGUGGUCGAUAUUACACAAAAGAAGCAUUUCAACUCCGUUUCAAAGCGCACAUAAAGCCCAAAAGAAGAAAAUCUUCACCACCCUUUUAAAACCGAUUCCGACUCCGAAAGAAGCUUCCGACGCCGUGGCCGUGGGAUCCUUUAGGAUAGUUUUCCUUCUUUUCCUUUAUUUUCAUGUAGAAAAUGUAAAAAGAAGAAAAAAUGAAUAAAUAAAUAAAUAAAGAAGAAAAAAAAUUAAAAAAUGAAGAAGUCACCUCUGUUAUAUUGCUUUGUGUUCUUUUUUAGAAUAAAUCGAAAAAAAAAAGGGAAGCUAAAAUACAGAGAUAAUAAUCGGUUUUUAUAGCCGAUUUCAACAACUCCUUCUGUUUCUAUUUUAAUGUUUUUGCUAUUUGGUUUCUUUUCUCUGCUACGCUGUCUUGUCUUGCAGGUGUCAGAGGAGCUGAUGGAGCAGGUGUGCGAAACAGUGGCGGUGACAGAGGCGGUGGCAAAUGCGCAGCGAUGGCGGCUGGUAGGUCAUGGGUCAGAAGACCCUAUGUGCGGCGCACCUAGGGUUAGGUUUAGUUGUUUGUUUUUGCUAAUAGUGGGCUUGUUGGGCUGAAUUGGGCUAGGUCUAGAUGGGUUUGGUAUUUGGGCUUAUAAUAGGUUAUUUGGGUAUUGGGUAGGUUUGGGUUUGUUGGGCCCCGGGUAAAUUUGGGCUGUAUAAUAUAUAUAGUGGAAAUAAAAUUUUAACAAAAAAAAGGUGAAACCAAUAAAAAUAUACACAUUUUGAUUAUGUAAAAAGGGAUGAAUUAAGUGACUAGAAUAUAAUGGAAGGAUCAUAUAAAGGUGAAACCAAUCAAAAUAUACAUAUUGAAUAUGAAUAUAAUGGAAGGAUCAUAUCUCAUAUGCAAAACAAGUCUAGAAUAAUUGUUUAAAUGAAAUACAAGAUGUGUAAAAAAAAUUAACAGGACAAAGUUGGUUAAGUAGUUUACCACAGUUAAUGCUUCUUUCUUGAUUGGCCCAUUACAAAAUUGAAAAAAUUUUCCUCAUAGAUAUUACGUUUCCGUUUCAUGUGAGAAGUGCUACCUAGUGAUCCAUGGUUGUGCGCAGAGUGUUGGUGGAUGUGUUCAAAAUUUGGAGAAGAUUGAGUGGUAUCGCACUGCAACUCUUUCAUUUCUUCCAAAUCUUUCUCAUACACUAUUCUAACACCACACUUCUUCACCUUAACACAACCGUCAUUUGGUCCAUUGAAAGACAACUCAAGCUCAUCGCCUAUUUGAUCUAAGCAAUCUGUUGUCCAUAAAUUAUUGGUUUCACAGUCACCAUAUUUAUCCUCCAAGGAAAUUGGAUAUAAGUGACCACGCGGAAAAUAACGAAGAAAAAGGUGAUCUUUCAUUAUGGGCUUGUCAAAGGAUUGAGAUGCCCACUGGUUUCUCCAAUAAAUUCGUCGACAAUUUCUACCUCGAAAAAUAGAUCCUUUACAUCCGAUAACCUCGUUAUGCCUUGAAGCAUCAUUAUUGACAAAAAUGCAGCAACAAGCAACUCCAAUCCAUUGACUAUCUUUCCGAAGGUUGAUAGGUAGGGGUAUCUUAAUUGAAAAGUCACUUUUUUGUUGGCUAAACCAUUCUGGAAUUUCACUUCUGGGCAUCAUAAUAUCAAAGAAGCCAUUAGCAAACCAUUUUCUAGAAUUUGGAAGUGCCUGCAAAAUAAAACACAAGUCGUCUGGUAACUAAAACCUUAAAUUCUCAAGUAUGAGAUUUUGUAAGGGAGAAAAAAUAGAUUAAGACCUUAAUAUGUUCUUUCAACAGUGUUAAUGCAUUGAUUUUCUCAGCCAAUUUGAAGCAGUUAAUGGCAAGAAUGUCACAACCCACUAAAUUGCAUACUUUUGAUGGACUUGCAACUACUUCAAGUGAAGAACAACCAUAUAGCUUCACUCGUUUAUUUGUUGAUAGCGCAGGCAGCAAUUUAAGCAUCUUGCAAUCUGACAAUACAAGCAAUUGCAGCCCGGAAUGUUGAGUAAGAGCCAAAGGAAUGCUGAUGAAAUUGUUACCACUAAGAUAAAGAUAACUCAAAGAGGAUAGACCAGAAAAAUCACUAUGAGUAUCUGCUUCACCAAGAGUGCACAUGUUGCAAUUUGACAAUUCAAGAGACAUAAGCUUUGAGAGUCGAGUAAGAGAUGCAGGUAUGCUGAUGAAAUUGUUACCACUAAGAUCAAGACUUCUCAAAGAGGAUAGACCAGACAUAUCAGGUGGAAUAUCUCCUUCACAAAGAUUGCAGUCCCUUAGUUUUAGCUUUCUUAAAGAACUCAAACCUGACAACAAAGGCAACAUCCGAGCCAUGGGAUUCGUCCUUCUUCCUUGGAUUACCUUGAAAAGAGAAGGCAAAUUUGGUAGUAACUUAUAUGUUGGUCCCUUGCGCCCAUUGAAAGACAGAACUUUAAGAUUUUUAAAUUGAAAAAUGAACGAUGGUGGUUCUGUUAUGGCUGUUUCACUCAAGUCAAGAUCUUCCAAAAACUUUGCUUGCUGCAAAUUCUCCGAUAAAUUUUCCACUCUAUAACAACCGGAAAGAUCUAGUGUUUUUAGACGUUCCAUUUUCCCAUCAAUCUCUGGAAACCUUACAAGACUUGAGCAACCCGAAAGAAUUAAUGUUUCAAGGGAUUCCAUUCCAAUUUUGGUUGGAAGAGUCCUAAGACUUUUGCAAUCUUUUAAAUUCAAAAGUUUAAGGCUCUUAAGCACCCCGAUUGAUGGAUGAACAUCCACUAAUUUGGUACAACCUUUCAAAAUCAAAACUUCAAGAUUUGAUGCGGUUGUGAAGUCUGGUGUCUUGAUCAGGUUUUGAGACCCUCUGAGGUUCAUUAUUUUCAAGUUAAACAAGGGCUGUUGAAGACCAUAAUAAAUUAGAAACAAAUGAGAAAACAUAAUAAUGCUCUUUUUUGUUUUUUUUUUUUGUUUUACCUUAAUCAAAGUUUAAUAAUUUAUAUUAAAAUAAGCUAAAACACAAGGAUAAGAUGAGUUAAUUCUUACUCUAUUUCCCUUCCAUAGUUGUUGAAUGUGACUAUAUGGUAAAAGAAGUGCGACAAGGUUGUCCGGUUGAAAGCUUGAAGGCAAGUAUCUUAGAGGGUAUCCUAUCCAAUCUAAAAGUCAUAAUUCAUUAGAAAGAUAUUUGAGAUCAUCACAAUUUGAAAGGCAAAGCACUUUGAGCAAUCUCAGUUUUUUCAUCUUCAAGAAGGUAUUCACACUCAAAUUGAGCAUCUUGUUCGAUUCCCUAAUAUCCAUGAGCGAAACAAAAAUGAGCUUCAAAAUAUACAAAAACAUUUAAUAUCUAAAAGAAAUGUUGCAUCAAUAUGUUUUUUAAGUACUCGUAUCCAAUACUUAUAUCAAAUACAUACAUUUCUCUUUUGAUUCUUUUGUAAAAGUAAAUAUGUUGCUAGAUAAAUUUCAUAAUUAAACAUUGAAAUAUUGAAUGUCAAUAGUUUUGCUAUAGUUUUUUUAUCAUAUUUAAAAAUAAUAAUUAUUUACAGUACACAUAGAUAUAAAUUUAUGUGUCUUCUUACCUUUUAUUAUUGAUGAUUAUGCCUUCAAUCAUUUCUGUAGCCUAAAAAAAAUCAACAACAGGCAAUAAGAAAAUAAAAUAAAUGGUGAAUAAUGUAGGAUAGAAAAGAAAUAGUAUGUAACUUUUGUUGAAUGACUUACAGUGUUUUUUGUUAGGACAUGAUGGACGCCCCUUUCCUCCCACAAUCUGCAACGUUUUCCAGGUUCAUCAACACAUUUUUCUUUAACAAUUUUUCUUCCCAUUUCUUGCAACAAGUCAUGCAUCUUCAAAUAUUUGUUGUGUUCAUCGACUUUUAGGAGAGAUUUUUUAACGAGAACAUCAAUUCCAAUAUCAGAAAAAAAUUCACAACCAUUCAAUACUUUGAUUACAAAAUCUUUCUUCUCCCCAUUGAAGAAGCAUGCUAUAUCUAAAAAUAUAUUCUUCUCCCUUUCUUCCAGUCCAUCAAAACUGAUUCGAAGUUUACCGAGAAUUUCUUUAUUAGAAUCUCUUUCAAGUCUUGCAAUCGCACUUCUCCAUUGAGUCGCAUCUCUACCGCACAAAAAGGAACCAAAAACUUCAAGAGCUAAAGGGAGUCCACCAGCAUAAUUUACAACAUGUUUAGAAAGCUCAAUGAAAUCAUCUUUCUGCACUGUAUCACUAUGAAAAGCUUUCAGACUGAAAAGUUGAAGCGCAUCUUUGGGAUUCAGUGUUGUGGGCAUAUACACAUCAUUAACUUGGCAACAUCGAAGCAAAUGUUCGUCUCUUGUUGUUACAACGAUUCUACUUCUUAAUCCGAACCAAUCUUGCUUUCCAACCAAGCAUUUUAAGUGUUGUAUGUUAUCAACAUUAUCAAGAACAACAAGAACCUUUUUGUGAGACAACCUAUGGCUAAUUAUGUCACUCCCUUCAUGAACAUCGAAAAAGUUGAAGCAUUCACCAUGAAAGAUCUGUGAAAGAAGUUGUUUCUAUAAAGAAACUAGUCCGCAUUUGUCUGAAACUUCUCGAAUAUUGGCAAUAAAGCUUUUACCUUCAAAAUAAGGUGACAUUUGAGUGUAAGCAACUCUUGCGAGUGUCGUUUUACCGAUGCCACCCAUUCCGCAAAUUCCUAUAACGCGGACAUCAUCUUCCCCCAUGUUUAUUUUCAAAUACAAAUCCUCCAAGCGUUCACUAAUACCAACCAAGCCGCUAUGAGUAACUGGAUACGUCUGACAUAGUUUUGCUGAUAUCUUCUUAACAAUGUCUCUAAUAAAUUCUGAUUCAUGCCUAAAAAAAUGAAAUUUUAAUGUUUGGAGUAAAAUUUUGUUGAUAUGUUUGGAAUGCACUUUUUUUUUCAAUGAAUCAUGAAACAUAAUAUAGUUUGGAAGCAAACAAGAACCAAGAAUAAGAAAGCAAGAUCUGUUAUUUAAAUAUGACACUUUUCAAUUAAACACAUAGGAUUGGGAAAAAAAAAAGUUAUACAUACAUACAUAUAUAUAUCCAAAAAACUAGAAAAUAGAGAAGAAAAGAAAGAAUUACCUGUUAUUUAAAUGCCAUCCCUUGAUUGCAGCUACUUGAAUUAAAGCAUUUCGCCACCUUUGGAUCUUCUCACUUUCUUCUUUGUAUCUCUCUUCAUGUCUGGUAAAGGCUUCUUCCACUUUCCCUUUUUGUUUUCUUAAAUCAGAUGGAUCAACAUCGUAAAAAAUUGGAAACACUUUAUGGCCGUCGUUGAUAUGUUGUUGAACAAUCUCAGCAAGCUCCUCCAAGCACCAACUUGAAAAGGCAUAAGUUUGUGAAAAAACGAUUACCGAGCACCAUGAUUGCUGAAUUGCUUUAAAGAGUUCUCGCGCGAUCUCUUCACCGGCCUCCAGCUUUGGAUCAUCCCUGAAAGUGACGAUCCCACUCCUCUUUAGAGCAGCAUAGAGAUGAUCGGUGAAGUUUUUGCGAGUAUCUUCACCUCUAAAACUCAAGAAAACAUCAUAUUUCUUUCUAGAAAUGUAUGAGGAAGUUGAAGGUAAUGACAACAUGACGAUGUUUGAGAAGAAAAAUAUAUGUGGAUGUAGUGUUCAAAAUCAGAAAAUUGAUCGCUCAAUACGCCAGAAAGAAACUAGAAACAGUAAGUAUAUGAGAGUGAAGAUUGAGAAAAACAGAUGAAAAUUCCAGGGAAGAAUAAAGGACUUUUCUAAGCAAUUUCUCUAUAACCUUUGAAUUUUCGAAAUGAAUACGAGUAGGUGUUGACAUUGGGUGAUGCAUGUUCUUUCGAGGAAGAAUCCAAGAAGGUGGGUGUUGACAAAAUGGAGCCUACAGUAAUUUUAAGUAAUAAGUAAAGUGUUGGACGGUUUGUGUUUUACUUUCAUUGACAUAAUCAUAUAAUUGUCUAUAUAACUAUAUAUUAAAGGAGUAUUUGGAGACACCUGUCCAGGGAGGACAAUGUGUUAUUUAAAAUUCGGUCCCUCACAUUUUGCCUUUUAUAUGAUUAAGUUCUAUUUGAAGCAUUUAAAAUGUUCAUUAGGUGCAGACUAAAAUAACUUAUAUUUACUCACUAUCAUAAAAUUUUAUGUACGAAUACAAUUUAUUAAUUUAAUGUAGAUGAUUUUUUUUCUUUUACAUUAUAAGAAAAUGUUAGAAUUUCAAUUCUAGUUUUUUUAUUAUGCCUAAAUUUAAGAUUUAAUUUCUAGCCUAAUUUAAUCAUAUAUUUUUAUAAUGUUAUUAGUUAGACAUAUAAUUAAUAUUGUUGACUUUUCUAUUAGUUAUAGCAUCAUAAAGAUGAUCCGUGAAGUUGUUGCGAGUAUCUUCACCUCUAAAACUCAAGAAAACGUCAUAUUUCUUUUUAGAAAUGGAGGAAGAAGUUGACGGUAACGACAACAUGAGGAUGUAUGAAAGGAGAUGGAUAUCUCAAUCUGGUGUUCAAAAUCAGAAAAUAGAUCGCUCAAUAUCCACAAAGAAACUAGAAAACGUAAGUAUAUGAGCAUAGGGGUCAAAGAUGAGCGAUGGAUGUUGUUUCCAAGAAGGUGAGAGUGGCAAAGUGGAGUCUACUUUAAUUAUAAGUAAUAAUUAAAAAUGUUGGACGGUUUGUAUUUUACGUAUUUAAUAAUUAGCAAUGUUAAUGGAUUGAUGUUCUCAGCCAAUCUGUAGCAGUCAGUGGCUCUAAGGCAAUCAAUGCCUGUAGGGCAGGCCAAACCCACAAAAUUUAAGAUUUUUAGAUUGAAAAGUGAAGUAUGGUGGCUCUGUUAAGGCUAUUUCACUUAAAUCGAGCACUUCUAAAAACUUCGCUUGCUGCAAAUUCUCUGGUAAAUUUUCAUCUCUAUAAUAACCAGAAAGAUUAAGAGUUUUUAAACAUUUCAUUUUCCCAUCGAUAUGUGGAAACCUUUGAAGAUUUGAGCAUCACGAAAGAAUCAAUGUUUCAAGGGUUUCACUUCAAUUCUGGUAGGAAGACUCCUAAGACUUUUGCAGUUUUUGAAAUUCAAAAGUUUAAGCCUCUUAAGCACUCCGAAUGAUGGAUGGACAGCUACAAUUUUAAAGUCUGGGGUAUUGGUCAGGUUUUGGGAACUUUUAAAGUUGAUCACUUUCUAACUUAUAUAUGGGCUGUUGAAAACAAUACUUAAAAAGCAAUAAAAAAACAUAAAAGAAAACCUCAAUUUUGUUUUUAUAUUCUUAUCAUAAUCAAAUUUCAACCAUCCAUCUUAAAAUAAGCUAAAACAAGGAUCAAUGAACUAAUUCUUACUCUAUUUCCCCUCCACUGUUGUUCAAUGCGAGUGUGUGAAAAAAGAAAUGAAAGGGUCUCAUUUCCAAUCAAAAAAUUAACUAACGUCUAUGUAUAUAAUUCAUUGCUUUUAAAGUUUUUUUGUACAGGGAUCGGUGAUCGACAUGGGAAUUUUACUUUUACAUGCAAGAAGUAGAAGAGAAGAAGAACUGGCCAAAACGCUGGAAAUACCGAAUGUAUGUAUGCGUAUAUAUAUGUUAGCUCUAAGUUUCUCUUUAUCUUCUAUGUGUGUAUAUAUUGGUGUUUAAUUUUGAUCUUAAAUUAUUUCUAUCAAGUUUAAUUUUUCUUUUCCAUGUUGUUGCAGUAAAGAAGCUGUGAUUCCUAUAUGUUGCCGACGGUGCAGGUUGGCUGUGGUAGUGCCAGUGGGAAUCCCGUGUGGGAAAUAUGCUUGCCCAUCGAGGAAGGUGCAGUACGCAGCUCAUUAACGAGAAAGAUUAAGAGCUUUUAAACAUUUCAUUUUUCCCAUCGAUAUCUGGAAACCUUUGAAGAUUUGAGCAACACAAAAGAAUCAAUGUUUCAAGGGAUUUCACUUCAAUUCUGGUUGGAAGACUCCUAAGACUUUUGCAGUCUUUGAAAUUCAAAAGUUUAAGCCUCUUAAGCACUCCAAAUGAUGGAUGGACAUCUACAAUUUUAAAGUCUGGGGUAUUGAUCAGGUUUUGGGACCCUUUAAAGUUGAUCACUUUCAACUAAUAUAUGGUGUCGAAACUAAUUUUUUGAAAAAUAAAAAUUUUUAGGUUGUCGAUUUUAAAAAAUAAAAAUUGGGAGUCGCCACCAAUCUUUUAUUAAGGUGUGAUUGGGUCACCUAAAAAAUGACUUUGGUCUACAAAUUUUAGAAAAACGGGUCCGGGAGUCGGUUACGUAUGAGGAAGGAUUAGCACCCUCAUUACGCCCAAAAAUUGGUACCUAGUUAAAUAAUUAAUGUCUUAAUGUCGAAAAUUUGAAAAACGUAAUCCUUAGCAAAAAAAACUUAAAACGUUACGUAUUAAGACCCUUAUCAUUUCAGAGAAAGAAAAUACCACACCCAAUAAGUUAGGGCACGACAUUCUAAUUUUCCCCAAAAAUGAAUUAGGGCAAAAUACUAGUGUAAUAAAAAUUUAAAAGAAUAUUCAUUUAUUCAAGAUUUAAGAAAUCGCAGCCCAAUACGUUAGGGCACAAUUCCUUUAGAAUCCCAAACUCGGAAUAUUUCCUUUAUUAUUAUUUUUUAAAUAUUCAUUUCGAGAAAUCAAUGCGUCACAUCCAAUACGUUAGGACACAACGUGUUGAAUUCCCAAUAAUGAGUUCUUAUUUUUAUUUGAUUUAAAGAGCAAUCCUCGAUUGUUAGAUUUUCAAAAAAAUCGGAACUCAAUACGUUAGGGCUCAAUUUCCUUGAGAAAUUCUAAAUGCGAGUAUUAUCUCUAUUUUAAAAAGUUUGAAAUCGAGUAAAAAAAUGAUGUGAUGCUACAUUAAAUAUACAACGUAAUAAUAAAUAUUUCAAUAUCAUAGAAAUAAUAUGAAUAAAGGAAUAAAUACAUAAUUAUGACAUGCAUAAUAUUAAAUAAAUGGGCAAGAUAAUAAUAAACAAUAUGCAAGCAUAAAUUGAUAAGCAAAUAUUUGAAAUAAAUAACAAAAAAAUGCAUACAGGUACACAUAAAAUAUAUAGGUUUGCAAUGAUUAAAAUAACAUCAACGUUAAUUAAAUAAAUAAAACAAGUCUAUAUAUAUUUUAUAUAUAUAUAUAUACACGAGUAUGCGAACAAUAUUAGUUUUCAAAAAAAAAAGGGAUAAAUACAUGCUUUAGAAAAAAUACAUAUAUAUACAAAAUAAUAAUAAUUACAUAUGUGAAUUAUAAGGGAAAAAUUGUAUUAUCAAAAAAAUAUUGAUUUUUAAAGAAAAUAUGGAAAAGGGGACUAAAUUGGAUUACAAGUAAAAAUAUGGGGCAAAUCCACAAAUAAAUAAAAUCGGGAGGACAAAAUUAAACAUGCGAAUUAUAUAGAGGGGCUGGAAGGGCAAUUUUUCCUUCUCCUCUAAAAUGACACCGUUCAAAAGGAUUUAAUUGGAAUUUAAAAUAAAUUAAAGGCCGAAUUUUAAAAAAAAAACAAGAAUACUUAAUUGGAAAUAUAUAAAAAGGCGGAGGGGCCAAAAGCACAAUUUGCCCCUUCGUAUGAAAAACACGCGGUUCCUAGAUCUGGGUCGGGUUGACGCGCGGAUCCUCCCUUCAAAACGGCACCGUUUUCGAUUGGCUAUUUAAGCCAAAAUUAUAAACAAAAAUUUCAUUUUUUCAAAUCCUUCAAAAAAAACGAAAAUCUUUUUUUUUAAACUCUCAACUUCUGGGCACCAGCCUCCGGUUUAGUCAUCGGCCGGUCAACGGCCACCGCACCGGCCACCGAUCUCCAGCGCCGGCACCGCCUAAUGCGGUGGCCGAAAAAAGAAAAACCCCAAAUCUGGUCUUUUCAACACUCUUGAGCCUAGAUCUGGGCUGAAAAUUCCCAAAAUCGACUAAAAAAACCUAAAAAUGCCCUAGAAACCUUUCGGAUUCUAGCCGUCUAUCAUCGGAGACGGUCCUCUUCCUCCCCGCGGCGUUUCAAAAACAAAAGCAGGUGAUUUCUUUCCUUUUUAUUUUGUUUUAUUUUCAUACAAGUGAAAAUAAAAAAAUAAAAAUAAAAGUAAAAAAAAGAACUAAAAAAAUAAAUGUAAACCUUUAGACUGAUUUUUGCUCUCUUGGAUAUUGAACUAACUGUGUUUUGCUGCGAAAAUAAUUGUGUUUUUCUUAUUGAUUUCCAAUCCCUCUUUGCAGUAUCGUCAAUGGCUUUAUAUAGCCAUAAUAUAUAAAAAAAUAUAGAAAUAAAAUCUUGUUUACAUUGAUUUGAUUCUCAAUCUCUUGAUUUCUUUCCAUAUACUGUUUUGCUUUCUUUCCUUGUUGUGCAGGUGAAGAUCGGGGCUAAGAUUCGUGGCUGCAGCGCUUGAGGAUUUCCCUAGAACCCCUAGGGUUUCUGACUAUCGUUUUGGGCAUUUGGGCCACACAUAAUUGGACCACCGUGCUUUGGGCCCCUGUUGUAUUUUGGGUUUGGGCCAUAUAGGCCAGUUGUAAUUUGGGCCCUUUUAGGCCCUGGCAAAAUCUGUUAUUACAUAUGGGAUGUUGAAAACCAUACUUAAAAAGCAAUAAAAAAAACAUAAAACCAAACCUCAAUUUUGUUUUUACAUUUUUAUCAUUGUUGACACCAUUUUUUUGAUAAAACGGGGUCGAUUUGGGUUUUAAAAAAUGAAAACGAAUGUGGGAGUCGCCACCAAUAUUUUUUGAUGAGGUGUGAUCGGGCCACCUCAAAAAAUGGUUAUUUUAAUAAACGAUUUGAAAAAACAACGAUUUUGGUCCACGAUAAAAAAAAAGAAAAUGGGUUCGGGAGUCGGUUACGUACGAGGAAGGAUUAGCACCCUCGUAAAGCCCAAAAUUGGUACCUAGCUGAUUAAUUAGUGUCUUAGCGUCGAAAAUUAAAAAUUUUGAAAAGUUAAAAAAUAAUAAUAUUAUCCUUUAUCAAAAUUUUGAAAAAUUUAAAAGGAGAAGCAUAUUUUUAGGUUAAUCGAGAAGAAGAAUUACGUCUCGUAAGUUAGGACACAAUGUCUAAAAUUCCCGAUACGAGAAUGAAAGCCGAAAAAUUUAUUUAUUUUGAAAGAGUUCGAUUAUCUCUGGUUUAAAAAAGAGAUCAUGACCCUUGAGUUAGAACACGAUCUUUUAUUAAUUCCCAAGAACGUUUAAAAACUUUGUUUGAAAUGAUUCGUGUGUUUGAAUUUUUCGAGAAAAUCGAAAUCCCAUAAGUUAGGGUACGACUUUCUUGAGUUUCUAAAUACAGAAUGUUGCAUUAUUUUUAAAAUUUUACUUUUUUGAAUUUGAGUAAGAAUUAAUGUAAUAUAACGAGAUGUAAGUUUAAUUUAUGCAAAUAUCGUGUGAAGGCAAACAAUUAUUUCAUACAAUGUAUAGUACAAUAAUAAUGAAAUAACGUAAAAUAACUAUAUUAGUAGAAUAUAUAAAGGGUAAAUAAUAAAUCAUAAAAUACAAUAAUAAUCAUGACGUAAUUAUAAUAAUAAUCACCAAAUAAUAAUAACAAUGACCGUAUUAAUUACUAUUCUAAUACUAGAAAUAUAAAAAUGAAUUAAACACUAAUAAAAAUGAUAAUAAUAAUGAUAAUAAUAAUGAAAUGUAUAAAUAAAGGAAUAAAUAACAAUAUAAAUUCUAAACACAAGAAAAGUAAGGAAAUGGAUAAAUACAUGAAUGCAUAAAUAAAUAAAUAAAACAGAACGAAAAGAAUAAAUAAAUAAAUAAAGCUCGAAAAUAAAAGGAUAAAGGAUCAAAUUGAGGUUAAAAUAAACUUUGGAGUCUAAAUUAUAAUAAAAUGGAUAAAUAAAUAUAAAAGGGACUGGAUCAAAAUUUGAAUCGACUUUAAAGGUAUAAAUUACAAAUAAAAAAGGAAAGGGCCAACUGAAAUGCACUGGAAAAGGGCGAGGACUAUAUGGGAGAUUAUUCCCAGUCCUUUAGAGCGCACCGUUUCCGUCUGGACCGAAAAGAAACAAAAAUGAAAUUAUACCGCAAAAUGUAAAGAAAAAAAAUUUAGGACUAAAUUGCAAAGCCUCGCAAAAGCGGAAGGACCACAUGCGCAAAUAGUCCCUUCACUGCAAAAACACACGGAUCCUGAGGGCCAACGGGUUGGGUUACGGGUCAGGGCCAAAACAACGUUGAUUUGGCACCUGACCCCUAAUGUCAAAAUGGUGUCGUUUAAGUAUCAUUAUUUAACUUAAAUUUUUUUCUAAAAAAAUCAUUUUUACAAAGUGUUUUUUAAAAAAACUUUCAAAACUUCCUUCUCUCUCUCUCUCACAAUGUCCGGCCCUUAGCUUCUGGCCCCCGCCACGCUGCCUCCAUGGCCAGUGGCCGGAGUCGCGCGAAACGGGCUUUUCAGCCCUCACUUCACGGCGUCCCUGAAGGCUAGGCCUUCUCAACAGUGGGACCGAGAGAAAAAGAAAAAAAACCCCUCUAUCUGUUCGACUCCGGUGACGGAAAAGAUGGGCUCCGGUGCCGACUUUCGAAGCAAAUAGGUAUCUUCCCUUUUCCCUUUUUGUUUCAUUUUUGUUAAAAAGGGUCAUAAAAAUAAACAAACAUAAAAAAUAACGAAAAAAAUACAAGAACAGAAAAAAAUAGAAGCAGUUAAACUGGAGUCAACCUUUCUUAAAAGCUUUUGCUCUGUUUUUUCAGUAACCAGUCAUAAAAAGAAGAAGAAGAAGAAAAUACAGAAGUGGUGCUCGGCUUUUAUAGCCGAUUUGUUUCCAUUUUUUUCUAUUAUUUUGCUGCUUGCAUGUUUAUUUUUCUCCUGUAGGUGAUUGAUAAGUGUCGGUCGAUAUGACAGCGACGGUGACAGACGCGCAGCGGUGGUGGUUGGUAGGUCAAGGGUCAAAAGACCCUAGGUGCGGUGCACCUAGGGCUAGGGUUUUCAAACUCCCCCCUUUUUUUGCAUUGGACCAGUUGAGCUAUGUUGGAUUUGGUUGGGUUAGGGGUAUUGGGCUAAGCCUUUUGGUUUGGGCCCUAGGUUGUAAUUGGGUUUUGGGUAGAUGUAGGUAAUUGGUUUUAUUUGGGUACUGGGUUGGGCAAAAUGGGCUGUACAGCUGCCCCUCUUUGCUCGUUGUCGUGUAACGAGAACAGAGCAAAGACUAAGAAAGACCAAUUUUGCCCGGUCUCACCAAGUCCCAACUUAUUUUGACACUUCUCUUCUUCAAGUAGCCUUAUUCCAGUCCACUGUGUCCUAUCGCUUCAAUCUACUCCACUGCACUUCUUGUAGCUUCAAUCUUCUUCGCAGCAACUUCAGGAGGACGAGGUUUUGGUUUUAGUCUGCUCCACUACUCCACUGCGACCUCAGGGAGAUAAGGUUUGAUAUGAUAAAAUUUAAUCCUACCCUCUGCAACUUCAAAGGUAUAAGAUUCAUCGUUUUAAUCUGCUCCACUGCAACUUCAGGGAGAUAGGAUUAGUAGCUUCAGUCUGUUCCACUACAACUUCAGGGAACUAAGACUUGUAUUUUCAACCUGCCCCAGAGCAAUUUUAGGGGGGAAGGUUUGUGGCUUUAAUCUGUUCUACUACAACUUCAGGGAGAUAAGAUUUGUAGCCGGUCUUCAAUUUGUUCCACUGUAACUUCAGGGAGAUAAGGUUUGAUAUGAUCUGCUCUACUGCAACUUCAGAGAGAUAGGAUUUAUAACUUAUAGCUUUAAUCUGUUCCACCGCAACUUUAGGGAAAUAAGAUUCGCUAUCUUCAGUCUGCUCCAUUGCAACUUCAGGGAGAUGAGAUUUGUAGUUUCACUGAUCUGUUCUCUGGGGAAGCAUAACCUAUGAACUUUUGUUUAUGCCUAAAUGAUUAGGAUGUCAUGAUCAAAAUGAAUCAAAUGCUCCUAAUUAGAUGCAUUUAAAUCAGAUGCAUUCUGACACACAUGAUGAGUCGCCCUUAAAUCUGGAUACUAUGAUGAGGUUCCUAUUGGCACAGAAACAUAAGAGUUAGUAUAUAUUAUCAAAGUUGGAAUCAUAUUGUAUGGCAUCCGAAAAAUCAGAAGCAUGAAAAUCAAGAAUUCGGGGUAGCCCAACACACUAAGAGAAAUCAAAAUAAAAAUACAUACUCGUGGUUUUGUUCACUACGGAACAGGAGCAUUAUUUCGCAUAGAGCCUUCAACACCAACAAAAUUAGCAUUAGGCCCAAGUUUUUGACUAGCAUCAACCUGUCCACUAUUCGGCCCAGUAAUCUGCCUACUAAAAGGCCCAACAGAUUGGCCUACAUGUAGCCCAAAUUGCUACACAUCAUGCUCCCGCUAAUAGGACUAAACACUGACUAUCAGUUACCCAAAAUAAUGCCCAGUAUUUUGCCCAAAAACCUGACUAGUCUUCUACCCAUGAACCGACCUAAAAACCUGACCAGCAUUUGGUCCAAGACACUGCCCACGAAUCUGGCCUGCAUAAUGGGGCCUGUGUGCAAUGGAAGAAGGUAGCCCAAUGUGCUGUAUAGAACACUAGCCUACAGCAUGCCCAACACGCCUUUCAAAGAAAUCAAACGGGCCAACAGAUCCAAACCACUGACCAUUUGUGUCUCUUGCAAACUCAACCUUAUAGCCAGUUUCACCAAAAUCCAUAGCUUGCAGUUGCGGUGGAUAUUCACUCCGACUCUGAGAAGACGACCAGUCUCCCAAAAGGUCACCAGAUCCAAAACCUUGUUGUCUAUUAUGCGCAGACGGUGAAAACCUCACCGUGGUAGAAGCACUCAGACCAUCGUAAGACCAAUUAAAGCGAUAGAAGCAUCACUGCACCGUGUGACCGAACCUAUUACAAAUUUGGCACUGCAUGCGCGAACGGAAGCCACACCCUUGCAAACCUACUGUCGCACGACCUCCACUCACAUCACGUAAAACAGAAUCGACGAUUGCAGCAACAUCAGGCGAUUCAACAAGAUGAGCAUGGAUGGGAACCUCACGCGCCACUCGCACCUGUCUACUUUCAAAUUCCAUGAGAACCUCGACCAAACGCAGACAGGGAAAAGGCUACGUCGAGAACAAAGCCAAGGUCAGUAUGAUAUCAAAAUUCGAUGAGAGCCCAGCCAAAAUGACUUCCACCUUUUUAGCUUCUGACACCACCGAUCCAGAGGCUGCAAGUAAGGCACAGGUAUUUUCUAUCUUCGCAAUAUAUUCUGUGACAGUUUACUCACUCUUCUGUGUAGAAUGAAGAUCAUGCUUGAUGCGAGAAAUUUUCACACUAGUUAACGCAGCGAAAAGACGAUUUGCGGUGCUCUAGAUGUCACACGCAGAUUGAGCAGAGGUAAAACAUGGCAAAAGUGACGAGCUAAUCGUACUUAGGAGCCAAGAAGCUAACAGCUUAUCUUGUUGAUUGAACAUAGCCGCUUCUGGAUUCGGAAUAAGAGCACCUUCUGGAGACGCAAUAAACCGAGACGGAACAGACAGCGUACCUUCCAAGAAACCUUGCAGCUCAUAUCCCUCUAUUAUUAAUCGGAAAUGUUGCUGCCAUUGAACAAAGUUUUCUCCCUCUAGUUUCACCGUGUCAUGACGGGGGAAAGAUUGGACCAGGCGUUGACUAGAAAAUGCCGGACUCAUAGGAUCAGCAAAAUUAGAAUCGGCUGAUGGUGCCAUAACACAACAACGGAAGCACGUACUAGGACUAGGCGACUGAUACCAUGUAAGAUACUACUCGAAAUAUGUAUAAACAGAAAAAUGAAGUAUAGAAGAAUUCUUUAGUCUUAUGCUAUCUAGUUGAAUGAAUACACUGAUGAGGUUUUAUACAAAUAUGAUAACCAACUGCCUAAUGAACUGCUUAACAAAUUUUGUAACAACCUAUCAAACUAACCAUCGUAACAACUGUUUAACACUCACGCACAAAAGAUUUUCUAAUUGAAUAUUAGUGCAUACUUUAUAUUCAUAUUUGAAUAAAUAUUAAAAAUAAAUGUCUAAACAUAAAUAUUUUAUAAAAAAAAUAAACUGAGGAGUUGGAAUAAUAUUAUUUGUAUUUCAAGUAGUGAAAUUUAAAUGAUACUUUAUUAGAAGGGAUUAAAUCUAUUUAAGUAGCUUUAAAGAUUUAUAUUUAAUCUUUCAAAUAUAUAAAAACAGUUUUGACUAAUUAAAUUGAACACAUAAAUUGGUCUCCAAUAAAAAUAAAAUGAUUUUUAACUCAGUUGAAAUUAUGAUCAAUCCUUAUUAAAGGACUCUCAUUUUAUCAUUACUUGCUUCGCCUCCAUUUUUGUCUCACAAUUUUGUUUUAAUUUGCUUCAUCUUCAACCUACAAAUAAAAUAUAGAUGUAAGUGAAAAUAUAUAGUGGAAAUAAAAUUUUAAUAAAAAAAAAGGUGAAACCAAUCAAAAUAUACACAUUCGAUAAGUGACUAAAAUUUUAAAUGGUAUAAAAAACAAUGUUAUCAACAUUUGAGAUAUGUAGAUGUUGAAUAUGAAUAUGAAUAAAAUUUUUUAAAAUGUUUUGGCAUAUAAUGGAAGGAUCAUAUCUCAUAUGCAAAACAAGUCUAGAAUAAUUGUUUAAAUGGAAUACAAGAUGUGUAAAAAUACAAUUAAUAGGACGAAGUUUGUUAAGUAGUUUACCACAGUUAAUGCUUCUUUCUUGAUUGGCCCUUUACAAAAUUGAAAAAUUUUUGCAUCCGUUUUGGUUGCGGCUCUUCUUCCUCUGUUUCCUCAUAGAUAUUACGUUUUCGUUUUAUGUGAGAAGUGCUACCUACUGAUCCAUGGUUGUGAGCAGAGUGUUGGUGGAUGUGUUCAAAAUUUGGAGAAGAUUGGCUGGUAUCGCACUACAACUCUUUCAUUUCUUCCAAAUCUUUCUCAUACACUAUUCUAACACCACACUUCUUCACCUUAACACAACGGUCAUUUGGUCCAAAUUCGGUAUUGAAACACAACUCAAGCUCAUCGCCUAUUUCAGCUAGCAAUCUGCUGUCCAUAAAUUAUUGGUUUCACAGUCACCAUAUUUAUCCUCCAAGGAAAUUGGAUAUGAUUCAUCACGCGGAAAAUAACGAAGAAAAAGGUGAUCUUUCAUUAUGGGCCUGUCAAAGUAUCGACCUACCCACUGGUUUCUCCAAUAAAUUGGUCGACAAUUUCUACCUCGAAAAAUAGAUCCUUUACAUCCGAUAUACCUAUCCCUUGAAGCAUCAUUAUUGACAAAAAUGCAGCAACAAGCAACUCCAAUCCAUUGACUAUCUUUCCGAAGGUUGAUAGGUAGGGGUAUCUUAAUUGAAGAGUCACGUUUUUGUUGGCUAAACCAUUCUGGAAUUUCACUUCCUGGCAUCAAAAUAUCAAAGAUGCCAUCAUUAAACCAUUUUCUAGAAUUUGGAAAUGCCUGCAAAAUAAAACACAAGUCGUUUGGUAACUAAAACCAUAAAUUCUCAAGUAUGAGAUUUUGUAAGGGAGAAAAAAUACAUUAAUAAACCUUAAUAUGUGCUUUCAGCAGUGCUACUGCAUUGAUUUUCUCAGCCAAUUUGAAGCAGUUAAUGGCAUCAAUGCUUUCACUUCCCACUAAAUUGCAUACUUUUGAUGGACUUGCAACUACUUCAAGUGAAGAACAAUCAUCUAUUGUCACACUUCCUAUAGUUGUUGGUAGCUCAGGCAACGAUUUAAGCAUCUUGCAACCUGACAAUUGAAGCAAGUUGAGCCCGGAAAGUUGAGUAAGAGCCAAAGGAAUGCUGGUGAAAUUGUUACCAAUAAGAUUAAGAUAACUCAAAGAGGAUAGACCAGAAAUAUCACUAUGAGUAUCUGCUUCACCAAGAGUGCACAUGUUGCAAUUAGACAAUUCAAGAUACGUAAGCUUUGAGAGUCGAGUAAGAGAUGCAGGUAUGCGGAUGAAAUUCUUACCACUAAGAUUAAGAUAACUCAAAGAGGAUAGACCAGAAAUAUCACUAUGAGUAUCUGCUUCACCAAAAGUGCACAUGUUGCAAUUUGACAUUAAUAUAAGAUUUGCAAGCUUCGAGAGUCGAGUAAGAGAUGCAGGUAUGCUGAUGAAAUUAUUACCACUAAGAUCAAGAGAUACCAAAGAGGAUAGACCAGAAAUAUCAGGUGGAAUAUCUCCUUCACAGAGAUUGCAGUCCCUUAGAUUCAACUCUCUUAAUGAACUCAAACCUGACAACAAAGGCAACAUCCGAGCCAUGGGAUUCGUCCUUCUUCCUUGGAUUACCUUGAAAAGAGAAGGCAAAUUUGGUAGUAACUUAUAUGAUGGUCCCUUGCGCCCAUUGAAAGACAGAACUUUCAGAUUUUUAAAGUGAAAAAUGAAGGAUGGUGGUUCUGUUAUGGCUGUUUCACUCAAGUCGAGCUCUUCCAAAAACUUUGCUUGCUGCAAAUUCUCCGAUAAAUUUUCCACUCUAUAACAACCGGAAAGAUAUAGAGUUUUUAGACGUUCCAUUUUCCCAUCAAUCUCCGGAAACCUUACAAGACUUGAGCAGCCCGAAAGAAUUAAUGUUUCAAGAGAUUCCAUUCCAAUUUUGGUUGGAAGAGUCCUAAGACUUUUGCAAUCUCUUAAAUUAAAAAGUUUAAGGCUCUUAAGCACCCCGAUUGAUGGAUGAACAUCCACUAAUUUGGUACAACCUUCCAAAAUCAAAACUUCAAGAUUUGAUGCUGUUGUGAAGUCUGGUGUCUUGAUCAGGUUUUGAGACCCUCUGAGGUUCAUUAUUUUCAAGUUAAACAAGGGCUGUUGAAGACCAUAAUCAAUUAGAAACACAUGAGAAAACAUAAUAAUGCUCAUUUUUGUUUUUUUUGUUUUACCUUAAUCAAAGUUUAAUAAUUUAUAUUAAAAUAAGCUAAAACACAAGGAUAAGAUGAGUUAAUUCUUACUCUAUUUCCCUUCCAUAGUUGUUGAAUGUGACUAUAUGGUAAAAGAAGUGCGACAAGAUUGUCCGGUUGAAAGCUUGAAGGUAAGUUUUUUAGAGGGUAUCCUGUCCAAUCUAAAAGCCGUAGUUCAUUAGAAAGAUAUUUGAGAUCAUCACAAUUUGAAAGGCAAAGCACUUUCAGUAGUCUCAGUUUUUUCAUCUUCAAGAAGGCAUCCACACUCAAAUUGAGCAUCUUUUUCAAUUCCCUAAUAUCCAUGAGCGAAACAAAAAUGAGCUUCAAAAUAUAUAAAAACAUUCAAUAUCUAAAAGAAAUGUUGCAUCAAUAUUGUUUUUUAAGUACUCGUAUCCAAUACUUGUUCGUAUAUGAGUAUAAAGAUAUGAUCCUUUAAGAACCUUUCAAAUACGUGAAAAAAAUAAAUUUUAAUUUUUUUUUUGAAUAUAGCCAUAUUAAAGAGAUACUUAUAUCUAACAAUCGCAUCCGAUGUUAAAUUACCUAAUCAUAAAAAAAUGAAUUAAUAUGUUGAUUUAUAUUUAGUCCGCAAACAAUGCAUAAUUUACAAGUUAAUGAACCAAACAAUGACACAUAAUUAAAAAUGAAACCAUUUUCAUUAAAAAAAAAUUAUUACAUGUUAUAAUCUAAUUCGUUGAUAUACACUUUUAGUACAUUAAAUAUAUACCAUUAAUUUUCACAAAAAAAUAUACCAUUAAUAUUUCAAAAAUACAUACAUUUCUCUUUUGAUUCUUUUGAAAAAGUAAAUAUGUUGCUAGAUAAAUUUCAUAAUUAAACAUUGAAAUAUUGAAUGUCAAAAGUUUUGCUAUAGUUUUUUUAUCAUAUUUAAAAAUAAUAAUUAUUUACAGUACACAUAGAUAUAAGUUUAUGUGUGUCUUCCUACCUUUUAUUAUCGAUGAUUAUGCCUUCAAUCGUUUCUGUAGCCUAAAAAAGAUUAAGAACAGACAAUAAGAAAAUAAAAUAAAUGGUGAAUAAUGUAGGAUAGAAAAGAAAUAGUAUGUGACUUUUGUUGAAUGACUUACAGUGUUUUUUGUUAGGACAUGAUGGACGUCCCCUCCCUCCCACAAUCUGCAACGUUUUCCAGGUUCAUCAACACAUUUUUCUUUAACAAUUGUUCUUCCCAUUUCUUGCAACAAGCUAUGCAUCCACAAAUAUUGGUUGCCAUCAUCGACUUUUAUUAAAGAUUUCUUAAUGAGAACAUCAAUUCCAAUAUCGGGGAAAAGCUCACAACUAUCUAAUACUUUCAUUACAAAAUCUUUCUUCUCCCCAUUAAAGAAGCACGCUAUAUCUAAAAAUAUAUUCUUCUCCCUUUCUUCCAGUCCAUCAAAACUGAUUCGAAGUUUAUCGAGAAUUUCUUUAUUAGAAUCUCUUUUAAGUCUUUCAAUCGCACUCCUCCAUUGAGUCGCAUCCCUACCGCACAAAAAGGAACCAAAAACUUCAAGAGCUAAAGGGAGUUCACCAGCAUAAUUUACAACAUGUUUAGAAAGCUCAAUGAAAUCAUCUUUCUGCACUGUAUCACUAUGAAAAGCUUUCAGACUGAAAAGUUGAAGCGCAUCUUUGGGAUUCAGUGUUGUGGCCGUAUACACAUCAUUAACUUGGCAACAUCGAAGCAAAUGUUCGUCUCUUGUUGUUACAAUGAUUCUACUCCCUAAUCCGAACCAAUCAUGCCUUCCAACCAUGCAUUUUAGGUGUUGUAUGUUAUCAACAUUAUCAAGAACAACAAGAACCUUUUUGUGAGACAACCUAUGGCUAAUUAUUUUAUUUCCUUCAUGAACAUUGAAAAAGUUGAAGCAUUCACCAUGAAAGAUUUGUGAAAGAAGUUGUUUCUGUAAAGAAACUAGUCCGCAUUUGUCUGAAACUUCUCGAAUAUCAGCAAUAAAGCUUUUACCUUCAAAAUGAGGUGACAUUUGAGUGUAAGCAACUCUUGCGAGUGUCGUUUUACCGAUGCCACCCAUUCCGCAAAUUCCUAUAACGCGGACAUCAUCUUCCCCAAUGUUUAUUUUCAAAUACAAAUCCUCCAAGCGUUCACUAAUACCAACCAAGUCGCUAUGAGUAAUUGGAUAUGUCUGACAUAGUUUUGCCGAUAUCUUCUUAACAAUGUCUCUAAUAAAUUCUGAUUCAUGCCUAAAAAAAAAAAAAGAAAAUUUAAUGUUUUGAGUAAAAUUUUGUUGAUAUGUUUCGAAUGCACUUUCUUUUUCAAUGAAUCAUGAAACAUAAUAUAGUUUGGAAGCAAACAAGUACCAAGAAAAAGAAAGCAAGAUCAGUUGCGGAGCCAGAAGACAAAAUUUGCUCUUUUAUUGAAAUAUGACACUUUUCAAUUAAACACAUUGGAUUAGGGGAAAAAAAAAGUUAUACAUACAUACAUAUAUAUAUAUAUCCAAAAAACUAGAAAAUAGAGAAGAAAAGAAAGAAUUACCUGUUAUUUAAAUGCCAUCCCUUGACUGCAGCCACUUGAAUUAAAGCAUUUCGCCACCUUUGGAUCUUCUCACUUUCUUCUUUGUAUCUCUCUUCAUGUCUGGCAAAGGCUUCUUCCACUUUCCCUUUUUGUUUUCUUAAAUCAGAUGGAUCAACAUCGUAAAAAAUUGGAAACAUUUUAUGGCCGUCGUUGUUAUGUUGUUUAACAAUCUCAGCAAGCUCCUCCAAGCACCAACUUGAAAAGGCAUAAGUUUGUGAAAAAACGAUUACCGAGCACCAUGAUUGCUGAAUUGCUUUAAAGAGUUCUGGCGCGAUCUCUUCACCGGCCUCCAGCUUUGGAUCAUCCCUGAAAGUGACGAUCCCACUCCUCUUUAGAGCAGCAUAGAGAUGAUCGGUGAAGUUUUUGCGAGUAUCUUCACCUCUAAAACUCAAGAAAACAUCAUAUAUCUUUUUAGAAAUGGAGGAAGAAGUUGAAGGGAACGACAACAUGAGGAUGUAUGAAAGGAGAAGGAUAUCUCAAUCUGGUGUUCAAAAUCAGAAAAUAGAUUGCCCAAUAUCCACAAAGAAACUAGAAAAAGUAAGUAUAUGAGCAUAGGGGUCAAAGAUGAGCGAUGGAUGUUGUUUCCAAGAAGGUGAUAGUUGGCAAAGUGGAGUCUACUUUAAUUACAAGUAAUAAUUAAAAAUGUUGGACGGUUUGUAUUUUACGUAUUUAAUAAUUAGCAAUGUUAAUGGAUUGAUGUUCUCAGCCAAUCUGUAGCAGUCAGUGGCUCUAAGGCAAUCAAUGCCGGUUGGGCAGGCCAAACACGCUAAAUUUAAGAUUUUUAGAUUGAAAAGUGAAGUAUGGUGGCUCUGUUAUGGCUGUUUCACUUAAAUCGAGUUCUUCUAAAAACUUCGCUUGCUGCAAAUUCUCUGGUAAAUUUUCAACUCUAUAAUAACCAGAAAGAUUAAGAGUUUUUAAACAUUUUAUUUUUCCCAUCGAUAUCUGGAAACCUUUGAAGAUUUGAGCAACACGAAAGAAUCAAUGUCUCAAGGGAUUUCACUUCAAUUCUGGUUGGAAGACUCCCAAGACUUUUGCGGUCUUUGAAAUUCAAAAGUUUAAGCCUCUUAAGCACUCCAAAUGAUGGAUGGACAUCUACAAUUUUAAAGUCUAGGGUAUUGAUCAGGUUUUGGGACCCUUUAAAGUUGAUCACUUUCAACUAAUAUAUGGGCUGUUGAAAACCAUACUUAAAAAGCAAUAAAAAAACAUAAAACCAAACCUCAAUUUUGUUUUUAUAUUCUUAUCAUUGUUGACACCAUUUUUUUUUUGAUAAAAUGGGGUCGAUUCGGGUUUUAAAAAAUGAAAACGAAUGUGGGAGUCACCACUAAUCUUUUUUGAUGAGGUGUGAUCGGGCCACCUCGAAAAAUAGUUAUUUUAAUAAACGAUUUGAAAAAAUAAUGAUUUUGGUCCACGAUAAAAAAAAGAAAAUGGAUUCGGGAAUCGGUUACGUACGAUGAGGGAUUAGCACAUUCGUAACGCCCAAAAUUGGUAUUUAGCUGAUUAAUUAGUGUCUUAACGUUGAAAAUUGAAAAUUUUGAAGAGUUAAAAAAAAAAAGAAAAAUAAUACGAUCCUUUAUCAAAAUUUUGAAAAAUUUAAAAGGAGAAGCAUAUUUCCAAGUUAAUCGAGACGAAGAAUUACGUCCAGUAAGUUAGGACACAAUGUCUAAAAUUCCCGAUACGAGAAUGAAAGCCGAAAAAUUUAUUUAUUUUGAAAGAGUUCGAUUAUCUCGGGUUUAAAAAAGAGAUCAUGUCCCGUGAUUUAGAACACGAUCUUUUAUUAAUUCCUGAGAACAUUUAAAAACUUUGUUUGAAAUGAUUCGUGUGUUUGAAUUUUUCGAGAAAGUCGAAACCCCGUAAGUUAAGGUACGACUUUCUUGAGUUUCUAAAUACAGAAUGUUGUCUUAUUUUGAAAAUUUUCCUUUUUUGAAUUUAAGUAAGAAUUAAUGUAGUAUAACAAGAUGUAAGUUUAAUUUAUGCAAAUAUUGUGUGAAGGCAAACAAUUAUUUCAUACAAUGUAUAGUACAAUAAUAAUGAAAUAACAUAAAAUAACUAUAUUAGUAGAAUAUUUAAAGGGUAAAUAAUAAAUCAUAAAAUACAAUAAUAAUCAUGACGUAAUUAUAAUAAUAAUCCCCAAAUAAUAAUAACAAUGACCAUAUUAAUUACUAUUCUAAUACUAGAAAUAUAAAAAUGAAUUAAACACUAAUAAAAAUGAUAAUAAUAAUAAUAAUGAUAAUAAUAAUGAAAUGUAUAAAUAAAGGAAUAAAUAACAAUAUAAAUUCUAAACACAAGAAAAGUAAGGAAAUGGACAAAUACAUGAAUGCAUAAAUAAAUAAAUAAAACAGAACGAAAAGAAUAAAUAAAUAAAUAAAGCUCGAAAUUAAAAGGAUAAAGGAUCAAAUUGAGGUUAAAAUAAAAUUUGGAGUCUAAAUUAUAAUAAAAUGGAUAAAUAAAUAUAAAAGGGACUGGAUCGAAAUUUGAAUCAACUUUAAAGGUAUAAAUUACAAAUAAAAAACGAAAGGGCCAACUGAAAUGCGCUGGAAAAGGGCGAGGACUAUGUGGGAGAUUAUUCCCAGUCCUUUAGAGUGCACCGUUUCCGUUUGGACCGAAAAGAAACAAAAAUGAAAUUAUACCGCAAAAUGUAAAGAAAAAAAAUUUAGGACUAAAUUGCAAAGCCACACAAAAGUAGAAGGACCACAUGCGCAAAUAGCCCCUUCACAGUAGAAACACGCAGAUCCUAAGGGCCAACAGGUCGGGUCACGUGUCAAGGCCAAAACGACGUCGUUUUGGCACUUAACCCCUAAUGUCAAAACGACGCUGUAUAAGUAUCAUUAUUUAACUUAAUUUUUUUUCUAAAAAAAUCAUUUUUACAAAGUUUUUUAAAAAAAAAAUUCAAAACUUCCUUCUCUCUCUCUCUCACAAUGUUCGGCCCUUAGGUUCUAGCCUCUGCCGCGCUGUCUCCAUGGCCAGUGGUCGGAGUCGCGCGAAACGAGCUUUUCAGCCCUUACUUCACGGCGUCCUUGAAGGCUAGGCCUUCUCAACAGUGGGACCGAGAGAAAAAGAAAAAAAAACCCUUUCCCUGUUCGACUCCGGUGACGGUGAAGAUGGGCUCCGGCACCGGCUUUCGAAGCAAACAGGUAUCUUCCCUUUUCCCAUUUUGUUUCGUUUUUGUUAAAAAGGGUCGUAAAAAUAAACAAACAUAAAAAAUAAUAAAAAAUAAAGAAAAAAUACAAGAACAGAAAAAAAUAGAAGCAGUUAAACUGGAGUCAACCUUUUUUAAAAGCUUUUGCUCUGCUUUUUCAUUAACCAGUCGUAAAAAAAAUGUAUAUAUAUAGAAGUGGUGCUCGAAUUUUAUGGCCGAUUUGUUUCCAUUUUUUCUAUUAUUUUGCUACUUGUGUGUUUAUUUUUCUCCUGUAGGUGAUUGAUAGGCGCCGGUCCACAUGAUAGCGGCGGUGACAGACGCGCGGCGGUGGCGGUUGGUAGGUCAAGGGUUAGAAGACCCUAGGUACGGCGCACCUAGGGUUAGGGUUUUUAGACUCCCCCCUUUUUUUUUGCAUUGGGUCAUUUGGGUUGUGUUGGAUUUGGUUGGGUUAGGGGUAUUGGGCUGAGUCUUUUGGUUUGGGCCCCAGGUUGUAAUUGGGUUUUGGGUAGAUGUGGGUAAUUUGGUUUAUUUGGGUACUGGGCCAGGCAAAAUAGGCUGUACAGCUACCCCUCUUUGCUCGUUGUCGUGUAACGAGAAUAGAGCAAAGACUAAGGAAGACCAAUUUUGCCUGGUCUCACCAAGUCCCGACUUCUUUUGACACUUCUCUUCUUCAAGUAGCCUUAUUCCAGUCCACUGUGUCCUAUCGCUUCAAUCCACUCCACUGCACUUCUUGUAGCUUCAAUCUUCUUCGCAGCAACUUUAAGAGGAUGAGGUUUUGGCUUUAGUCUGCUCCACUACUCCACUGUGACCUCAGGGAGAUAAGGUUUGAUAUGAUAAAAUUUAAUCCGACCCUCUACAACUUCAAAGGUAUAGGAUUCAUCGUUUUAAUCCGCUCCACUGCAACUUCGGGGAGAUAGGAUUAGUAGCUUCAGUCUGCUCCACUGCAACUUUAGGGAAGUAAGGCUUGUAUUUUCAACCUGCCCCACGGCAAUUUCAGGGGGGAAUGUUUGUGGCUUUAAUCUGCUCUACUGCAACUUCAGGGAGAUAAGGUUUGAUAUGAUCUGCUCUACUGCAACUUCAGAGAGAUAGGAUCUGUAACUUAUAGCUUCAAUCUGUUCCACCGCAACUUCAGGGAAAUAAGAUUCACUAUCUUCAGUCUGCUCCACUACAACUUCAGGGAGAUGAGAUUUGUAGUUUCACUGAUCUAUUCUCUAGGGACGCAUAACCUAUGAACUCUUGUUUAUGCCUAAAUGAUUAGGAUGUCAUUAUCAAAAUGAAUCAAAUGCUCCUAAUUAGAUGCAUUUAAAUCAGAUGCAUUCUGACACACAUGAUGAGUUGCCCUUGAAUCUGGAUACUAUGAUAAGGUUCCUAUUGGCCAGGAACACACGAGUUAGUAUAUAUUAUCAAAGUUGGAAUCAUAUUGUGUGGCAUCCGAAAAAUCAGAAGCAUGAAAAUCAAGAAUUCGGGGUAGCCCAACACUCUAAGAGAAAUCAAAAUAAAAAACACGUACUCGUGUUUUGUUCGCUACGGAACAGGAGCAUUAUUUUGCAUAGAGCCUUCAACACCAACAAAAUUAGCAUUAGGCCCAAGUUUUUGAAUAGCAUCAACCUGUCCACUAUUCAGCCCAUUAAUCUGCCUACUAAGAGGCCCAACAGACUGGCCUGCAUGCAGCCCAAAUUGCUGCACAUCAUGCUUCCGCUAAUAGGACUAAAACACUGACUAUUAGUUGACCCAAAAUAAUGCCCAGUAUUCUGCCCAAAAACCUGACUAGUCUUCUACCCAUGAACCGACCUAAAAACCUGACCAGCAUUUGGUCCAAGACACUGCCCACGAAUCUAGCCUGCAUAAUGGGGCCUGUGUGCAACCGAGGAAGGCAGCCCAAUGUGUUGUACAGAGCACUGGCCCACAGCAUGCCCAACACGCCUUUCAAAGAAAUCAAACGGGCCAACAGAUCCAAACCACUGUCCAUUUGUGUCUUCUGCAAACUCAACCAAUAGCCAGUUUCACCAAAAUUCGUAGCUUGCAGUUGUGGUGGAUAUUCACUCCGACUCUGAAAAGACGACCAGUCUGCCAAAAGGUCACCAGAUCCAAAACCUUGUUGUCUAUUAUGCGCAGACGGUGAAAACCUCACCGUGGUAAAAGCGUUCAGACUAUCGUAAGACCAAUUAAAGCGAUAGAAGCAUCGCUGCACCAUGUGAUCGAACCUAUUACAGAUUUGGCACUGCACGAGCGAACAGAAGCCAUGCCCUUGCAAACCUACUGUCGCACGGCCUCCACGCACAUCACGUGAAACAGAAUCAACGAUCGCAGCAACAUUAGGUGUUUCAACAGGAUGAGCAUGGAUGGGAACCUCACGCGCCACUUGCACCUGUCUACUUUCAAAUUCCAUGAGAACCUCGACCAAACGCAGAAAGGGAAGAGGCUCCGUCGAGAACAAAGCCAAGGUUAGUACGAUAUCAAAAUCCGAUGAGAGCCCAGCCAAAAUGACUUCCACCAUUUUAGCUUCUGACACCACCGAUCCAGAGGCUGUAAGUAAGGCACAAGUAUUUUCUAUCUCCGCAAUAUAUUCUGUGACAGUUAACUCACCCUUCUUUGUAGAAUGAAGAUCAUGCUUGAUGCGAGAAAUUUUCACACUAGUUGACGCAGCAAAAAGACGAUUUGCGGUGCUCUAGAUGUCACACGCAGAUUGAGUAGAGGUAAAACAUGACAAAAGUGACGAACUAAUCGUACUUAGGAGCCAAGAAGCUAAUAGCUUAUCCUGUUGAUUGAACGUAGCCACUUCUGGAUUCGGAAUAAGAGCACCUUCUGGAGACGCAAUAAAUCGAGACGGAGCAGACAGCGUACCUUCCAAGAAACCUUGCAGCUCAUAUCCCUCUAUUAUCAAUCGGAUAUGUUGCUGCCAUUGAACAAAGUUUUCUCCCUCUAGUUUCACCGUGUCAUGACGGGGGAAAGAUUGGACCAGGCGUUGACCAGAAAACGUCGGACUCAUAGGAUCAGCAAAGUUACAAUCGACUGAUGGUGCCAUAACACAACAACGGAAGCACGUACCAGGACUAGGCGACUGAUACCAUAUAAGAUACUACUCGAAAUAUGUAUAAACAGAAAAAUGAAGUAUAGAAGAAUUCUUUAGUCUUAUGCUAUCUUGUUGAAUGAAUACACUGAUGAGGUUUUAUACAAAUAUGAUAACCAACUGCCUAAUGAACUGCUUAACAGAUUUUGUAACAACCUAUCAAACUAACCAUCGUAACAACUGUUUAACACUCACGCACAAAAGAUUUUCUAAUUGAAUAUUAGUGCAUACUUUAUAUUCAUAUUUGAAUAAAUAUUAAAAAUAAAUGUCUAAAGAUAAAUAUUUUAUAAAAAAAAUAUAAACUGAGGAGUUGGAAUAAUAUUAUUUGUAUUUCAAGUCGUGAAAUAUAAAUGAUACUUUAUUAGAAUGGAUUAAAUCUAUUUAAGUAGCUUUAAAGAUUUAUAUUUAAUCUUUCGAAUUUAUAAAAAAACAGUUUUGACUGAUUAAAUUGAACACUUAAAUUGGUCUCCAAUAAAAAUAAAAUGAUUUUUAACUCAGUUGAAAUUAUGGUCAAUCCUUAUUAAAGGACUCUCAUUUUAUCAUUACUUGCUUCGUCUUUAUUUUUGUCUCACAAUUUUGUUUUAAUUUGCUUCAUCUUCAACUUACAAAUAAAAUAUAGAUGUAAGUGAAUAUAUAUAGUGGAAAUAAAAUUUUAAUAAAAAAAGGUGAAACUAAUCAAAAUAUACACAUUCGAUAAGUGACUAAAACUUUAAAUGGUAUAAAAAAUAAUGUUAUCAACAUUUGAGAUAUGUAGAUGUUGAAUAUGAAUAUGAAUAAAAUUUUUUAAAAUGUUUUGGCAUAUAAUGGAAGGAUCAUAUCUCAUAUGCAAAACAAGUCUAGAAUAAUUGUUUAAAUGGAAUACAAGAUGUGUAAAAAUACAAUUAAUAGGACGAAGUUGGUUAAGUAGUUUACCACAGUUAAUGCUUCUUUCUUGAUUGGCCCUUUACAAAAUUGAAAAAAUUUUGCAUCCGCUUUGGUUGCGGCUCUUCUUCCUCUGUUUCCUCAUAGAUAUUACGUUUCCGUUUUAUGUGAGAAGUGCUACCUACUGAUCCAUGGUUGUGAGCAGAGUGUUGGUGGAUGUGUUCAAAUUUUGGAGAAGAUUGAGAGGUAUGACACUGCAACUCUUUCAUUUCUUCCAAAUCUUUCUCAUACACUAUUCUAACGCCACACUUCUUCACCUUAACACAACCAGAAUUUGGUCCAAAUUUGGUAUUGAAACACAACUCAAGCUCAUCGCAUAUUUGAUAUAAGCAGUCUGUUGUGCAUAAAUUAUUGGUUUCACAGUCACCAUAUUUAUCCUCCAAGGAAAUUGGAUAUAAUUCAUCACGCGGAAAAUAACGAAGAAAAAGGUGAUCUUUCAUUAUGGGAUUGUGAAAGGAUAGACCUAUCCACCGAUUUCUCAAACAAAUUAGUCGACAGUUUUUACCUCGAAAAAUAGAUCCUUUACAGCUGAUAAACUCAUUAUUCCAUGAAGCAUCAUUAUUGACAAAAAUGCAGCAACAAGCAACUUCAAUCUAUUGACUAUCUUUCCGAAGGUUGAUAGGUAGGGGUAUCUUAAUUGAAGAGUCACUUUUUUGUUGGCUAAACCAUUCUAGAAUUUCAAUUUUCGGGCAUCAUAAUAUCAAAGACGCCAUCAUUAUACAAUUUUCUAGAAUUUGGAAGUGCCUGCAAAAUAAAACACGAGUCGUCUGGUAACUAAAACCAUAAAUUCUCAAGUAUGAGAUUUUGUAAGGCAGAAAAAAAAAUAGAUUAAUAGACCUUAAUAUGUUCUUUCAGUAGUGCUACUGCAUUGAUUUUCUCAGCCAAUUUGAAGCAGUUAACAGCACGAAUGCUUUCACCACCCACUAAGUUGCAUACUUUUGAUGGACUUGCAACUACUUCAAGUGAAGAACAAUUAUCUAUUGUCACACUUCCUAUACUUGUUGGUAGCUCAGGCAACGAUUUAAGCAUCUUGCAACCUGACAAUUUAAGCAAUUUGAGCCUGGAAAGUUGUGAUGAAGUUGGUUCAGCAUGCAGCAAACUCGACAACAUGCAGGCCAUGAAGACCAAGACAUGCAAGAGCUGCUAAUGCAAGCUUAUUUUGUUUAUUUUGUAAUUUCUAGUCAAUGAAAUGUAAUCUUAGUUCAUUUCUAACUAAGUUAGAUUGUUGACUGAUGUAAUUAGCUUAUGUAUGAGCUGUAAACACAACUUUGUAUAGGUUUACAAGCUAAAAUUUCAAGUUUCCAUGUAAUUAGUAGGAGUAGGUGAUGUUUAGGUAAUUACUUGCUUUUUUUGACAAGCUUAGUGCUUGUUUUAUGUAUUGGCAUUAUGCCAUUAUUCAAUUAGAUGAAUGAAGUUCAGUUUGUUCAUCAUUAUUCCUCUUCAUUUUUCUUAGUUUUUCUUCCUUUCUUCUGCUCGAAUUCUCUUGUUUGCUCAGCAAGUCUCGAGACUUGGUCGACAAGUCUGUGCUGUGUCUGUUAGUUUCAGUUACAGCACCAACAAUUGGUAUCAGAGCCUAUUUUUUAAGGGACCUGUUAUACAAAUACAUGGCGUCAUCAAACUUUUCACCAGCUGCACCUCAAGUCUUCAAUGGAGAAGGCUAUCACAUAUGGGUGGUCAAAAUGAAGACCUACCUGCAGGCAUACGAUCUGUGGGAGGUGGUCAACUCAGAUGUUGAACCAGAACCACUUAGAGGCAAUCCAACAGUGGCUCAAAUCAGGCAGCAUGCUGAUGAGAGGACCAAGAGGCACAAAGCCAUGUCUUGCAUCCAGAACUCAGUGUCUGAUGUGAUUUUCACAAGGAUUAUGGCCUGUGAAUCACCAAAAUAGGCCUGGGACAAGUUGCAGGAAGAGUUUCAAGGGACAGAGAGGACAAGGCAGCAACAGUUGUUGAACUUGAGGAGAGAUUUCGAGAAUUUGAAGAUGAAGGAAGAAGAAACUGUCAAGCAAUAUUCUGACAGGAUUAUGGCUGUGGUUAACAGCAUCAGGCUCCUUGGAGAGCAGUUCAAUGAAGCUAGGAUAGUGGAGAAGGUUAUAGCAACUCUGCCUGAGAGGUAUGAGGCAAAAAUCUCAUAUCUCGAGGACUCAAGGGAUCUGUCCACCAUCUCCCUGACAGAGUUGAUCAAUGCUCUAUAUGCUCAAGAGCAGAGAAGAGCAAGCAGACUGGAGGAGCACCAAGAAAGUGCCUUUCAAGCAAGAACAAAUACUGCCUACAAAGGCAAGAAAGCCUGGAGAGACAAACCAAAGAAUGAUGCUGCAAGGAGAGAAGGUCAGACUUGCAAGCACUGCAGAAGGGUUGGUCAUCCAGAAGAAAAGUGCUAGUUUAAUCCAGAAGCUGUAUGUCAGCAUUGUAAGAAGAAGGGUCAUGUUGAGAGAGUCUGCAAGAGUAAGACCAAAUCGAGGCAGAAUCAGUUUCAACAGAUGAAAGCUGAGGCUCGAGUAGCUAAGGAGGACAGUGACCAAGAGGAGCAAGUCUUUGCUGUGUCAUGCUCAGCUGCUCAGGAAAGGUCCUCAUCUGGUUGGCUCCUAGACAGUGGAUGCACCAACCACAUGACACCUGAUGCUGCAAUCUUCAAGUCUUUAGACAGAAGCUGCAGAACUAAAGUCAAGAUAGGAAAUGGUCAUUUUAUUCAAGCUGAAGGCAAGGGUGAUGUGCUGAUAUGCACUCUUACAGGUACCAAAGUGAUUUCAAAUGUGCUGUUGGUGCCUGAAAUUGACAGAAACCUGCUCAGCAUAGCUCAGUUGCUGGAAAAAGGUUAUUCUGUUGUGUUUAAAGACCACCAGUGCCAAAUCAGUGAUCCAAGUGGAUCCAAACUGAUGGCAGUCCCUAUGGCUGAUAAGAGCUUUGUGGUUGACUAGACAAAGAAGUCAGACACUACCUACACAGCCACAUCAGAUGAAUCCAAGCCGUGGCAUCAAAGACUGGGAUAUGCCAACUUCAGAUUGAUGGCCCGAAUGGUCAGAGAGGAUCUGGCUGAAAAUUUCAUCAACUCAGUGGACCAUGAUGAUGUAUGUAAAGUAUGUCAACUAGGAAAGCAGGCCAGACUCCCAUUUCCCUCGAAUCAAGCCUAGAGAGCCUUGAAAAACUCCAACUGGUGCAUACUGAUGUGUGUGGCCCUAUGAAGACUGAGUCAUUAAGUGGAAACAUGUAUUUUAUACUGUUCAUUGAUGAUUUUUCAAGAUAUUGCUGGAUUUACUUCUUAAAACAAAAAUCAGAGGUGGCCUCAGUGUUUUGGAAGUUCAAGACUGCUUCUGAGACUGAAACAGGCUGCAAGCUGAAGACCAUAAGGUCUGAUAAUGGGACUGAGUACACCUCAGCUCAGUUCUAAGCCUUCUGUGAUAAGGCAGGCAUCAAACAUCAACUUACCAACACAUAUACACCUCAGCAGAAUGGUGUAAGUGAAAGGAAGAAUAGGAGUUUGAUGGAUAUGGCCAGGUGCUUGAUGAUUCCGAAGAAUCUGCCUAAAGCACUAUGGGCAGAAGCAGUUAACACUGCAACAUACAUUCAAAAUAGACUUCCAACCAAGGCUUUGGAUCAGCAGACUCCAUUCGAGGCCUGGUUUGGCUUCAAGCCAUCACUGGCUCAUCUGAAGGUCUUUGGAUGCAUCUGUUAUGCACAUGUACCUGCUGUUAAAAGGGACAAAUUGUCUGAAAGAGCUCAACCUGGUGUACUGGUGGGCUACAGCACUGUUAAGAAAGGAUAUAGGAUCUUGGAUCCUUCAACAAACAAGGUGUCAGUUAGCAGGGAUAUGGUAUUUGAUGAAAGGUCAUGUUGGAACUGGGAAAGACAUGAACCUGAAGAAGUUUCUGAAGAACUAGCAACAGACCAAGCUGAGCCAGACCAAAAUGUUCCAGAAAUGGACAUUGAUGAUGAACCAGUCAGAGGAACAAGGCCAUUGACUGAGAUUUAUGAAAGGGCUCAUGUAGCCAUAGCUGAACCAAGCAACUUUGAAGAGGCUGAAGCUCAGCAAGGGUGGAAGUAGGCAAUGGCUGAGGAGAUCAGCAUGAUUGAGAAGAACCAGACCUGGGAAUUGGUUGAAAGGCCAGUCAAAAGGAAGGUGAUUGGGGUGAAAUGGGUGUACAAAGUCAAGCACAAUGCUGAUGGAACCUUGAACAAACUGAAAGCAAGGCUAGUUGUCAAGGGGUUCAGUCAGAAGUAUGGCCUGGACUACCUGGAGACCUUUGCACCAGUGGCCAGGCUCGACACCAUCAGACUAGUGAUUGCCUUAGCAGCACAGCUCGAAUGGAAAAUCCAUCAACUUGAUGUGAAAUCAGCCUUUCUGAAUGGUUUCUUAGAUGAAGACAUCUAUGUUGAACAACCACAAGGGUUUGAAAUAGCUGGUAGAGAGCAUAUGGUCUACAAACUGAAGAAGGCCCUAUAUGGUUUAAAACAGGCUCCAAGGGCCUGGUAUAGCAGAAUCGAUGGCUACUUGACUGAUCUGGGAUUCGAUCGAAGCAAGAGUGAGCCAACACUGUAUGUCAAGAAACAAGGGACACAAACACAACUCAUUGUGUCCCUGUAUGUUGAUGACCUUCUGGUGACAGGAGGAGAUCGAGCAGUGCUGGUUGAUUUCAAGACCAAGAUGCAGGAAGUGUUUGAAAUGUCUGAUCUUGGGGAGAUGUCCUAUUUUCUUGGAAUGGAGGUGUCUCAAGUACAGAAUGAGAUAUUUCUAAGCCAGAGAAGCUUUGCCACAAAGAUUCUGACCAAGUUCUCCAUGCAAAAUAGCAAGGCAACUAAAACACCUGUUGCUGUUGGAGAAAAACUAUCGAGCCAAGGUGAUUUUGAGAAGGUAUGUGAAACAACCUACAGGAGUCUAGUUGGUUGCUUGCUAUACUUGACUGCCACUAGACCAGACAUCAUGUAUGCUGUGGGAUUGCUCUCAAGGUUCUUGCAUUGCUGCAAUGAGAAGCAUUUCCAAGCUACAAAGAGAGUGCUGAGAUAUGUCAAAGGCACUUUAAACUAUGGUUUGAAGUAUAGCAAAGAAGGAAAUCUGAAGCUGGUUGGGUACACUGAUAGUGACUGGGCUGGCUCGAUAGAUGACAUGAAAAGCACCUCACGGUAUGCUUUUAACCUUGGUUCAGCCAUGUUUUGCUGGAGCUCGAAGAAGCAAAGUCUAGUGGUUCAAUCUACUGCUGAAGCAGAGUAUGUGGCAGCAGCAAGUGCUGUCAACCAAGCCAUAUGGCUAAGGAAAAUCUUGGCUGACUUGAAUGUGCAUCAAGAGGAAGCUACUGAGAUCUUCUGCGACAACCAAUCUGCAGUAGCAAUUGCUAGAAAUCCAGUGUUCCAUGGAAGAACAAAGCAUUUCAGCAUCAAGUUACAUGUUGUUCGAGAAAUGGAGCAAGCUCAGGAAGUAAAGCUGAUCCACUGUAAUUCAGAGGAUCAACUUGCAGACAUUUUAACCAAAGCCCUUAGUGUCACAAGGUUCGAAUGUCUAAGAAAGAAACUAGGUGUUUGCUCCAUGCAAACCAAGGAGGAGUGAUGAAGUUGGUUCAGCAUGCAGCAAACUCGACAACAUGCAGGCCAUGAAGACCAAGACAUGCAGGAGCUGCUGAUGUAAGCUUAUUUUGUUUAUUUUGUAAUUUUUAGUCAAUGAAAUGUAAUCUUAGUUCAUUUCUAACUAAGUUAGAUUGUUGACUGAUGUAAUUAGCUUAUGUAUGAGCUGUAAACACAACUUUGUAUAGGUUUACAAGCUAAAAUUUCAAGUUUCCAUGUAAUUAGUAGGAGUAGGUGAUGUUUAGGUAAUUACUUGCUUUUUUUGACAAGCUUAGUGCUUGUUUUAUGUAUUGGCAUUAUGCCAUUAUUCAAUUAGAUGAAUGAAGUUCAGUUUGUUCAUCAUUAUUCCUCUUCAUUUUUCUUAGCUUUUCUUUCUUUCUUCUGCUCGAAUUCUCUUGUUUGCUCAGCAAGUCUCGAGACUUAGUCGACAAGUCUGUGCUGUGUCUGUUAGUUUCAGUUACUGCACCAACAAUUGGUAUCAGAGCCUAUUUUUUAAGGGAUCUAUUAUACAAAUACAUGGCGUCAUCAAGCUUUUCACCAGCUGCACCUCAAGUCUUCAAUGGAGAAGGCUAUCACAUAUGGGUGGUCAAAAUGAAGACCUACCUGCAGGCAUACGAUCUGUGGGAGGUGGUCAACUCAGAUGUUGAACCAGAACCACUUAGAGGCAAUCCAACAGUGGCUCAAAUCAGGCAGCAUGCUGAUGAGAGGACCAAGAGCCACAAAGCCAUGUCUUGCAUCCAGAACUCAGUGUCUGAUGUGAUUUUCACAAGGAUUAUGGCCUGUGAAUCACCAAAAUAGGCCUGGGACAAGUUGCAGGAAGAGUUUCAAGGGACAGAGAGGACAAGGCAGCAAUAGUUGUUGAACUUGAGGAGAGGUUUCGAGAAUUUGAAGAUGAAGGAAGAAGAAACUGUCAAGCAAUAUUCUGACAGGAUUAUGGCUGUGGUUAACAGCAUCAGGCUCCUUGGAGAGCAGUUCAAUGAAGCUAGGAUAGUGGAGAAGGUUAUAGCAACUCUGCCUGAGAGGUAUGAGGCAAAAAUCUCAUCUCUCGAGGACUCAAGGGAUCUGUCCACCAUCUCCCUGACAGAGUUGAUCAAUGCUCUAUAUGCUCAAGAGCAGAGAAGAACAAGCAGACUGGAGGAGCACCAAGAAAGUGCCUUUUAGGCAAGAACAAAUACUGCCUACAAAGGCAAGAAAGCCUGUAGAGACAAACCAAAGAAUGAUGCUGCAAGGAGAGAAGGUCAGACUUGCAAGCACUGCAGAAGGGUUGGUCAUCCAGAAGAAAAGUGCUGGUUUAAUCCAGAAGCUGUAUGUCAGUAUUGUAAGAAGAAGGGUCAUGUUGAGAAAGUCUGCAAGAGUAAGACCAAAUCGAGGCAGAAUCAGUUUCAACAGAUGAAAGCUGAGGCUCGAGUAGCUAAGGAGGACAGUGACCAAGAGGAGCAAGUCUUUGCUGUGUCAUGCUCAGCUGCUCAGGAAAGGUCCUCAUCUGGUUGGCUCCUAGACAGUGGAUGCACCAACCACAUGACACCUGAUGCUGCAAUCUUCAAGUCUUUAGACAGAAGCUGCAGAACUAAAGUCAAGAUAGGAAAUGGUCAUUUUAUUCAAGCUGAAGGCAAGGGUGAUGUGCUGAUAUGCACUCUUACAGGUACCAAAGUGAUUUCAAAUGUGCUGUUGGUGCCUGAAAUUGGUAGAAGCCUGCUCAGCAUAGCUCAGUUGCUGGAAAAAGGUUAUUCUGUUGUGUUUAAAGACCACCAGUGCCAAAUCAGUGAUCCAAGUGGAUCCAAACUGAUGGCAGUCCCUAUGGCUGAUAAGAGCUUUGUGGUUGACUGGACAAAGAAGUCAGACACUGCCUACACAGCCACAUCAGAUGAAUCCAAGCCGUGGCAUCAAAGACUGGGAUAUGCCAACUUCAGAUUGAUGGCCCGAAUGGUCAGAGAGGACCUGGCUGAAAAUUUCAUCAACUCAGUGGACCAUGAUGAUGUAUGUAAAGUAUGUCAACUAGGAAAGCAGGCCAGACUCCCAUUUCCCUCGAAUCAAGCCUGGAGAGCCUUUGAAAAACUCCAACUGGUGCAUACUGAUGUGUGUGGCCCUAUGAAGACUGAGUCAUUAAGUGGAAACAGGUAUUUUAUACUGUUCAUUGAUGAUUUUUCAAGAUAUUGCUGGAUUUACUUCUUAAAACAAAAAUCAGAGGUGGCCUCAGUGUUUUGAAAGUUCAAGACUGCUUCUGAGACUGAAACAGGCUGCAAGCUGAAGACCAUAAGGUCUGAUAAUGGGACUGAGUACACCUCAGCUCAGUUUUAAGCCUUCUAUGAUAAGGCAGGCAUCAAACAUCAACUUACCAACACAUAUACACCUAAGCAGAAUGGUGUAAGUGAAAGGAAGAAUAGGAGUUUGAUGGAUAUGGCCAGGUGCUUGAUGAUUCCGAAGAAUCUGCCUAAAGCACUAUGGGCAGAAGCAGUUAACACUGCAACAUACAUUCAAAAUAGACUUCCAACCAAGGCUUUGGAUCAGCAGACUCCAUUCGAGGCCUGGUUUGGCUUCAAGCCAUCACUAGCUCAUCUGAAGGUCUUUGGAUGCAUCUGUUAUGCACAUGUACCUGCUGUUAAAAGGGACAAAUUAUCUGAAAGAGCUCAACCUGGUGUACUGGUGGGCUACAGCACUGUUAAGAAAGGAUAUAGGAUCUUGGAUCCUUCAACAAACAAGGUGUCAGUUAGCAGGGAUGUGGUAUUUGAUGAAAGGUCAUGUUGGAACUGGGAAAGACAUGAACCUGAAGAAGUUUCUGAAGAACUAGCAACAGACCAAGCUGAGCCAGACCAAAAUGUUCCAGAAAUGGACAUUGAUGAUGAACCAGUCAGAGGAACAAGGCCAUUGACUGAGAUUUAUGAAAGGGCUCAUGUAGCCAUAGCUGAACCAAGCAACUUUGAAGAGGCUGAAGCUCAGCAAGGGUGGAAGCAGGCAAUGGCUGAGGAGAUCAGCAUGAUUGAGAAGAACCAGACCUGGGAAUUGGUUGAAAGGCCAGUCAAAAGGAAGGUGAUUGGGGUGAAAUGGGUGUACAAAGUCAAGCACAAUGCUGAUGGAACCUUGAACAAACUGAAAGCAAGGCUAGUUGUCAAGGGGUUUAGUCAGAAGUUUGGCCUGGACUACCUAGAGACCUUUGCACCAGUGGCCAGGCUCGACACCAUCAGACUAGUGAUUGCCUUAGCAGCACAGCUCGAAUGGAAAAUCCAUCAACUUGAUGUGAAAUCAGCCUUUCUGAAUGGUUUCUUAGAUGAAGACAUCUAUGUUGAACAACCAUAAGGGUUUGAAAUAGCUGGUAGAGAGCAUAUGGUCUACAAACUAAAGAAGGCCCUAUAUGGAUUAAAACAGGCUCCAAGGGCCUGGUAUAGCAGAAUCGAUGGCUACUUGACUGAUCUGGGAUUCGAUCGAAGCAAGAGUGAGCCAACACUGUAUGUCAAGAAACAAGGGACACAAACACAACUCAUUGUGUCCCUGUAUGUUGAUGACCUUCUGGUGACAGGAUGAGAUCGAGCAGUGCUGGCUGAUUUCAAGACCAAGAUACAGGAAGUGUUUGAAAUGUCUGAUCUUGGGGAGAUGUCCUAUUUUCUUGGAAUGGAGGUGUCUCAAGUACAGAAUGAGAUAUUUCUAAGCCAGAGAAGCUUUGCCACAAAGAUUCUGACCAAGUUCUCCAUGCAAAAUAGCAAGGCAACUAAAACACCUGUUGCUGUUGGAGAAAAACUAUCGAGCCAAGGUGAUUUUGAGAAGGUAUGUGAAACAACCUACAGGAGUCGAGUUGGUUGCUUGCUAUACUUGACUGCCACUAGACCAGACAUCAUGUAUGCUGUGGGAUUGCUCUCAAGGUUCUUGCAUUGCUGCAAUGAGAAGCAUUUCCAAGCUACAAAGAGAGUGCUGAGAUAUGUCAAAGGCACUUUAAACUAUGGUUUGAAGUAUAGCAAAGAAGAAAAUCUGAAGCUGGUUGGGUACACUGAUAGUGACUGGGCUGGCUCGAUAGAUGACAUGAAAAGUACCUCACGGUAUGCUUUUAACCUUGGUUCAGCCAUGUUUUGCUGGAGCUCGAAGAAGCAAAGUCUAGUGGUUCAAUCUACUGCUGAAGCAGAGUAUGUGGCAGCAGCAAGUGCUGUCAACCAAGCCAUAUGGCUAAGGAAAAUCUUGGCUGACUUGAAUGUGCAUCAAGAGGAAGCUACUGAGAUCUUCUGUGACAACCAAUCUGCAGUAGCAAUUGCUAGAAAUCCAGUGUUCCAUGAAAGAACAAAGCAUUUCAGCAUCAAGUUACAUGUUGUUCGAGAAAUGGAGCAAGCUCAGGAAGUAAAGCUGAUCCACUGUAAUUCAGAGGAUCAACUUGCAGACAUUUUAACCAAAGCCCUUAGUGUCACAAGGUUCGAAUGUCUAAGAAAGAAACUAGGUGUUUGCUCCAUGCAAACCAAGGAGGAGUGAUGAAGUUGGUUCAGCAUGCAGCAAACUCGACAACAUGCAGGCCAUGAAGACCAAGACAUGCAGGAGCUGCUGAUGCAAGCUUAUUUUAUUUAUUUUGUAAUUUCUAGUCAAUGAAAUGUAAUCUUAGUUCAUUUCUAACUAAGUUAGAUUGUUGACUGAUGUAAUUAGCUUAUGUAUGAGCUGUAAACACAACUUUGUAUAGGUUUACAAGCUAAAAUUUCAAGUUUCCAUGUAAUUAGUGGGAGUAGGUGAUGUUUAGGUAAUUACUUGCUUUUUUUGACGAGCUUAGUGCUUGUUUUAUGUAUUGGCAUUAUGCCAUUAUUCAAUUAGAUGAAUGAAGUUCAGUUUGUUCAUCAUUAUUCCUCUUUAUUUUUCUUAGCUUUUCUUCCUUUCUUCUGCUCGAAUUCUCUUGUUUGCUCAGCAAGUCUCGAGACUUGGUCGACAAGUCUGUGCUGUGUCUGUUAGUUUCAGUUACUGCACCAACAAUUGGUAUCAGAGCCUAUUUUUUAAGGGAUCUAUUAUACAAAUACAUGGCGUCAUCAAGCUUUUCACCAGCUGCACCUCAAGUCUUCAAUGGAGAAGGCUAUCACAUAUGGGUGGUCAAAAUGAAGACCUACCUGCAGGCAUACGAUCUGUGGGAGGUGGUCAACUUAGAUGUUGAACCAGAACCACUUAGAGGCAAUCCAACAGUGGCUCAAAUCAGGCAGCAUGCUGAUGAGAGGACCAAGAGGCACAAAGCCAUGUCUUGCAUCCAGAACUCAGUGUCUGAUGUGAUUUUCACAAGGAUUAUGGCCUGUGAAUCACCAAAAUAGGCCUGGGACAAGUUGCAGGAAGAGUUUCAAGGGACAGAGAGGACAAGGCAGCAACAGUUGUUGAACUUGAGGAGAGGUUUCGAGAAUUUGAAGAUGAAGGAAGAAGAAACUGUCAAGCAAUAUUCUGACAGGAUUAUGGCUGUGGUUAACAGCAUCAGGCUCCUUGGAGAGCAGUUCAAUGAAGCUAGGAUAGUGGAGAAGGUUAUAGCAACUCUGCCUGAGAGGUAUGAGGCAAAAAUCUCAUCUCUCGAGGACUCAAGGGAUCUGUCCACCAUCUCCCUGACAGAGUUGAUCAAUGCUCUAUAUGCUCAAGAGCAGAGAAGAGCAAGCAGACUGGAGGAGCACCAAGAAAGUGCCUUUCAGGCAAGAACAAAUACUGCCUACAAAGGUAAGAAAGCCUGGAGAGACAAACCAAAGAAUGAUGCUGCAAGGAGAGAAGGUCAGACUUGCAAGCACUGCAGAAGGGUUGGUCAUCCAAAAGAAAAGUGCUGGUUUAAUCCAGAAGCUGUAUGUCAGCAUUGUAAGAAGAAGGGUCAUGUUGAGAGAGUCUGCAAGAGUAAGACCAAAUCGAGGCAGAAUCAGUUUCAACAGAUGAAAGCUGAGGCUCGAGUAGCUAAGGAGGACAGUGACCAAGAGGAGCAAGUCUUUGCUGUGUCAUGCUCCGCUGCUCAGGAAAGGUCCUCAUCUGGUUGGCUCCUAGACAGUGGAUGCACCAACCACAUGACACCUGAUGCUGCAAUCUUCAAGUCUUUAGACAGAAGCUGCAGAACUAAAGUCAAGAUAGGAAAUGGUCAUUUUAUUCAAGCUGAAGGCAAGGGUGAUUUGCUGAUAUGCACCCUUACAGGUACCAAAGUGAUUUCAAAUGUGCUGUUGGUGCCUGUAAUUGACAGAAACCUGCUCAGCAUAGCUCAGUUGCUGGAAAAAGGUUAUUAUGUUGUGUUUAAAGACCACCAGUGCCAAAUCAGUGAUCCAAGUGGAUCCAAACUGAUGGCAGUCCCUAUGGCUGAUAAGAGCUUUGUGGUUGACUGGACAAAGAAGUCAGACACUGCCUACACAACCACAUCAGAUGAAUCCAAGCCGUGGUAUCAAAGACUGGGAUAUGCCAACUUCAGAUUGAUGGCCCGAAUGGUCAGAGAGGACCUGGCUGAAAAUUUCAUCAACUCAGUGGACCAUGAUGAUGUAUGUAAAGUAUGUCAACUAGGAAAGCAGGCCAGACUCCCAUUUCCCUCGAAUCAAGCCUGGAGAACCUUUGAAAAACUCCAACUGGUGCAUACUGAUGUGUGUGGCCCUAUGAAGACUGAGUCAUUAAGUGGAAACAGGUAUUUUAUACUGUUCAUUGAUGAUUUUUCAAGAUAUUGCUGGAUUUACUUCUUAAAACAAAAAUCAGAGGUGGCCUCAGUGUUUUGGAAGUUCAAGACUGCUUCUAAGACUGAAACAGGCUGCAAGCUGAAGACCAUAAGGUCUGAUAAUGGGACUGAGUACACCUCAGCUCAGUUCUAAGCCUUCUGUGAUAAGGCAGGCAUCAAACAUCAACUUACCAACACAUAUACACCUCAGCAGAAUGGUGUAAGUGAAAGGAAGAAUAGGAGUUUGAUGGAUAUGGCCAGGUGCUUGAUGAUUCCGAAGAAUCUGCCUAAAGCACUAUGGGCAGAAGCAGUUAACACUGCAACAUACAUUCAAAAUAGACUUCCAACCAAGGCUUUGGAUCAGCAGACUCCAUUCGAGGCCUGGUUUGGCUUCAAGCCAUCACUGGCUCAUCUGAAGGUCUUUGGAUGCAUCUGUUAUGCACAUGUACCUGCUGUUAAAAGGGACAAAUUGUCUGAAAGAGCUCAACCUGGUGUACUUGUGGGCUACAGUACUGUUAAGAAAGGAUAUAGGAUCUUGGAUCCUUCAACAAACAAGGUGUCAGUUAGCAGGGAUGUGGUAUUUGAUGAAAGGUCAUGUUGGAACUGGGAAAGACAUGAACCUGAAGAAGUUUCUGAAGAACUAGCAACAGACCAAGCUGAGCCAGACCAAAAUGUUCCAGAAAUGGACAUUGAUGAUGAACCAGUCAGAGGAACAAGGCCAUUGACUGAGAUUUAUGAAAGGGCUCAUGUAGCCAUAGCUGAACCAAGCAACUUUGAAGAGGCUGAAGCUCAGCAAGGGUGGAAGCAGGCAAUGGCUGAGGAGAUCAGCAUGAUUGAGAAGAACCAGACCUGGGAAUUGGUUGAAAGGCCAGUCAAAAGGAAGGUGAUUGGGGUGAAAUGGGUGUACAAAGUCAAGCACAAUGCUGAUGGAACCUUGAACAAACUGAAAGCAAGGCUAGUUGUCAAGGGGUUCAGUCAGAAGUAUGGCCUGGACUACCUGGAGACCUUUGCACCAGUGGCCAGGCUCGACACCAUCAGACUAGUGAUUGCCUUAGCAGCACAGCUCGAAUGGAAAAUCCAUCAACUUGAUGUGAAAUCAGCCUUUCUUAAUGGUUUCUUAGAUGAAGACAUCUAUGUUGAACAACCACAAGGGUUUGAAAUAGCUGGUAGAGAGCAUAUGGUCUACAAACUGAAGAUGGCCCUAUAUGGUUUAAAACAGGCUCCAAGGGCCUGGUAUAGCAGAAUCGAUGGCUACUUGACUGAUCUGGGAUUCGAUCGAAGCAAGAGUGAGCCAACACUGUAUGUCAAGAAACAAGAGACACAAACACAACUCAUUGUGUCCCUGUAUGUUGAUGACCUUCUGGUGACAGGAGGAGAUCGAGCAGUGCUGGCUGAUUUCAAGACCAAGAUGCAGGAAGUGUUUGAAAUGUCUGAUCUUGGGGAGAUGUCCUAUUUUCUUGGAAUGGAGGUGUCUCAAGUACAGAAUGAGAUAUUUCUAAGCCAGAGAAGCUUUGCCACAAAGAUUCUGACCAAGUUCUCCAUGCAAAAUAGCAAGGCAACUAAAACACCUGUUGCUGUUGGAGAAAAACUAUCGAGCCAAGGUGAUUUUGAGAAGGUAUGUGAAACAACCUACAGGAGUCUAGUUGGUUGCUUGCUAUACUUGACUGCCACUAGACCAGACAUCAUGUAUGCUGUGGGAUUGCUCUCAAGGUUCUUGCAUUGCUGCAAUGAGAAGCAUUUCCAAGCUACAAAGAGAGUGCUGAGAUAUGUCAAAGGCACUUUAAACUAUGGUUUGAAGUAUAGCAAAGAAGGAAAUCUGAAGCUGGUUGGGUACACUGAUAGUGACUGGGCUGGCUCGAUAGAUGACAUGAAAAGCACCUCACGGUAUGCUUUUAACCUUGGUUCAGCCAUGUUUUGCUGGAGCUCGAAGAAGCAAAGUCUAGUGGUUCAAUCUACUGCUGAGGCAGAGUAUGUGGCAGCGGCAAGUGCUGUCAACCAAGCCAUAUGGCUAAGGAAAAUCUUGGCUGACUUGAAUGUGCAUCAAGAGGAAGCUACUGAGAUCUUCUGUGACAACCAAUUUGUAGUAGCAAUUGCUAGAAAUCCAGUGUUCCAUGGAAGAACAAAGCAUUUCAGCAUCAAGUUACAUGUUGUUCGAGAAAUGGAGCAAGCUCAGGAAGUAAAGCUGAUCCACUGUAAUUCAGAGGAUCAACUUGCAGACAUUUUAACCAAAGCCCUUAGUGUCACAAGGUUCGAAUGUCUAAGAAAGAAACUAGGUGUUUGCUCCAUGCAAACCAAGGAGGAGUGAUGAAGUUGGUUCAGCAUGCAGCAAACUCGACAACAUGCAGGCCAUGAAGACCAAGACAUGCAGGAGCUGCUGAUGCAAGCUUAUUUUGUUUAUUUUGUAAUUUCUAGUCAAUGAAAUGUAAUCUUAGUUCAUUUCUAACUAAGUUUGAUUGUUGACUGAUGUAAUUAGCUUAUGUAUGAGCUGUAAACACAACUUUGUAUAGGUUUACAAGUUAAAAUUUCAAGUUUCCAUGUAAUUAGUGGGAGUAGGUGAUGUUUAGGUAAUUACUUGCUGUUUUUGACAAGCUUAGUGCUUGUUUUAUGUAUUGGCAUUAUGCCAUUAUUCAAUUAGAUGAAUGAAGUUCAGUUUGUUCAUCAUUAUUCCUCUUCAUUUUUCUUAGCUUUUCUUCCUUUCUUCUGCUCGAAUUCUCUUGUUUGCUCAGCAAGUCUUGAGACUUGGUCGACAAGUCUGUGCUGUGUCUGUUAGUUUCAGUUACAGCACCGACAAGUUGAGUCAGAGCCGAAGGAAUGCUGAUGAAAUUGUUACCACAAAGAUAAAGAUAACUCAAAGAGGAUAGACCAAAAAUGUCACUAUUAGUAUCUGCUUCACCAAGAGUGCACAUGUUGCAAUUUGACAAGUGAAGUGACUUGAGCUUUGAGAGUCGAGUAAGAGAUGCAGGUUUGCUGAUGAAAUUGUUACCAUUAAGAUUAAGAUGACUCAAAGAGGAUAGACCAGAAAUAUCACUAUGAGUAUCUGCUUCACCAAAAGUGCACAUGUUGCAAUUUGACAAUUUAAGAUUUUCAAGCUUCGAGAGUCGAGUAAGAGAUGCAGGUAUGCUGAUGAAAUUAUUACCACUAAGAUCAAGAGAUACCAAAGAGGAUAGACCAGAAAUAUCAGGUGGAAUAUCUACUUCACAAAGAUUGCAGUCCCUUAGUUUUAGCUCUCUUAAAGAACUCAAACCUGACAACAAAGGCAACAUCCGAGCCAUGGGAUUCAUCCUUCUUCCUUGGAUUACCUUGAAAAGAGAAGGCAAACUUGGUAGUAACUUAUAUGAUGGUCCCUUGCGCCCACUGAAAGACAGAACUUUAAGAUUUUUAAAUUGAAAAAUGAAGGAUGGUGGUUCUGCUAUGACUGUUUCACUCAAGUCGAGCUCUUCCAAAAACCUUGCGCCCAAUAUCCACAAAGAAACUAGAAAAAAUAAGUAUAUGAGCAUAGGGGUCAAAGAUGAGCGAUGGAUGUUGUUUCCAAGAAGGUGAGAGUUGGCAAAGUGGAGUCUACUUUAAUUAUAAGUAAUAAUUAAAAAUGUUGGACAGUUUGUAUUUUACGCAUUUAAUAAUUAGCAAUGUUAAUGGAUUGAUGUUCUCAGCCAAUCUGCAGCAGUCAUUGGCUCUAUGGCAAUCAAUGCCUGUAGGGCAGGCCAAACCCACUAAAUUUAACUUUGGUCGAAUCUGUAAUUUUAUACAUAAAAUUUUAAUUUGUAUCUAAUUUUCACAAAUUAUUAAUAUAGUAUCAUUUUAUGUUAAUAAAUUGCAUACACAUACAAUUAUAUUUAUCCAAUAUAAAUAUAAAUUAAUAUAUUUUAUUUCUUUAAAUGUAUAUGAUUUAACCACAAUCAAAGUUUCAUGUAUCCAUUUGAAUCAAAAUCAAAGUUCCACGUGUAUAAUUACACUAAAUCAAAGCUCAUUUAUUAAAUUGACAUUGAAUCAAAGUUAAUAUAUAAUUUUGAGAUUUAUCUCAAUAUUUUAAGACCUACAUAAUAAAAUAAUAUAAAAUAAUUAAAACACACAGUUUUGCUGCCAUCAAGAUUAUAUAUACAUGACACAAAUAACAAAUAUGUUAAACUCUCACGUAAAAUGAAUUAUUACCAUGUCAAGUUUUAUUUAAAUUUAUAGUACUUCGAAGAAAAAAACAAUGUAAAUAUACAUUUUAAAUGAAUAUGAGAAAUUAUGUAAAAUACAAGAUGAAUAUAAAUGUUGAGUGUAGUGGUAAGUCACAUUAUAUUUUUAAAGAAUGAACGCGGAUUCAAAUAUUAUUAAGAGGAUAGUCACAAGCCUCAAACAUAAACAAUAAAAUGAAUAUAUUGAAUAACUAUGACAAACUAUAUAAAAUAUAUUAUAAUAUAUAAGUAAUGUAAACAUGACAUACAUAUACAAUAUGCCAAUAUAUAUAAGUAAUAUGAUGGGAUUAGGUUCUCAUGCAAAGCUGUAUUUGUUGCUUAGGAUCGCUUCUGUAUUUCAUUUUCCCAACAUUUUCUUCCACUAAGCUCAGUAAUGCUGUUGAUUCAAUGUCUGCAGAUUAUAAUGGCGAAACCAGCUGGAGGUCCAGCGAGGAGAGAUAAAUGAAUCUAUUGAAUUUUUUAAAAGAAAAAAAUAUGAAUAAGUGUCUUUCGCACAAAAGAUUUUCUAAUGGAAUAUUAGUGCAUACUUUAUAUUCAUAUUUGAAUAAAUAUUAAAAAUAAAUGUAUAAACAUAAAUAUUUUAUAAAAAUAUAUAAACUGAGGAGUUGGAAUAAUAUUAUUUCUACUUCAAGCCAUGAAAUUUAAAUGAUACUUUAUUAGAAGGGAUUUAUAUUUAAUCUUUCAAAUAUAUAAAAACAGUUUUGACUGAUUAAAUUGAACACAUAAGUUGGUAUCCAAUAAAAAUAAAAUAAUUUUUAACUCAGUUAAAAUUAUAAUCGAUCCUUAUUAAAGGGUUCUCAUUUUAUCAUUACUUGCUUCGUCUCCAUUUUUUCUCACAUUAAUUUUGUUUUAAUUUGCUUCAUCUUCAACCUACAAAUAAAAUAUAGAUGUAAGUGAAUAUAUAUAUAUUGUGGAAAUAAAUUUUUAAUUAAAAAAAAAGAUGAAACCAAUCAAAAUAUACACAUUUCGAUUAUGUAAAAAGGAAUGAAUUAAGUGACUAAAAUUUUAAAUGGUCUAAAAAACAAUGUCAUCAACAUUUGAGAUAUGUACAUGUUUUGGCAUAUAAUGGAAGGAUCAUAUCUCAUAUGCAAAACAAGUCUAGAAUAAUUGUUUAAAUGAAAUACAAGAUGUGUAAAAAGAAAUUAAUAGGACAAAGUUGGUUAAGUAGUUUACCACAGUUAAUGCUUCUUUCUUGAUUGGCCCUUUACAAAAUUGAAAAUAUUUUGCAUCCGUUUUGGUUGCGGCUCUUCUUCUUCCGUUUCCACAUAGAUAUUAGGUUUCCGCUUUAUGUGAGAAGUGCUACCUACUGAUCCAUGGUUGUGAGCAGAGUGUUGGUGGAUGUGUUCAAAAUUUGGAGAAGAUUGAGUGGUAUCGCACUGUAACUCCUUCAUUUCUUCCAAAUCUUUCUCAUACACUAUUCUAACACCACACUUCUUCACCUUAACACAAGGGAAAUUUGGUCCAAUUACGUCAUUGAAAGACAACUCAAGCUCAUCGCCUAUUUGAUCAAAGCAAUCUGUUGUCCAUAAAUUAUUGGUUUCACAGUCACCAUAUUUAUCCUCCAAGGAAAUUGGAUAUAAUUGAUCACGCGGAAAAUAGCGAAGAAAAAGGUGAUCUUUCAUUAUGGGCUUGUCAAAGUAUCGACCUACCCACCGGUUUCUCCAACAAAUUCGUCGACAAUUUCUACCUCGAAAAAUAGAUCCUUCACAGCUGAUAAACUCGUCACCCCUUGAAGCAUCAUUAUUGACAAAAAUGCAGCAACAAGCAACUCCAAUCCAUUGACUAUCUUUCCGAAGGUUGAUAGGUAGGUGUAUCUUAAUUGAAAAGUCACUUUUUUGUUGGCUAAACCAUUCUGGAAUUUCACUUCCGGGCAUCAUAAUAUCAAAGAAGCCAUCAUCAAAAUAUUUUCUAGAAUUUUGAAGUGCCUGCAAAAUAAAACACAAGUCGUCUGGUAACUAAAACCAUAAAUUCUCAAGUAUGAGAUUUUGUAAGGGAGAAAAAAUAGAUUAAUAGACCUUAAUAUGUUCUUUCAGUAGUGCUAAUGCAUUGAUUUUCUCAGCCAAUUUGAAGCAGUUAAUGGCAUCAAUGCUUUCACCACCCACUAAAUUGCAUACUUUUGAUGGACUUGCAACUACUUCAAGUGAAGAACAAUCAUCUAUUGUCACACUUCCUAUACUUUUUGGUAGCUCAGGCAACGAUUUAAGCAUCUUGCAACCUGACAAUUCAAGCAAUUUGAGCCUGGAAAGUUGAGUAAGAGCCAAAGGAAUGCUGAUGAAAUUGUUACCACUAAGAUAAAGAUAACUCUAAGAGGAUAGACCAGAAAUAUCACUAUGAGUAUCUGCUUCACCAAGAGUGCACAUGUUGCAAUUUGAUAAUUCAAGAGACUUAAGCUUUGAGAGUCGAGUAAGAGAUGCAGGUAUGCUGAUGAAAUUCUUACCACUAAGAUUAAGAUAACUCAAAGAGGAUAGACCAGAAAUAUCACUAUGAGUAUCUGUUUCACCAAAAGUGCACAAGUUGCAAUUUGACAAUAUAAGAUAUGCAAGCUUCGAGAGUCGAGUAAGAGAUGCAGGUAUGCUGAUGAAAUUGUUACCACUAAGAUCAAGUAUUUCCAAACAGGAUAGACCAGAAAUAUCAGGUGAAAUAUCUCCUUCACAAAGAUUGCAGUCCCUUAGUUUUAGCUCUCUUAAAGAACUCAAACCUGACAACAAAGGCAACAUCCUAGCCAUGGGAUUCGUCCUUCUUCCUUGGAUUACCUUGAAAAGAGAAGGCAAAUUAGGUAGUAACUUAUAUGAUGGUCCCUUGCACCUAUUAAAAGACAGAAAUUUAAGAUUUUUAAAUUGAAAAAUGAAGGAUGGUGGUUCUGCUAUGGCUGUUUCACUCAAGUCGAGCUUUUCCAAAAACUUUGCUUGCUACAAAUUCUCCGAUAAAUUUUCCACUCUAUAACAACUGGAAAGAUCUAGAGUUUUUAGACGUUCCAUUUUCCCAUCAAUCUCCGGAAACCUUACAAGACUUGAGCAACCCGAAAGAAUUAAUGUUUCAAGAGAUUCCAUUCUGAAGAAGUUGGUUCAGCAUGCAGCAAACUCUCGACAGCAUGCAGGCCAUGAAGACCAAGCUGUGCGGGAGCUGCUAAUUCAAGCUAUUUUUGUUCAUUUUGUAAUCUUUAGUCAAUGAAACGUAAUCUAGUUCAUUUAGAACUAUGUUAGGUAGAUGAUUGAUGUAAUUUACUGACAUAUGAGCUGUUAAUUCAGCUUUGCUUGUAUACACAAGCUAAUUACUUCAAGUUUCAAUGCUUAGUGGUGUUAGGUAACCAUUAGGUGUAUGUUUACUGUUUUUGACAAGCUUAGUGCUUGGUUUAUGUAUUGGCAUUGUGCCAUUAUUCAAUUUAUGAAUGAAAUCAGUUUGUUCAUCAACUUUCACUCCAUUUUUCUUAGUUUUUCUUCUUUUCUUUUGCUUGAAUUCUCUUGUUUGCUCAGCAAGUCUCGAGGCUUGCUCGACAAGUCUGUGCUGAGUCUGUUAGUUUCUGUUGUUGUUCCAACAAUUGGUAUCUAGAGCCUAUUUCUUAAGGGAUCUGUUAUACAAAUCCAUGGCUUCAUCAAGCUUUUCACCAGCUGCACCUCAAGUCUUCAAUGGUGAAGGCUAUCACAUAUGGGUGGCAAAAUGAAGACCUACCUGCAGGCUUACGAUCUGUGGGAAGUGGUCAACUCAGAUGUUGAACUAGAGCCACUUAGAGGCAAUCCAACAGUGGCUCAGAUCAGGCAGCAUGCUGGUGAGAGGACCAAGAGGCACAAAGCCAUGUCUUGCAUCCAGAACUCAGUGUCAGAUGUGAUUUUCACAAGGAUUAUGGCCUGUGAAUCACCAAAACAUGCCUGGGAUAAGUUGCAAGAAGAGUUUCAAGGGACAGAGAGGACAAGGCAGCAACAGUUGUUGAACUUGAGGAGAGAUUUCGAGAAUUUAAAGAUGAAGGAAGAAGAAACUGUCAAGCAGUACUCUGACAGGAUUAUGGUUGUGGUUAACAGCAUUAGGCUCCUUGGAGAGCAGUUUAAUGAAGCUAGGAUAGUGGAGAAGGUUAUAGCAACUCUGCCUGAGAGGUAUGAGGUAAAAAUCUCAUCUCUCGAGGACUCAAGGGAUCUGUCUACUAUUUUCCUGACAGAGUUGAUCAAUGCUCUAUAUGCUCAAGAGCAGAAGAGAGCAAGCAGACUGGAGGAGCACCAAGAAGGUGCCUUUCAGGCAAGGACAAAUUCUGCCUACAAAGGCAAGAAUGCUUGGAGAGACAAGCCAAAGAAUGAUGCCGCAAGGAGAGAAGGUCAGACUUGCAAGCACUGCAGAAGGAAUGGUCAUCCAGAAGAAAAAUGCUGGUUUAAUCCAGAUGCUGUGUGUCAGCAUUGUAAGAAGAAGGGUCAUGUUGAGAGAGUCUGCAAGAGCAAGGCCAAAUCAAGACAGAAUCAGUUUCAACAGAUGAAAGUUGAGGCUCGAGUAGCUAAGGAGGACAGUGACCAAGAGGAGCAAGUCUUUGCUGUGUCAUGCUCAACUACUCAGGAAAGGUUCUCAUCUGGUUGGCUCCUAGACAGUGGAUGUACCAACCACAUGACACCUGAUGCUGCAAUCUUCAAGUCUUUAGACAGAAGCUGCAGAACUAAAGUCAAGAUAGGAAAUGGCCAUUUCAUUCAAGCUGAAGGCAAGGGUGAUGUACUGAUAUGCACCCCUACAGGUGCCAAAGUGAUUUCAAAUGUGCUCUUGGUGCCUGAAAUUAAUAGAAACCUGCUCAGCAUAGCUCAGUUGCUGGAGAAAGGUUAUUCUGUUGUGUUCAAAGACAACCAGUGCCAAAUCAGUGAUCCAAGUGGAUCCAAACUGAUGGCAGUCCCUAUGGCUGAUAAGAGCUUUGUAGUUGACUAGACUAGGGAGUCAAAUAUUGCCUACACAGCCAUAUCAGAUGAAUUCAAGCUGUGGCAUCAAAGGCUGGGACAUGCCAACUUCAGAUCGAUGGCUCGAAUGGUCAGAGAGGACUUAGCUGAAAACUUCAUCAACUCAGUGGAUUAUGAUGAUGUGUGUGAGGUGUGCCAGCUAGGAAAGCAGGCCAGACUACCAUUUCCUUUGAAUCAAGCCUGGAGAGCCUCUGAAAAACUCCAACUGGUGCACACUGAUGUGUGUGGCCCUAUGAGGACUGAGUCAUUAAGUGGAAACAGAUAUUUUAUACUGUUUAUUGAUGAUUUCUCAAGAUAUUGCUGGCUUUACUUCUUAAAAUAGAAAUCAGAGGUGGCCACUGUAUUUUGGAAGUUCAAAACUACUGCUGAGACUGAAACAGGCUGCAAGCUGAAGACCAUAAGGUCUGAUAAUGGGACUGAGUACACCUCAGCUCAGUUCCAAGCCUUCUGUGAUAAGGUAGGCAUCAAACAUCAGCUUACCAAUAUUUAUACACCUCAGCAAAAUGGUGUAAGUGAAAGGAAGAAUAGGAGUUUAAUGGAUAUGGCCAGGUGCUUGAUGAUUCAGAAGAAUCUGCCUAAAGCACUAUGGGCAGAAGCAGUUAACACUGCAACAUACAUUCAAAAUAGACUUCCAACCAAGGCUUUGGAUCAGAAGACUCCAUUCGAGUCCUGGUUUGGCUUCAAGCCAUCAUUGGCUCAUCUGAAGGUCUUUGGAUGCAUCUGUUAUGCACAUGUACCUGCUGUUAAAAGGGACAAAUUGUCUGAAAGGGCUCGACCUUGUGUUCUGGUGGGCUACAGCAUUGUUAAGAAGGGCUAUAGGAUUUUGGAUCCUUCAACAAAGAAAGUGUCAGUAAGCAGAGAUGUGGUAUUUGAUGAAAGGUCAUGCUGGAACUGGGAAAGGCAUGAACCUGAGGAAGUUUCUGAAGAACUUGUAGCAGACCAAGCUGAGCCAGAACAAAAUGUUUCGAAAAUGGACAUUGAUGAUGAACCAGUCAGAGGAACAAGAUCAUUGACUGAGAUUUAUGAAAGGGCUCAUGUAGCCAUAGCUGAACCAAGCAACUUUGAAGAGGCUGAAGCUCAACAAGGGUGGAUGCUGGCUGAGGAGAUCAGCAUGAUUGAGAAGAACCAGACCUGGGAAUUGGUUGAAAGGCCAGUCAAAAGGAAGGUGAUUGGGGUGAAAUGGGUGUACAAAGCCAAGCAGAAUGCUAAUGGAACCUUGAACAAACUGAAAGCAAGGCUAGUUGUCAAGGGGUUCAGUCAGAGGUAUGGCCUGGACUACCUGGAAACCUUUGCACCAGUGGCCAGGCUCGACACCAUCAGACUGCUGAUUGCCUUAGCAGCACAGCUCGAAUGGAAGAUCCAUCAACAUAAUGUGAAAUCAGCCUUUCUGAAUGGUUUCUUAGAUGAAGACAUCUAUGUUGAACAACCACAAGGGUUUGAAAUAGCUGGCAGAAAGCAUAUGGUCUACAAACUGAAGAAGGCCCUAUAUGGCUUGAAACAGGCUCCAAGAGCCUGGUACAGCAGAAUCGAUGGCUACUUGACUGCUUUGGGAUUCGAUCGAAGCAAGAGUGAGCCAACACUGUAUGUCAAGAAGCAAGGGACACAAACACUACUCAUUGUGUCCCUGUAUGUUGAUGACCUGCUGGUGACAGGAGGAGAUCGAGCAGUGCUGGUCGAUUUCAAGACCAAAAUGCACGAAGUAUUUGAAAUGUCUGAUCUAGGGGAAAUGUCCUACUUCCUGGGAAUGGAGGUGACUCAAACACAGAAGGGGAUAUUUCUAAGUCAGAAGAGCUUUGCCACAAAGAUUCUGACCAAGUUCUCCAUGCAAAAUAGCAAGGCAACUAAGACACCUAUUGCUGUUGGAGAAAGACUAUCGAGCCAAGGUGAUUUUGAGAAGGUAUGUGAAACUACCUACAGGAGUCUAGUUGGUUGUUUGCUAUACUUGACUGCCACUAGGCCGGACAUAAUGUAUGUUGUAUGAUUGCUCUCAAGGUUCUUACAUUGUUGCAAUGAGAAGCAUUUCCAAGCUGCCAAGAGAGUGCUCAGAUAUGUCAAGGGCACUUUGGACUAUAGUUUAAGGUACAACAAGGAAGGAAAUCUAAAGCUAGUUGGACACUGAUAGUGACUGGGCUGGCUCGAUAGAUGACAUGAAAAGCACCUCAGGGUAUACUUUUAACCUUGGUUCAGCCAUGUUCUGUUGGAGCUCGAAGAAACAAAGCCUGGUGGCUCAAUCAACUGCAGAGGCAGAGUAUGUGGCAGCUGCAAGUGCUGUCAAUCAAGCCAUCUGGCUAAGGAAAAUCUUAAUUGAUUUGAAUGCUCAACAGAAGGAAGCAACUGAGAUCUUCUGUGAUAACCAAUCUGCAGUUGCAAUUGCUAAAAAUCCAGUGUUCCAUGGAAGAACAAUGCAUUUUAGCAUCAAGUUGCAUGUUAUUCGAGAAAUGGAGCAAGCUCAGGAAGUGAAACUGAUCCACUGUAAUUCUGAGGAUCAACUUGCAGACAUUUUGACUAAAGCUCUUAAUGUCACAAGGUUCGAAUGUCUAAGAAUGAAGCUAGGUGCUUGCUCCAUACAAACCAAGGAGGAGUGAAGAAGUUGGUUCAGCAUGCAGCAAACUCUCGAAAGCAUGCAGGCCAUGAAGACCAAGUUGUGCAGGAGCUGCUAAUUCAAGCUGUUUUUGUUCAUUUUGUAAUAUUUAGUCAAUGAAACGUAAUCUAGUUCAUUUAGAACUAUGUUAGGUAGAUGAUUGAUGUAAUUUGCUGACAUAUGAGCUGUUAAUUCAGCUUUGCUUGUAUACACAAGCUAAUUACUUCAAGUUUCAAUGCUUAGUGGUGUUAGG